rnacentral:lncRNA from 1 species
GACUAGGAACCUGAACCUGAAAACCACAUCCUUAUGUACAUAUAUACACUUUAGGUCUAACAUCUAUUCACAUGCACACAAGGUUUGACAAGACAGGACGGGAUCUCAAUCCUCAUCCGGGUCGUACUCGGGGUUAUCCUCGGGGUCCUCCUCCACGUACUCCUCUUCAGGUUCCUCAACAGGGAUCUCAUCAUCAGAUUCAUGCUCCUUAGGCUCCUCAUCCAGGUCCUGAAAUGAUUAUUCAAUAAUCACUGAGACAACGUCUCAGCAAGUUCUACCUCCUAAGACCCGAUUAGUAAACUAAUACACCUUAGGGCUGCCUAUGCACAACAUGAGUCAAAGGACUUACCUUGGCCUCAGAUUCCACCUGCAUAUUAGCACAAAUCAAAUAGGCACUCAAGCAAUAACAUCACAGAUCGAAGCAUCGAUCUAAUCGACUUAAUCGAUUACACGCCAACAAGACCACUCACGGUCAUUUCCAUUCAAUCAAUCAAUUCGCAACANNNNNNNNNNNNNNNNNNNNNNNNNNNNNNNNNNNNNNNNNNNNNNNNNNNNNNNNNNNNNNNNNNNNNNNNNNNNNNNNNNNNNNNNNNNNNNNNNNNNAGCUAUCCAUCACCACUCCAUCCCACAUAACCUCCAAUAGUACACUUAGUCACAGAGCUCCAUCAAUGCUCUCGGGCGUCGUUUUCGCCAAGGUGACAUAAGUAUCAGACGGUCUACGUGCGUUCUUUAAGGCGCCGUUUUCACACAGUGAUAUUCCUCAUCACCGAACCACGCCCGUCACAGGUCACAAAUCACUGACAGUCUACGUGCGUUCUUUAAGGCGCCGUUUUCACACAGUGAUGUCUUUCAUCACCGAACCACGCCUGUCAUGAUUCAUAGGUAGUCUACGUGCGUUCUUUAAGGCGCCAUUUUCGCACAGUGAUAUCCUUAAUCAUUGAACCACGCCUACCAUAAGUCAUAGACAGUCUACGUGCGUUCUUUAAGGCGCCGUUUUCGCACAGUGAUGUACUUUAUCACCGAACCACGCCUGUCUAUACUUCGUACUUGAUCGGUCUCAACCAAUAGAAUUCUCAGUUAGUUCUCAUCACUCUCUCCACUUACAGCUCAACAAGGCAGUACAAAUGCUAACUAGCCAUACUCGGCCAUUUACCAAUCAAUCAUUCAGUUUCACUCAAUUUCAAUCAAUUCGGGGUAAAUCCCUAAAAUAUCACAAUUUAUUUAAUUUCAUACAACGUAUAGCUCGAAUAAAUAAACGGACUGCGCCACGACAAUCAGCACGAAAUUCCGGUCGACAGUCACCUCAGCAUUAAUUUCCGAAGAAUAAUUUAAUAAUUAAUUAAUUUCGAAAAUUAAUUAAUAAAUAUUAAAAUUCAAUUUAGCUCAAAAUAAAGCCCGAUUAAAUAAACGGACUUCACCACGGUCAUCAGCAUAAUAUUCCGGCCAUUGGCCAUCCAAGUUGAAUUUUCGGAAAAUAAAUAAUUAAAUAAUUAAUUUCGAAAAUUAAUAUUUCAUUCCUAAAAAUUCCAAUUAAGCCCGAAUCGCCUAAUUAACACCCGAUAAGGGACGGGAAAAAUCCCAAGAAGCAUCCAAUAAAUACUACAGGCAAUUCUCUAUCUAAUUACACUAAUCACACAACUAAUAUGCAAAGCAAUUAACUAAUAAACACUAAUCAAUUCUAAUCUAACCACCUAAUUACACUUAAUUAACACUAAUCAACCUUUAAGUAUAAUUAGCGCACUAAGAAGACAUUAGUGAGUAAAACUCACUCAAAACGACGGGCUUGACGCGAUGAUCGACUUUCCUCAAAGCGGGCCGAGCAUCUGGGCUCAGGAAGGCGGCCAAAACGGGCCAAAACCCACUGUCAUACCCAUUUUCUGCAACCCUCUGUUCGCUGCUGGUUGGGGCAGAUUCGGGGCUGGUUGAGGCGGCCAAGGGCGGCUGAGGACGAGGCGGAGCUCCGGCGAGGUUGACGGUGGCCGGAGGUAGUUGGGCGGCGGCCGUAGGUGGCCGAACGGGACCGAACAGAGGCGGCAAGAGCUGGACAGCAGCUCUGGACGUCGGCCAAGCUAGGGACGACGCGACUGAAGGCGGAGACGCGCGGGCGCCGCUCGACGACAACUUCAGCUCCGGUUGGAGGGAACUUGUUGCUUCGGCUUGCUCUGAUCUUCACCCGACCAGGGCAUCGAACAGCAGAAAGAGGACAGAGGAGAGAAGCGGAGGUGCGUGCGGGUGGGGCGAAGCAGCGACGGCGGCGGCGCGGCAGCUCCGGUGGCUUCCGGGCACGCGACGACGGCGGCGAGAGGCGGCGAUGGCAGCUCGGUCUUCGCUGGUCUUCGGCUCCCAUGGAGUUUUGAAGAAAAAAAAGAAGAAGAUGGGGGAGGAUCCGUCGACGGAGGAGAGAGAGGAGAAAGAGAAAUUCAAUUUUUCCUCUUCCUGUCACACACUCUCUCUCUUAGGUCAUCACACAUGGGCCACCAUGACAUCAUGUGAUGUCACCUUCCACCCACAAUUUCUUGACAAAUUUGCCCCUUCUAGAAGCAUUUAGGUAGGCCAAAGUGUGGGGGUAGAGGUGGCAUACGAAUUUUGCUACAAUUGGCUUCUAUUAAUCACUUGAUUUACUUUAAAUCCAUCUUAAUUGGCCUCAUAAGAUCUCAAUAAAUCCAAGUGAUGCCUCAAUGCUUCCAUUAAAUAUUCUCCUCAUCCAAUAGCUCAUCUCGCAUCUCAAUUUUGUAUUCCAUUUUAAUCCCCGGCUCCAAUUGCAUAGAAAUGACCUGAUUAAUUCAAUUAAAAUUAAUACCGAAAAUUCUGGAUGUCACACAUUGAGGAUUGGGAUGAUUUGCAAGAUGCAGAAUCAGAAGCUUGUGAGAUUUGACUGAUAUGUUUGGCCAAGAUACCCCUAAUGACGGCGAAUGCAAUGUUGUGCAUGAUGUUAACAUUAUAGAGGAUUCUCCACAACCUGAGAAAAAUCAAACAUUUCUUGAGGUGGAUUCCUCUACUGAAAGUGAAGACAAAGAUGAUAUAUUUGGUAGUACUCUGAGCAAUUCGUCCACUCAACUUUUGACCAGACGAUUUUUAGAAUCCAUGGUAUGCUUCUGAAAACUGUGAAGUUGUCUCACUCCUUUCUGUCCUAACUAGUUUGAAGGGAUUAAGGAAAAAGAAAAAAAGAAAAGCAUGGUGGCUUGGCAUGUUUUUUCCCAUGCCCAAAAGUAAUUUGGUUGAUAGUUGUUAAGUUUGUAGCUUAAGUUUUUUUAUCCAUGGACCUAGAUUUGUCUUGGGAUUAGCCUAUGUAAUUGCUUGGACCAAAUGUGUGGCUUGAAGAAUGUCUCAGUAUUUUACAGGGUUUCCCGUUUAGUGAAGAAACUAUGGGCACCUGAAGAAGACACAAUAGUUACCAAGCAAAUCCCAUGAGUCUGGCCACAAUGGUCCAGUUGUUUAGGAGGUUGACAAAAAGUUGGCAGAUCUCUGCAUGACCUUUUAUUGUUUUAACAAUAAUUCUGCACCCGUACUUUUAUAUAUUUUUGUUGCUGAGGUAUAUUGGGGUGUCAACAAGGAAAACAAGAAGAAUUGAGAACAGAUUAUCUUGGUUUUUGAUCAGGAGAUUAUAGUGUCCUCAGAAAACUCUUGGGAAACACUUUCCACUUGUCUCAUUUGUUUUUGAUUGACUCUUGCAAUUGGGGUUUUGGUUAGUGAGAAAUUGAUUUAUUUCUUAUUGUAGUUCUCUCCUAAUCACUGUUAAACAACUCAUCCCCUUAAAUUAGUGUGUCACUGUUCUUUCCUCUUCAACUUAUGUCUUUCCUUGAUCAUUUCCAGUUUGCUUGCAAUUCUGCUCAGCAACAAACCUUACGCGGUAUGCCUGUACAAAAACAUUUAGUAAAUUGCUUAUGAGGGCUCUCAUCUAAUCAAAUGUAUGAUAGACACUCCUAACUUGCCAGUUACUUCUACAGUCUAUAAGAUCUAAAAUGAUUUAUAUGAGAAUUGUUUGGUCAAUAAAAACAGUUCAUUCUUGUUUUGGAUAUGUAACAAUACCUAUACUUCUCAUGUAUUAUGAGAGUAUGGUACAUCAUCCAAGCGUUGAACUUAGCAUCCAGCAUCUUUGACAGGUGUGUUUUGCAAAAUGAAGGCUUGGAAUUUCUUUGUGCACGAUUUUCAUUUUCCAUCACCACAUGUCAAAAAUUAUUUAUGGUGCUGAAGAGGCUUAUUUGUGUUGAAGGACUGUAAGAGCACGGAUACUCAUGGUUUGAUAUCAUCAGUUUCAAGUAAAAGACAUCACUCUCAGAUUUCAACAUGCAAACAAGGAACUCUUGAGUAAUGAGGAAUUGCAAGCCUUGGAUGACAUAGAAUUGGCAAAUGUUGUAAUAUUCGAAAACAAGGCAUUUCGACCAAUGCAGCAUCAGGCUUGUAAAACUUAUGUAGCCAAGCAAGAUUGCUUCAUUCUCACGCCCACUGGAGGUGGUAAAAGUUUACGUACCAAGUUAGUGAAUGUUAACAUCAUUUCAUUUGUGUAAUGAUCGAACGUUGAAGUAUGUGUGGAGAGUUUAGAGCACAAGCACAGUGCACUUUGCUGAAUGGUUCCACCAAUUAUAUGCUAGACAAGUAGACCUGUAUAUUGAAAUUUAAGCUAUAAAAUGAUCUUGCAAUCUGCUUUGUUAGGACUGUUGAGAAGUUUGUGUUGAAAUACAGGACAUUCUCGUUUUACCUUCACCCAUCUCUAUCCGUUCUGUAAUUUCUAGAAUUUGAGGUUUGUGCUCUGCUUCUAGGAACUUCUAAUUACUUACUGGAAAAUUUAUCUUGUUUUUGCAUGUAAGUGUUGUCGUCAGUCAUGUUUCAAGUCCAAUUCAAUAGGAUUAUUAAGUCAAAGAGGAAUAAGUUUUCAAAUUACUUGCACCAAAUACAGAUUGUACAUGUCUAUAUUUCCUAUGUACAUAUGUGCUAUGUUAUUGUCUCAACUAGGGGUGAUCAUUUCCAUAAUUGGUUUGAAAUGGAUAUCCUUUCAUAUAAGAUGGAUCUUGGGAGCAUGCAAAAUAUUGGAUCCACUGAAUUACGAAGGAAGAAAUUAAUCUGAAUUUAUUAAGUUGAAUCUCCAUCAUGAUGAUGGCUAUGGAUAUGGAAUCGUCUAGUUUGGAUUUUACAAACCCAAAUCGCAUUUUUUUUUAUUCCCUUGCCCGUAAUGCUUAACCAAAAACAGAAUUAAUUAAGAAUUAGAUAAGAUUCCAUUUUCGUGUCACCAUAGAUUUUCAACUCCCAUUUUCAUUCAAUUUAGAUCACCAUGCUUCUAAAUAGGCGUCUAAUUUUCAAAGAAAUUUAAGGGUGCUCUUAGAUGGUCUGCAUUGACUAAACUAACUUAGACUUAAUCGAUCGAACAUCACGUUAUUUUCGGGCGAUCUCCUUUACAUUGCUAGGCCUCGUUGACGUCUUAUUCUCAUGGCCAUCGUGUUAGGACGGUAACCUUCUGUUGGCUUAUGGAGUCUUGAUUUAUUCUUCCAGAUAUGAGACCUUUCAUUUCGUUACCUGCGUGGCUACCUCAGCGGUAUACUCUCCUAGCAACAUGAAAUUGACAUUUAACUUAUUGUGUUCGGGUAACGUUGACCAUUACAUUGGCGAUUUGGGCAAGUCGAGGUCAACACACGUAGAGGCACAUUGACCAAAUUGGUUAGAUAUUAAGCUCAGAAGUUGCGGGUCUGGAUCUUUGAACUCGUGAUCUGGCUUCACGACCGUGGGUGGCUACUUCUGCAGCCACGACGUUUGCAUUUUCAACUUGCAGGAAAAAGGUAUGACAGAAACUUGGCCUUCAAAGUACAGCUCGAGGAAUCACUCUACCUCGCAUUCAUCAAAUUUCAUUCACGCACCGUACCCUCGUGUAGUCAGCGGCAGCCUCAACACGGACUCCACAGGCAAGAUGCUCUCGCUCAGGUCCUGCGAGAAGUUUGCUCUCCGCACAAGUCACAAAUGACCUAACCUGCAAUAUCGUAAAACAAAAUUUUCACCGAUGCACCGCCCGUGGGUAUUAACCUAAAAACAUGCGCACCAAAUGCAAAAUGUUCUGAUGAUUGAAUUUAGUUCAUGGAGCUGAUUAAAAUUGUCUGAUCCGCUCAUCUCUCCUCUUUUUUAGUAAGCUCUUUUCUAGUAAAUUUGAUGCUGAUUGCAAAACCAGAUGAAUACUUAGUAUCCGGUAGGAUUGACGUUUCGAUCUAUUUUGGGGUCGAUUAUGUUGGCAACGACUUGUUUUGGCCAAUGAUGUUUACGCCUCAUUUCUGGGGUUCUUUAACCCCCUAGUUUCUUCAAUUUGUCUAUUUCAAUUCCUCUUUGUUGUACGAUUCAUCAUAUGGCAACAUAUACUUCCGAAGCUAGAUAAUCUAAAAACGCCUUGUGCCAAUGUUAAACAAACUGAAAGGCUUUCCAUAGUUCUAGUUUGAUUUGAGGACAGUUUUCAUAUCUCUAGUAUCGUCCCGUCAAGCUUGAAUCUACAAAAAUAAGGAUAACUGAGAAGCCUGAAACGAAUCCUUUUUAAUUCUAUCAAAACUUUUUGGGCACAAUGUAAUUUUCAUUUUGUUAUCAUAAUUUCUGUAAGUCCUAUCAUUUGUAAUAUUCUAUUAAAAAUAGUAAUCUGCCUAAGUUUAUAGUAAAUUUCUCCUAAUGAAUCUUAACUUUCCUUCAGGCAUAUGUAAUCAUCCUUACUAUCUAUAAAAUAUCCUUUAGUAAUUUUUCUUAGGAGGAUUUAAUUUUUGUUUGGAGGGCGUAGAUUCUCUGGAACCUAUGAUUCUCCAUAUUCCAUAAAAACAAUAUUUUAUUCACUUAACGGUAACUUUUUUUUUUAAAACUUUAGUGAAAUAUUCAAUUCGAUAGUAACUUCCUUUUCACUUUGUAAGUUUUGAGACUUAUAUGUUGGUAAACUUCCUUACUCAUCAUAACUUUUUUAAUGGAAUAUAAAUUUGAUUAUUUUACGGUUGUCACUUUCAUUUAAUGUCCGCAAACUUAUGACUUAAUAGAUUUGGUGGACCAACUUUUCCCCCAUUCUUAUCCAGUGGUCCACAUUGAAUGCGGGACCAAUUUUCUAAAAGAGAGCUUUUUUUUUUUUUUUUGGGUCAGUCCUACUCUAUUCCUACUCUACACUCACUCUCAGACUUUUGCCAUGCCUCUUGCAGGGCGUGGGAGUCGAAACCCACUCCUGAAACUUACGCGUCCCCACCCCAUCCCCCCUAAGAAGGUGGGGAUUUGAAUCCCUCACCUCCCCCUUCUAUAUUGAAAGGAUGGCCACUAAGGUGAAUCCCAGUGGUUUUCUAAAAGAGAACUUUGACUUGUGGAAUUUUCGUCACCAACAAGAAGUUUUUAGUGAGAUAAAGUAGUGAUUUUUCUUUUGCCAAACAGUACAGUAGUGUUGAAAUUGCGACCAAGUUUAGUGGUCUCAUUUCACAUCGGUCGGCAAGCCCUUCAUAGGAAUUCCCACAUUUGGAAAAAUACAUAUGUCCACCUUAACUUUCUCUUUUUCAUAUUCUAAGAUCCGAAUCUUCACGUUGUUCAUCCUCGAAUCGCGACCAUUUUUAACGCUCUUCUAUCUCUCUGUCUCUCCCAGCAUUCUUUGGUAUGUUCUGAUUCUCAAUGUGACUCCGAUGGUGAAGUCAAUUGGGAUGCUUGUAUCAUAUGUCGCCAUCGCGCUUGUUGGUCUGCUUUUCUUAUCUUUGGGUUUUUACCAUACGGGCCACGUGCAAAACGAAGGAACUCAGCAGCGACAGGAGAAGAAAGAAACGGGUCGCUCUUCCAAAUCUGUUGCCGUAAAUCAUCAUCAUCGCCCAACUUCAGCCCUUCAAAAAGCAGUAGACUCGCUGGAGGUUUGUGCCCACUGCAAGCCCCCCCCAUCCCCAUCCCAUUCAGUUCAAUCACGGUCGCUCCAUUAGUGGGCGCGGUUGCUGCCGCCCGCCCUUAUCCCAAGAUCAAUUUUUGAAAGGAGAGGUUAGAUCCCUGUCACCACACCACCCCCGCCCAUCACAAACGACAAAUUUGCCUCCACUGGAGCUGCGGUUAAGUGAGUGAUCCCCCAACCGCCCCUAGCAUAACUCAAACACAUGUUUUUGCCAAUAUCAACUGGGCCGACCCCAUUGGGCAAUUAGGCUUUCUAGGCCCAUGCUUGUCUUCGUAUACCUUGAGUUUCAUUUGCUUUGAUGAUCCGGCUCAUGAUGCUGAGUCUUAAGAAAACCCGCAUUCCCCAAAAAAGCAAAAUAAGAAUGUUCAACAUAGACCCGUCAAUAACAUAACCAUCCAAACUUUAUAAUUCAGUUGAAGAAAAAGAAAAAAAAAACUUUAUAAGUUUGACACGCAAAGUCUUCUCUUUGCAGAGGAAAAAAACAUAGAAAAGAGAAAGACGUCAGUAUUUUACGCAAGAGUUAAGUAUACCAUCGACGUGAGGGGGUGUUUAUGUAAUUUGAGAUCAGGUGUAAGGUCCAUGGAUUUAGAAAUUCAACAUAUAAAGAAAAUAAAGAACGUCUUUGGCAAAUAAGAAAAAGAAAUGACAACCCUAAAAGAACAAGAAAAAAAAAACGUGACAAAGAAAGGAGAGANNNNNNNNNNNNNNNNNNNNNNNNNNNNNNNNNNNNNNNNNNNNNNNNNNNNNNNNNNNNNNNNNNNNNNNNNNNNNNNNNNNNNNNNNNNNNNNNNNNNNNNNNNNNNNNNNNNNNNNNNNNNNNNNNNNNNNNNNNNNNNNNNNNNNNNNNNNNNNNNNNNNNNNNNNNNNNNNNNNNNNNNNNNNNNNNNNNNNNNNNNNNNNNNNNNNNNNNNNNNNNNNNNNNNNNNNNNNNNNNNNNNNNNNNNNNNNNNNNNNNNNNNNNNNNNNNNNNNNNNNNNNNNNNNNNNNNNNNNNNNNNNNNNNNNNNNNNNNNNNNNNNNNNNNNNNNNNNNNNNNNNNNNNNNNNNNNNNNNNNNNNNNNNNNNNNNNNNNNNNNNNNNNNNNNNNNNNNNNNNNNNNNNNNNNNNNNNNNNNNNNNNNNNNNNNNNNNNNNNNNNNNNNNNNNNNNNNNNNNNNNNNNNNNNNNNNNNNNNNNNNNNNNNNNNNNNNNNNNNNNNNNNNNNNNNNNNNNNNNNNNNNNNNNNNNNNNNNNNNNNNNNNNNNNNNNNNNNNNNNNNNNNNNNNNNNNNNNNNNNNNNNNNNNNNNNNNNNNNNNNNNNNNNNNNNNNNNNNNNNNNNNNNNNNNNNNNNNNNNNNNNNNNNNNNNNNNNNNNNNNNNNNNNNNNNNNNNNNNACGAUGAAUGCAAAGUUAUACACGAUGUCCAUUUAUAGAAGAUUCUUCCCAACCUGAGAAAAACCAAACUUUUCUGAGGUGAGGAUUCCUCUACUGAUAGUGAUGACGAAGGCAGAUAUUUGGCAGUAAAAUGGGCAGGAAAUCUACAUGCUAUGUUCUUGACUAAAGCAAUACUUCGAGUGAUUCUUCCACUCGACUUCUGGCUAGACGAUCUUUAGAAUCCAUAGUAUGCUUAAACCAUGGACAUAGCCAAGACAUGCCAAACCACUUAAAUCACUGUGUCACUGUUAUGUUCUCGUAUAAUUUAUUCUUUGCUUGAUCAUUUGCAUUUUGCUUGUGAUUUUGCACACGGCAAAGGACCUACACGAUGUACAUGUACAAAAGCAUUUAGUAAAUUGCUUAUGGGGCCUCUCAUCCAAUGAAAUGUCCAAUAGACAGUUGUAACUUUUGCCAAUUACUUCCACAAUCUUCAAGAUCCAAAAUGACAUAUUGGACCUCUUUGGUCGAUAUAGAAGUUGACUUUAGUUUGGAUGAUGUAUGAGUACCAAUUUUCUCAAAAUACUUUGAGAGUAUAGCAGAUCAUCAAAGUGUGGAACUUAGCGAUCCAUCGUCUUUGAUAGGAAUGUGUUGCAUAAAUGAAGGCUCGUGAUCUUUGUGCACAUUUUUCAUUUUCCGUGACAAUCUAUGUCAGAAACUAUUACGGUGCUGAAGAAGCUUAUUUCUGUUGAAGGACUAUAAGAGCACUGUCACUCAAUGUUCAAUAUCGUCAGUUUCAAUAAAACCGGCAAACAUUGUCUCGGAAACAACAUCCGGCAUGUAAAGCUUCUGUAGCCAAGCAAGAUUGCUUCAUUUUCAUGCCCACUGGAGGUGGUAAAAGUUUAUGUUGCCAGUUUAGUGAAUGUUAAAAUUGUCACAAUGUGAUGAUUGUAUGUAGAAGAAAGUGGAGACAAUGUUUAGAGCACAAGCCCUGUGCACUUUGCUUAAUGGUUCCACUGUUUAAAUACUAGAUGGAUAGACCUGUAUAUUGAAAUUUAAGCUUUAAAAUGAUCUUGGAAUAUGCUUUGUUGGCACUCUUACAAAGUUUGUGCUCAAACUUAAGGAUACAAAUGUUUUCCAAAUGCAAAUUAAGCUAUAAGAAGUUAUUCAACUACAGAACCAUGGGUUCCAAUGUACAGGAUCUGACUAAGUAGGAAAAGAAUAUUAUGCAAGACAUUCUUGUUCUACCUUCGCACAGUUCUAUCUAUUCUGUGAUUUCUAGAAUUCGAGGUUUGUGCUAUGCUUCUAGGACCUUCUAAUUACUUAUUGGAAAAUUUAUCUUGUUUUUGCAUGUAAGUGUUGUUGUCAGUCAUAGUUCAGGUCCAAUUCAAAAGGGUUAUUAAGUCAAAGAGGAGUAAGUUUUCAACUUACUUGCACCAAAUACAGAUUGUAAAUGUCUAUAUCUCCUGCAGGUAUGUGCUAUGUCAUCAUCUUUACCAGGGUGAUCAUAUAAUGGAUCUUGGUAGCAUGCGAAUAUUUGGUCUACUGAAUCUCAAAGGAAGUUAUUAUUCCGAAUUUAUUAAGUUUAGUUAUCCUAAAGUGUUUUUUGUUCAGUCUUGAAAUAGUUUAUAUAUGUUUCUAGCUAAAGUAAAUAUAAUACAAAUAUUAACAACCAGUGCUUUCUGAUCAGCUGAAGGUGAAUGAAAGGAUAAUUCCCUCAUCCCACCUUUUCUUCAUGUGUUCUUCUGAUGUUUUUACCCUUCGUUUCAGCUGCCAGCAACUCUUAAAGACUUAAACUAGGUGUCAGUCAUUAUAUGUCCCGUUCUAUCAAUCAUCCAGGAUCAAAUAAUUACUCUAGCCCUCAAGUGCGGAAUAUCGUCUACUUUCUUGAAGUCUCAGCAUACUGCUGCCCAAGCAUCGGCUGCCCUCCAAGAUCUUAGGCAAGGUUUAGCUCUCUCCCCCUCCCCUCUCUCUCUCUGUCUCUCCCUCCUCCCUCUCUCUCCUUGUCUGUCUGUCUGUCUGUUUGUCUGAAUGUGUUCCUUCUGAGAAGUAUAUCUUACCAUACGAUCUUUAUCCCGCCAUAAAAUGGCUAUGCUCCAUAUGUUGCAAUGAAUGCACAUCUUUUAUGUAGUUAAUGAAAAGAUUCAUGCCCAAGAUGUUUGCCUUAAAAAUAAAUAUUAGGAUCUUAGUGUUCCUAGAGAAGCAUAUCAUACCAUACGAUCAUUAUUUUGCCAUAAAAUGUUGGGCUAUAAUUGUUGCUAUGGGUUCUCUCUCUCUCUCUCUCUCUCUCUCUCUCUCUCUCUCUCUCUCUCUCUCUGUUCCUAGAGAAGUAUAUCUUACCAUACGAUCUUUAUCCUGCCAUAAAUGCUAUGCUCCAUAUGUUGAAAUGAAUGCACAUUUUUCAUGUAGUUAAUGAGAAGAUUCAUGCCUAAGAUGUUCGCCUUAAAAAUAAAUUUUAGGAUCUUAGUGUUCCUAGAGAAGUACAUCAUACCAUACAAUCAUCAUUUUGCCAUAAAAUGUUGGGCUAUAAUUGUUGCUAUGGGGUUUCUAUCGGACUUCUAAUUUUUAUUUUUUUUGCUGAGUGUUGUGAUUAUCAAGUCAUUAAUCUCCACUUUUUCGCUUGCCUUUUCAGGAAAAUCCAUCUUGCAAGCUAUUGUACGUAACUCCUGAAAGGAUUGUGGGAAACCCAUCAUUUCUCGAGAUAUUGAAAUGCUUGCAUAGAAAGGUAUUAUUUUUAAUAAACUGUAACUUUUUUGAAAGUUUCUUUUUAACUUUUUGAUACUUGAUUGUCGUGCAUUGCAGGCACGACUAGCUGGUUUUGUUGUUGAUGAGGCACAUUGUGUGAGGUAUGCUCUUUGGCAUCCUUGCAUCUGAAGCAAAGUUCAUGCUAGAANNNNNNNNNNNNNNNNNNNNNNNNNNNNNNNNNNNNNNNNNNNNNNNNNNNNNNNNNNNNNNNNNNNNNNNNNNNNNNNNNNNNNNNNNNNNNNNNNNNNNNNNNNNNNNNNNNNNNNNNNNNNNNNNNNNNNNNNNNNNNNNNNNNNNNNNNNNNNNNNNNNNNNNNNNNNNNNNNNNNNNNNNNNNNNNNNNNNNNNNNNNNNNNNNNNNNNNNNNNNNNNNNNNNNNNNNNNNNNNNNNNNNNNNNNNNNNNNNNNNNNNNNNNNNNNNNNNNNNNNNNNNNNNNNNNNNNNNNNNNNNNNNNNNNNNNNNNNNNNNNNNNNNNNNNNNNNNNNNNNNNNNNNNNNNNNNNNNNNNNNNNNNNNNNNNNNNNNNNNNNNNNNNNNNNNNNNNNNNNNNNNNNNNNNNNNNNNNNNNNNNNNNNNNNNNNNNNNNNNNNNNNNNNNNNNNNNNNNNNNNNNNNNNNNNNNNNNNNNNNNNNNNNNNNNNNNNNNNNNNNNNNNNNNNNNNNNNNNNNNNNNNNNNNNNNNNNNNNNNNNNNNNNNNNNNNNNNNNNNNNNNNNNNNNNNNNNNNNNNNNNNNNNNNNNNNNNNNNNNNNNNNNNNNNNNNNNNNNNNNNNNNNNNNNNNNNNNNNNNNNNNNNNNNNNNNNNNNNNNNNNNNNNNNNNNNNNNNNNNNNNNNNNNNNNNNNNNNNNNNNNNNNNNNNNNNNNNNNNNNNNNNNNNNNNNNNNNNNNNNNNNNNNNNNNNNNNNNNNNNNNNNNNNNNNNNNNNNNNNNNNNNNNNNNNNNNNNNNNNNNNNNNNNNNNNNNNNNNNNNNNNNNNNNNNNNNNNNNNNNNNNNNNNNNNNNNNNNNNNNNNNNNNNNNNNNNNNNNNNNNNNNNNNNNNNNNNNNNNNNNNNNNNNNNNNNNNNNNNNNNNNNNNNNNNNNNNNNNNNNNNNNNNNNNNNNNNNNNNNNNNNNNNNNNNNNNNNNNNNNNNNNNNNNNNNNNNNNNNNNNNNNNNNNNNNNNNNNNNNNNNNNNNNNNNNNNNNNNNNNNNNNNNNNNNNNNNNNNNNNNNNNNNNNNNNNNNNNNNNNNNNNNNNNNNNNNNNNNNNNNNNNNNNNNNNNNNNNNNNNNNNNNNNNNNNNNNNNNNNNNNNNNNNNNNNNNNNNNNNNNNNNNNNNNNNNNNNNNNNNNNNNNNNNNNNNNNNNNNNNNNNNNNNNNNNNNNNNNNNNNNNNNNNNNNNNNNNNNNNNNNNNNNNNNNNNNNNNNNNNNNNNNNNNNNNNNNNNNNNNNNNNNNNNNNNNNNNNNNNNNNNNNNNNNNNNNNNNNNNNNNNNNNNNNNNNNNNNNNNNNNNNNNNNNNNNNNNNNNNNNNNNNNNNNNNNNNNNNNNNNNNNNNNNNNNNNNNNNNNNNNNNNNNNNNNNNNNNNNNNNNNNNNNNNNNNNNNNNNNNNNNNNNNNNNNNNNNNNNNNNNNNNNNNNNNNNNNNNNNNNNNNNNNNNNNNNNNNNNNNNNNNNNNNNNNNNNNNNNNNNNNNNNNNNNNNNNNNNNNNNNNNNNNNNNNNNNNNNNNNNNNNNNNNNNNNNNNNNNNNNNNNNNNNNNNNNNNNNNNNNNNNNNNNNNNNNNNNNNNNNNNNNNNNNNNNNNNNNNNNNNNNNNNNNNNNNNNNNNNNNNNNNNNNNNNNNNNNNNNNNNNNNNNNNNNNNNNNNNNNNNNNNNNNNNNNNNNNNNNNNNNNNNNNNNNNNNNNNNNNNNNNNNNNNNNNNNNNNNNNNNNNNNNNNNNNNNNNNNNNNNNNNNNNNNNNNNNNNNNNNNNNNNNNNNNNNNNNNNNNNNNNNNNNNNNNNNNNNNNNNNNNNNNNNNNNNNNNNNNNNNNNNNNNNNNNNNNNNNNNNNNNNNNNNNNNNNNNNNNNNNNNNNNNNNNNNNNNNNNNNNNNNNNNNNNNNNNNNNNNNNNNNNNNNNNNNNNNNNNNNNNNNNNNNNNNNNNNNNNNNNNNNNNNNNNNNNNNNNNNNNNNNNNNNNNNNNNNNNNNNNNNNNNNNNNNNNNNNNNNNNNNNNNNNNNNNNNNNNNNNNNNNNNNNNNNNNNNNNNNNNNNNNNNNNNNNNNNNNNNNNNNNNNNNNNNNNNNNNNNNNNNNNNNNNNNNNNNNNNNNNNNNNNNNNNNNNNNNNNNNNNNNNNNNNNNNNNNNNNNNNNNNNNNNNNNNNNNNNNNNNNNNNNNNNNNNNNNNNNNNNNNNNNNNNNNNNNNNNNNNNNNNNNNNNNNNNNNNNNNNNNNNNNNNNNNNNNNNNNNNNNNNNNNNNNNNNNNNNNNNNNNNNNNNNNNNNNNNNNNNNNNNNNNNNNNNNNNNNNNNNNNNNNNNNNNNNNNNNNNNNNNNNNNNNNNNNNNNNNNNNNNNNNNNNNNNNNNNNNNNNNNNNNNNNNNNNNNNNNNNNNNNNNNNNNNNNNNNNNNNNNNNNNNNNNNNNNNNNNNNNNNNNNNNNNNNNNNNNNNNNNNNNNNNNNNNNNNNNNNNNNNNNNNNNNNNNNNNNNNNNNNNNNNNNNNNNNNNNNNNNNNNNNNNNNNNNNNNNNNNNNNNNNNNNNNNNNNNNNNNNNNNNNNNNNNNNNNNNNNNNNNNNNNNNGAGUUCGCCCGGCCCCCGACGGCAUCGCCGGCCCUGCCGAGGCCGGCGACCGGCCGAGAAAAAGAAGAAAAAUAGAGAAAGAGAGAAAAAAUAAAGAAGAAAGAGUGUUUCUAAAAUGUGUUUCAGAAACAAGAAACAACUUUUUUUUUGUUUCUUGUUUCUGUUCCAGAUGUGUUUCUGGGAACAAAAAAACAAUUUUGGAACAAAAACGCACCCAAACGCGUUUCUGUUCCUUUUUUGUUCCCCAAGAACAAAAAAACAGAAAAUUUUGUUCCUGGGAACAGAAACAUGUGGCAAACAAAUGCACCCUUACUUGCUGACUGGACUCUUUGGCGAGCCACAUCAGUGUAAAAAAUUAAUAAAAAAAGGCCACGUUGGAUUUCAGGCGGUUCAGAUCGGCAUUGGCACCAAAGUGAGCGUUUUUCAAAUUUUUUGGCACUUAAGUGAUCCGAUGGAAACUUUUGGCAGCAAAGUGAGCGCCGUACACAACUUAUGGCACCAUUAGUGUACUUAUCCCUUUUUUUUUGGCAUAGUAUAUUGCCUCUCAAACAGUAAAUGUGAUGUUGCAAAAUACUUGAAUGAUAAGUGUGGUAUAAGGAUGGUGUACUAUCAUGCUGGAUUAGCAGCCCGUCAAAGAGUAGCUGUUCAAAAGAAAUGGCACACUUGAGAGGUCCAGGUUGUACAUGCUACCAUUGUUUUUGGCAUGGGAAUAGACAAACCUGAUGUUGUAAGCUGAAAUGGAUUCUGCACCUUUGUCUAUUUUUAGUUUUAGAAUCGAACUGACAUGCUGGCAAAUACUCGAUUAAUCCACUUUUCUUCAAAUGUUUAAGUAUCACUAAUUGGUUUCUUAAUGUGCUUUAAAGUAAACUUUGCUAGUUCCAUGGUCGAGUGGCCUGCUAAAUUGUCAUUCUUGGCUAUUUUUCUAGCCAAAUUCUUUAUUCCAAGCAUGGAACUUUGGUGUGCUGAAAUUAAGUUCAACUAGGAUAAAGUUCUUUUCUUUACUGUAAAAGUGGCAAAUGACUCUAAUCUAACUUGACCUUCAGUUAUAAUGUUUUUGUCAUAUUUCUACUUCUUUUUUUAUUGGUUCAGUAAUUAUAUUUUAUGGCAUGUGGUCAGCAUUUUGUCAUCCGCAACACAAUGUCCAAGUCAAUCGAAAGUUAUUACCAAGAAUCAGGGAGGGCAGGAAGAGAUAAGGUACCGGCUAUUUUUCCACUCAACUUCUGGCCAGACAAUCUUUAGAGUCCAUGGUAUGGUUCAAGCAUGGACAUAGCCAAUACUUGCCAAACCACUUAAAUCACUGUGUCACUGUUGUGUUCUCAUAUAAUUUAUUCUCUGCUUGGUCAGUUCCAAUUUUGCUUGUGAUUCUGCACACAGCAAAGGAUAUACACAAUGUACAUGUCCAAAAGCAUUUAAUAAAUUGCUUAUACAGCUUCUCAUCUAAUCAAAUGUCCAAUAGACAAUCUUAACUUUUGCCAAUUUCUUCCACACUCUUCAAGAUCCAAAAUGACAUAUUAGAACUCUUUGGUCAAUAGAGAAGUUGCCAUAAAUUUUGGAUGAAGGUACCAAAUACCCAUAUUUCUUCAAAUACUUUGAGUACAGCAGAUUGUCAAAGUGUGGAUUAGCAAUCUAGCGUCUUUGAUAGGAAUUUUUUGCAUAAACGAAGGCUUUUGAUUUAUGCUGAGUAUUGUGAUUGUUAAAUUAUUAAUCUCCACUUCUGCUUUGCCUGCCUUUUCAGAAAAGUUAAACCAUCAUGCAAGCUAUUGUAUGUAACUAGUGAAAGGAUUGUGGGAAACCCAUCAUUUCUUGAGAUAUUGAAAUGCUUGCAUAGAAAGGGAUUGUUUCUGAUGCAUCAUUACUUUUUUCUAAAAGGUUCCUUUGUAAAUGUAUUAUAUUCGACCAUCAUGCAUUGCAAGCACAACUAGCUGGUUUUGUUAUUGAUGAGGCACAUUGCGUGAGGUAUACGUAAUAUUUAGCAUGCCUUGUACAUGAAGAAAGGCCAUGCUAGAGCUACUUCAAAAGGAAUAAUUAUUUGUGAUGUUGCCAUUGCAAAACUGUUGUUCUUGUUCCCGAUAAGUAUAAGCAAGUUGACUUUUAUAUAUGCUGACUUGAACUAUUUUUCCGAACUUUUCUGCAUUUUCUGGGUUUCUAGCCUAAAUAAAAUCGUUAGUGUUACACUAGACCUUCCGAAGCCUAGAACCAUGUGAAGUUCUAAUAUAACAGAAUGCAGUGUUCCUUGUUUGAUGAAAAGAUUUAGGUUUUGUCAUUUUGGAACACUCAGUGGCACAUCAUUCAUUAUAUUGAGUAAAGAGGACACAACUUAAAUAAGCUCCAAUGGAAAUUACUUCCUAGAGUAAUUGGAUUCGGCAUAAGCUUGGAUAAGGAUCCAAUCACCUCUCUAUAUUCGGGAGAAUACUCAGUCUCUUAAGCUGGUUCUCGUAUCCCUAUUUAUUCCAUUAAUGCUUAUACUAUGUUAACAACUUGAGAAAGCAAAGGUUCAACCAUGUGAUCAUUGAUUGUGUUUCCUACAAGGUCUUAACGGGAUUUGCUCUGUCAGUUUGAUUUCUUGAAAGGAACGGACUGCUGAUUUGAGCUUUUCUUGUACUUGUGACUGAUUAACGUUGAAAGCUCAUUGAUUGUCACUUUGUGGUUGUCAUUAAUGUAGUCUAUGGGGACACGAUUCUCAUCCAAAUUAUGGGCUGGUAUGUCUCAAGCCUAACUUUGCAUAUGACCCAGUGAUGGCCUUAGCUGAAACUGCCACUCACUCAAUUCGCGAGGUACUAAACUUAUAUAUUAAUCUCCUUAUUAUGUUGAAAUAAUCUGUUCAUUCUGAUUGAAUUAUCCAUCCAUUGUAAGAUAUCCUAAAAUCUUUUGGGAUUCCCCAUGCUCUUGUUCUUGAGACAAGCUUUGACAGACUAAGUCUAAAAUAUGAGGUCAUAGCUAAGACCAAGGAACCACUGAAGCAGCUUGGAGAGCUGCUAAAGAAUUAUUUUGCUAAUUUUUGUGGCAUAGUAUAUUGCCUUGCAAAGAGCGAAUGCGUUGAUGUCGCAAAAUACUUGAAUAAGAAGUGAUGUAUAAAGACAUUGUACUAUCAUGCUGGAUUAGUAGCCUGUCAAGAAAUGGCAUACUGUGGAGGUCUAGAUUGUAUGCUAUAAAAGGAAAUGGCAUACUAUCAUUCUUGUGUUAUUGAGUAGCUAUGUUAUAAAUUAUAUAAUCAAUACAUUGACUUUACUUGCGACUUUUCUCGUGUUAUAUAUAAUCAAUAUGCUCAAAAUUAGAUUAUUUUGUGUUUAAUAUAUUUAACUAAUGUUUUGACUCGUUCGUGCGGCCCGCAUUAUGUAUGAUUUAGUGCUUAAAGAUUCAAACUUGGCUUAACAAGUUACUUGGCCUUGUCUCAAGCUCCGGAAAGUAUUGAGUUAAAGUUCUAGUAGACAAUGACUGAAUCGGAAUAUAUGAUUAUCUUGUGAGUAUCUUUUAACUACUAAAGUUCCACCAAUGUAAUGUAGUACGAUGAAGAGGAACAUCUGAGAGUACUAGCCCCAAAAAAAUUGGUUCGAUUGAAACUUGAAUGCAUGACCAACUACUACAAUUUGGAAGUAGAGUCCAAGUACUAACCAAGUAGACGACCAUUCAAUGGUUUGGUCCAAACCAAAUAAGUAUAAAUUUUGGGAGGGACUUCUUUCACCCUUCCAAAGAUUUUUCUUAACAUUUUUUUUUUAAUCAGUCUUCAACUGUAGCCAAUGCCAAAGAAAAUUUGGUUUCAAGUAUGAAAAUGAAUGGCUGUGUCCACUCUGCUUUAUAGACUCAUGCUCAAAAGGAAUCAAGUUUGAGAUCCAGGAGCUGAUUGUACACUAACGGACACUUUUAUUUUGUUCUCAAAAUUCUUCUAAAUGAAAAACUAGAGCUGAUUGUACACUAACGAACACUUUUUUUUUUUGUGCUCAAAUUUCUUCUGAAUGAAAAACUACUAUCUUUCGGGAAGCUUUUUACUGAAAAUCUAGCUUGCAGUUGACAGAUUAUUUACUGAUUCCAUGACAUUCGCUUUUUCCAUGAAAGAAGUCUCUCGCAUUCACAAAAUUGUAGCUUGAAGUGGACAUCUAAACAGUGAUCUUGUUGACAAACAUGAUUUUAUGCUUAACUUCACAUCUAGAACCACCUGCACAUGCAGCAUUCCUGCAAGCAUUUGGAAAUUCAACCUUUGCUAAAUAAUAGCAUGAUAUCAAAGAUUGCAAAGGACUACUGCAUCACAUUAGAAGAGGUCCCUUUAUAUCAAAAACCCUAUCAAAGAUGAUCAGCAUGGAGCACAUUAUAAGCACCUUUUGCAAAGAACUUUGGAAUGCCUUUCCUUAACGUCUCAUGACCUAUCUCAUUCCGGUCCACAUCUUCGUCCAGUGAUGUUUGGGAAUGUUCUCCGAAUUUUAUGAAAUGCAGCUUGAAUCGACACAAGAAGGAUAGGAUUUACUAAUUAUCAAUAAAUGGAGAUAAUUGAGAUCGGAGCAUCACAAUUUACAUUAUGAGAGAUAAGGUACAAAUGCACAAGCAUCAUUGCACCAAUUGCAAUUGGACCACAAUGAACAGAGACUUCAUGAGCUGGCCCAUGAAAAAGAAAACAACAGGCUUGGGAGAAGUAGCAAUUAGCAACACUACUCUUGUUUGUGUUUAAGAACACAAUUGAUGUCAAUAAAAAUAUGCUGGAAGGCAAAGUGCUUAAACUACAGAGCAGAAAGAUGAAUUUAUUACUUGAUUAUUUUGCAAUAUCCCGUUAGCAAAAUCAGCAAUACAAGAUAGUUGGCUAGGAGGUGAAUUUCUACUUUACAAAGUUGACGUUGCAUGAGAAUUGAGCUUAGCAAAUUACUAAAAUCAGAAACCUAUAUGACAACAUUCAAAGGAUAGUAUCACAUUGAUAAACUGAUAGAAAUGAAGGAGAUCGUCCUCAUGCAUACGUGCAUAUUGAUUUUCAGGUGCAAUCCCACAGCUCAUAUAGUAUAAGCACACAGGUUAUUUUUUUCAUUUUAUGGCAUGACUAGUAGUGCAUGCCUCCCUCUGCAAAGCCUUUUUGAGUUCAGAAGUGAUAACAUUAGAAUGCAACAACAUCAAACACAUAUGCAUCAGAGUGACAUAAAAAAAUAUCAGUAUCUAUGUAUUUGAUUAACAGAGAGGUUGAACCUCAUGAGCAUACAAAAAGCAGACUCAACUCAAAAUACAACAUCAAAAUCAUUCAAGUAUGUGCAGUCAAGACCAGAUAAAGUGUUUUGGAUCCUCACAAGCAUCAAAACUUCCUCAAGUAACAUAGAGAAUCUCAAGCGAAGACAAGUCGCCAAUUUCACUUGGAAUUGCUCUUUUAGAUUACAGCAUGAUAGGAGACUUAUAGUGCACAGAUUUUUGAACCUUCCUAUAGCACUAGGAUGCUUUUCAAUGCCAGAACCACUAAUGUCCAUAUGUUGCAAAUUUUGUAAGUCCCAAGUUGAGCUAGCAAUGUCUCUAAGUGACUCACAAUAGCUGGCACUCGGUUUCUCCAGUUUCCUCAAAGAACCGACAGGUGUGGGAAUCUUAGUAAUAUCAGCAAAAUCUUAUAUAAGUACUUCUAAUUCGAUAGAUUCACCUCCUUUCAGUUCUAACUCACAUAUCCAUCUGCUCUUGUCCUAGUCCAUUGCCACAUUCUUCUUCCACGAUCAAAUUUCUUGUGGAUCCUAAGAUUGCCACUCUCUCCAAUUUCAACUUGGUGAUCCAGCCGAACGCUGAGAUGCACCUUCUCCCAUCUUGGCUUUGAUAUGAUCUUCUUUGCUUUCUUCUCCUCUUUUCUGCAAUAAACACAUUCAUUCAAUAAAUCUUAUAGCUUCUACCAAUAGCCUUCGUCCUUGUCCAAGCAACUUAAACAACAAUUUUCACUUGAACUACCGAUUCAUUCUUUGUCAUUUAACACCACAUUCAAAGAGAAACCUCAAAAUCAAGACGACGUCAAAUAAUCAAUGCUACUAGCGUUUAUUGCGAGAAGAACUCGGAAGAAGAAUAGAAUAACUAUUUUUUCUGCACAGAUUCUCCUUCAAGAAAUAGACCCCACAUAAACUCCAUACACACUAGAGACUUAGACAAACCUUUGAUCGAGAAUUGCAUAAAACAACCAAAUACUUCACUCUAGACCCCAGUGCUUGCUUGAUCUGAGAGAGAGAGAGAGAGAGAGAGAGAGAGAGAGAGAGAGAGAGAGAGAGAGACUCGAUUUUAGGGGUGGAAAUGCCACGAACAACCGUGGAGGAGCGACUCUGAGUGGCAUAAGCUCCAUGCGUCCACAUGAGAGAAUCUCGAAGGGGAAAAGUAGUACUGCUCUUCAAGAACAAAUUGGUCACUCUACUUGGUUUUAGGUAUGAAAAUGUACAUGGCUGCGUCUCUUCUGCUUUUUAAUUCAUGCUUAAAUAAAUCAAGUUUUAGGUUAUAAAACCAAAGUGAUUGCAAAAAGCCUGCAUAUGAAUUUUCAAACGUAACCAUACAAGAGAUGAUUUUACACUAAUGAUGGCAUUUAUUUUGUGUUCAAAAUUUUUCCAAAUGAGAAACUACAGUCUUCUUGGAAACCUUUUCAUUGAAACUGGGUGCAAUUGACAGAUUAUUUGUUUUUUCCACAAAAAAGUCUUUCCCGGUCACAAAACUGUAGCUUGAGGUGGAAAUCUAACUGGUAAUCCUGUUAACAAAUCUUAUUUUAUGCUUGACUUCACAUAUAAAACCACUUGCACAUGCGGUCUUCCUCCAAGAGAUUUGUGAUGCAGCCUUUGCUAAAGAAUAGCACAAUUUCAAAGCUUGCAAAGGACUACUACACCACAUGAGAAGAGAUCGCCUUUAUCAAGAAUCCUUCUUAACAACAUGGAGCAAAUGAUAAACGCCAAUUGCAAAUGACUUCGGAAUGCCUUUCCAUACUGACAUAGCUCAUUCUUACCUAUAUCUCCAACCCGUGGUGUUUUGGGAGUUUCUUCAAGUUUCAUCAAGUUUCAUCAAAUGCAACUUUAAUAUGAAUCUGCACAAGGAAGAUAGCACUGACUAAUUAUCAAUAAAUGAAGAUAUCCAAGAUCGUAGCAUCAGAAUUUACCCCACGAUAGAUAAGGUAAAAUUGCAUAAACAUUGACACCAAUUGGAGUUGGACCACAAUGAACAGAUACUUCAUUAGUUGGCCGAUGAAAAAGAAACCAGCAGGUCUAAAAGAAGUAAGCAAUUUAGCAACACUUUCCCUAUGUGUGUCUAGGAACAUAAUUGAAGUUAAAAAAUUAUGCUAAAAAGGUGAAGUGCCUACACUACAGGACAAUAAGAUGUAUUUGCCACCGGUUAUUUUGCAAGAUCCAAUUAGCAAAAUCAGUAAUAUAGGAUAAUUUGCGAGGAGGUCAAUUUCAACUUCACAAAUCCAGUGCCGCAUACAUGAGAACUGAGCUUAUCAAAUCAUAUAUGAACAUGACCUCCAAGAACGCCAAAUUAUCAUGGCCUUGAAUUUCAACUAGGCUAUCGCAAUGCUCAGACGAAUCAAUUGACAAAUGUCCAAUCUUUCGAUGGAACUACACUUUUCUAUUGAAAGCUCUUCCAAGUACAUGAAUCCAUUGAGCCUAAGCAAUAUCAGCUCGUCACACUCCUCAACACAGAGUUUCAAGGGUCUUGAGGAAAGCUUGGGAUGUGUUCAAGUAGAUGGCAUACCUGAAGAUGGAGUUCUUACAAUUGGGGGCUUUGACAGAUAUGUUAAGCCUGAAGGAAGCUCUGGCAGCGAUCGAAGCUCAUCAUAGCCCGAUAGGUCAAGGUGUUGGAGAGAAGAAAGAUUCCGAAUGCUUUCUGGCAAGUCAUAUAUUGGUGUGAAAUCAAUAUUGAGAAUCUUGAGGAAAGGCAAGUUACCGAUUUCACUUGGAAUUGCCCCUUUCAGAUUAUCACACCAUGAGAGAUUUAGAGUUCGCAGAUUUUUCAACUUUCCAAUAGCAUUGGGAAGCUUUUCAAUCGCAGAAUGACUCAAGUGAAGCUGUCGCAAAUUUUGUAAAUACCCAAUUGAGUUAGGGAUUUCUCUCAGUGACCCACAAUAGAAGGCACUCAGUUUCUCCAGCUUUCUCAAAAAACCGAUAGACAUAGGAAUCUUUGUAAUACCAGAAGAAUCUAAUUUAAGUUCUUCUAAAUCUUUUAAUUCACCCACCUCCUCUAGUAGCUCCUUGAGACGUCCACAGAAACUCAAAUCCAAGGAAACAAGGCUCAUGAGUUUGCCAAUAGAAGGGUGGAGACGCUCUAGUCCGCCACAAUGGCUCAAGAUGAGAACCUUCAACUGGGUGAAUGCCGAGAGAUAAGGAGUACAUCUUAAAUUAGGACAACAUUCAAGGUUGAGAACUUUCAGUUGCUUUGAUGCCUAAUACAAAAGAAGAAUAAGCUGUCAAAGAAUGAGUUGAUCGGCUAAACAAGAACAAAACCCUAAAAUCGCAAAAAGGAUAUCUUCUUUUUUCAAUCUUACAGUGAAUGAACUCCAUCCUCGCCAAUUCUCUGUGAUGUUGCUAUAUGAUAAAUUCAGUAUCGAUAAUUUCGGUAGAUGCAAAUUAAUCAUCCAAAGAGACAAAUCACUUUGCUCGACCAUCCACUGAAGCCAUCUCACUUCAUAAAGGAGAUCGUCAUUGGAGUUCCCGCUUGAAUCCGCCCGUAAAAUGUCGCAGAACCAGGAGAGGCGUCUCCGCAAAAUUUUGCGGAACCAUCAGGGGCAUCUCUGCAAGUUUUUUUUUUUUAAACUUUUUAGAUUUUUCUUUUCUUAAAUCUCAGAUUUUGCACGAUUUGUAACCUCCCUAUCCUUCCCAGUGUACACAUACGGACACGUGAAGUCACAUUUAAUUUUUUCUUCAUGACCUUUCGAAAAUUAAACAAAUGACGUUAAAAUAAAGAAAAAAUGGUUAUUGCUCUAAAACAACUAAAGCAAAUGCAACUCAAUGUUUUAUUUUUUUUCUUCUUCUUUUUUUCAAAUUUUGUAGCAUGUGCACUUUGACUUCUAUUUAAUACAAAAUACAUGAAACCAUUUUACCACAUACAAAUGUUUAUUUGUAAAUUUUAAUGACUUUCGUAUAAUUUUUGGAAAGAAUUUGUUAAGGAGUGUCAGUGGGCCACCUGUAAGUAGCUAUGGAAACACCUGAUUUUCAUUUCAUUAGUUAAAUAUAAUAAUGUCGAAGAGAAAAAAUGGGGAAUUUUCAAUAUAUUUCUAUAUAUAGAAGAGAUUACAUUGAGAGCCUAUUUAUAAACUCUAUUACAGACUAUCUAAGGAAAUCAAAGAAAAUCAAAUCAGAUAUGAUCAAAAUACAUAUAGAAACUCAGAGAAAAUAUCAUAAAUAUCUCUAGAAGAUAUUUACAUAUCUUUAACAUCAUUAUCUAUUGUUGUGAAGUGUUUAAUCAUUUUUUUUGAAAACUGAAACUUUUUUUUUUGUUAAGUCUGUUUAACAAGUGACAUGGUGAUAUUGGACAAUAGUGUAUAAAUAAUAUCAUGAGGCAGCCUAAAUGGAUAAUAUAUAAUAAUAAGAUGACAUGAACAUUGUUAAUUUAACUAAAAUAUUGGCUUCAUGCUGAGCAUCAUUAUACUCAAAGGUAUGGAUAUAAUAAUAAGUAUGGCAUUUCCUCUAAUUAGCCGUUUUCAUGGAAUUUUUAUUUAUUACAGAUGGUUUUAUGUGCUAUAAGUAACUUAGAGUGGAUACAAAUGUUUGUUAUAAGGAAAUCCACUAUUUAUCGUACACCUAACCUAAUCCAUGAAAUGAGCAAGGUCAACGUGACAAAACCUUAAAAAAAGUAAGAUUUUCCUAUAAAACUUUUAAGGGAAUUUUCGCUAUCUUAUCUAUUAAAAGGAAAUAAGAAUUAAAAGAGAUAGAUAUAACUAGUAGAGCAGAGGGACAAGUAUUUUCCAAAUCAAAAUGGAGAAAAAAGAUAUCAAUACAUUUGGCCACACUAGUAAGCAAGAACAUGUGAUAAGUGUGAAAUUUUUUCCAAUCUUAUAAUUUUGAAUUAAUUAUUAGUUAUUAUUUUUGGCACAUGCUAUCUUUUGUUUUUUUUUUUAAUCAAGAAAUCUUCAUUUAUUUGAUCUAUGAUGUUUAUUGUCACGCCCCGAUCCUCGAGCGCGCGCACAUCCUUCUACUUGGUCGAUUUUAGAAUGCGAUAUCCCAUGACUAUGUAUCGCCGACCCUUUCUAGUUAUUAAGCACAUGCGGAAGCAGUUAUAAAUCCCCAAACAAUAAAACAAUGGGAUAGGAAAGUAGGCCAUAUUUUUUCAUAUUGAAAUUCAUAACCACACUUUCAUUAACAGCACAACUCAUAGUAUAUUUACAACACUAUUCACAACAUACUUGUCUCACACCUAUCUAUACUAAGACAGGGUUCACAAAAGGGAUGGGAUCUCAAUCCACAUCCAGGUUAUAUUCAAGAUCCCUCUCUGGAUCUUCUUCUUCUUCUUCAAAAGUCUUUCUCCCCUUCAGGUUCCCCUUCCUUAGCUUUUCCUCAGGGUCCUGAAAUGGUUAUUCAAUAACCAAUGAGACCACGUCUCAGCGAGUCCUACCCACUAAGACUCGAUUAAUAAACUAAUACGCCAUACGGUUGCCUAAGCACAACACGAGUCAGAGGACUUACCUUAGCCUCAGUUCCAACCUGCAAUUCAAGGUUAAACAUAGAUAUUCAAACAAUUCACGACAUCCGAUCAAGCAUUGAUCAAUCGACUAAGUCGAUUACAUGUCAGCCACACCCUUUCUAGGUCAUUCCCACUUAUACCACGAAUUUCCAGUGGUGUACUCAUUCACCAAAUCACAUGUGUUUCUCGGGCGUCGUUUUCGCCAAUGACAUACCGAUCACCGACACCGUGCGUUCUUUAAGGCGCCGUUUUCACCAGUGAUAACCUUGAUCACCGAACGCGUGUCCUUUCAAGGGCGCCGUUUUCGCUCAGUGACAUCGGCUAUAGACAACAUCGNNNNNNNNNNNNNNNNNNNNNNNNNNNNNNNNNNNNNNNNNNNNNNNNNNNNNNNNNNNNNNNNNNNNNNNNNNNNNNNNNNNNNNNNNNNNNNNNNNNNNNNNNNNNNNNNNNNNNNNNNNNNNNNNNNNNNNNNNNNNNNNNNNNNNNNNNNNNNNNNNNNNNNNNNNNNNNNNNNNNNNNNNNNNNNNNNNNNNNNNNNNNNNNNNNNNNNNNNNNNNNNNNNNNNNNNNNNNNNNNNNNNNNNNNNNNNNNNNNNNNNNNNNNNNNNNNNNNNAAUAAAUUCAAUUCCACAUAACGUAGAGCUCAAAUAAAUAAACGGUCUGCACCACGACAAUCGGCACGAAAUUCCGGUCACCGGCCAUCUCGGUUGAAUUUCCGGAAAAAUAAUUAAUUAAAUAAAUAAAUUUCGAAAAUAAUUAAUUAAACAUUAAAAAUCCAAUUUAGGCCUAUAUUGCCUUAUUGGAGCCCGAAACGGGUCGGGAAAAAUCCCGAGAUACAUUCAAUAAAUAAUCAAACAUUUCUACUUGCUAAUAGCUAGGUCUAACCACCUAACAUGCAUUAUUAAGUCACUAAAUUAAUUGUUCUAACCUAAUCUAACCACCUAAGUGCACGUAAUUAAAUCUAACCAACCCUAAGACAUAAUUAGCAAACUAAUAAAGCAUUAGUGAGUAAAACUCACUUGACAAAAGCGGGAAUCGAAUCACCGCAACGGCGACGCGACGGCGGCCGAAAUCGGACUUUCGACGACACCGGCGGACUUGGACCGGGCCUUAAGCUUAGGCCCAACAAAUCUCAGCCCAAAUUGAGAUUUGUUCUUGCUUUUGGGCUGGACCCAAAUUGGGUUGGGCUUGCUGAAUUUUCUGGACUGACUUCACUUGGGCUUCAAAUUUCUUUGCUGAAAAUUGGGCUUGGCCAAUUAACUCACAUGGACUGGACUGGGCUGCAGCUGAGAUAAUUCGACCGGGCUUGAAACUAAGCUGAAAAUGGGCUGAUCUCUUGGGUUGAAAAACUGCUGGCUUUGCUGGGCUUCGGAGCUGAAUCUGCUGGGCCUGAUUUGCGGCCCAAAUGACCUACAAAGGCUGAACUGGACUGCACGUUGGACUGAAUUUGGUUGGGCCCGAAAGUGAAGAGAUGGGCCACGAACGAAGAAAACGGAAGCAGCUUGUGUCUCUGGUGGCGCCUCGGACGUGUGGAGGAAGAAAUCAACUUCGGUGGAGCUGGCCACGCGGAUGAAGAGAGAGAAGAUGGCGUUCGCUGGAGUCUUCGUGAGUGGAGGGGCGACGUGCGCGCUUAAGGAGCUGCGGGCGUGAGAUCAGGUCUUCGGUGGAUGCAAUGUUGACCGAAGAAGGGCAGGUGGCAGCGGCUUGGCUGAAUCAGCUUCGGUGGAAAAGAAGUUGACUGGAGGAGACACGAAGUAGUGGAGAUGGGCGCUGCUUCAGAGGUCAACAAACGGUGGAGGAAAGGGCGCCGUUGACUGGAUCGUGGGCGCGUGAAGUGGAUUAAAUCAACAGGGGCUUCGGUGGAGUCUUCGGUCAGCAAGGCUUCGUGCGCGGCAGCUGGAAGACUCGGUGGUCUUCAAAUUGCUGAAGACGAGGAAGCAAGGGCGUUGAUGCCACGAGGAAACGUGGGAGCUUCGGUCAACCAGCGCUUAUGUGAUUCUGGUUGUUGACUGAAGAGGACGCGUGGAGAGGCUGGCCGAAACGGUGGAGGAAACCUUGCAUGAGCUGCAGGGAAUUUGCUCGGUCUUCUUCAGCGGCUGUUGGAGAUGUCGCACCAAAAAUGAAAAGGGGAGGGAGAGUCCGAUCGGUUGAGGAGGUGAGGGAAAGAGAUGGAUAGAGAUGAGUGAGAAUUGGGCUCCACUUGGGUGGAUAUUUCACAAAAUAUCUUCCAAAAUCACUCUUGGCCAUGUAAAAAUACUUGGCCUUCAAUAGGCCAUCAAAACACCCUCUUCUAGAAGGCAAAGUGGUCCAAAGGUUGUGGCUUUGUGGGGUAUACGAAUUUUGGCACAAGCCCUCCUCAAUUGGACAUCGAACUUCUCGAUUUAAUUUCAUUUGACCUCUACAAAAAUCAAUUGGCAUUUCAAUGCCUCAAUUGACAAUUUUCCUCAUCCAAUAAUCCCUCACGCUUCUCAAUUUCGCAAUCGAAAACCACCUUCGGCAUUUUCUGCACUAAAACAACCCGGUGACAACUUUUUCCCAAAAAGUGUCGGUUGUCAGAAAAAUCUUCUGACACUCAAAGACUCAGUCUGGAAGUCCAAUUUUCUAUCAAUUUAGCCAAUCUGAACUUUUGCCAAAUUUUCGCGACGUCCGAACCUAAUUUCUGUAAAAUUUCCCGAAUCUCCGAAAAAUCUUCUGAGACUGAGUUGACGUUCCUAAAAUAGCUUGUGACAUCACUGAAUUUUCGAUUUCUGAAAUCUGACUCAAAUUGACGGUUAAUUUCACUCCGGCGUGCUUUUAGUGUGACCUAGACUACCGGGUAGUUUUCAGAACUUUUUAGGGCAAUUGACUCGUGGUCGAUUUUCUUCGAGCCACAAUGAACCCACUCGACACAUUGGCGACUCUCAAUUGUCGUGAAAAUCUCGAGGGCUCGACUACCAACACAGGGUACCAAAACGACAGAAAAUCAAAUUAGUGCCGGUCGACGAGAAUUUUCCAAUUUAGUGGAGUCACCCACGAUCGGCCACACAUCUCAGUCGAACCGACCUAUCUCUGAUCUCAAUUCGAUCUUUAACUGUGCAGUAAUGACCUCUAAAGAUGAACACGGUCGAGAAGCCGCUUCCUGGUCGAAUUCUCAAGUCUAUUGCCUUAAUAUUCUUUAAUGGCGUACCCAGCUAGACUAGUUAUCUCGAGAGUGAUCAGCUCUGAGAACAACCCUAUAGACACGUCAAUGAAAUGCCCGAUUAAUUUAAUAGAAAACAAUACUGAAAAUUCUGGAUGUCACAUUUAUACUUCAUCUUCAUUCAUUAUUGUAGUCCUUUAGAUUAUCAAUAUUUUCAACUAGAUAUGAUACAUGCUUUUAGUGAACGAAAUUUAUAGUGUAAAUUGUAGUUAAAGGAUCUUAAAUUGAUUGUCAACCAAAUCUUUACAAAUGUAAUUUAUAUCAAUAAAAUUGAAUGAAAUGGUAUAACUUUUUCAUCCUUUAGAUACUUAUAAUCAUUUAGCUGUCACAAUAAAUCUAAGAUGGACAUAAGUGGAUGUUUACUCCAAGAAAGUAAGAGCACAUGUCAAUCCUAGAUAAAAUAUUAGAAUAGAUUAGAUUAAAUAUAUGAAAAUAGUGGGGAGAAAUAAAGAAAGGAGUGCCAUAUUUUACCAAUCCAAAACGUAGUACUCUUGAGACUCUCUUGUAGUCGUAGUCCCAUGGUCCGCUACGUUUCUCAAGUGGUUGUCCUUGGCAAAAAAUGCUCCUUCUAAGAUCUCUCAAUUGGUCAUGCAUCUCAAACCGACCAUCAUCUCUAAUUUUAAUUAAGCACCUCAACUUUAACUCUUCAAUACCUUUACUUGGAUAAAGCCCACAGUCCUCCCACAUGUACAUGGCGAAUCUUCUCUCUUUGCCUAAUAAAGAAACAAACAAUAUCGAGAAAAAUUUGCUUAUUUCCAUCUUCUAAUGCAUUAUAACUGAUUCACAAUAUCUUUUGGACAUCUCUAUGUGGUUCAUUUUUUAAUUGCUCCCGCACGUCUUCCCAUACCUGUCGAUUUGUUUUUUUAUACAAGUAUGAACCUACAAUUUGAAGUGCCAAGGGAAGCCCACCCAUGUUGGAUAUGAUAUCACAAGAUAUACCCUCAAACUCCCUCAGAGAAUGGUCCAUACGAAAUGCAUGUCUAUUGAACAAAAGAAAAGUUUGCACCUUAUCCAAUUCUUUCAAUUCAUACUUGUAGUCUACCUCAAAUUUAGAUUGAUCAAGAAUGGCUUUGUUUCUAGUUGUAACAAUGAUCACACUUCCUACCAUAAACCAAUGACGCUCGCCAACGCAUCUAGUUGACUCUUGUGAUCUAUAUCAUCUAGAAGAAUGAGAACCUUUUUCCCUUUGAAUCUAGAUUUGAUUAUACUGAUUCCAUCAUCAAUUCUAGACACUUCACUUUUGUUUUGUAGUAUAUCUGAUAUUAGUUGACUCUGUAGAUAUGUAAUACCGUGGCGCCUGGUAGUUUCUCGAACAUCUGGAAGGAAGCUAACAUGCACAAAUUUAUUUGAGAGUUGAUUGUAGAUGCACUUGGCAAGAGUUGUCUUGCCUAUCCCGCCCAUGCCAUAAAUUCCAAUCAUUCGAGCAUUGAUGGAAGGAUUGUCGAUCCAAUUCAUAAUUUCCUUCAUACGAUCAUCAAGUCCAACUAGUUGCUCAGGCAUAUCUAGCUGAAAAUCUUCCCGUAACUUGCUUAUAAUAGUUUCAACCACAUGUUCUAUUAAUUUGCCUUCAUGCCUGUCAAACAACAAAAACAAUGAGAAGUUAUGAACCUAGACAUAGUCUAUGUGAAGCAUUCUAUCCUUAUCAACUGAGUCAACCCUUGUUGGCUAUAGGAGGUUGAUUUUAUCUAGUGGUGAUCAAGCUUUGAAGACCAAGCAUUGUAGUCAUUUGGAGGCCUAUUGUUUAGUGAUUGAUACUAUUGGUUGGACGUAUUGUCAUUUCUUUGUUUUUUUUUUUUUUUGGCUCUAUACUGGAGGAAAAUGUAAAUUCUUGGGCACUAUGGGAUGCUUUGGUUUUAGGUGUCAUUGGUUUGGUUUUCAGGGACUAUUGGAGCGUACUGGAGUUUGUUGUCUUCGAGUCAUUUUGGUUGUUUAUUUUGGGGAUCUUUUUUGAGCUUGCAAUGAAAGUAAUUCAUCUACAUGUCCUCGGUUUUGUGAGAAGAAGAAAACUUAUGAAAAGUUUAGUAAAGUACCCAUCCGCGAUUUUCUGAGAUUCCCAUCCAUUUAAGUAACUAACUUCAUUAAGUGCUCGUUGCCCUUCCUGGAUAUCCUUCUCAUCAAAAUGCUCCCGACUCGAAUGGAAGGCAUUUCCAAAAUUUCCUUUUAGAUGCCGCACAUCCGAUGGAGCAACUUUGUAAAAUAUAGGCAACACUAUGUGUGAUGCGCUCUUCUUAUAGUUCAUGAUAUGAAUGAGCUCGCAGAGGCACCAUUUGCUUGAAGCAUAAUUUUCAGAGAUGACAGGGAUUGAAAUCUUAGACCGUACAAUGGUAUCGAGAAUCUUUGAACCAAAUUCCUCUCCAAUCGGGAUGCUGUUCUCGUCCCUAAACACGCAAAACGGUACAGUUCCUACCUUGAAUAGACUGUGGUAGAGGUGAUCGGUGAAUGUCUUGCGAGUAUCUGAGCCGUUAAAGCUCAAGAACACAUCAUAUUGAUCACUACAUAAAUUUGUGGCUUCUGAAGAGAUGGAUGAAGAAGAGGAUGCUCCCUGAGUGCUCUCUUCCUCUACUCUCUUUCUCUGACUCUGCUCUUUGUCCAUGGUGAUCUAAGAGGGGAAAGUUGACAAGAAAGAUGCUUAUCUUUUGCUUAAAAGGAUUGAUGAACGACGAAAGAUGCUUUUGCAAAUGAUUGUUGGCUUGGUCCUCUCUCUCUCUCCCUCUCUCUCCUUCCCUCCUUCCCUCCCUCUCCUAUGAUCUUUUCUCUUUUUGUGUGAAUGUUGUUUCUCUAUUCGUUUCGGGUCUCUUGCUUCACUUCUUUAAUGUUUUGGUUCAAAUUUGAUGAUUUCAUUUUUUUAAAAUUUUAUUUAAAAUCGCCAUAUUCUUAUUGAAGUUGGAAAUGCGAGGUAGAGAUGAACAAAUGAUUUUUGUCAUUUCUCUCUUAUUUAUUUCAUGCUAGCCCCACAUGCCAAUAUUUCUACAUAAGACCCGAGCUAUUCACUUUUAACUCUUAAAUUUAAAUUAUAGAUUGAUAUACUAUCUGCGCUAUAAUUUGUUAUAUGACACCAAAUGAGCAUAAUGCGUUAGUAUCAAGUUACUAAUGACAAAUGAAAUACUUGUACACUGUCCUUUAGUUCUUUUCCGGGUCAUUUUUUUGUUACUAUUUUGUUGGCAUAUCAUUCAGCUCUUGAAAAGUCAAUAAUCCACUGAAAAAAGAAGUAUGUGAAAUAUUAAAAAAAAAAGAUAAUUUAGGAAAAAGCAUAGAAAAGAAGGGAAUGGUAUGUUUAGGCCUACUUUUAGAAGGAAGUAGCGAUAUUUAGAGGUAACAUCCAAAAGGCUUUUGAAUUAUGAAUUCAUGACACGUGGAAAACUUCAUGAACACGAAUUAAAAGCAAAAAAGGGAAUGAAAGAUGCAUGGCAAUAUGAGGGCAAAAGUUGGAAUGAAAGAUGCUUUUCUGCUGGAUAAAAGGAUCGAUGAACUAAUCUCUAUGAACAAGUAUGAGCAUGAAUCUGUUACCAUGCAAGAAAAAACGAACAUGAAAACUUUAAAUAAUUGGUAAUUGAUUGACUAGGAGCAGUUGUAGAUGCUCUUAGUGCUCACCUUAUCUUCUUUUGGACCUCAUUCUAUUCAAGUCAAAACUUGUUGGCUUGAUCCACUCAUAAGUAAUAUGUACGUUAAUUUUUCAAUUGGGCCAUAAAGAACUAUAAUAUGUGCACAAGCAUAUUGCAUUCACUUAAAAAUAUAAUCAUCCGUUCAGUUUUUUAUUUGGUUAUUGAAAACCAUAAUUUGAUAAACCAUUUGAAAGUUAAUAAUUGAGUUGGAGCAGAAUUAGAGAUUUGUGAAAGACAUCAAGAAAAGACCGAGCUACUAAUUGUCAAUGUGAUUUUAUAUUUUAAUUUUGUUUAAAAUUGCAAUAUUCUUAAUGAAGUUGGAAAUGUGAGGCAGAGAUAAACAAAUGCUCGUGGUUAUUUAUCUUUCAUCUAUUCCCUGCCGACACCACAUGCUACAAUUCCAUUUAAAAUGAAUUUAUUUUGAACUAGUGUGUUAUCAUUGAGCCUUUUAUUUCAAAUUUUCAAAUCUAAAAGUUGAUUGAUAUCUUGACUGUAAAAUAGAGAUAUAAUUUGUUAGGUGGCACCAAAAGAUGGAGCGGACGCUCCCUCAGUACUCUCUUUUUAUGCACUCUUUUCUUUCUCCAUGUUAGUCUGAACGAUUAGAAAUUAGGUACCGAUUCAAUGGAAGAAGGAGAAAAAGAGAAGAAAGAAAGAAAGCAGAAGUUGCUGAGGAAAAUUCAGAGACAACCAAGAUUUGAAACAAUAGCGUUGAGUGCUUCUCCCCAUUUUCGUUGGAGGGCCCACCUUGAGAAUAUCACCAAAAAGAUUUUUUAUCCAAUAAAAUGGAAGUAGAAUAAGAUUAUCGGCUAAAUUUGAAAUAUGUCAGGUUAAAUGGAUUAAUCACAUAUCUGAAGAACGGAUUUAUUCUUUGCAACAAAAGAGGUGUAAGAAAUGAGUGAUAUAAAGCAGGGUGAAUCUCCUAGCAUGUGCAUAUGGCUCGACUUAUUUAAUUGUUUUCCUGCGUGUGUCAUAAGAUCGAACUAGUUUUUUUUUUUCUUACUAUUAGAUAUCAUGUAAAAAAUUAAGAAGUAUCAUGCUAUGGAUUUUGGUAUGUUUUAUGUUGUGAUGAUUGAAACUAUCAUUACUUGAGAGCAGGUGAAAAGUAGCGAUAUGGUUAAAAUGCACAAACUUUCCCCACACUUUUUUAUUACUCAUUUACUUUUAUUUUUUCCAAGUAAAGAAUCGAUCAAUUUUUAAAGCUUUGAAGGGAGAAAAUGAUUUUUUCUUUCUUUCUUUCUUUUCUUGCUAAAAAUGGAGAAAAUGAGUUAGAGGUGAAAGGGAACAUACGUUAUAGGAUUAAUGGUCCAACAAUUCGAGGAAAACAUAAUUACUCAUCUAGAGUGUUCUAUAGGAAGGUAAAAUUGUCGGAUGAAAUAUCUUAAGAGAAGAGUUACUCUUAGGAUGAUCGGUUUUGAGAUGAGUAGAUUCUAAACUCAAAAUCAGGUUAUUUUGUAAUAUCAAUUCUCUUUUUUUGUAACCGAGAACCAAACUAGUUGACCUUGAACCAGCUUACUUUUAUUUUUCUGAUUUAUUUUUCCUUAAAUUGAUCUAGGACCUUCAAACACUGAAAAACCUCAUAGCGGAUAAAAAACAUGGCCUCUGGAUUCAAGCGAAAUGUGGCAAUUUUCCAUGCAAUAGAGUCUAGUGCGCUUGCAGAACUACUUGUUCUAGUUCAACAAAAGAUCAAUGCUAAGUUACAAUGCAACUAACAAUUAGACAGCAAGGGCAUCAUAGGAUUAGCCACAUCUAAAGUCGAAAAUAAAGGCUUUCCUUUUUCAUCGAAGUUUAAUAGGCAACAUCGAUUCCAAAAGAGAGAAUAAAAGACCCUCCUCUCUACUCAGCAGCCACCCCACAUCCCCAAUAGACAAAAAGGGCCCGGAACACUUUUAGUUCAGUCAAUUAUUCUAAUAACAAGGCGACGAAUCAAUAUAAACGACAAGCUAAUAAGAGAUGAAAAAGCAAUUACCUCCCGCGAGCUGAGAUGCGAGGACAGGCUGAGAACGGAGAGAGAGGAGAUUGUAAAAAAGCCUAGGCGAGAACUUUCAAGAGGGAAAGAAUAGAGAAAGCGAGUGAGGACUAAACAGUAGAUGAUAAUCUCGAAUUGUUCUGCAAGAGAGAGGCCGAAUGCAAAAGCUAAAGUAAGAGAUGAGAGAGAGAGAGAGAGGACCAAUCAGUAGUAGAUGAUAGUGUCACGCCCCGAUCCUCGGACGCGCACACAUCCUUCUACUUGGUCGAUUUUAGAAUGCGAUAUCCCAGAAUUAUGUAUCGCCGACCCCUUUCAAUUCAUUAAGCACAUGCGGAAGCAUUUAUAAAUCCCCAGACAAUAAAACAAUAGGAUAGGAAAGCAGGCCAUAUUUUUUAUAUUGAAAUUCACAACCACACUUUCAUUAACAACGCAACUCAUAGUAUAUUUACAAUACUAUUCACAACAUACUUGUCUCCCACCUAUCUAUGCUAAGACAGGGUAUACAAAAGGAAUGGGAUCUCAGUCUACAUCCGGGUUAUACUCAAGAUCCCUCUCUGGAUCCUCUUCUUCUUCAAAAGUCUUUCCUCCCUUCAGGUUCCUCAUCCUCAGCUUCUCCUUAGGGUCCUGAAAUGGUUAUUCAAUAACCAAUGAGAUCACAUCUCAGCGAGUCCUACCCCCUAAGGCUCGAUUAGAAAGCCAAUACACUAUAGGCUGCCUAAACACGGCACGAGUUGGAGGACUUACCUUGGCCUCAGAUUCCAUCUGCAUAUUAGUACAGUUCAAUAGGCAUUCAAACAAUCAUAUCACCGAUCGAAGCAUCGAUCAAAUCGACUUAGUCGAUUUCAUGUCAGUCAGACCAUUCUAGGUCAUUCAUCCUACACCAAGCAAUUCCUUAGAUUUAGUGGCUUUACGGUCCCACCCGACCCUCUCAAGAUUUAGUGGCUUUACGGUCUCACCCGACCCUCUCAACAUUUAGUGGCUUUACGGUCCCACCCGACCCUCUCAAGAUCUAGUGGCUUUACGGUCCCACCCGACCCUCUCAACAUUUAGUGGCUUUACGGUCCCACCCGACCCUCUCAAGAUUUAAUUUAGGAAUAAAUCUUCAAUUCACUUCUAAACUACUUUAGCACCAAAUAAAGCUCAAAUAAAUAAACGGACUGCACCACGACAAUCAGCACGAAAUUCCGGUCACCGGCCAUCCCGGUUGAAUUUCCGGAAAAAUAAAUAAUUAAAUAAUUAAUUCGAAAAUUAAAUAAAUAAUUAUUUAAAAAAAUCCAAUUUAGGCUCAUAAUGCCGAAUUGGACGCCGAGACGAGCCCGGAAAAUUACCGAGACUCGUUCCAUAAAUAACAUGGCAUGUCUACUUGCUAAUGUCUAUUUCUAACCACCUAACAUGCAUCAUUAAGUCUCUAAUUUAAUUGACCUAAACUAAUCUAACCACCUAAUUGCAUUUAAUUAAAUCUAACCAACCUUAAGUAUAAUUAGCAAACUAAGGAAGCUUUAGUGAGUAAAACUCACUUGACAAAAGCGGAGACCGAAUCACCGUGACGGCGACGCGACGGUGGCCGAAAUUGGACUUUCGACAACACCGGCGGACUUGGACCGGGCCUUAAGCUUAGGCCCAACAAAUCUCAGCCCAACUGAGAUUUGUUCUUGCUUUAGGGCCAGACCCAAGUUGAAUUGGGCCUGCUGAAAUUCUUGACUGAACUAACUUGGUCUUCAAAUUGUGGACUGAAAUUGGGCCUCAAUCCUACGGGCUUGAAGACUGAAAUUGCUGGCCCAUUUGAAAUUAAACUGAAAUUGGGCUGCUCUCUUUGGGCUGAAAUAAGCCAAAUUUGCUGGGCUGAUGCUGCUGAAGAUGGACCGAAGAUUUUUGGCUUCGCUGGGCUGUAGAGUUGGGCCGCAAUCCACGAGGAGAAAUUUGCGUGGGCUGCUUCGGUCUUCGCUGGAGGGUGCUGCGACUUCAGCCAGUCAAUUGCUUCGGCAAUUGAGUUACACGAAGGAGAAAUGGAGGCGACGUGAACGAGGCAGCAAGCGGGGAAUUCAAUGAAGUCAACAGUGGAGGAAAAUCUUGCAUGAGCUGCAGGGGGGUUUGCUCGGUUGACUCAGAAUUGGAAGGAGCGGACGCGUAGAGAUCUCUUCUUCUUCGGUGGGUUGUUGUUCACGCGGAUGGACGGACGAAGAACCGUGGAGAUGUCCGCUUGAAUUUCUUGCCGUGUGGAGAGGAGGGCACCGAUUGUUGACUUACGGCCAAAUGGCAGCAACACAGAAGAAACUGCUUCGGUGGAGGCUUCGCUCGGUGGAGUUUCGCUGGCUCAACUUGGCAGCAGCUCGGUCAACAAUUGAAGAGAAGAAGGCUUGGAGUUGACUGGCGGAGCAGCUGGCAGGCGCUGGAUCUUCGAGAGACGUUGCUGCAGGGUGGAGAUGGCUUCGUUCUUGCUGGUGUUGACCGAGAGAUGUUGGUUGAUGGACAAGUGGCGAGGAUGAGGGGAAUUCGGUGGAUGGGCAGCAGCUGGUCUUCGCCUUCCGCUGGUUCCUGGGUUGCUGUGGCGUGCGAAAUGGAGAAAGUCUCGCACGAAGUGAGAGGGAGAGAGAGGAGAAGUAAUCCACGGCGGCUUGGGGAAGAGGAUGAGGAAGAGGCGGGGGCCUUUUGGCUUGAUAUUUUACAAAAUAUCUUACACAAAUCAAUCUAGGCCAUGCAUAUAUACUUGGUCUUCAAUGAUCCAUCAUGACACCCUCUUCUAGAAGCCAAAAUGGUCCAAAUGUUGUGGCUAGGUGGGGGUACACGAAUUUGGGGGAGAUGGCUUAAAUUGCACAACCAUUCUCUCUUGAUUCCAUCUCAAUUUGAUUCUCACAAAUUCAAUUGAUCAUUCAUUGAUCAUCUCUGCAUUUUUCCUCAUUCAAGAAUCCACCAAAAAAUCCAAAUUGAUACCAAUGUUGCACACCCCAUCUUAAGAUUCGAUUUUUAACUAAGUUCGAACUAAAUUUCAAUUUCAAUCUCUCCAAAUUGAGAUCCAAUUUUGAUGUAGAAAAAUCCCAAGAAAUUUUCUAUAAAUCUCCGACACACACAAGCUCAACCCGGAAGUCAAAUUUCCCAUUAAUUUAGCCAAUCUGAACUUCUGCCAAAUUUCCGCGACGUCCGAACCCAAUUUCCGUAAAAUUUCCCGAAUCUCCGAAAAAUCUUCUGAGACUGAGUUGAUGCUCCUAAAAUUUAUUGUGACGUGGCCAAAACUUCAAUUUCUGAAAUCGGACUCGAAUUGGCGGUUAAUUUUCAUUCGGCGCGUUUUUAGCGUGACCUAGACUAUCGGGUAGUUUUCAGAACUUUUUAAGGCAAAUCACCCGUGGUCAAUUUUCUUCGAGCCACUAUGAACUCACUCGACUCAAUGGCGACUCUUGAUUGUUGUGAAAAUCUCCAGGAUUCAAUUACGGACACAGGGUACCAAAACAAUAAGAAAAUCAGUCUAGUGUCGGCCGACGAGAAUUUUCUAAUUCAGUGGUGUCACCCACGAUUAGUCACAUAUCUCUAUCGAUCCAGUCUAUCUCUGAUUUCAAAUCGAUUUUUAACUGUGCCGUAGUGACCUCUAAAGAUAGACAUGGUCAAGAAGCUGAUUCAUGAUCGAGUUCUCAAGUCUAAUUGCUUUAAAAUUCCUAAUAAUUUCCCCAGAUAGUCUAGUUAUCUCAAGAAUGAUCAGUUCUGAGAAUAGCCCUAUAGACGCGUCAACGAAAUGCCCGAUUUAUUCAGUAGAAGACAGGGUUGAAAAAUCUAGAUGUCACAGAUAGUCUCAAAUUAUUAUUGAUCGAUUGGUAGAUGAUAUGCUGAUUGACCGUAGCUAUUAAAUUGAUUUCAGAUGGCAAGCCUAGUCAAGCCACACAAUUUGGAAUAGAGUACGGAAUGGCCACUUCUGUUCAUAUCCACUUAAAACUAUUUUGUUAUACAGAUAAAUGUGGCUCUAACCGGCUUGUUAAUCUUCCAUUAUGUUAUAAUCAAAGACGUUUUUAGUCCUGUAAAUGCUGCAUUCUCCUGCCACCCCAAAUAUGCAUAAAUCAUAUUGUCAAAUCCAUCAUGGGUCAAUAAUUUUCUACGCUAUAUAUACGUAAAAGUCAUGUCAUUGCUAUAAGCAGUAAAAUCGCACGAAAACCAUACUUUAUGAUGAGUUUCUCUAAUUUAAUCCGCAAAGACAAAGUCCACCUAAAAAUUGUCCACAUAAUAAAUACAUGCAAGUGCAUUGAAACCAGCAGCUUCGCUGACUUUCAAGUUUUCCAUUGGAACCAGCACAAAACAAAGAAAAGAAAAGAACGUACAAUCGUGAAUUUUUCAUAAUUUCUGGAAAGCAUUUGAAUUUUCUGUCAUUUUUCCAGAAAUUACGAAAAUUGCCAAUAUAAUGGAAAUCGGUUUUAUGGACAUCCAUCAAUUUUCUAGCUAGUUUGAUCUAUUCAGAUAAUUUUUUGUUCUUGACAAUUCUAAUUCGUAGCCUAUGAAAGGUUUUGUGCAAUUAUUGAAGGGAAUAGACUUGCACGAUCGAUAUUUGGAAAAAUCUAGUUUUUUAAUAUUUUUCAAGAAAAAAAGAAUUAUUUCUACAAAAACUGAUUAUUUUGGAUGUUUCAGGGUUUAAGUAAUUUGGGACAAUUGGGGUAUGUAUAGGGCCAAUGAACCCAAAAUCGGGUCUAGAAUGGUAUUUUUGCAAUUUUUGUUGAGCAAACUUUUUGUCCCAAGGGAGUUCGGUCAAUCAACAAUGUUUUGAAAACAACAUCAGGAUAAGGGCCGGCAUGCAAUUCCACCGGAUUCAACUGGUCUAACCAUACAUAACCGAUUUUUUUAUGGUCAAAAUAAUUGAUUAGUUCAAAUGAGAAGAUUGAAGUAAGAAAAAUUAGCAAUAUAUGUGAUGAUGAUUUUUAAAAAGUCGAGGGAAUUUCACAAGUAACAUUUUGUAUGCCUUAAAGGAUGUUAGGUGUUAUGCCAUGAGUAAUAAUCAAAUGUGUUUUUGUCCUAUCAAUUGUAAUAGACUAGAGAAUGAAGGUUAGGCUUACCUCGAGGAGUGAUUUAGAGAUGAAAUUACUAUGAUGGGUUUCAGUAUUUGAGGAGAAGUUGCCUUGAAGCAAAUCAAGUUGUGUCAGAAUCUUGAAAGUCAAUGCAAUUCAAGGUUCACCUUCAUGCUUCAACCUAGAUAUCUCAUAACAAAAACGAGCCUCUCGGUGAUUUUUGGUGAUUGGCAUUUCUCCUCUUCAAGCACAAGCACUUGGGACUUUAUACAAAGCUUUACUUCUUCUCUUGCCCCAAAGGAGACGUGCAAUCUUGUGGCAAAUGGUGUUUCUUAGACGAGGCAAUUGUACUUCUUUUGAUUCUAACCUUUUUGACCAUGAGCGCCAAAACAAUCCCCUCCUUGAAAUUGGAAAGACGACCCCCUGUAGACUUGACUUGUUAGUUCCUUUUGUUAUUAGAGCCCGUGGCUAAGCAAAUCACAGAGGAAAUUAACUUUUGGAAGAUUGGCGAUACUUUUUUGCUUUAUCCUCAACUUUUCACAAUGGCUCCACAUGGCCACUCAAAUUAUUGAUUGACUGGCAACUGUAUUGCUAAUCGACGCAACAAUUAGAUUGUAAUUGGAUGGCGUGGUCACUCAAAUCAAAUUGAAGAUGGGUGAUACUUUUUUCUUUGUCCUUGCCCUUUGCUUUACCUACCCCAUCAACCAGUAAAUAGAUACGUUUAUGCUGAAGUCAAGGUGUUCACAAUGGAAAUUAGUUUUCACAUGAUACUAUGUCAAAAGAGCCUUGCAAUCAUCUCCUUUAAUUGACUACUUUUACAAGGUGUUGAUAUUGGAAAUUACUUUUUCUCUUGCCUCAAUAGAUGAGCCAAAUGUGCUUGGGAUACAAACAAUCCUACCGUGGAUUUGUGCAUCUUCAAUGAGGACAUUUAUUUCUUUAACCAACUAACUCUCACCUUUUGUUAGUUCCCUCCGUGAUGGGAUCACAUGACCACGCAAAUCAAAGUGAAGAUUGACAACAUUUUCCUUUCUCUUCCCGUUGUCACUCAUAUUUGGUGACCUAUAUCAUAUAUGGAUUAACUCAAGAACAAAUAUGUUGUUGUCGCAGUUAAGGGCAACAUCAAAUUGGGUCAAUGGGAUAUUUCUUCUUACAUAGCAUGCUCAUGCCAGUAUUUGCAUUCUGCAAAAGAAAUCUUUAUCAUGAAAAAAAAAUACUUUUUUGAAGAUUCUAUAUCAAAUUUUCUAUGAAAUCGAGUUGAUUACCUUUUAGAAAAUUCUGUGGUAAGGGAAAGCAUGUCAAAUUCUUCCACCAUCUUAGUUACUUAGUUGCAAAGAAAGUGAUGAGGCAAAAGCCAACAAGACCUACUAAAAGAAAGGGGGGAAAUAGGACGAGCGAGAAAAAACAAGUCAAAAUCUUCCACCGUCUUGCUUGCUUAGUUGCAAAGAAAGUGAUUAGGGAAAAACCAACAAGACUUACUCAAAAGAAAGGGGGGAAAAGGACGGGGGAGAAAAAGUAAGUCAAAGUCUUCCACCAUCUUGCUUGCUUAGUUGCCAAGAAAGGGAUAAGGUAAAAGCCAACGUGGCCUACUCAAAGGAAAAAGGGGAAAAAAAGAUUCUUGUGAUUGAAUGCAAGUCAAAGUCUUCCAUCAUCUUGCUUGCUUAGUUGCAUUAGGAGACAAGAGACCAUUAUUUAUCAUGAAAAUAUUGUACAAAUUUAUUUUAUAAAUGAUGCAAUGGAAAAAACCAAUUGCAAUAUAAUAAUUAUAUUGAAAUUUUCAUUUUAUGAUGGGGCUUUUUAUGGGGUCUGCACAGUUUUUCUUAAGUAUUUUAAUAAAAUCUAGAUGUCCAGUAAUGCUAUGUAAGUACAUUAUAAAUCAAACUCUUCAAUUUGCCUGUUAACUCUAAAUAACUAAUAUUGAUGUGAUAGCAUACGUGGUAAUGUUAUUUUUCUAUAAUUAUACUCUUUUUCCCUUAAAUUGACUAGAGUGAGCCAACACAAAUCAUUGUCCACGAAUGUGAACUCAUGAAAAUGCAAUACCUAUAAUCUUGACACUAGUCUAUUACCGAGUGUUUGAGGAGAGUUGAAAUUGACAUGUGAAAGCUAUAUGUUACUUGAAAUAUACAUCAACCUAGUCAAGAGCAGAUACCUUAUAAAGUUUGUCAAAUUUCCAUCUUUAUUUAAAUUUAUGAAAUCCAUUUUCUUCUCCCCUGCUUCCUUUGCUUAUGCUGAUCGUGAAUUUUUUUUUCUUUUGAGAUUUCCAUUCGAUCCCACAUUCUUUUUUGGUCCAGAUACAAUUCAACACAUCUAUUAGAUUUAUAGAAUAAAGGCUCCGUGUUAUAAGAAUGCCAUUAAAAGGAGUCACACGUAAAACUAGUAAGAUUUUUGCCUUUUGCUGAGGAACAUACUUGUCGUUUUCUGGCUCAACAGAUAAUGGAUCGUUAAACUGAUCCGAAAAAUCUGAUUUUGUCAGCUAUCAAUAGUCAUAAACCACAGGAAUCAAAGGUAUAUUGGUUCUCUCUAAGUGUAUUCCAGAGCAAUAGUAAGACAAAGGGAAUAACAUUGGAUCUUUGACUCUUCCCUCUUUCAUCCAUUGAUUGAGAUGAGACAUAAGUCGCCCAAAAUGGAAAAGAACAAAAAGGAAUAAAUUCAUUCACACCCAUCAACUCAGUACCACCAAAUUUAAGACUUCAAAACGAGGUUAAAAAUCUAGGGUUCUGCUGCGCAGUAAACAAAAGCAAAGGAUCAACACAGGACGAGAACAAAGAAGAUUGUUUACAUCCACCAGCCAAAAGAUUGCAAGGUCAACAGCAAAUGCAGGAAAGAAAUUCAGAAGAAAACCAUACGAAACUGUUUUACAAGCAUAUACUAUCCUGGUAACAAUAUGCGUGUCAUUGAUGGGAAGACCUGAAAGUUUGUCUUCAAUACAAAAUAACUGUAGUCGUUCGUCAUCUUUUAACAUGUAAAAGCAAAAAUUUCAUUUGGCAAAAUUUGCUAACCCCUGUCAUGAAGAACGUGAUAUCCGAAAAGCACAUCACUCCCAAAUGUAUCUUUCAUGCACAUGGCAAGGUGCUAAGUGUUGCAACACUGAAAAAUUGACUUGAUCCCAACAUGAAAUUAGCAAUUUUGGCAAGAUGGACUCCAUUGAUAAAUUGUCAAAAGGUUCAGGACUCAAUUGGCAAAUUGAAUGACUUAAAGCUGAAUUGGUAAAUUGUUAAAAGGUAAACAUAAGGGAGAAAAGAUCAUAAGUUCCUCAAAUUGGAGAGUUGAAAGCUGACGAGGACAUUUAAGGGAUCACAUUACCUUUAGCCACUAAUCAUGCGUGAAAGACAACCAAAUGUCAUGUGAAUCAGCGACAACUGUCCUAUUACGUUGUACUAACAUUUCAGCCUUCUCAUUAUUGAGAUGAAGAGCACGGAGAAUCAUAAUGAAAUGAGAGAAAGCAGUGUCCAAUGAUAUACUCUUCAAUCGGUCAUCAUAUGUGUCAAGCAGAACCAUUUAACACUCCAUUGCCUUCAAUAUCAGAUCACCAAGUUUUGUAUCUUCAAGCUAACUUUGAAUGUUUAGUUGCAGAUCACUUCUUUUAGGAACACUAUUGGGGAAAUCUAACAAAGUGAACAUCCAAAUAUCCAGCAUUACCCUGCAGCAAUAUAUCCAGCAAUCUGGUCAUCCGAUUUGGGUAAAUUAGGUGACGUUGGAAAGCUCUACAAUGCACUGCAGACUACUGUUGGCAGAGGUUAUGUAGGUAUUUCUCGUCCCGCAAUGAUGAUGGCUGUGGAAUAGUUUGCUCUAGGUUUGAAUAGAACACUUUUUGUGCUAGUCAGGGUUGCAGAGGUUGUGUAGGUCCUUCUGGAAGUCUACUUUAGGUUUGAAUAGAUCGGAGCUGGUUUAGCGAAGUAGUCUUCCUGACGAACAAAUAGUCUGGUGCUGUUCCAGUUUGAUGUGUUUAGGUUGCUUUGGAUGGUGGCUUUUCUGGGUUAUUAGCCGAUCCGCGUGGUAUCUGGUGAUUAGGGAAUCACGUAGUUGCUGUAAUUGCUUGUGUUGUGAAGAUAAUUUGUCAUUGAUCGAUUGUGCAAUCGUAGAGGAGGAGAUUUAUUGCUGUCAGUCGUCACUCUGAUGAUGGCUAUGGAAUACUCUCCCUUUUGGAUUUGAAUGGAGGGGAGCUAGUUAAAUCUAGUUCAUUGAGCAUUAAUCCCAUCCCCAUCUCUCGGUGGGUUUUGCAGAGUAGUCUUAUUGACUAGCGAAAUGUCUGACUUAUCUCUAUCUUGCCUACAAUUAAGUAUGGCAUCUUACUGCAGAUUACAUAUUGUAGAUUGCAUUUAUUUGAUCUCUUUUUUGUCAUGGAACUUGCAAAAUCAUCACUCUCUUCUUUUGGUUGUCUUAAGGUGACGAAGAUCGAGAGUCUAUCAUUGUGGAGCACUGUGGUGAUGAUUUUCUAGCAGAACUUGCCGAAACUAUGCAAGACACUAAGGAUUGGGAUGAUUUGCAAGCUGUGGAAUCAGAAGCUUGUGGAUUUUUGACUGAUAUGUUUGGCCAAGAUACCCCAAUGACAGCGAAUGCAAUGUUGUGCACGAUAUUAAUAUUAUAGAAGAUUCUCCACAACCUGAGAAAAAUCGGACUUCUUUUUAGGUGGAUUCCUCUAUUGACAGUGAAGAUGAAGAUGAUAUAUUUGGCAGUAAAAUGGGCAGGAAACCCCCAUGCUAUAUUCCUGAUCAAAGCAGUUCUUCAAGCAAUACAUCCACUCAACUUCUGGCCAGAGAAUCUUCAAAAUACAUGGUAUGCUUCUGAAAACUGUGAAUUUGUCUCACUCUUUUCUGCCUCCACCCCCAUGCCCAAAACUAAUUUGGUCAAUAGUUGUUAAGUUUGUGGCUCGAGUUUUUGAUUCAUUUGGCUUGGGAUUGGCCCGUGUAAUUGCAUGGAGCAAAUACGCGGCUUGAAGAAUGUCUCAGUAUUGUACAGGGUUGGCCUUUCGGUGAAGCAAUUGUGGACACCUGGAGGCCACAAUAGUUACUGGGCAAAUCCCAGGAGUCUGACCACAAUGGUCCAGUUGUUUAGGAGGUUGACAAAAAGUUGGGAGAUCUGGGCACAACUUUUUGUUCUUUUAACAAUGAUUCUGCAACCCAUAUAUCCCUUUUUUUUUUGUUGCUGAGGUAUAUUGGGGUCAACAAGGACAAUGAGAAGAAUUGAGAACAGAUUGUCAUGGUUUUUGAUUGGGAGAGAUUAGAGUGUCCUUCUCAUAAAACUCUUGGGAAAUGCUUUCCACUCGUCUCAUUCAUUUUUGAUUGACUGUUGCAACUGGGGUUUUGGUUAGUGAGAAAUUGAUUUAUUACUUAUUGUAAUUCCCUCUCAAUCAUUGUGAAACAACUCCUCCCGUUGACGUAGAUGAAACUGCUCAUCCCCUUAAAUUAGUUUGUCACUGUUCUUUGCUCUUAAAAAAAUGUCUUUCCUAGAUCAUUUCCACUUUGCUUGUAAUUCUGCUCCCAACAAAGGACCUUAUGCAAGGUAUCUGUGCAAAAGCAUUUAAUAAAUUGCUUUUGAGGGCUCUCAUCCCGAUAAAACUUAUAGUAGACACACCUAACUUGCCGGUUACUUUCAGUCUUUAAGAUCCAAAAUGACUUUAUUAGAACUGUCUGGUCAAUAAAAACAAUUGACUUUCGUUUUGGAUGAUGUAACAAUACCUACAUUUCCAUACGUCCCAGUGAUGGCCUUAUCUGCAACUGCCACUCAGCCAGUUCAUGAGGUACGAAGCUUGCACAUUAUCCUUCCGAUUAUGUUAAAAAAUCACUUGGGUCUGAUCGAAAUGUCCAUCUAUUGCAGGAUAUCCUAAAAGCUCUCGAGAUCCGCCAUGCUCUUGUUCUGGAGACAAGCUUUGACAGACCAAACCUAAAAUAUAAGGUCAUAGCUGAGACCAAGGAACCGUUGAAGCAGCUUGGAGAGCUGCUAAAGAAUCGUUUUGCUAAUUUGUGUGGCAGUGUAUUGUCUCUUGAAGAGCGAAUGUGUUGAUGUAGCAAAAUAUUUGAAUGUUAAGUGGGGUAUAAAGACUGUGUACUAUCAUGCUGGAUUAGUAGCCCAUCAAAGAGUAGCUGUUCAAAAGAAAUGGCAUACUGGAGAGGUCCAGGUUGCAUGAGUAACCAUUGCUUUUGGGAUGGUAAUAGACAAAACCUGAUGUUGUAAGUUGAAAUGGACUCUAAGCCUUUGCCUAUUUUCAGUUUUAGAAUCAAGGUGACAUGCUGGCAAAUACUCAACUAAUUCACUUUUUUUCUAAUGUUUUAGUUUCACUCAUCGGUUUGUUAGGGUGCUUGGAAGUAAACUUUGCUAGUUCCAUGGUCCAGUGGCCUGCUAAAUUGUCAUUCUUGGCUACUGAUUGCGGGAACUAGCAAAUUAUGUCUUUUUCAAGUCAAAUUCUUUCUUCCAUGCAUGGAACUUUGGUAUGCUGAAAUUAAGUUAAACUAGGAUAAAAUUCUUUUCUUUACUGCAAGAGUGGCAAAUGAAUCUGAUCUAACUUGACUUUCUGUUGUAAUGUUUUUGUCAUAUUUCAACUUAUUUUUGUCGGUUCAGUAUUUUAUUUAUUUAUUUAUUUUAAUUGUGGCAUGUGGUCAGCGUUUUUUUGUCCACAACACAAUGUUCAAGUCAAUCGAAAGCUAUUACCAAGAAUCAGGGAGGGCAGGAAGAGAUAAUCUACCAGUACUGUGCAGUGCUCUAUAUGGCAAAAGGAUUUCGGCCGGGUUUUGUGCAUGUUAACAACGAGUGGUCAAGGAUGUAAAACCGAAAUCUUUAAAAGUGCAAUGGCUCAAGCUAGGAAAAUGCAGCAAUAUUGUGAACUCAAGGUAAUCCAAUUUCUCAAUUUAUCUCUGAUGAUCUCAACUAAGUGAUGCUUCUAUUUUGCUUUUACACUUUUCACUUUGUCCUAUUGAUUGUUGUUAGUGUUGGUCUGGCAUUAACCUGUCCGGGUGCUGGAUCAUUAGAUGGGUCGGGUGGCAACAUAUUCAAAUAAUAAUGGAACCUUUGGGAUAAACUCAAAUUCCGCACACCUAAAUAGAGCAAAGUCUAUUGAUAAACGCAUGUUUCCUCUCUAAUUUGUAAAAUUUUCAGGAUGAGUGUCAGCAACAAACCUUACUUGCACACUUUGGCGAGUCUUUGAAUCGGAAAGACUGUAAAUACAGUUCUAAUCCUUACGACAAUUGUCUCAAAGCCUCUUCAUGAAGGUGAACCUUUCAGGUGUCAACUCUCUUGAGGGCGAAAGGUUUUGACUUAUGCAUGAUCUUGAGCUGCACAGUUCUUCUAGUUCCAUCAUCCGCAAUUAUUGGAAGACUGCGAGGGGCAGAGGUCCUUAACCGUGGACACAGAAGUUUUCAGUUCCCAUGGUUCAAUACGACGAUUCGACCAGUUGACCUUUAGACUAGAACCCAAACCGGUUCUUUGACGGUCCGGGUUUGGAAGCGCUGCUUGACACGAUUGCAAGACCCGAUUAUUACAUGUGAACAAAAAUUGCCAGCUCUCACAGCGAAAUUGUUGUGAUAACAUGGAGGGUUCAGCGGCACUAACUUGGCGGAGAUGUGGUGGUUACUUGAUGCUGACAUUAUCUUCCUGACGAUGAUGCAAGGACGGGCUGUGGCACUAACUUGGCGGUGAGUGGCGCUAGCUUGUCUGAUGAGUGGUUCGUUGGCAAAUGAGUGUCGAAGUUUGGCGGGGUAUGAUGGCACAGAUUGGAGGAGUUUGUGUCGUCCCGGUUCGCGAGGCUUUCAUCCAUGGUGGAGUUGGGUUGCAGUGGGCCUCACUUCAGCAACUUGAUUCUUGGAUUCAAAGUCCUUUUUAGUAGAUUUCUGCAGAGGCUGUCUCAACGUCUAUGGCGAGCUUCGAAGCGCUGAGACGAAUGAACUGAAGGCCUUUUGUACAUAACCGGAAUGUCUGAUACAAGUACUGGUAAUCAAUUAUGUAGACCCUGAAGUAAUAUAGAGAUACGCAAUAUCAUGAAUAUAGACAUAAUAUGACCAUCUACGAGAUGCACAUGCUAUUCUGAAUAUGUAAGAGAUUUAGUAAUUUCACGUGACAUUCACCACAACCAUAUAUGACAAGUUGUAUUGUACAUCAUUUUAUAAAUUAAUGAUUUUUAUUUGAUGUUACAAUUAAAUAGAUUUUGGGUGCUUACUUGAAGGGAGGUUUUUGACUCAUAAUUUUUUUAGAUAAAUAGGAGCACGGUACGAUUUUUACUCUUAAAGUUUAUAUAACAUUUUAGAGUUUGAAAUCAGGUUUUGAUUUAAUGUUAACAUCUCAAACAUUUUCACUUUUUGCCGAUUAAGUCCAUCCGGCCAAUUUUGGCCGGAAAAUGCUGACGUGAAUGCCGCCGUUGCCACGUAGGACUAUCGGUGCUGACGUGGACAAUUUUUAAUAAUAUUUUAACAUUUUAUAAAAAAAAAUUGAAUUUUUUUUGAAUUUUUUUAUUUUUAUUUUUAUAUUUUCUGUUUUUCCCUUUCUUCUUUUCUGUUGUCAGACAUCUUCUCUCUACCCACUUCCAUUUUUCUCUCUUUCUGCGUUCUCUCUCUCCCUCCCUUGUCUUCACGAGACGGCGCCUCUUCCUUUUGCUCUCUCAAACUCCAAAUUGUCUAUGUAAAAUUCCAACACUCUCUCUCCUAUGACACUUCCCUUUUGCGGAGAGAGAGAAAAAUGGAAGUAACAGAGAAGGUGUCUGACAAUAGUCGACUGAAGCGACUGAAGAGAGAGAAACGGGCUGCGAGAGUGUUAAACAUAUAUGACUUGUGGACCUAGGCACAANNNNNNNNNNNNNNNNNNNNNNNNNNNNNNNNNNNNNNNNNNNNNNNNNNNNNNNNNNNNNNNNNNNNNNNNNNNNNNNNNNNNNNNNNNNNNNNNNNNNGUCUGUGACUAGUGGCGAGUGACCGCCCGCCCGAAAAGCCCAAGGAAAAAGCCAAAAAGAAAAAAAGAAAAAAAAAAAAGAAAAGAAAAAAGGGAAAAAUAUAUAAUUCAAAAUAAAAAAAUUCAAAAAAAUUCAAAAAAUUUAUAAAAUAUUAAAAUAUUAUUAAAAAAUUCUCCACGUCAGCGCCGGUAGUCCUACGUGGCACCACCGGCGUCCACGUCAGCAUUUUCUAGCCAAAAUUGGCCGGAUGGACUUAAUCGACAAAAAGUGAAAAUGUUUAGGACUCAAUUGGCAAAAUUAAAAUCUUUAGGACUGAAUUGGCAAAAGUGUAAUAGGUUUAGGACUUUUUGGACAAUUCUCCCCCAUAAAUGGGGAUUAUUUUUCUGAUGGCAAGUCAUAAUCAAAAUUUGUUACACUUUCAUUUUAUAUCAAUCUAGGCGAAGGAGAACUAAUAUGUAAGUUUUGGCCAAAAAUAGAAAAAUUAAUAGUUGUGCCUCACUAGUCAUUGAUUAUUUAUCUUGGUCUUUUAUAAUUGUUUGAAUUAUGGUCUUUGGUUUUCAUUAUUUUCGAUAAACCAUGCCAUGCACUAAAUAAACCACAUAGCCCAACCACAUAUUUCCUUAACCCACGCACUUUAAGAAUUAAGAGAAAAUUAAACUAUUCAACGCAUCUAAUUUAAUAAGAUUGGAUUGAGCAUUGAAUGGAUUUCGCGUUAGAUUAUUAUUUUGGACAUACAUCGAAAAUGUUUAGAUGGGUGAAUUAUUUUUAGUAUAUCUCAUAUCGGCAUGUUAGAUUAUAAUAUAUGGAAAUUGGGUCAGUGCUUAUGGUCAAACUAUGUCUUGGGAUAUGAUAUACGUUCAUAAGCUAGUAUCGUUCUAGGUUUAAUCACAAGCAAUAUGAUUGCCGACCUUAAUUACAGCUGACAUAAUUUUCGGGCCUUAUUGCCUGGUGAAGCAUGAAUGGGACUGAAUGUCGCGACCUAACCUCGGCUGAAUGGUUUGGCUAAUGGAUUACUUAACUUCAACUUAGCUCAGGCUCUCCCAAACCCAUAUCAAUUGACGACUUAAAUUCAACUUUUUAACAUGUGAGUCACCACUAAUCUAUUUUUGGUGGUUAUUCCUAUAAACCAGAGAUUAUGAGCUCAGGGACUUGAUUACGCUAAAUUUUUCUAACGCAUUUUCGGUACUUUUUUUUUAUUAUUAUUUUGAAAACAUAUUUUGCAUGUAGUUUGAAUUGAUUUUAAUUUAUUUCCCUAACAUGUGAGGCGAUUAUGCGAGUGCACAAACCACCAAUUUAACAAUAAAUUACGAGACUUAUCUCGUAGUAAUGAAAGUAUCUGCAAUGUUAGCUUGAAAUUCACAUCAAAAGCCCUAAAUAUGAUUCCUAAUUAACACGUAGUCACCCAAUUUUUUUAGGAUUUUCUCUUGUUUAAUGAAACCUAAGCUAUAUGUCAUGCAAUUUAAAUCAAAGAUAUUGUCUAACCUGGAUACCAUCUAAACAUGCAUUCUAAUAUAAUUAAAAAAGAAUCUAAUUAUUCUGCGGAGACUGUUCCUCUCUCGAUUUUUCUUAUCUCAAACCUCUAUAAAUCAUCAUUUCCUCCUCCCCUUUCUUCUUCUUCUUUUCUUUUUUUAUUCGAAUUAUUUUUAAAUUUUCUUUUUCUUUUUUAAUUCGAAUUAUCUGAGUUUUAAGAAAACCCGCAUUUCCGAAAAAAGCAAAAUUGGAGCGUGUAGCGUAGACCCGUCAAGAGCAUGACAAUCCAAACUUUAUAAGUUUGACACGUAAAGUCUUCUCUUUGCAGAGGAAAAAAAGAACAAAGAUGUGAGUAAGUAUUUUAUGCGAGAGUUAAGUAUACUGUCUAUGUGAGGGUGGUGUUUAUAUAAUUUGAAAUAAGGCGCUAGGUCGAUGGACUUAGAAAUUCAACAUAUGAAGGAAAUAAAUAAGUCAUUGGCACAAAAAAUAAGAAAAAGAAAAAUAAAGGACAACCCUAAAAGAACAGGAAACAAUACGCGACGAAGAAAGGGGAGAUCUUCUUGGAUUCCAUGUUAUAGAUGUCACACAUUGGAGUUUAUAGAACUUGAAAUUACAAAAAAAAAAAAAAAAGUAAAGCUACUUUGCCGUUUAUAAGGAAAUUACCAAUCAAUCAUAAAUUUAUUAUAUAUAUAUAUAAAUUUAAUUUAAAAAAAAUUCAAUUCUAUUGAUUUAGUUUUAAAUCUUUAUGAGAAAUUUCAAUGUAGUAAUUCUGAUCAAUUUCCAUCAGCAAUUGUUGAUGUGGUGGUCCAAUCACUGUCGACCGUCUUACGUGACACACUGUAAUGUUAGCGACUUUCAACGAAAAUUGUCUAGAAGGAUUAUAUUAGAUUUUUGAGCAAAGAUUUCAUAUUAAUUGAUAUAAUUGAUAAGUUUAUAACUGAAUCGACAUCUAUAUAUAUAAUUUUAAGACUAAUUGGACAAUCUCCCUACUAGUUGUAACCCGCAGCCACUUUGUUAGAUAAUGCUUGCUCUUCUUCUUAUACUUACGCAGACCCAACGGAAGAGUGUCAAAUGAAACCGGGAAAACUUAUUAGGGGGGCAAAAAAUAGAGCUUCCAGCAAAAUUCAGGCGCAAAAACGGAAUUUUCGAAAGAAUUUGAAAAAAAAAAAAAAAAACAUGGCUCCAAUCUCUCCCGCUCUCCAGCAACCAGCAGGUAAAAAAGCAGAGCAAAAAACAUCAGUCCCGCCAUCGCUGGCAUGGUUUUUCUUGGAAGAGAGCGCUUCGAGCGCGCAUGCUCUCUCUCUCGAGAGAGACUACGGAUCGAUUCGAUUCCUACCCUUGCAUCGUUGAUCAAUCGAUUCGAAUCGCGUCGAACAGGUUGAGAUUCCAUGGAGCAUCGGGGGUUGAAGGAGGCAGAGAAAUCUCUGGUUGCUGAGCUUGGCUAUCGAGUUCGGCUUCGACGAGCAGUCCUCCAGCAAGUGCUUGGGACCGUCUCGUUGCGCUCAACGGUAACUUCAAUCGCUACUUUGUCGCCCUUUUUUUUUUAUGCUAAUUAGCGUUUGCAGAGGUUAGGUUGUGUAGGUAUUUCAUCGUCCACCACGAUGAUGGUGAUGAUGACUAGGGAAUAGUCUGCUCUAGGUUUGAAUAGAUCGAGCGGGUUUGGUGAAGUAGUCUUAUCUCUGAUGAUAACUGGGCACGCGGCAAAGUUUUUCUUGCUUACCGGCCAAAAUGCGCAGUAUCUUGUCAUUAGGGAAUGGCAGCAAAUAAUCAACGUAUUCGUAUUAUGCACAGUUGCAAAUGAAUUUAUAUAGAAAUGAAGCUCUUCUGCUAAUGGAUUUUUCAUUUUGACUUUUAAUUCCAAAUUGCUGAAGAGUGUACUGAUUAAGCCUACAAGUUGCAAUACUGGCAUUGCCUUUGGCAUUCAUGGCGGCAACAAAGGGCUACAGGCUAAUCAUUACAAUGCCAGCAUCUAUGAGUUUGGAAAGAAGGAUCAUCCUCCGUGCUUUUGGAGCUGGGUUGGUCCCGACCAAUCAUGCCAGGGGCGUGAAGGGAGCUAUACAGAAGGCAGUGGAGAUGAUGGCAAAGAAACCUAACUCUUACAUUCUUCAGCAGUUCGAGAAUCCUGCUAACCCAAAGGUACAUGUGUGGUCAACUGUCAUGUCUUGUUGGUUGUAUAUGCAGGUGAUGACACGAACUUGAGCUUGGCUGUCAUUGUUCUGUUUAGAUACAUUAUGAAACAAAUGGACCAGAGACAUGGAAAGGCUCGGGCGGCAAAAUAGAUGCCUUUGAUUCUGGGAUAGGAACUGGUGGUACUAUAACUGGUGCUGGAAAGUUUCUGAAAGAGCAAAACCCCGUUGUUCUCCUCUUCCAUACUCUGCCUCUCCCCCGUCCUGACGCCGCUUGCCCUCACCCUCGGCUCCGCUGCCUGACCCCGCUCACCCUCGACGCUGCCGCCGCCGCCGUCGGACGCCGCUUGGCCUGCCCUUGCCUCCCUCGAUGCGGUCGCCCCCCUCUCACCCCGACGCUCAGCCACUCGACGCUGCCGCUGGACGCCGCUCUUCCUCGACUCCACCACCGGACGCCACUCACCCCCGGUGGACGCCGCUCGCCCAGCCACGCCGACGCUCGCCGCUUGUCCCGACGCUCAGCCGCUCGUCCCGACACUCGCCCCGACGCUCAGCCACUCGACGCCCGCUCGCCCUCGACGCCGCCUCUGGACGCCGCUCGCCGCUCACCCAGCCACCCCCGACGCCGCUCGCCUAGCCGCUCGCCGCCCCCCCAAGCCGCUUGCCCUGUCGGCCCCGAUGCCACCCAGCUAUAGAUCGUCUCAACGCCGAUUCGCGAUGUCGGUGAGUGCUCGAUUUCUCUUGCUCUGUCUCUGUUUCUUCUGGUUUCGCUCGAUGCAUUUGCUUUUUCCAAGCAUUCCCAUUUGCAAGCAAGCCUAUGUUCAAUCCUUUUGUUUCCUGAAAAAGGAUCAAUCUCCUCAAAAUUAAUCUCGAUUAUGCUCUCGAUCCAAUCCGCCAUGUAACUCGUAACAUGAUUUCCGUCCACGACACUUGUAAUCUCUGAGAUUGAAUACGUUAAUGUUCUGCUUUCCCCCUAAAUAUGCAGGUCUCGGGGAUAAUGCAGAAAGGAAAAAUGGAUUGGUCCCAGAAUCUAUCAUGAUGUCGAAUUGGACAGUCAAUGUAUCCGAGGUGCGGUUAGUUUCGCCAAGAUUUUGCAGUCUGCAUAAAAAGAAUACUUGUCGGAAUAUACUAACCUUGACGCACCUUAUCAUUGCAUCAUCAAAAUUUAUAAACAGGUGAUAUCAUGCUCCUCCACGGACGAUCAAGGUCAGCAACAUAUCUCCAAAGAGACAUUAUCGCAUGAAAGCAGUUUUGACCUUGUCCCUUCUUCAAAAAUCGCGUGGGUACUAGCUAGUUUAUCAGAGUAUGGAGCUGUUCCAUCUAUUUUGUUUGGUUAUUUGUUUGUCGCAUUAUAUGUCUUGCUAAAUUCUUGAAGGACUUUAACUGUAUUGUUUCAGCAAGCGCUACGCAGCAAGACCUGCAUAAGGUACCUGGUGUAAAGGAUCUUCGAGUAGUUUUUGACAGUGGGAGCACUUACACUGAAUUUUGGGAAAGGAAAAGCCCAACUUCGAUUGCUGCCCGAGGCUUAUCUCAUUGUCACGGUAAGCUUUGUUUCUUUUUUCUUUUUAGCAAGAGAGUGCACCAGCGACUGACAAAUUAAGGCUUGUAUUUUUCCCCAGAGACACGGUAUGAGGCACAAGCUUUGUGGUGAGUCCUCCAUCCACACUCUAAUUAUGUUUAUGAAUAAGGCGCGGAUAAGUCACAACUUUUUCUUUAGCUUUGUUUCUCUAGUUUAGACAUAUCUCUUCCUUGGUUACCAUCAGAUUCUUCCAUUAGCAAACUAUGGAAUAGAUGUGUCAUCUUUAUUUGUAGAAUAUUUUAAGAUUAUGUUUGGAUGUGGGUGCCUACAUUCAAAUGGACCCAAAUGAAAAGAUAUAUGAAACCUUGACAUACAAAAGCUUCUCUUUUGGAUUUAUUUCUUUGUAAUGUGUCUCCAAAAGACUAAGUUGGUUAUGGCGUUCUGUUCAUUUUGUUCUUUUGUGGUAGUCAUGGAUUUAUUUCUUUGUAAUGUGUCUCCAAAAGACUGAGUUGGUUAUGGCGUUCUGUUCAUUUUGUUCUUUUGUGGUAGUCAGGUGGUAGGUAUAUGCUUUAAAUUAUCUGAAAAUCUGCAUCAGUCAAUAGAUUUGCUUCUAAGGUCAAUAAAUUAAUCUUAUAUACUAUAAAUAAGGUUGAAGGUGUUAUGGGCAUCAGUCAAUAGAUUGUUUUAUUAGGUUGCUCUAUAAUUCUUGUGGUCUCUACCAUAUAAUUGAAUGUCUCUUGAAAUUUCCACUUAUUUUAAGGGUUAUAGCCUGCUAGUUAUUUGAGCUUGAACUUGACCAAAUAAUUAUGAUUUACUCCCUUUUUGCCUUUUCCAAUUCUGUUGAUCAUUAACUUGAGCUGGUAAUAUACUCUGAGGCAUCUAAAUCAGAGAAUUUGAACAUAGAGUUGUGAGAACCAGGUUCUAAUUGUAUCCAUUAAAUUUUAUUUGUUAUUGGUAUAUUUACAUUUGUUGAAUUUUCCCCUUUUGCAUUUAAUGCAGGUGAUUCCAUGUGUUGUGCUGUCUCUAGUGAUUCACCCUCAACACACCAUCAUAUCAUUAAUAGGAUUUGCUGGGCCUUUUGUGUUUAUCUUGAAGCUGUUUCAGUGCUACCCCAGCUCCGUGUCAUGCAGAACACAAAGGUAUUGCAAUGUCCAAAUCCUGUAAUGGCGAUAUGCGUGGAAAAUAUCUAUGUCAAUUGAAACAGAGUGUAAAAGGACCUCUACUUCUUAUCUGUUGGUCACUUACACUUAUAGAGAUAGUUUGAUGCCUGAAGCCCCUUCAUUAAGUUUUCUUUUGCCACUCGCUCCUUUACUUUGAAUCUUUGGCUAUUUCUUUUGUAUAUUUGUGUAAGCCAGGUUUGAGAUUGCUCAUUUGUGAACUACAAUUUCUAUCAAUUUGCUAUCUGUCUUGCAAAGUUGGUGUUUUGCAAUCACUCCAAUGCAUACACAUCACAUCUAGUGUGUUGGCUUAUACUAUGCUGACAGGAAAUUCCCAUGGGUUUUUUGCUGCAUAGCUGUCUCAAACAUUGGUCUUAUGUAAAUGUUGACAGCACAUCUAUUGGCUUUUUUUCUUCUCUGUUACUGAGUUUGUACCACUCUUUAUAAUUUUGGGGUACUCAAUUGAUAAAGGAAAGGAGGAAGAAAUAAAAAAUAAAAUAAAAAAAGAACCCGUUGGAACCUGUUGGAACCUAGAACCGACCCCGGAACCUAUGAUAGGAUAGGUUCCAGGUUCUUGGUUUUGACGGGUAGGUUCCAGGUUCCAAAAAAUGAGGAACCUGUACCCGAGGGUAGGUUCUAGGUUCCAGGCGGAACCUGUAAGGAACCGGGAACCGCUCACCCCUACUUAUAACUUCUGGGGCAUGUGGACUUUAGAGCGAGUUCUAUUAACUUCGAAAUUUCUAAAGGUGUCAUCUACAUCCAUCUCUGCCACAUAUAUGGCCUUAUUAAACAGUUUUGGAAUGAGUAAAUAUUUGCACCUCUCUCUCCGAUAGUUGUUUGAAAAACAAGCACUAAUCUCUCUUGAAUAUUACAGUUGCAGAUUUAAUCUUUUCUGGUUUUAAUGAUUUACAUUGUCUCAUAGAUUGCUGCUGACUGGUUCUGGUAGGUCCUCACAAGAUCCAAGGGAUAGAUGCUGGUUUCAUUUUAGGUAUCUUAGAAGUUGACCUUAUUGAUGAAGUAAUUCAAGAAUUCUUCUCUUGAUUUAUUAAUUUCUAUUAAAAGUAAACCUUUUAUGGUGACAACAGGCUUUUGAAGAGAUGUGAUUGGCUCAUUUAUGUGUCACUGAGAGCUUUAGUCAUUCUUACAUCAGGUGGAACCUCUAUGUUUGAUUUCUCAUCUGCUAUUGGUCACUGGUCAGAUAUGAAAACAAUUUGACUUAGGAUGUUCUUGAGGUUUAGAUGUAUUUCCUAAAUCAAGCAAUUGCAAACAAAUGCCAUGGCAAUGCUAGCCUCCACAAAAUGUGUUUUUUCUAGGUUACCGUUUUAUGUAGAUGUCGAUGUAUUGUUGUAAUCGUUAUUUUGCAAAGGGUACUUGAGAAAUGUGAUCGACAAUAAUCAUAUUCAUAGGCAAAACACGGAUAACAGGCUGCAAUCUCAUAGUAUAAGCUUUCCAAUAUUCCUCCUUGACUAUCUAAAGAUCUUUCACAGUCAGACAAUUAUGUUGGUUGAACAAAGUAACCCUUAUCUCUGAUGAUAACUGGGCACGCUGCAAAGUUUUUUUUUUUUUGAUGACCCAGGAACCGCCGCACAGCCGGUAGCCGGCGACGUAAACCCGGGGGGCACUAGCGCAGGGACCCACCUCCCACGGCACCCCACUUAAGUCACGCAAUGGGGGUGAGAAGUUUCGAGCGCUGCAAAGUUUUUCUUGAUUAUUGGCCAAAAUGCACAGUAUCUGGUCAUUAGGGAAUGACGUGAUUGCUUGUGUUGUGUGGAUAGUUUGUAAAUUGUUUGAUUGCGCAUUGCUAAUAUGGAGAUUUGUUGUGGUUAGUCACUAUUCUGAUGAUGGCUAUAGAAUAGUCUACUUUAGAUUUGAACGGACUGGAGCUAGUUAAGUCUAGUUGACUGAGCCUUAAUCUCGUCCUUGUUUGGCAGGGUAGUCCUAUUGACUGGUGAGCUGUCUGUCUUAUUUCUAACUCACUGUGAAUUACAUAUGGUGUCUUGCAAUAAUACUAAUAUUGUGUCUCACUGAACUAAGUGCAAAUUACAUAUUGUAGAUUGUAUUUAUAUGAUCUCUUGUUUGCCAUGGAACUUGCAAAGUCAUCUCUUUCUUCUUUUGGUUUUCUUAAGGUCACCAAGGUCGAGAGUUUAUCAUUGUGGAGCACUGUGGCUACGACUUCCUAGCAAAACUUGCCGAAACCAUGCAAGAUUCUGAGGAUUGGAAUGAUUUGCAAGCUGCGGAAUCAGAAGCUCGUGGAGUUUUGACUGCUAUGUUUGGCCAAUACAUCCGGAAUGGCGGUGAGUGCAAUGUUAUACAUGAUGUUGACAUUUAUAGAAGAUUCUCCAUGACUUGAGGAGAACCAAACUUUUGUUGAGGCGGAUUCCUCUACUGAUAGUGAAGACGAAGACAAUAUAUUUGGCGGUAAAAUGGGUAGGAAAUCUACAUGAUAUAUUCCUGACCAAAGCAGUACUCCGAGCAAUUCAUCCACUCAACUUCUGGCCGGAUGAUGUUUAGAAUCCAUGGUUUGCUUCUCCCAUGGACAUAGAUAAUACUGCCAAACCACUUAAGUCAGUGUGUCACAGUUCUUUUUUCUUAUAAUCUGUUCUCUCCUUGAUCGUUUCCAAUUUGCUUGUGAUUCUGCAUACAGCAAAGGACCUACACAAUGUACAUGCACAAAAGCAUUUAGUAAAUUGCUUAUGAGGCCUCUCAUCCAAUCAAAUGUCCAAUAGACACUCAUAACUUAUGCGAAUUACUUCCACAAUCUUCAAGACCCAAAAUGAGAUAUUAGAACUCUUUAGUCGAUAGAGAAGUUGUUUUGAGUUUUGGAUGAUGUACAAAUACCUAUAUUUCUCAAAUACAUUAAGAGUAUAGCAGAUCAUUAAAGUGUUGAACUUAGUAAUCUAGCAUCAUUGAUGGGAAUGUUUUGCAUAAAUGAAGGCUUGUGAUUUCUUUGUGCACAUUUUUCAUUUCCAUGACACUCCAGGUCAAAAACUAAUACGAUGCUGAAGAGGCUUAUUUCUGUUGAAGGACUAUAAGAGCACUAUCACUCAAGGUUCAAUAUUGUCAGUUUCAUCAGCUUCAAAUGAAAGACAUUGCUCUUGGAUUUCGACUUCCAACUACAGGACUCUUGAGUUAUGAGGAAUUGCAAGCCUUGGAUGACAUAGAAUUGACGAAUGUUGUCAUAUUUGCAAACGAAGUAUUUCAACCAACGCAGCAUCAGGCUUGUAAAGCGUUUGUAGCCAAGUCAAAUUGAUUUAUUCUUAUGACCACUGGAGGUGGUAAACGUUUACGUUACUAGGUUAGUGAAUGUUAACAUUGUCUGAGCUGUAUAAUGAUUGUAUGUAGAAGAAAGUGGAGACAAUGUUUAGAGCACAACCCCUGUGCGCUUUGCUCAAUGGUUCCACCAACUAAAUGUAAAAGGGUCGACCCAUAUGUCAAAAUUUAAGCUUUAACAUGAUCUUCUAAUCUGCUUUGUGUAGCAUUGUUAAGAAGGUUGUGAACUUAAGGAAGAAAAUGUUUUUCAAAUGAAUAUUAACCGAUAGGAAGUGAUUUUGGUACAUAACCAUGGUUUCCAAUGUAUGGCAUCGGAGAAAACUAAAAAAAGAAGAAAAUUUAGGACAUUCUCGUUUUGCCUCCACAAAUCUCUAUAUGUUUGGUAAUUUCUAAAAUUUAAAAAUUGUACUAUGCUUCUAGGACUUUCUAAUCAUUUAUUGGAAAAUUGAUCUUUUUUAUGCAUGUAACUAUCGUGCUCAGCUCGAUCUCGCGCUCUGACUUGGUUUGAGUGUGAGUUUUUUUAGAUUAGGUUAAAUAUGAAAGAAUUUUAGUAAUAUGAGUCAUAUCGGAUAUGAGUUAGGUAGUGAUCGGAUUGGGUAUGGGUCACUAGACUUGCAUUGCAUGGAAAUGGGUUAAAAUAGGUUAAUUAGAUUUAUUUGGGUUAGACUAUUUUCGAUUCAGUCUGAUCCAAUGUAGGAGUCAGUAAAUUUCGGAGUAAAUUCACAUUAGCUGAUCAUCAAGCUGUUAUUUUAUGCGACACCACCACAAUACAUGGAGAAAAAAGGCAAAGAAAGAAAGAAAGCUAUGGCAUACCAUUUUUAUUAGAACAACCAUACUCUUCGCAACCCAACACCACCUAAAGAUUGGCGGAAUCAUUUGAACAAUCAACAAUGACCACAUAAGAAGGCAAAACGGAUCGGAUCCAUCUAAUUUAAUAUUAUCUUUCUUUAGUAUCCAUAAUUUUCCUAAUUAAUAAUAAUUUACUAAUUGGCGUAUUUUUUCCUUUGUUACUUAAAUUUCAUGUAUCUUAUGAUUUGGAAUAUAUCACCCAAAAAAAAAAAAAAACUGUCUAAGUUUAUGAUAAUUUUUUUCUCAGAUUGUUAGUAAAUUACUCAAUAGAUUGUAAUUUUCCUAUGGCGUAUGUUGUUGUUCCUACAGUACUAAUUUAUUUGUAAAAUAUCCUUGGAUAACUUUUCUUUGAAGAGUGUAAUUUUUUUUUUUUUUGGAAGUCAUAAAUCCUCCAAGCCUAUGGUUCACGAUAUUCCAUAAAAAUAGUAGUCUACUUAUUAAUAGUGAACUUCUUGUGCAUACUUCAGUAAAAUAUUAAAUUGAUUGCAACUUUAUUUACACUUUGUAAAGUUUUGCAACCUAUAUGUCAAUAAUUUUCUUUACUUGUCAUAACGUUUCUCGAGCAAAUAUAUUUGAUCACAUUUGCAUCUAUAACUUUUCUUUAAUGUCUGAAAGUUACGACAGAUAAUAUUUGCAAAACAGAUUUGACGGAUUACAUUUUUGCCCUCUUUAUCCAACUAUCCACGUUGAAUGCAGAAUUGAUCCCAUAAAAUAGAGUUUUAAAUUAUGAAAUUUCCCUUACAAUCCUGAUGUUUUGGGCACAAUAGAGUAAUUUUUUAUUUUUUUGCCGAACAGUAAAGUAAUGUUGGAAACUCUAUUUUCCAAAAUUUUUGAAAAUCAUCCCAUUGAAAUAUGCAUAUAUAUAAUGGUAAAAAUGUAAAUUAAAGAAAAAGCUAUUACUUUGCCGAUUAUUUGUUUAGCAGAUAAAACAGCAACAUAAAAGAAAUUUGACAGACGUCUCGCAAAUCUAAAACUUUUAGAACCACAUGGAAGUCUCGUGUUUGCAAGGUAGCCUUCACCCCAAACGAACCCAAGGGCGUGUCAAAUGAAACCAGGAAAAAAAAAAAAAAAAAACUUAGAAGAGGGGGCAAAAAUAGAACUUAAACAAACUUCAGGGGCGAAAACGGAAUUGUCAAAGAAAGAACUGAAAAAUACGGCUCCAGCCUCAGCCAUUCUCCGGCGUAUAAAAAAUGGAAAACGAAAAACAUCAAUCCCGCCAUCGCUGGCAAGGUUCUCGAACAAGAGCACAUCGAGUACGCUCGAAUUCGAUUCGACACUACGGAUCGAUUCGAUUCCGACUCGGGCAUCAUCAAUCGUUCGAAUCGCUUCGAACGGGUUGAGAUUCCAUGGAGGGAGCGGCCCCGGAGGAGGAGAAAGCUUGGGUUGCUGAGCUGGGCUUUCGAGUUCGGCUUCGACGAGCAGUCCACCAACGGGUGCUCGGACCUCCUCGUUUUCCUCUACGGUAACUCGAAUCGUUAUCUCGUAGCGCGUUUUUAUGCUAAUUAGCGUUUGCGGAGAUGAUGGAGGUAGCUCUCGUCCACACGAUGGUGAUGGCGGUAGAAUAGCCUUGCUUUAAUUGCUCGUGUUGCGCGGAUAAUUUGUGCAUUUGAUUGAACGUACAUAUUCCUAAUUAGGGAGAUUCAUUGCGGUUAGUCUCUGUUGUGAUGAUGGCUAUGGAAUAGUAAGUCUACUUUGGAUUUGAAUGGGACCGGAGUUUAGUUCAUUGAGCGUUAAUCUCAUCCCUGUUUCUUUGUGGGUUUGGCGGAGUAGUCCUAUUGACAAGCGAACCGUCUGGCUUGUUUCUGAACUCACUGCAAAUUGCUAAUGGGUGUCUUGCAAUAAUACUAAUAUUGUGUCUCACUAAACUAAAUGCAGAUAAUGUAUUGUAGAUUGUAUUUAUUUGAUCUCUUGUUUGCCAUGCGUCUUGCAAAAUCAUCUCUUUCUUCUUUUGGUCCUCUUAAAGUGAUGAAGGUCAAGAGUUUAUCACUGUGGCAAUGUCUUCCUAGCAGAACUUGCCGAAACCAUGCAAGACUCCGAGGAUUGGAAUGAUUUGCAAGCUGUGGAAUCAGAAGCUUGUGGAGUUUUGACUGAUAUGUUUGGCCAAUAUAUCUGUAAUGGCGGUGAUGCAAUUUUAUACAAGAUGUCAAUAUUAUAGAAGAUUCUUCACAACCUGUGAAAAAAUCAUAUUUUCCCUGGGGUGGAUCCCUCUGCUGACAGUGAAGAUGAAGAUGAUGUUUUGGGCAGUAAAACGGGUAGGAAAUCCGCAAGCUAUGUUCCUGACCAAAGCAUAACUCUCAAAUUCUGGCCAGAUGAUCUUUAGAAUCCAUGGUAUGCUUCUUCCAUGGACAUAGACAACACUGCCAAACCACUUAGAACAGUGUUUCACUCUUCUUUUUUCUUAUAAUCUUUUCUCUGCGUAAUCGUUUCCAAUUUGCUUGUGAUUCUGCACGCAGCACAAAACCUAUGCAAUGUACAUGUCUGAAAGCAUUUAAUAAAUUGCUUACGGGGCUUCUCAUCCAAUCAAAUGUCCAAUAGACAGUCAUAACUUUUUCCAAUUACUUCCAGUCUUCAAGAUCCAAAAUGACAUAUUGGAACGAUUUGGUCAAUGAAGAAGUUGAUUUCAGUUUUGGAUGAUGUACAAAUACCUAUAUUUCUCAAAUACUUUGAGAGUAUAGCAGAUCAUCAAAGUGUGGAUUAGCAAUCCAGCAUCAUUGAAAGGAAUGUUUUGUGUAAAGAAAGCUUGUGACUUAUGCUGAGUGUUGUGACUGUCAAAUUAUUAAUCUCCACUUCUGCUUGGCCUGCCUUUUCAGAAAAGAUAAACCAUCAUGCAAGCUAUUGUAUGUAACUCCCGAAAGGAUUGUGGGAAACCCAUUAUUCCUUGAGAUAUUGACAUAGAAAAGCAUUGUUUCUGAUGCACCACAACUUUUUCUAAAAGGUUUUUGUAAAUAUUUUAUAUUUGACCAUCAUGCAUUGCAGACACUACUAGCUGGUUUUGUUAUUGAUGAGGCACAUUGUGUGAGGUAUGCGUAAUCUUUGGCAUGCCUUGUACAUGAAGAAAGAUCAUGCUAGAGUUACUUCAAAAUGAAUAAUUAUUUGUGAUGUCACUGCAAAACUGUUGUCCUUGUUCCGGAUAAAUAUAAGCAAGUUAACUUUUAUAUAUGCUAACUUAAAAUCUUCUUGCAAAUUUUUCUGCAUUUUUCUGUGUUUCUAGCCUAAUUGAAUUGUCAAUGUUACACUAGACCUACUGAAACCCAGAACCUGUGAAGUUCUGAUAUAACAGAAUUCAGUGUUCCAUGGAACACUUAGCAGCACAUCGUUCAUUAUAUUGAGUAAAGAGCACACAACUUAAAUAAGCUCCGAUGGAAAUUACUUCCUAGACUAAUUGGAACCGGCAUAAGCUUGGAUAAGGAUCCAAUCUCCUCUUUAUGUUUGGCAUGAUUCUCAGUCUUAAGCUGGUUCUUUUGUCCCUGUUUAUUCUAUUAAUGCUCAUACUUAACGUUAACAACUUGAGAAAGGCAAAGGUUCAACCAUGUGAUCAUUGAUUGUGUUUCUUACAAGGUCUUAAAUGGAUUUGCUCUACCAGUUUGAUCUCAUGAAAGGAACUUACUGCUGGUUUAAGCUUUUCUUGUACAUUUCACUGAUCAACGUUGAAAGCUCAUUGGUUGUCACUUUCGUGGUUGUCAUUAUUGUAGUCUGUGGGGACAUUUUGUCCAGAUUAUAGGGGACUGGGAUGUCUCAAGCAAAACUUUCCUUAUGUCCCAGUGAUGGCUUUAACUACAACUACCACUCACUCAGUUCAUGAGGUACUUAAUUUACAUAUUAAUCACCUGAUUAUGUUGAAAUAAUCUGUCUAUUCUGAUUGAAUUAUACAUCCAUUACAGGAUAUCGUAAAAGCUCUUGGGGUUCCCUAUGCUCUUGUUCUUGAGACAAGCUUUGAUAGACCAAAAUAUGAGGUCAUAGCUAAGACCAAGGAACCACUGAAGCAGCUUGCAGAGCUGCUAAAGAAUUGUUUUGCUAAUUUUUUUGGCAUAGUAUAUGGCUUUUUGAAGAGUGAAUAUGUUGAUGUCACAAAAUAUUCGAAUGAGAAGUGCCAUAUAAAGACAGUGUACAAUCAUGCUGGAUUAUUAGGCCGUCAAAGAGUAGUUGUUCAAAAGAAAUGGCAUACUGGAGAGGUCCACAUUGUAUGUGCUACCAUUGCCUUUGGGAUGGGAAUAGACAAACCUGGUGCUGGAAGUGGAAAUGGACUUUGGCUUUGCCUAUUUCUUCCAUUUUUGAAGUCGAUAAAACUGUUGUGGUGGAUUGACCCGGAGAAGCAGAGGAAGAGGAGGCUGGCCAGAUACAAGCUUUAUUCAGUCGAGGGCAAGUUCAAGGCUUGUAUCAAACGAGGGUUCCGAUGGUUGAAGCGCAAAUGCUCGAACAUCGUGCGUUAAUUUUAAUAUGUAGAAAUUACGGAAUAUCAUGCUCAUCAUAAUCAAGUGAGAAAAGGGCGGGAUCAGUCGAGAGGAAAUAGAGAGGUUUCUUUUGUUUAUCGGGUUUUCAUCUUUAUAUGCAUCUAAUGGUAAUUAAGUAUUCAAAAGAGUGCCACAGUGUUUGAUCUUUCCUAUAUUAUGUUUGUUUGAAUCGUUGUUUCAUUCAUCGAUCUUCAGCAUUCCAAAAAUAGGAAAAUGAGACGACUCAUAUUUGAUAUUCAUAUUUAUUUAUGUUUGCCGAAAGUUUUCUCUUUUCUCCAAAUUUCCUUACCUUUUAAUUUAUCUGCAACGUGAUUCUGCAUACAUUGCAUUCCCAUGCAAAGUGAAAAUUGUCUGACCUACUAAUUUCUUCUCUUUUCCGUAAGCUGUUUGCUCAACAACAAGAUGCUGAUUGCAAAAUAAGAAGACUGCUCUCAUUGGUAGGAUUUGCCGUUUAGAUCUACUUCGUGGUCGAUUUCUUUGUUUAGAACUUGUUUUAUUUUUGGCUAAAUGUUGCUUAAGCCUCCGUUUUUGGGGUUCUUUAACUCCCUAAUUUCCUCAAUUUGUCUAUUUCAAUUCUUCUUCGUCAUAUGAUUCAUCAUAUGACAAGCUACCGAAGCUAUAUAUUUUAACAUGCGGUUCGCAGGUGUUCAAUAUAUCGGCCUUCAACAUUUCCGUUCUGAUUUGAGUCACAACUUUCAUAUUUCUCGAGCCAUUCCAUCAAUUCAGGAGAACCAAAGAACCUUCUCUUGUCCUUUCGAAACUUUUGUUGUUACUGUUUAUUAAUAAGACCUCAAUGUAAUAUAGGAUGGAACUAUCAUAAACAAGCUCAAACCAAAUCGUUAGCAUGUAACCAAAGAAUAAAAGAAAUAUGGGGAAAACCCAUGAACAGCACCAAACGGUUCAAUCGGUUUAAUACGUUCAUCUAAUCAUUUGAUCGACUCACAUUCCAACUUCAAAUCAAUUCGAUCAAUAAGGUCGUGACUAAUGUUGUAUAAGUAGUCAAACACAAGGCCAUUGCCCUUUGAAUUAAAUGCCUAGGCACUGGUUGAGCAAUUAAAUAGUAAAUUAUAGUCAAUAGUUGACUUUAUUUGCGACUCUUCUCGUGUUAUAUUUAAUUACUAUUCUGCAAAUUAGAUUACUUCAUGUCUGGUAUGUUUAACUAGUGUUUUGACUCUUUAACGUGGCCUGCAUUUCAUGAGUUAGUACUUAAAGAUUCAAACUUAGCUUAACAAAUUACUCAGCCUUGUCUUCAGCUCCGUAAAGUAUUGACUUAAAAUUCAGCUAAACAACGAGCGAAUCAAACUCUAUGAUGUGAGUAGCUUUUAACUACUAAAGUUCCACUAUUGUAAUGUAGUACGAUAAAGAGGAACAUCUUAGAGUGGCUCCAAAUAAAUUGCUUUGAUCGAAACUUGAAUGCAUGACCAAUGACCACAAUUUGGUGUAGUAUAGUCCGAAUACUAACCAAUUAGAUGACCCCUUCAGUGUUUUUGUCCAAACCAAAUAAGUAUAAAUAUUGGAGGGGCUACUUUCACCAUUCCAAAGAUUAUUCUUGACAUUAUUAUCUAUCUUCAACUGUGGCCAACACCAAAGAAAAUUUGGUUCCAAGUGUGGAAAAUGUACGGCCAUGUCUACUCAGCUUUAUAGAUUCAUGCUUAAAGGAAUCAAGUUUGAGAUUAUACACUUAAAAGUUAUUGCAAAAUGCCAAUACAUGAACUUCCCCAGUCCGAGAGAUGAUCGUCCACUGACAAACACUUCUAUUUUAUGCUUAAAAUUCUUCCAAAUGAGAAACUACCGUCUUUUGGGAAUCUUUUCGCUGAAAAUCUUGCCUGCCAUUGAUAGAUUAUUUGCUGAUUCCAUGACAUUCGCUGUUUCCAUGAAGAAGUCUCUCACAUUCACAAAUUCGUAGCUUGAAGUGGACAUCUAAACGGUAAUCUUUUUGAUAAACCUCACUUUAUGCUAAAAUUCACACACAGAACCACCUGCACAUAUGCGGUCUUCUUGCAAGCAUUUUGAAAUUUGGCGUUUGCUAAAUAAUAGCACGAUUUCACAGCUUGCAAAGGACUACUACACAUUAUAAGAGAUCCCUUCAUAUCAUGAAUCCUAUGAGGAAUAUCAACAACAUGGAGUACAUUAUAAGCACCAAUAGCGAAGACCUUUGGAACGCCUUUCCAUAACGUCUCAUGACAUAUCUCACUCCUGCCCACAUCUCCUUCCUGUGAUGUUUGGGGAUGGUAUCUGAAUUUUAUGAAAUGCAGGUUGAAUCUACACAAGAAGGAUAGGAUUUACUAAUUAUCAAUGAAUGAAGAUAACUAAGAUCGGAGCAUCGUAAUAUACACCAUGAAAGAUAAGGUACAAAUGCACAAAGCAUCAUUUGCCCCAAUUGCAGUUGGACAGCAAUGAACGGAAACCUCAUCAGCUGGCCAAUGAAAAAGAAAACAAUAGGCUUUGGAGAUGAAAGCAAUUAGCAACACUUUCCUUGUUUGUGGUUAGGAACAUAAUUGAUGUUAAUAAAAUUAUGCUGAAAAGAUGAAGUGCCUAAACUGCAGAACAGAAAGAUGAAAUUGUUACUCGGUUAUUUUGCAAUAUCCCAUUAACAAAAUCAGCGGUACAAGAUAAUAUGCUAGGAGGGAAUUUCAACUUUACAAAGUCGACAUUGUAUGAGAAAUGAGCUUAUCAAAUUGAAAAAAAAAAAAAAAAAACAGAAUCCUAUAUGACAACACUCAAAGGAUAAUAUCGCAUUGAUAAACUGAUAGAAAUGGAGGAGAUUGUCCUCAUGCAUACUUGCUUACUAAUUUUCAGGUGAAAUUCCACAGCUCAAAUAGUAUAAGCACACAGGUUAUUUUUUCAUUGUUAUGGUACAACACUAGUAGUGCAUACCUCCCUCUGCAGAGCCUCAUUAAGUUCAGGUGUGAUAACAUUAGAAUGGAACAACAUCAAACACCUCUGCAUCAAGGUGACAUACAAAAGAAUCAGCAGCUACACAUUUGAUUGACAGAGAGAUUGAACCUCGUGAGCAUACAAAAAGCAGACUCAACUGAAAAUAUAACAUUUAAAUCAUUCAGGCAUGUGCUGUUGAGAUCAGAUAAAGUGUUUUGGAUCCUCACAAGCAUUAAAAAUUCCUAAACAUACUCCAGUUGGCCCAUGAGCCUCUUCAAGGUCAGCACGAAAGAUGGUCCUAAAGUGUUGCUGACGCUUCCUUUGCAAAAUAUAUCUUCUUUAUUUUGAUCGGUCUUUGGCAUGGAAUUUGAAGUUCCUCAGUCAAGUUAGCCAGACUCAAAUUAAUCAUGUGAUAAAACGAUUCCAUGAAAACAAUAGGAUCAGAUGGGAUGCAAACUUAUUAGCAAGUUCUUGAGCUCUUCGCCCUUGCUUGUUUCACAAAAAGGUCAAAAAAUUUGUCCCAAUUAUGCAAAAGAUCAUUGAUAUAGCUCAUCAAAUUGAGGUCCCAAAGUAAGCCUUGAUCAUCACAUAGACCAACCAGACCUGUUGUAGAAGCAGUACCAAUUUACCUUGCUUGAUAAUCUUUCAAAAUAAUAAUUUGACUGUAGGUUAAGAAUAGGCAGUCUACAAUCAUAUAUGAGAGACUAGCUAAAAAUACUCCCCAUUUUUAUUUUUAUUUUAUCACCGACCAGAAAUACUUGAACUUUGAUUUUUAUUUUAGCUCAGUUCCUUAUACUUACUGGAAUUGAUGCUUAUCUAGAAGGUUCAAGAGGAACAUAAAGGGAACAAUAAGAAACUUGAAAGGGUUCAUCACGGAAAAUCGAAAUGUGUUUAUCCCCAACGGGGUUGUUUGCCAUUAGUCAAAUUUGACACAUAAAAGAACUCACAAAGGAACUCAAAAUGGCCAAGGAUUUUGUCAAAGAAAAUAUGAAUUUUGGACAUAGGGAAAAUGGAUACUUGCCAUAGUUUACUAUAUUGAGUAGCACAAGAUCAUUAGCCUCUAGAUGAAAAAUUCAAAUCCCAAGUUUACAGAGAGGGAAACUAACCAUUAGGUGAUUCUUGUUUACCUAUGUUGAUAUUUUCAUUCUUGCCUCAAAAAUCACUAAUCUAUUUGCAGUCGACAAAAGCUGCCAAUGGAAGGAUAAAUGAAAACCAUUGCUAUAACGUAAUCAACAGCAAGUAUAUGUUGGCAAAUCCAGAGUCUCCAAAAUCAAUCAAAUAGAUAUCCGGUGUGGAGAAAAUCACUGUCAAAAAAUAUAGCUCCAAGAAAAGUGUUACUCCAUUCACUCAUGCUGGCCAUUCAAGGAUAGAGAAUCUUACUAGAUACCAAUGCCUUCUAUUGACAUUAGGGUCUAUAUUUUUAUCUUGGCUGAAGCAUCAUGUCAGCUUCGAUGACCAACUACCCUUGCUCCUUCAAUUAUGUAAUACUAGCAAUUUAGGGAAGUGCAGAACCCUGUCAUGGAAAACCUUCUUGUCAGAAGAAGAUAGUGAUGAAAAGUAGGUCAUGAAUAUUAGAAGAAAAAUGAUAGUUUACUGCUUAUUUACCUCUGUCAAGGAAACAUGUCUUGUCCCACUGUUGUAAUACAGGUAUAAGAUACAUCACAUCAUUAUCACUGUAAUAUAAUAUUUCAACAGAGAGAUCGAGAUAGAUCUCUUUCAUAAUUUCCAAUGACACAUGCUCUAGAUAGUUUCAGCAGCGUUUCCAAUGAGUCGCAACCGUGAAUAUCCAAAAGAUCUAAAUCCAUCUUUUCAAGUCCCUGAAGCUGAGUAAGUUUCUUGCAAUCUUUAAUUACUAGAGAUUGUAACUUCUCACAUCCCGUCAAACUUGGCAAAGUCUCCAUUGUCAUGCAUCUUGUAAUAUCCAAUUUUUCUAAGAACUACACACCAUCAAGACCUCAAUUUUCGACUAGAUUGUCGCACCUGAUGGCCCGUAAUUCCUCCAAACACAAUGAUUUUGUACAGAGAAGCCUUUUAAUGGAAUUGUAGUCAUAUAUAAAUAUGCCCUCCAAGAACUCCAAAUUAUCGUAGUCCUGAAUUUCAACUAGGUCAUUGCAAUGCUUGGUGCAUAAUCGUUUCAGAUGAAUUGAUUGUGAAAGGUCCAAUCUUUCAAUCGAACUGCACUUUUUUAUUGAAAACUCUUCCAAGUACUUGAAUCUAUUGAACUUAAGCAAUAUCAGCUUAUCACACUCCUCAAUACAGAGUUUCAAGGGUCUUGAGGAAAUCUCAGGGAUGUCUUCAAGUAGAUGGCAUGCCUUAAAAUGGAGUUUUUCUAGGUGGAUUAGGCUAGAAAGUUGUGGCAACCUGGGACUCUGACAAGAGAUCAACAUAUAUGUCAAGCCUGAAGGAAGCUUUGGCACCAACCGGAGCUUGUCAUAGCCCAAUAGGCUAAGGCAUUGGAGAGAAGAAACAUUCCGAAUGCUUUCUGGCAAGUUAGAUAUCGGCACGCAAGUGAUAUAGAGAAUCUCGAGCGAAGACAAGUCACCGAUUUCACUUAGAAUUGCUUUUUCAGACAAGGCAUGAUAGGAGACUUAUGGUGCGCAAAUUUUUCAACCUUCCAAUAGCACUAGGAAGCUUUUCAAUCCCAGAACCACUAAUGUCCAAAUGUUGCAAAUUAUGUAAAUCUCAAAUUGAGCUAGGGAUUUCUCUGAGUGACUCAUAACAGCAGGCACUCAGUUUCUCCAGCAUCCUCAGAGAACCGAUAGACAUAGGAAUCUCAGUAAUAUCAGCAAAACUAACAUAAGUUCUUUUAAUUUGACAGAUUCAUUCUAACUCACAUAACAAUCCGCUCUUGGUCCAGUCCAUUGCCACAUUCUUCAUCCAAGAUCCCAAUUCUCUUGUGGAUCCUAAGAUUGCCACGCUCUCCCCAAUUUCAACUUGGUGAACCAACUGAACACUGAGAUGCACGUUUUCUCAUCCCAGUUUUGACCCGAUCUUCUUUGCUUUCUUCUCCUCCUCUGCAAUAAACACACUUUGUUAUAGCUACUAACAAUAGCUUCCUUCCUUUCCAAACAACUCAAAUAGCCAUUUUCAUGUGAACCACCGAUUCUUUCUUUGUCAUUUAACACCACAUUCAAAGAGUUCAAAGAGAACCUCAAAUCAAGACGGUGUCAGAUAAUCAAUGCCGCUAGCUUUUAUUGCAAGAAGAACUCGAAAGAAGAACAGAAAAAACUCUUUUUUCUACACCGAUUCUCAUUCAAGAAAUAGAGCCCACAUAAACUCCAUCCACACUAGAGACUCAAACAAACCUUUGAUAGAGAAUUGCAUAAAACAACUCAAUACUUCACUCCAGAACCCAGUGCUUGAUUAGACUGACAUAAGUGUAUUAGAACAAAUCCAGAGAGAGAGAGAGAGAGAGAGAGAGACCUGGUUUUAGUGGUGGAAACGCUUCAAACAACCGUGGAGGUGCCACUCCAUGUGGCAUGAGCUCCAUGUGUCCACCUAAGAGAAUCUCGAAGGGGAAAAGUAAUGCUGCUCUUUAAGAAAGAACUGGUCUCUCUACUUGGUUUCAUGUAUGAAAAUGCACAUGGCUGUGUCUCUUCUGCUUUUAGAUUCAUGCUUAAAUAAAUCAGGUUUGAGAUUAUACGGCCAAAGUGAUUGCAAAAUGCGUACAUAUGAAUAUUCCGACAUAAACACACCAGAGAGAUGAUUUUACACUGAUGAAUGCCAUUCUUUUGUGUUCAAAAUUCUUCCAAAUGGGAAACUACCAUCUACUUGGAAACUUGUUCAUUGAAACUCUUGGCUGCAAUUGACAGAUUAUUUGCUAAUUCCUCGGCAUGUGUUUUUUCCACGAAAAAGGGUCUCUCCCAGUCACAAAACUGUAGCUUAAAGUGGACUGGUAAUCUUGUUAACAAAUCUCAUUUUAAGCUUGACUCCACAUAUAGAACCAUCUUCACAUGCGGUCUUCCUCCAAGUGAUUUGUGAUGCAGCCUUUACUACCUCCAAGCAAUUUUUGAUGCAGCCUUUGCUAAAGAGUAGCACAAUUUCAUAGCUUGCAAAGGACUAAUACAAUACAUGAGAAGAGGUCGCCUUAUAUCAAGAAUCCUUUGAAGAGUAAUAACAACACAGAGUCAAUGACAACUGCCAAUAGCAAAGAACUCCGGAAUGCCUUUCCAUACUGACAUAGCUCAUUCUUGCCCAUAUCUCCAACCCGUGGUGUUUGGGGACUUUCUCCAAGUUUCAUCAAAUGCAGUGCACAAGGAAGAUAACACUAACUAAUUAUCAAUAAAUCCAAGAUCGUAGCAUCAGAAUUUACCCCAUGAGAGAUAAGGUACAAAUGUGUAAACAUCAAUACCAAUCAGAGUUGGACCACAAUGAACAGAGACUUUAUUAGAUGGCCGAUGAAAAAGAAACCAACAAGCAUAAAAGAAGUAAGCAAUUAGCAACACUUUCCCUAUUUAGGUUUAGGAACAGAAUUGAAAUUAAUAUAAUUAUGCUGAAAGGAUUAGUGCCUAAACUAUAGAACAGGAAGAUAUAUUUGCUACUGGGUUAUAUUGCGAGAUCCAAUUAGCAAAAUCAGCAAUAUGGGAUUAGUUUGCGAGGAGGUUUAUUUCAACGUUACAAAUCCAAUGCUGCAUACAUGAGAACUGAUCUUAUCAAAUCAGAAACCUAUAUGACAACAUUCAAAGGAUAUCAUCACACAAAUAAACUGAUAUAAAUGGAGGAGCCUAGCAGUGCAUACCUCCCUCUACAGAGCCUCAUCAAUUCAAGAGUGAUACCAUUAGAAUGCAACCACAUCGGACAACUCUGCAUUAGGGUAACAUAAAAAAAAAUCAGCAGCUUAGUAUUCGAUUAAAGGAGAGCUAGAACCUGAUGAGCUUAUAGAAAGCAUAUAUAAUUGAAAAAAAAAAUACAUUUACAAUCAUUCAGGGAUGUGACAUUGAGAUCAGAUCAAGUGUUUGAAUAUUCAGAGGCAUCAAAACUUCCCUGGGACACUCCAAUGGGCCCCAGAGCGUCUUCAAGGUUGGCACACAAGAUGGUCCUCAGUUGUUGCAGUAGCUUCCGUUGCAAAAUCCCUUUUCUUUAUUUUGAUCAGUCUCGGGUAUGGAAUUUGAAGUUCCUCAGCCCAGUUAGCCACGCCCAAAUCAGUCAUGUGAUAAAGCAAUUACAUGACAACAAUAGGAUCAAACAGGAUGCAUAUUAGCAAAUUCUUGAGCUCCUCAUCCCAUCUUGUUUCACAGACGGGCAAAAAAUUGUCCAAUAAUGCAAAAGGCCAUCGAUGCAAUUAAUUGAAUUGAAGUCCCAAAGUAAGCCUAGAUCGUUACAUAAACCAACCAAACCUGUCAUAGUAGCAGCACCAGUUUGCCUUGCUUGAUAAUCUUUCAAAAGAACAAUUUGACUACUAAUAAUGUUAAGGUAGUCUACAUUCAUACAUAACAGACUAGCCAAAACUACUUUUAACAUUUUUUUUGUCACCAAAGAGAAACUUAGCUCAGUUCAUCAUAUUUCGAGAAGUGAUGCUCCUCUUAGAAGGUUAAUGGGACAUCAAGGGAACAAUAAGAAACUUGACAGGGGUUUUGUGCAAUAUUGAAAAUCAAAAGGCGUCAGGAUAUCUACCAUUAGUCAAAUUUGACAUACAAAAGAACUUACAAAGUAACUCAAAAUGGCCAGAGAUUUUUUCAAAGAAAAUAUGAACAUUGGACAUUGGGAAAUUCUAGGCGUAGUAUACAAUAAUGAGUAGCAGAAGUUCAUCAGCCUCUAUGCCUUCUAUCAACAUUAGGGUCUGCAUCUUGAUCUUGGCUAAAGCCUCAUGUCAGCUUCUACGACCAAGUGCCCCACUCCUUCAAUUAUGUAAGACUAGCAAUUUAGGAAAGUACAUAACCCUGUCAUAGAAAACCUUCUUGUCAAAAAAAGUGAUCAAAAGUAGGUCAUGAAUCUCAGACGAAAAAUGAUUGUUCACUGCUUAUUUACCUCUAUUCAGGAAACAUCACUCCAUGAAUCUAAAGACAGCUCUUGCUCAUAAUUUCUAAAGAUGCGAGUUCCAGAUAAGUUUGGUGUUGCUUCCAAUGAGUCACAACCAGAAAUAUCCAAAUCAAUUAAAUCCAACUUUUCAAGUCCCUGAAGCUGAGUAAGUUUCUUGCAGUCUCGAACUCUUAAAGAUCGUAACUUCUCACAUCUUGUCAAAUCUGGCAAAGUCUUUAUUGAUUUGCAUCCUAUAAAAUCCAACUCUUCUAAGAACUCCGCACCGUCAAGACCUCUAAUUCCGACUAGAUUGUCGCACCCAAAAGCCGUUAAUUCCUUCAAACACGGCAAUUCUAGACAGCCAAGCGUUUCAAUGGAAUUGCAGUCCCGUAAAGAUAGGACCUCCAAGAAACUGCACUUUUCUAUUGAAAGCACUUUCAAGUGCAUGAGUCCGCUGAGCCAAAGUGAUGUCAGCUUAUCACACUCCUUUACAAAGAGUUUCAAGAGUCUUGAGGAAAGCUGGGGGAUGUCUUCAAGUAGAUGGCAUUGCUGAAGACGGAGUAUUUCUAGGUGGAUUAGUCUAGAAAGCUGUGGCAAUCUGGGACUCUGAAAAGAGAUCCACAGACACGUUAAGCCCGAAGGAAGCUCUGGUAGUGACUGGAGCUUGUUGCAACGCACUAGGCCAAGGACUUGGAGAGAAGAAGGAAGCUCUGGCAGUGAUCGGAGCUCCUUACAGUCGUUUAGGCGAAGGCGUUGGAGAGAAGAAGGAAGCUCUGGCAGUGAUCGGAGCUCCUCACAGCCGUAUAGGUCAAGGCCUUGGAGAGAAGAAGGAAGCUCUGGCAGGACAGAUAUCAGUGCAUGAGUGAGAUUGAGAAUCUCGAGGGAAGGCAAGUCACCGAUUUCACUGGGAAGCUUUUCGAUCACAGAAUACCUCAAGUCAAGAUGUUGCAAAUUCUGUAAAUCCCCAAUUGAGUUAGGGAUUUCUCUCAGUGAGUGACAAUGCAAGGCAACCAAUUUCCUCAGCUUCCUCAGAGAACCGAUAAACGUAGGAACCUCUGUAAUAUCAGUAUUACUUAAAAUAAGUUCUUCUAAAUCUUUUAAUUCGCCCAUCUCCUCUGGUAACUCCUUGAGACUUUCAGAGUCUUGCAAAUUCAAGGAAACGAGGCUCGUGAGUUUGCCAAUAGAAGGGUGGAGAUGCUCUAGUCUACCACAACCGACCAAGAGGAGAAUCUUCAACUGUGUAAAAGUCGAGAGAUCAGGAGUACAUCUUAAAUUAUUGCACCACAACAACCCCAGAACUUUAAGCCGCUUUGACGCCUAAUACAAAAGGAGAAUAAGCUGUUUGAGAAUGAGUUGAUUGGCUAAAAAAAACAAAACCCUAAAAUCGCAAAGAGGAUGUCUUUUUUUCUCAAUCUCACCAUUGUUGAAAUCCAUCCUUGCCAAUCCUCUGUGAUCUCGUCGCUUGAUAACUCUAGUACCGAUAAAUUUGGUAGAUGCAAAUUGAUCGUUGAAAGAGACAAAUCGUUGACGGACCAGCGUUUCUUGAAGCGCCAGUCAAGCCAUCUCACUUCAGAAAAAAGUUCCAUGGAGUCUUUGCUUGAAGCUGCCCCCAGAAAGUCGUGGAACUGUGUCUGCAAGUUUUUUUAACUUUUUAGUUUUUUGGUCUAAUUUUGGAUUUGAACGAUUUUUCACUUUUUGUCCUUCCCCUAUACAGAUAUGGAUACAUGAACUCACAUUUAAUUCUUUUCUUUUAACAACCUAUGACGUGAAGAUAAAGAAAAAAAAUAGUUAUUGCUUUAAAACAACUAAGACAAAUGCACCUCACUAUUUUAUCUUUUGCUUUAAAAAAAAAAAAAUUUGUAGCAUGUGAACUUUGACUUUUGUUUAAGACAAUCUACAUGAAAUCAUUUUACGACAUACAAAUGUUUACUUGUAAAUGUUCAUUUGACUUUUGUAUAAUUUUUCAAAAGAAUUUGUGAAAGUGUCGAUUGGCCAUAUGUAAGGGUGUGCAUGACAAAAUUUUUGUUUCUCUAUUUCUUUAUUUUUUUGUUCCAUAGAUAAUAUUUGAAACAAAAAUCCGUUUGAUAACACAAUUUCAUUUUUUUUAAUAUAUUUCUAUUCCAUAAAUAAAUUUGAAGCAGAAAUCAAAAGCUAAAAUUUUUGCCUUUUCUAUUUCUGGAACAAAAGUGAGAAAUGAAAACUUUUCUCAUCAUUUACUUUCAUCACCGAUUAUCCCCCACCCGCCGCUCGCCGCAAGACGCUAGCCGCCUGUCGCCGGACUUCAAACGCUGGGCGCACGCUGGUCAUCCACCGCCAGACACUAGAUGUCGGCCGCUUGCCGCCGAAAAAAUAGAAAUUUUGAGUUGUUAUCAUACGUGUUUUUUUAUUCAUAAACUCGUCUAGAAAAUAAAAAUUGAAAAAUCAAUUUUUGGCUAGAAAUUUUGUCAUGUGCACGCCCUAAGUAGCCAAGGAAGCGCGGAAAAGAAUUAUAUAUAUAUACAUGGAGGUCUUAUUGAUAGACUUUAUUACAAAACUAUCUAAGGAAAUAAAAUUAGAUAUGUAUAUUCAAAGUAGAUAUAAAAAAUUCAUAGGAAAUUUCCUUAAUAUCUUUAACAUUAUUAACUAUUUUGGUGAAGUGUUCAAUCAUUUCUUUGAAAACUGAAACGUUUUUUUUUUUUUUUUGGUUAAGUUUGUUUAAAAAGUAACGUGGUGACAUUGGUUAGCAAUCUUGACAAGGAUUGAAAUUUUUUUUAAAAAAAAAGGUUGCUUUCAAAAUAACUAAAAAAUUAACCGAUUAACUAAAAGAUGGCGUGGUAACAUUUUUUAAUCAUAUGUCCGUUUCCAUAAGAAUUGCAUCAUUUCCUUUGGCAUCUUAUAAAUCAAAACAUACUAUUUAACUUUCCUGCUAAAACAGAUCAUUUAAUUAGUUGAAGAUGGUGAAAAAAAAUUCCCUUAUGGCUUUGAUUGACUUGUAUAAUAAUACCUAUAUUUUCCCCCAAAAGUUCAAUUGGUUAGAAAUUCACUUUCACAGUUCAACAUGUUUGUCGUUAUCUCAACUUUAAAUAUUAAUGGGUGAAAUGCAAUGGGUAUAAUUUCGCGAGUCUGUUCGUUGGAAAAAUUGCUAAAUUGUUGUAAUCAUCAUCCCGCAUUAUCUUUCAUAAUUUUCGCUUGUACAUCAAUUUAUACUGUAUAUUACAUUAGAAAAUUCUACUUUAUGGAAAAGGGAUUUUGAACCUCAAACUUUCAUCAAAAGUUUGGACGCAAUACGCAUAUAUUUCACCAAAAUGAACUAAAGAAAUUGAAUGUAACAGAAUAGACAUAAUAAUAUUUGAAAUAGUCAAGACAAUUGGAAAUUAGUCCCAUAACCAUUUAAUUUUCCAAAGUUAAAUCAAAAUCUCUCGAAUCAUACAAUUGUUUAAUUUUUCCCCCUCCCUUAUUAUCAUCUUUCAGCAAUUUUGUCUAUUCAAAACAGAUUUGGCCCUUUUUUUCUGUCAUUUUUCAAACACCCGUAUGGCGUGCUCUUUUUGCUAAUGUUAAGAAGUUAUUGGAUCAACAAAAGAGUGUGAUAUAGAAUCAUAGGAAUGAACUAUUUCAAAUUAUAUCAAGAAUAUAAAGCCGUUUUGUUUGCCCAUCUUUUGGUUAAUUGCUAGGGUUAAUUCCUCGCCUUUAAUCAGCCAUGAACCUAUGAGGCAUCCCAAAUGGACAAUAUGCAAUAAUAAAAUGACAUGAACAUUGAUCAUUUAAGUAAAAGAUAAAACAUAGUUGAAGAAAUUGGCUUCAUGCUGAAAAUCAUAUAUUAGAAGACAAGGGUAUGGAUAUAAUAAUAAGCAUGACAUUUCCUUUAAUUGGUCAAAUUUUUCUUUAUUUAUCUAUUUUAUAAUUAGUCAAGUCAAUCUAGACAUUUUGGCACGAAAGAGGCAUUGUCCCCAACAAUAUAGAUAAUAUAAAAUAGCUUAUAGUGGAUAGACAUGUUUGUCAGAAGAAAUCCACUCUUUAAUCCACGAAAUGAGCAAGGUCAACGGGAUAAAACUUUUAAAAACAGUAAGAUCUUCCUAAAAAUAUUUUUAAGGGGAUUUUUGCUAUCUUAUCUAUUAAGAGGAAAUAAGAAUGAAAAGAGAUAGAUAUAACUAAUAGAGGAACCGAUAUCUUAAAAAUCAAAAUGGAGAAAAUAAUAUCAAAAAUUGGAUUCUUAAAUCACAAGAGCCCCCCAAUACAUUCGGCUACACCAGAAAGUAAGCACAUGUCAUAAGUGUGAGAUUUUUUCAAAUCUUAUUGUUUUGAAUUAAUUAUCAAUUAUUGUAAUUGGCACAUACUAUCUUUUUCUUCUUCUUUUUUUAACCCAGAAAUCUUCAUUUGUCUAAUCUAUGAUGUUUGUACUUCAUCUACAUUCGUUCUUUCAGUCCUUCAGAUUAUAAAUAUUUUCAACUAGAUAUGACGAUGGCAUGCUUUUAGUAAACGAGUUUCUAGAGCAAAAUUGUAGUUAAAGGAUCUUAAAUUGAUUGUCAAGUAAAUCUUUACAUAUGUAAUUUAUAUCAAUGAAAUCGAAUCAAAUGGUAUAACUUUUUCAUCCUUUAAAUACUUAUAAUCCAUUUAGCUGUCACAAAUGAUCUAAAAUGUACAUAAAUGGAUGUUUACAUAGAUCUUUUUUUCCUAAUAAGUAAGAGCAUCUGUUCAUCCUAGAUGAAAUAUUAGAAUAGAGAGCAUCUGUUCAUCCUAGAUGAAAUAUUAGAAUAGAUCAUAUUAAAUAUAUUAAAAUCAGAGGGAAAGAAAAGGAAAGGAGUGCCAUAUUUUACCCAUUUAUAGGUUCUUAGUACUUUUGGGACUCCCUCGUAGUCCUUGUCCCAUGGUCCGCUGCUACGUUUCUCAGGCGAUUGUCCUUGGCAAAAAAUGCUCCUUCCAAGAUCUCUCAAUUGAUCAUGCAUCUUGAACUUACCAUUAUUUCCAAUUUUAAUUAAGCACCUCAACUUCAACUCUUCAAUACCUUGACUUGGAUAAAGCCCACAAUCCUCCCACAUGUACGUGGCGUAAUCAUUCCAUUCGUCAAUAAAGAAACAAACAAUAUCAAGAAAAAUCUGCUUAUGUCCAUCUUCUGCAUCAUAACUUAUUUGCAAUAUUUUUUGGACGUCUCUAUGCGGUUGGCUUUUUAACUGCUUCCACACAUCUUCCCAUACUUUUCGAUUCGAUUUUUUAUACAAGUAUGAACCUACGACCUCAACUGCCAAGGGAAGCCCGCCCAUGGUGGAUACAAUAUCACCAGAUAUACCCUCAAAGUCCCUCGGAGAAUAGUCCGUACAAAAGGCAUGCCUAUUAAACAAAAGCAAAGCAUGCUCCUGAUCCAAUUCAUUCAAAUCAUACUUGUCUACCGUGAAUUCAGAUUGAUCAAGAAUGGCUUCGUAUCUGGUUGUAACAAUAAUAAUACUUCCCGCCAUAAACCAAUUACAUUCUCUAGCCAAAGCAUUUAAUUGAUCCUUGUGAUCUAUGUCAUCCAGAAGAAUGAGAACUUUUUUCCCUCUAAAUCCAGAUUUGAUCCAAUUAAUUCCUUCAUCAACAUUCGAAGGUUGGAUUUGCAAAAUAUCCUUAAUUAGUUGCUUUUGUAAAGAAGCAAUAUUAUUGCAGCGAGCUGUUUCUCGAAUAUCUGCAAGGAAGCUACGAUGCACAAAGUCAUUCGAUAGCUGGUUAUAGAUUACCUUGGCAAGAGUCGUUUUUCCAAUCCUACCCAUGCCAUAGAUUCCAAUCAUUCGAGCAUUAGUGGUAGGAGUGUCUACCCAUUUCAUGAUUCUAUUCACAUGAUCAUCAAUUCCAACUAAGUGCUUAGUAACAUCAAGCUGAAAAUCUUGUCGCAACUUGCUCAAAACAUUUUCAAUAACUUUUUUCACUAAUUCUCCUUCAUGCCUGUCCAACAAAAAAACUCAUUGGUAAUUUCGUGAUUAUACUUAAUCUCAUCAAAAGGCAACGACAGACAUGUGAAGAAUGGAUGGGACCAAUUAACAUGCAAGAUGUUUUGGUUUUACAAAUAACAAUGGGGGUUGAUGGCCAGCGGUCAUUUCAUUUUUUUCCUCUCUUUUGCUAGAUGGAUCUUGUUGAAAGAAAAUAAGGCGGUGCACCUGGCUCGUUAAGAGUCUUUAGAAGUGUAAUGUUUGUUACAAGGCUUAAGAUUGCUGCUAGUUAAAUCAUAGGAGGCCAAUUUUGUUUUUAAAUUAAAGUUUAGGAGAAAAGUAGGUUACUCCGCUCUAAGGCCAGGGCAUCUCACAUGCCAAAAUUGAGGACUUAUAGUUGAUUUACAAAUCGCUACCAAUGGGGUCUACUGACAAUGGAAAUCAAACCUAGACAUGGUAAAUGUGAAGUGUCCGGUCCUUUUCACCUAAGCCAACUUCCAUUCGCAUGAGGAGAUCUAUUUUAUCUGGUGGUGAUAAAGCUUUGAAAUACUAAGCAUUCGAGUCCUUUCUAAGCGUAUUGUUUGGUGAUUGACCCUAUUGGCCGGAGGGGUAGUCAUUUCUUUGAUUUUUGCUCUAUUGGAGACAACUGCAAUUCAUCUGUUUUGCAUGAACAAGAAAAUUUAUGGGAUAAUUACUAAAAAAAGUCCUAAAUUUAUUAUAAUUAUGUCUAUUCAGUUUUAAUUUUUUUAUGGCUAAUUUAAUCCUAAACAUUUUGAAAAUAUGCUAAUACAAUCUAUCCAAUCAAUUUUGACUAGAAAUCUACAUGUACCGCUAGUAUUGACAUGGAGAAUUUUUAUAAUUUUUUUUAUAAUUUUUUCUGAACUUGAUUUAAUUUGUUUAUAUUUUUUUUUGUUUUGUUUUUUGUUUUUUUCUUCUUUUUUCUCUACGGUCACCGGCCAUAGAUGAGGGCCGCCACGUUGUGAGGGCUGACCUUGCCAGAAUCUGGUCCUUCUAGUGGUCCUAUAGAGAAUCGCAAGGAGGGAGACCGAGAGUUUUUCCAAUAAAGAGAGGGCUGUCGUUGGGUCAGAUGAGGAGGUUCGUCAGCAGCCAGAACGUGCUGGCGAACUUCGACUGGACGGCGCAGGUGGGGCCGGUGGAGGCAGCGGAGCAGAGGGACUGUUACUUUGACGACGAAGACAGAGACAAAGAAGAGCGAGAUGACGACGACGGCGACGAAGUGGUGAUUCCAUUUUCGUCCCCCAUUUUUGGUAGGUGGAGUGGAGUGGAAGGCGAAGAAGGAAGUGAAUCUGCGGAAGAAAAGGACAGUGGCUCCCCCUCAACCACUUCGCUUGCGACAUCCCCAUUAAUUCUGCAAAUAUAAUCGUGUUCUCGAAUGAUUGCGUUUCUGGAUUCCCGAUUUCUGAUGUUCUUCCUUCUUUUUUUAGGGUUAUUAGUUUGUGUUGGCCUGACCUCUUUAGAAGGUCCAGAUUCCGGCGAGGUUGGCCCUUGACAGGGAGGGCGAGCCUCACCAACCCUAGUAUGUGGCCUGUUGCCGGCCGUCAAGGAGGUCGGCAGCCUGAGAGAAAGAAGGGAUUUCUAGCUAAAAUCAGCCAGAAGGACUAUAUUGGUAGAUUUUCAAAAGAUUUAUGAUUAAAAUGACUAAAUAAAAAAGUCUAGAACUAAAUUAUCACUGUUAUAAUAGGUUUAAUAUUUAUUUUUUUUGUAAUUUCCCCUAAAACUUACUUAUCAAAAAAGAGAAGUUUAGGUAGAAGCAAAGUACCCGUCAGCAACUUUCCGAGACUCCCAUCCCUGUAAAUGACUCACUUUUUCGAGUGCUUCCUGCACUUUCUGGAUGUCCUCCUCACCAAAAUACUUCUUACAUGUACGAAAGGCCUUCCUACCAAAGUUUCCUUUGUUUAGAUGCCCCACAUCCGAUGGGUCCACUUUAUAAAAGAUGGGCAAAACUGUGUGUGAUGGGCUCUUCGCACGAUCCAUGAUAUGAAUAAGCUCACGGAGGCACCAUUUGCUUGAAGCAUAAUUUUCGGAGAUGAUGAGAAUCGAAAUCUUAGACCGAGCAAUGGCAUCGAGAAUUUGUGGACCGAAUUCCUCACCAAUUUGGAUGCUCUUAUCAUCCUUGAACACAGAAACUGGUGCAAUCCCUACCUUGAUUAGACUGUGAUAGAGGUGAUCGGUGAAUCCCUUGCGGGUAUCUAACCCUUUAAAGCUCAAGAACACAUCAUAAUUAUCGUUACGUAUUCCUUCGAGUGUUGGAGAGUUUUUCGAAGGUGUGGAUGCUCUCUUCUUCUUGACAAGAUAGAAUGCAAGCAUACUAAAAAGAAUCGUCGUGGCAAGCACCGCGGGAGAACGCCCCAUUAUUAAAGGGUGCAUCCCUUCGUUUGUUUCAGUGUGACUCCGCCCUUUGUCGAUGGCAAUCUGAGUGGGAAAGUUGGAGAGAAAGAUGCUCUCCUGCUGCAUAAAAAGGAUUGAUAAUUAGUCUCUAUGAAGUAUGAACAAGUAUGAACAUGAAAUCUUUUACCAAGCAAGAAAAAAUAAACAUGAAAUUAUUAAUUAAUUAUUAUUUGAUUGACUAGGAGCAGUCGCUGAUGCUUUCAAUCCUUGCUUUAUCUUCUUUUGGAUAUCAUCCUCUAGUCAAGUCAAUUUGCCGGCUUUGGUCCCCUAACGUAUAGAAUAAUGGAAAUGUACAAGCAUAUUGCAUUCGUUCAAAAUUAUACGUAGUGGUUCAGUUUUUACUUGAUUAUUGAAAAUAAGAUUUUGAUAAAUCAUUUUUUGUCAAAGAAUUUGAUAAAUCAUUUAAAAGCUGAUAAGUGAGCUGAGACAAAACUGGAAAUGUGGGGAAGGCGUGAAGAAAGGACCUAGCUAGUAAUUAUGAAUGUGAUUUUAAAUUUAAUUCGGCCAUAGAUUUCUCCUCCUGCACAGCACAAAGCCUUCCUUCUCCUUGUAAAAUAGAGAUAUAAUUUGUUAGACGGCACCAAACGAAGAAGCGGAUGAUCCCUCAGUGCUCUCUUUUUAUGCACUCUUUUCUUUCUUCAUAUUAGUCUGAACAAUUAGUAAUUAGGUACUUAUUCAAUGGAAGAAAAAGAAGAUAAAAAAAAGGUCUCCAGAUUCAAGCAAAAUGUGGCAAUUAAUAGAGUCUAGCGUGCUUGCAGACCUACUCAUUCUAGUUCAAAAAGAGAUCAGUACUGAAUUACGAUGUAACUAACAAUCAUGUAGUAAGGCCAUCAUAGGAUCAGCCACAUCUAAAGUCGAAAAUAAAGGCUUUCUUUUUUCACCGAAGUCAAAUCUGAGCUAAGGUACCUCGUUAACAGGCAACAACGAUUCCAAAAGAGAGAAUAAAAAACACCCUCCUCAGCUGUUCAGCAGCCACCCCACAUCCCCAGUAGACAAAAAGGGCCUAGAAGAUGAUGAAUCAAUAGAAACGACACGGUAGUAAGAGAUGAAAAAGUGAUUACCUUCCGCAAGCUAAGAUACGAAGAGAGGCGCGAGAUCGGUGAGAGAAGACCCUAANNNNNNNNNNNNNNNNNNNNNNNNNNNNNNNNNNNNNNNNNNNNNNNNNNNNNNNNNNNNNNNNNNNNNNNNNNNNNNNNNNNNNNNNNNNNNNNNNNNNNNNNNNNNNNNNNNNNNNNNNNNNNNNNNNNNNNNNNNNNNNNNNNNNNNNNNNNNNNNNNNNNNNNNNNNNNNNNNNNNNNNACGACCGGUAGACGAUAGGUUGAUUGACUGGCAGCAAUAAAGAUUCUUUUCAUAUGGCAAGCAAAGCCAAGCCACACAAUUUGGACCAGAGUACAGAAUGACCACUUCCAUUCAUAUCCACUCAAAAACCAUUUUGUUAAAUAGAUAAAUGUGGCUCUAACCAGCUUGUAAAUCUUCCAUUAUAUUAUUAUCAAAGACAUUCUUACUCCUGUAGGUGCUGCAUUUUCCUCCCACCAUAAAGAUGCAUAAAUCAUAUUGUCAAGUCCAUUGUAGGCCAAUAAUUUCCUACGCUAAAUAUACAUAAAAGUCAUGUCUUUACUAUAAGCAAUAAAAUUGCAUGAAAAGCACAUUUUAUGACAAGUUUCUUUAAUUCAAUCCACAAAGAUAAAGUCCACCUAAAGAUUGUCCACAUAAUAAAUACGUGCGAGUGCAUUGAAACCAGCAGCUUUGCUCACUUUCAAGUUUUCCAUUGUAACCGGCACCCAAAAAAGAAAAAAAGGUACAAUGAUGAAUUUUUCAUAUUUGGAAAACAUUUGAAUUUUCUAUCAUUCUUCCAAAAAUAUGAAAAUUGCCAAUAUAAUGGGAAAUGGUUUUGUGGACAACCAAAAAUUCUCUAGUUGAUCUGAUAUGUUCAGAUAAAUUUUUGUUGUUGACAAUUUUGAUCCGUAGCCUAUGAAAGGUUUUGUGCAUUAUUGAAGAGAAAAGACUAGCAUCAUCGAUAUUUGGAAAAAUAUUUUUAACAAUUUUCAAGAAAAAAAGAAUUAUUUUUGCAAAAAUCGAGUAUUUUGGAUGUUUUAGGCUUUAAGUAAUUUUGGACAAGUGGGGUAUGCAUAUGGCUGAUGGACCCAAAAUCGGGUCUAGAAGGAUAUUUUGGUAAUUUUUAUUUCCAAGGGAGUUCAAUCAACCGUUAAUGUUUAGAAAACAACAUCAGGAUAAAGGCUGGCAUGCGAUUCCACUAGAUUCAACCAGUCUAACCAUACAUAACUGAUUAGUUUAAUGGGAAGAUUGCAGUAAGGAAAUUAUCAAUAUAUAUGUAAUGAUGAUUCUGGAAAAGGCGAGGGAACUUCAUGAGUAAUGUUUCGUAUGCCUUAAAGGAUAUUAGGUGUCAUGUAAUGAGUAAUAAUCAAAUUUAUUUUUGUCCUAUCAAUUGUAAUAGAUUAGAGAAUGAAAGUCAGGCUUGCCUAGAGGAGUGAUGCAGAGAUGAAAUUCUUGCAAUGGGUUUUAGUGUUUGAGAAGAAAUUGCCUUGGACAGAUCAAGUUUUGUUUGAGUCCUAGAAGACAGUAUAAUUUGAGAAUAACCUUCACGGCUCAACUUGGAGCUAUCAAUACAAAUAUAUCUCAGAAUAAAAAUGAGGAUCUUAGUGAUUUAUGGUGAUUGGCGUUUCUCCUCUUCAAGCACAAGCAUUUGGGACUUUAUAUAAAGCUGUACUUCCCUUGCCCCAGAGGAGACGUGAAAUCUUGCGGUGGAUGGCGUUUCUUAGAUGAGGCAAUUGUACUUCUUUUGAUUCUAACCUUUUUGACCAAGACCACCAAAACAAUCCCUUCCUCGAAAUUGGCAAGACGAUCCCUAUAGACUUCACUAAUUAAUUCUUUUUGUUAUUGGAUCCCACAGCCCAGCAAAUCAAGUGGAAAUCAAAUUUUUUUGACACAAUGCUAGUCCUUAACAGCCAUGGAAUCAUCUCCUUUUCUUUUUUUCUUUUCUUUUUUUUAUCAAACGAAAUUAUCUCCUUUACUUGGGAACUUUUGCAAGUUGUUCAUAUUGAAAAUUACUUCUUCUCUUGCCUCGAAAAGUGAGCCCAAUGUGCUAGGGAUACACACAAUCUUACCAUGGAUUUGCACCUCCUCGAUGAGAAAAUUUACUUUUUUUAUUGACUAACCCUCACCUUUUGUUAGUUCUCUUUGUAAUUGAAUCACAUGGCCACACAAAUCAAAGUGAAGAUGGACAACGUUUUGCUUUCCCUUCCUAUUGAAAUAAAAGCCUCUCACCACUGGAAGCAUUGAAAUGGUCAAAAAUCUAUUUGUUAACUCAUAUUUAGUGACCUGAAUCAUAUAUGAAUUGGCUAAAGUUGAAAGAAUAGGUUGUUAUGAAUUUAAAGUAACAAGAUUUUAUUCAAUAUAUAAUACAUUUUAAUGAGUUUGAAUCAUGUCUAUAUGCAAUUCAUGUUAAUAAAAAAAAAGAAGAAGAAGUCUUUUCAUUUUCUUUCACAUGGCUCUUCUUAGGGGAACUCAUGCUCGAGUGUGGUACGCCCCAACACGUGGAGCCCAUUGUAUGUGGCGCAACAAUUGCAUGAGCUUUUUCUUUACUUGCCCAUUGCUUUAAUCAAUGAUCGAGUGACCCGUCAUUCAUUCCCUAUUCAUUAUCGAUUGUUUAAUCUAGUGGGACUCAUGUAGAACUUAUAUGGCUCCGGUCAUUUUUAGUUUUCCAAAUGUAAUCUUUCCCACGAUAUCAUUUAUCUCCACAUCUAGACGACAAUGUCAAUUAGGGUCAAUUCAGCCAAAUCUCCUCUGUACUCUUAAGGACGUAAGGAAUUAGAUUGAUAUCGUGUGCUUAAUAUGCACACAAAUUUUUUUAUCUUAGGUAUUUAGGGAUCAAAGUUAUGGUGAAGUAUAAGGGAAUGAAGACAGCUGGGAAAAUUACCAAAAAAGUCCUAAACCAAUUGUAUUUGUGCUAAUUCAAUCCUAAACCUCUAAAUUUGAUCAGUUUAGUCCUAAACCUUACUAUGCGGCCAAUUUUGAUGGGUUUAGGUUGCUUUGGAUGGUGGUUUUUUCUUGGUUAUUAGCCGAAUUGCAUUCUAAUGGGCACUUAAAUGUCAAAAAUACUCUUCAUCAGCUUAUCACACCAUAUGAUACAACUGUCACAUGAAAUAUAUGUUAUUCUACCACAUCAUCUCUCUCUCUCUCUCUCUCUCUCUCUCUCUCUCUCUCUCAUCGCCCCCACCACCAUGAAUUAAUGUCACCAUCCUACAGUCACUCGCCUGAACAACACCAACCAUGCCCUCCACAACUUAGGCCCCAUCUCUCUCUCUCUCUCUCUCUCUCUCUCUCUCUCUCUCUCUCUCUUCUUUGUCACAGCCGAACUCAAAAUAGAGGCAUCUUGCUCAAAGCUGCAAUGACACUUGACUAGACCUAGCGUCACAUUAGAGUAAUUUUGGCAUGCAUUGAGCUAGAUGCGGCAUUGGAUCUCUACUAGAUCUAAGGUCGAGCCCAACACUGCAGUGGCCGUCAUUGAGGACUCAUAACUCUAGGAUAAAUAUGUUGUUGCAACAGUCAAGCACGUCGCCAAAUUGGGUCAAUGGGAUAUUUCUUUCACAUAGCAUGAUCAUGUCAGUAUAUGCAUUUUGCAAAAGAAAUCUUUAUCACAAAAAAAAAAAAAAAGACUUUUUCAAAACUUUUAUAUCAAAUUUUCUAUGAAAUCGAGUUAAUUACCUUUUAGAAAAUUGUCUAGCGAGGGAAAGCAAGUCAAAGUCUUCCACCAUCUUCCUUGCUCAGUUGCAAAGAAAGUGGUAAGGCAAAAGGUGACAAGCCCUACGCAAUAGAAAAGCAAGAUAAAGUUUUCCACCAUCUUCCUCUUCUGCAAAGAAAGUGAUAAGACAUAUGCUGACAACACCUAAACGAAAACAAAGCGGGUGAGGGUGGGGGGGAGGGGGGAGGGGAUGGACUAGCGAGGAAAAGCAAGUCAAAGUCUUCCAUCAUCUUGCUUCCUUAGUUACAAAGAAAGCGAUAAGGCAAAGGCUAACAAGACCUAAAAGAAGGGGGAAGGACCGGUGAGGAAAAGCAAGUCAAAGUCUUCUACCAUCUUACUUGCUUAGUUGUAGAGAAAGCGAUAAGGAAAAAAAGCUGACAUGACCUAAAAGAAGAGGUAGGGGGAGAACUAACAAAGAAAAGCAAAUCAAAGUCUUCCACCAUCCUGCUCACUCAAUUACAAAGAAAGUGGUAAGACAAAAGCUGACAAAACCUACUCAAAAGAAGGAGGGGGCUUGAGAAGGAUUGAUGAGGAAAAGCAAAUCAAAGUCUUCUGCCAUCUUGCUUGCUAAACUAACAAGACCUACUCAAAAGAAAUGGGGGGAAAAGAUUCUAGCAAUUGAAAGCAAGUCAAAGUCUUCCACCAUCUUGCUUGCUUAGUUACGUAGGAGAAUAGAGACCAUUAUUUCUAGUGAAUAUUGUCUAAAUUUAAUUUAUAAAUGAUGUGACGGGGCAAAUCAAUUAUGAUAUAAUAAUUGUACGGAAAUUUGUAUUUUGCGGCGGGGGCUUUGUAUGGGGUUUGCAUGGUUUCUCUUAGGUGUUUUAUUAAAAUUUAAAUGUCUAAUGUCACGCCCCGAUCCUCGGUGACGCACCCAUCCUUCUACUUGGUCGAUUUUAAAGUGCGAUAUCCCAGGACUAAGUAUCGUCAACCCUUUCUUUUUAUUACGCAUGCGGAAGCAGUUAUGAAUCCCCAGACAAUAAAACAAUGGGAUAGAAAAGUAGGCCAUAUUUUUCAUAUUGAAAUUCACAACCACACUUUUAUUAACAGACAACUCAUAGAAUAUUUACAAUACUAUUCACAACAUACUUGUCUCACACCUAUCUACACUAAGAUAGGGUUUACAAAAGGGAUGGGAUCUCAAUCCACAUCUGAGUUAUACUCAAGAUCCCUCUUUGGAUCAUCUUUUUCUUCAAAAGUCUUUCUUCCCUUUAGGUUCCUCCUCCUCAGCUUCUCCUUAGGGUCCUGAAAUGGUUAUUCAAUAACCAAUGAGACCACGUCUCAGCGAGUUCUACCCCCUAAGACCCGAUUAGUAAGAAAAUACGCCCCGAGGGCUGCCUAAGCACAUCAUGGGUCAGAGGGCUUACCUUGGCCUCAGUUUCCUUCCUGCAAGUCAGUUCAAAUAAUAAAUACUGACAAUCAUAGCAUCCAACCAAUCAGAUCGACUUAACGAUCAAUUGACUCAGUCGAUUACAUGUUAUCAAAACCAUUACAUGGUCAUCCCGACUCUUCAUUAUUGACUCUGAAUCACAACCCUAUAGGCAUAAUUCAUUUUUAGUGGAAUCACGGCCCCACUCGGCAAAUUUUCUAGACUUGGUGGCAUCACGGCACCACCUAGCAAAUGUUCUAGACUUGGUGGCAUCACGGCCCCACCUGGCAAUUUUCUCAACUUGGUGGCAUCACGGCCCCACCUGGCAAUUUUUCUCAACUUGGUGGCAUCACGGCCCCACCUGGCAAUUUUUUCUCAACUUGGUGGCAUCACGGCCCCACCUAGCAAUCUUUAAUCCAACUCACAACCUCACACAGUUACUUUCCCUUCAAGUAUCAACAUUUUCCCAAUUUUGGGAUAAAUUCUCAUAUUCACCAAUUUCACUAAAAUUUCAUAAUCUGAUGCUCGAAUAAAUAAACAGAAAGCACCAUUGGAAUCAGCACAAAAUUUCGGUCGUCGGCUAUCCCAGCCUAAUUUUCGGAAAAUAAAUAAAUAAUUAAAUAAUUACGAAAAAUAUUAAAUAAAUGCAAUAAAUCCAACUUAGGCCCGUUAUAGCCUAAUUGGAAGCCGAUACGAACCCGGAAAAUUACCGAGACUCGUUCCAUAAAUAACAUGGCAUGCCUACUUGCUAAUGUCUAUUUCUAACCACCUAACAUGCAUCAUUAAGUCUCUAAUUUAAUUGAUCUAAACUAAUCUAACCACCUAAUUGCAUUUAAUUAAAUCUAACCAACCCCUAAGCGUAAUUAGCAAACUAAUAAAGCAUUAGUGAGUAAAACUCACUUGAUCAAAAGCGGGGACCGAAUCACCGCAACGGCGACGCGACGGCGGCCGAAAUCGGGCUUUCGACAACACCGGCGGGCUUGGACCGGGCCUAAGACUUGGCCCUACAAACUUCAGCAAGGCUGGGCUUUAGUGAAAUUCUUGGGAUGAGUUGAUCAGGGCUGAACUUGAUGGAUCCUUGGGCUUUGCUAGAAAUCGGGCUUGGCCAAUUAACUCACAUGGACUGGACUGGGCUGCAGCUGAGAUAAUUCGACUGGGCUUGAAACUAAGCUGAAAAUGGGCUGAUCUCUUGGGCUGAAAACUGCUGGCUUUGCUGGGCUUCGGAGCUGAAUCUGCUCGGCCUAAUUUGCGGCCCAAAUGACCUACAAAGGCUAAACUGGACUGCACGUUGGACUGAAUUUGGUUGGGCCCGAAAGUGAAGAGAUGGGCCACGAAGAGGACGGAAGCAGCUUCAGUCACUGGGCUACCGAAAUUGAAGGUGCGUGGACUGACGAGCUGGGAGAGGAACUCGGAUGAGGCGUGCUGCAAGUGCUUCGUUUGCUGCUGGACGAAGAAGACGAAAAUCAACCCAGCUUCAGUAGCUGGCUUCUGUUCACCAAAGCAGCUUCGGUCUUCAUGGACAUCAAUGGACGAGGAAGCAGCUUGGGGUCUUCAUGGAGUGCAUGGGCACCAACGUGGCAGCUUCACGAGGUCAACAAGGUGGGACGGUUCUUGCUGGAGUUGACCGUGGAAGCUGCAGCUUGGACGCGUGGCUGAAGAAGAAGGUUGCUGGGCUUCCUCGUUGGCGUCGUGGGGUCUUCGGUCAACAAACUGAAGCUUGUUGCUAGAGUUUGACCCACGGAGCAAGUCGGAUGCGUGGAGGCUGAGAGGACUUCGGUCUUCAGUGCUGGACAACACUUGAAGGAAGCAACUGUCGCAUGCUGGCUGAGCGUAGGUCAACCGGUCGUCCGAGAGGCAGCAAGGUUGACUGAAAACGUGGCACGGAGCUGCUUCGGUGUUGCCUCGGCGUCUUCAGGCAGAUGCGGUGGACUGAAGCUCCGUGAAGUGGAGACACGGAACAGGAGUUUUCGUGGCGUCGAAAUGAUGAAAACGUUGGCGAGGAGCUGCGGGGUUCUUGGGGCCGAGAGAUGCAGAAGCUGAGGUCGGCAAAUCAAGCUUGCCCAAGAAGAUUCCAACGUGCGGAUGAGGGGAGCCAGCUAAGAGGGAACAAAAAUCAUAAAUCUUAGCCAAUACAUUUAAUGUUUUGGCCCCACAAGUCCACAAUACACUCCUCUUUGUCCCCCCAACCAAUUUCAAGCUUAUCAACUCACAAAUAAACAAAUUUUAAGUCCAAAAUUGCUGCCUCAUCCAAUCAUACGAAUUUCACCAUUUGAACUUCAAUUUCUCCAAUAAAUUCCCAAAUUGAGGUCCAAUUUUGAUGUAGAAAAAAUCCCAAAUGAUUUUCUAUAAAUCCCCGACACACAACGGCUCAGUCUGGAAGUCCAAUUUUCUAUCAAUUUAGCUCGUCUGAAUUUCCGCCAAAUUUCCGCGACGUCCGAAACGGUUUUCCGUAAAAAUUCCUGAAUCUCUGAAAAAUCUUCUGAGACUGAGUCGACAUUCCUAAAAUUUAUUGUGACACGACAGAAUCUUCAAUUUCUGAAAUCGGACUUGAAUUGACGGUUAAUUUUCAUUCGGCACGUUUUUAGCAUGACCUAGACUACCUGGUAGUUUUUAGAACUUUUCAGGACAAUUGACUCGUGGUCGAUUUUCUUCGAGCCAUUAUGAACCCACUCGACUCAUUGGCGACUCUCGCUUGUCGUAAAAAUCUCGAGGAUCCAAAUACGGACACAGGGUACCAAAGCAAUAAGAAAAUCAGUCUAGAGCCAGUCGACGAGAAUUUUCCAAUUUAGUGGAGUCACCCACAAUCGGCCACACAUCUCAGUCGAAUAGACCUAUCUCUGAUCUCAAAUCGAUUUUUUAACUGUGCUGUAAUGGCCUCUAAAGAUGGACACGGUCGAGAAGCCGAUUCAUGAUCGAGUUCUCAAGUCUAAUUGCCUUAAAAUUCCUAAUAAUUUCUCCAGAUAGUCUAGUUAUCUCAAGAAUGAUCAGUUCUGAGAAUAGCCCUAUAGACGCGUCAAUGAAAUGCCCGAUUUAUUCAGUAGAAGACAGGGUCGAAAAAUCUGGAUGUCACAUCUAACAAUACUACAUAAAUAUGUUAUACAUCAAACUGUCCUAUUGAUUCUAAACAACUUGUAUUUAUCUAAUAGCACAUGUGGUAAUAUUAUUGUUCUAUAAUUAUGUUCUUUUUCCUUUAAAUUGACAAGAGUGAGCCAAUAUAGAUCAUGGUCCAUGAAUGUGAACUCAUGAAUAUUUGAUACAUGUAAUACUAAUGCUAGUCUGUCAUCGAGUGUUUGGCAAGAGUUGAAAUUGACAUGUGAAAGCUAUCCAUUAUUUGAAAUUACAUCAACAUAUCCAAAAGUAGCUACUUGAUAAAGUUUGUCAAAUUUUCAUCGUUAUUUAAAUUCAUAAAAUCCAUUUUCCCCUGCCUUGCUUGCGUCGCUUUUGCUGCUCGUGAGUUAUUUUGUUUUUGAGAUUUACAUUAGAUCCAACAUUCUUUUGGUCCGGAUACAAUUCAGCACAUGUAUAAGAUAAAAAAAAAAAAAUGUAAUUGCUCCAUAUUAUGAGAAUGCUAUUAAAAGGAGUAACAUGUAAAAUUAGUAAGAUUUGUGCCUUCUGAUGAGGAACAUUCUUGUCGUUUUAGGGCUUAACAAGUUAACAGAUAAUGGACUGUUAAACUGAUCUGAAAAAUCCCAUUUUGCUGGCUUUUAUUGGUCAUAAAACACAGGAAUCGAAGGUAUCUUGGUACUCUCUUAAGUGUCUUCUAGAGCAAUAGUUGGAUAAAUGGAAUAAGAUUGUAUCUUUGACUCUUCCCUCUUUCAUCAGUUGACUGAGAUGAGACAUCAGCGGCCCAAAAUGUAUCUUUGACUCUGCCCUGCUUGCGUCGCUUUUGCUGCUCGUGAGUUAUUUUGUUUUUGAGAUUUACAUUAGAUCCAACAUUUUUUUGGUCCGGAUGCAAUUCAGCACAUAUAUAAGAUAAAAAAAAAAAAAAAUACAAUUGCUCCGUAUUAUGAGAAUGCUAUUAAAAGGAGUAACAUGUAAAAUUAGUAAGAUUUGUGCCUUCUGAUGAGGAACAUCCUUGUCGUUUUAGGGCUUAACAAGUUAACAGAUAAUGGACUGUUAAACUGAUCUGAAAAAUCCCAUUUUACUGGCUUUUAUUGGUCAUAAACCACAGGAAUCGAAGGUAUUUUGGUACUCUCUUAAGUGUCUUCUAGAGCAAUAGUUGGAUAAAUGGAAUAAGAUUGUAUCUUUGACUCUUCCCUCUUUCAUCAGUCGACUGAGAUGAGACAUCAACGACCCAAAAUGUAUCUUUGACUCUGCCUUGCUUGCGUCGCUUUUGCUGCUUGUGAGUUAUUUUGUUUUUGAGAUUUACAUUAGAUCCAACAUUUUUUUGGUCCGGAUACAAUUCAGCACAUGUAUAAGAUAAAAAUAAAAAAUAAAAAAAAAUACAAUUGCUCCGUAUUAUGAGAAUGCUAUUAAAAGGAGUAACAUGUAAAAUUAGUAAGAUUUGUGCCUUCUGAUGAGGAACAUCCUUGUCGUUUUAGGGCUUAACAAGUUAACAGAUAAUGGACUGUUAAACUGAUCUGAAAAAUCUCAUUUUGCUGGCUUUUAUUGGUCAUAAACCACAGGAAUCGAAGGUAUCUUGGUACUCUCUUAAGUGUCUUCUAGAGCAAUAGUUGGAUAAAUGGAAUAAGAUUGUAUCUUUGACUCUUCCCUCUUUCAUCAGUCGACUGAGAUGAGACAUCAGCGGCCCAAAAUGGAAAAGAACAAGAAGGGAUAAAUUCAUUCACACCCAUAAUCUUAGUACCACCAAAUAUUAAGACUUCGAAACAAGGUUAAAAAUCUUGGAUUCUAUUGCUCAAUAGACAAACGCAAAGGAUCGACGCAUGAAGAGAACAAAGAAUAUAGUUUACCUUCACCAGCCAAAAGAUUGCUAGGUCAACAGCAAAUGCAGGAAAGAAAUAGAAGAAAAUCGUACAAAACCUUUUAUUAUUUACAAACACAUACCAUCCUUGAAACAAUAUGCAUGCCAACAAGGGGAAGAGCUGAAAGAUUGUCUUCAACACAAAAUAACUAUAGUCACACCUCAUCUUUUUUAACAUGUAAAAACAACCAUUUCAUUCGGCAAAAUUUACCACCCUAGUCAUGAAGAGCAUGGUAUUCAAAAAGUACAUCACUCUCAAACGUACUUUUCAUGCACAUGGCAAGGUGCUUAUAUCAUAAAAAUUAUUGCUUAUAUCACUUAACAUAAUUAGUCAAUGAAAAAUGUUUUCAUUAUCGACAAAAAUUUAGGUCCAAACAUUUUCGUGAGUCAUAAAAGUAUCUUUUGUUCAUUCGUUAUUGUUAGCAAUUUUAGUGGAAAUGUUUGUCAAAUUCAUUUUCCACAAGACAAACACACCCUUAAUGUCAAACAGCUUCAAUGUUUAAAACUAGGAGAGGGAAAUUUGAAACAGACGUUUUACUUUGGUUUAUGACAAGUAAAAUGGAUUGCAAAUAUCUUUAGUUUUUGCACGUGUGAAAAUGAGAAAACACGGUCACUGUCUUCCGCAGUGUUGCUGGGUCAUUGGAUGUGGGAACCAAAGAAGAUUUGCGUAAAAAAUUGAAUGCGGUUCUAGCAGAUAGUUUUCAAUUUUCACCCAUACUACGACUUAAUAAUGGAUCGAAUUACAAAAUUCGUAAUAAUUCUUUUUAUAUAAUUAUGAUGUAAUCAGAGCAGCUUGAUAUUUUUCAUUCCAUAUUUUUAAUUUGCAGCUGCAUAAAUUAUAUUUAAAAGAAGGUAAUGAAGGAGGUGAUGUAUACUCAUAUUUAAAUCAAUCUCGGUUGGUUAUUUAUGUGGAAAGUAUACAACUUUGAAAUCAUGAUUGUUAGCUAAUCAUAUUUCACAGCGCGAGGCGAGGGAAAGCAAGUCAAAGUCAUCCUUCAUCUUGCUCGCUUCAUUGCAUUUCCCAAGUCCUCUUUUAACCAAAGAAAGGGACAAGGCAAAUGCGGACAAAACCUACUCCAAAAAAUUAAUAAAUAAAUAAAAGACUGUAGUCAACGUUCAACUUUGGAGUGAUUCUUGUUCUUCCCCUGAAUUUCCUCGAAGGUGUGUGAAUGUGAGGUAAUCGUGUAUACCUAUCUCUAGGGGACAUCAUAAUUACAAACACGUUAUGUUCACGGUGAGACAAGAGACCGGUCUUUAUUGUGGAAAUGUUGCAUAGGAUUAAUUUAUAAAAGACGCAACGGACAGUGCUAAUCAUAAUUUGGAGCUUUUGGAUGAAAGUGUGGCUACUUGUGUUUUCUAGUAAGACUUGAUAUAGGGUUCUCAUAGUUUUUCAUAGAUAUUUUAAGAAAUUUUGAUGUCUGUUGUAAAUUUGAUAUGCACCGAACUUUUUAUUUUGUUUAUUAACUCCAAGUAACUCUUAUUUAUCUAUACAUUUGCUGCUCUAUAACUAUACUUUUUUUUUUCUUUUUCCCCUUGAAAUGAAAAGGAGUGACCUAAUAUACGUCAUGAUACAUGAAUGUGAACACGAGAACAUGCGAUGCAUUCAAUUGGUAGCCUCAUGAAAAGUUUGAAGAGGGUCGACAUUGAUUCGUCAAGCUAUCAAUUGCUUGGAAUAUACAUCAAUAUCCUAAUAAAAUUUGUCAAAUUUUCAUCUUUGUCCUAAUUCAUAAUAUGUGUUUUCUUCUCUCAUGCUUGCUCUGCUCAUGGUGAGUUUAUUGAGUCCACGUUAGUCUAAUUAUUUUCAUUGAUCCGGGGGAACAAUAGUACAAGAGUGCUAUUAAAAGGAGUAACAUGAAAAACUAACAAGAUUUUUGCCUUCUACUGAGGAUCAAACUUGUCAUUUUCCGGCUUAACACAUAAUGGACCAUUAGACUGAUCUGGAAAAAUCUAAUUUCAUCGGCUUUUAUUGGAUAGAAACUACAUAAAUCAAAGGUAUGUUGGUGCUCUAUCAAGUGUCUUCCGGAGCAAUACUAGGAUAAAUGGAGUACUAUUGGCUCUUUGACCCUCCCCUCUUUCAUCCGUUGACUGAGAUAAGACAUCAGGGGCCCAAAACACAUAAGAACAAAAAGGAAUAAAUUCAGUGACACCCGUACCAACAAAGAUAAGACUUCAAAACGAGUUUAAAAAUCCUGGGUUCUGCUGCACAAUAAACAAAAGCAAAGGAUCAACACAUGAAGAGAAAAAAGAUACUUUACCUUCACCAGCCAAAAGAUUGCAAGGUCAGCAGCAAAUGCAGGAAAGAGAUCCAGAAGAAAACCAUAUGAAACCGUUUAUUACUUACAAGCAUAUACCAUCCUGGAAACUAUAUGCAUGAUUGUCUUUAACACAAAUUAACUAUAGUCAUACGUCCCUUACCAAAAAAAAAAAAAAAAAAACUAUAGUCAUACGUCAUCUUUUAACAUGAAAUCACAAUGAUUUCAUUCGGCAAAAUUAGCCACCCAUGUCAUGAAGUGCGUGGUAUCCUCAAAUUGGAGUUGCAAGCUGACAAAGCCAUUUAAAGGAUCGCAGCCUUCAGCCACUAAUCAUAUGUGAAAGACAGCCAAAUGUCAUGUGAAUCAGCAACUACUGUCCUAUUCGGUGAUGCUAACAUUUCAGCCUUCCCGUUGUUCACAUGAAGAGCACAGACAAUCAUAAUGAAAUGAGAGAAAGCAGUGUACGAUGAUAUACUCUUUAGUCAGUCAUCAUAUGUGUCAAGCAGAACCAUUUAAGGCUCCACUGCCUUCAAAAUCAGAUCACCAAGUUCUGUAUCUUCAAGCCGACUUUGAAUGGUAGUUGCAGAUCACUUCUUUUAGGAACACUCUUGGGGAAAUCGAGCAUUUGAUGAUGUUAACCUACAUUCUGACAAAUACAGGUCAUUGUCUUCAUUUUCAGAGUCUUCAGAAACCCAACCAUCAUGAUUCACUUCACCAUUGGAUUGCACAGCUGCCACAUCACUAUUAUCCUCUUUUGCAAGGAAAUGGAGAUCCACAAACAUUGAAGACACAUUCUGUGAGAGAGUAGUUUCUAAAUCUGGAUCGGCAUGGUCAGUAGCUGAAAUGGAAUGGAAGUCCUGAUCUCCAACCAUUGAAAAGGGGAGAGACUCUGAACUUCUAAUAACUCUCUACAGAUUUUGCUGACUACUUGCAAUUUUCACUAAAGACAUGGAACUACCCUGAGCAGGAUAAGACUCCUCAUUAAGACAUGCUAGUCAGCAAAAGCACUCAUAAUUAGAUGCAGACAACAAGAUGGCUCAAAAAGAACAUAAAUGUUCCUACAGUUGACAGCAACAAGGUAUUUUAGUAACUGAAAUAUCACCUUCCCUGGAAGUUGAUUGAUCGAACCAUUUGCAAUUCAAAAUAUGAAUGUGACCCCACCUUUUAGUGACCUUGUAUUUAUCUUCUGGAGCUUACAGCCAGUCAAGGGCAUCGUAGUGGGACUCACACUGCUACAGAGCAUCAUAUAUGAGGCCAACAGAAAGAUUCAAUGGUAAUAACAUUGCUGAGCAAUGUGCUUUGAGCAACCAACAGGCAGUCCUAAUUCACACUGGAAAAGCGAGAACUGGCUGAGGAUCUUUUAACAAUUAGCGGUUCAAAUUGUACGUUGUUUAACACCUUGUUUCCUUGAACCACAGAACACAAUUCUUUAGGACUGAUUUAGAAGUCAAAGUCAAUGAUAUUGUCAUGCCGGGAAGUUUCACUGUUUCUCAUCGUAAUCAAAUUCCCAAGUAAAAGGAUAUUACCAAAAACCAGGAUUCAUAGCCAUUUCCUAUUUCAAACUAUAAUCGUCACUAAACCUUGAAAUGAUACAGAUCUUCUUUUCAAACUCUUAAAAGUGUUUUCAUAUGCGAAGACAAGAUAAAGAUAUGUGCAUUUUGACACGGUGAUCAGAUAUCAAAAGGAAAAUAUGCAAGCAUAUCACUGGACCUUAAUCUUGAAGAAGAAAAGGAUAUUUCUGCAAUUAAAUGAGUGCACUUCCUGGUCAAUUCUGCAGAAUAUCUCCUGCUAUUUUCUGUAAUAUGCUUCUGAAUCUCCUUCCGUGCAUCUGAGAUCAUGAAGGACAUAAAAAUUGAAGAACUGGAGGACAACCAACAGCAGCAGCUAUAUCAAACAAUCAGUACCUGCAGGAAUUCCUGCGACAUUCAUUGUCAAUCCAGAAAAUGGAAGAACUCUAUAAGACUCUUGAGGUACAACACGGUGCUCAAUACGGCAUUGGUAUAACCAAUUAAUGGUGACAACAGGUCACUUCACAACAUUUAAAGCCCACUGCAUGAUGACAACAUUAAUUGAUAAAUACAAUUUGUCUCUCAAGAUGAAAUUCAUAAAAGACUUUGCACAGAGAAUAUUCAAAAAAAUAUGGAGGAAACUCUUCUUUAGUUCAGCCAACUCAAUGAGAGUACUAAGCUUCCCAUACUUAGUGAAAAAGCAUAAUGAAUCUCAUUUAAAGUGAUUUAACCUUAACAAGAUACAACAAAUUCACAACUCUUAAACUAAAUUCAAAUUAUUAACUCCAAGACCUAAACCUUGUAUUUUGCAGCCAAAAUAUUCUUCGCAGUUACGAAGCUAACAUCUGCUGAAGUUUUGGUCUGUAGAACUCCCCACAUUGAAGUUACCAAUUUCUCAAUCUCAGCCUGUAGAUUUGCGGAAAUGGUGAAACAAUAAGAGAGACGACAGGCUGCCGCCAUAUUAGUUCAGACAAAAGCAUGUCUGAAGGUAAAAGAAUCAAGGCGUCACAUAGAAGGAUACAUGGAUAAGGAUAAGUGACACGCCACACUAAAUUUGAGGUGAUGAGUUACGACAAAGAUUACACGCUAAAAAAAUCAUACAAGGCCAGGCUUAUCUAGGAACAGGCAUACCUUCUCAUCCAUCUCAAAUCCAGAUGCAAGGACUUCGACACCAUCCAUCGCAAGACUGACAAGUAUACCCUUUUCGAGGUAGAGUCUCCGUUCUUUCGCACGCGAAACCCCCACACACUGCGGACCCGCAAGAAAUAUCCCCCAUCAAUGUCAACAUUUUUUUCCCAGGCAGAAGAACUCCUCUCGACUUGCUUGGCCAGCACAUUGACCCCAAUGCCUCCGCUUUCUUUUCUCAACUACAGGUCCUGGUUUAGCAUUUAGCAGCCUCGAGGAAAAACCAGAAGAUAAGACUAGGACGAGAACAAGAUCUUUACCGACUAGCUUACAAUCCUUUCGCUCGAAGAUCCUCGAACUUCUCAAGACGUAAAACAACCUCAAACCCAAUUUUCAAAAUGAACCCAAAAGCCGUUAGCGCCGCCCAAUCCCAACGUACUCACGUGAUCGGGGAGAAGAAACAGCAUGAAAAUCGCGGGGCCCACUCCUGGAAGGAUCGCAGCGGAUGGAAAGCCUCGGCUCCGUUCAGCUUGAGCGCGUCGAACAGCUCGGGAGGCACUCAAGUUACUCGGCACGAACACGAUCGCCCCCCUCAAACGGCUUCGUCUUCGCCAUUUCCUAUAUUCCUUCUCCAGCAGCGACUUCCUCAACAGAUGAUCGGUCUCGUUGCUAAGGAUUUCUGCGAAAUCUAAAUGCAUGUGCGUGAGAGAGAGAGAGAGAGAGAGAGAGAGAGAGAGCAACGAUAGCAAGUUAGCAACGAUGAAGCGCGAAGGGAAUCGGAAGUUGGAAGAGGAUGAAGGAGGAGCGAAUUGGGGAAAAAUUGAGUGGAGUGAGCUUUUUCUGAAUUCUUCCCCCAAAUAGGGAUGGAUUAGGGUAUGAGAAAGCGCGGGAAAAGGGGUUUUUCUUCGGCUCUUUUCGGAUUUUCCUUUUAAUUCCCCUUUUUUGUGCUAUUAAUUUUGUGGAUAAUUUCUCAAAAACCCCCCAACUUUCACACCGUUGCAUGACUACUCUCCAACUUUGAAAUAGAUACACACGAUGCCCGCGCCGGGCGACACGAACCACGAAAAGAAAAUAAAAGAAAAGAAUAAAAGUAAAGAAUUCAAAAAAAAAAUUAAAAUUGCAAAAACUUUUCCAUGUCAAUAUUGAUUGCGUUAUAAUAAAUGAUCGACAUUCAUGUUAGCAAUUUUGAAUCAAAAUUAAUCAGAAGAAUUACAUUAACAAAUUGUCAAAAGUUUUAAAAUUAAAUUGACCAAAUUAAAAUUUAUUAUCGAAUUGACAUCCGUUAAUGAUUAUUUUGUUAAAUUUCCCUAAGAAGUUAGUCACAUGUCUAGAUCAAAACUUCACAUGAAGUUUUUAUUGUGGGCCCAUAAGUGUCAAAAAAUUACAUUGGAUCAUGGAUAACACUUUUUAUCAUGUUUCAAGAGCAACCAAAGAUUGGGGCUUCUUGGCGAUAAAUUUUUUUAUAGGUUUUUUUUUUUUUUUGGUUGAUAUCUUUUUAUAGAGUUCAACUCUACAUUAUAUGAUCAACCAAAAGAAUUUUAGAGACACUUUCAGAGCAAAUCCUAAUAUUAAUUAUAAUAAUAAACGUGAGUCAAAACUUUCAUUUCAUGCAUUUAAAUCCCAAAAUUUGUAACUCCAACAUAUGUGGGUCCUUUUGUUAAUUAUGUCAAUGGAUGGAUAAUAACAAGUGGAUUUUUUCUACUCACGGGGCAUUUUCUGUCUGCUAAAACCUAAUAGGACUAAUGGGAAGACUAAAGUGGAUGAAUACAACAAGUUGAGGGCUCAGGUGACGAAAUGAAAGUUUUAAGACCCAAAUGUAUCGUCGCGACGUCUUUUAAAUUGACUUACAAAUUCAUCAUGCUAACAAAACUUAUGAUCAUUCCUUAUACUUGACUUUGGAAAUAUGCUUGCUAUGUUUGCACAUAUAAUCUUGGGACAAAUAUAAUAACUACAAAAAUCCAAUGAAUCAAUCCAUGACAUCUUAGGUUGGACAUGAGUAUCACGAUAUUGGACAGAGCAUUCGAAGCCCCUUGAAACUUGUAGUCUUACAAGAUGAAAAAGGAAGCCUGACAGUAGGAGUAGAUGUACAAUUAGAUCCAAUCUAUACUUUGGGACUUCGGAAACUAUAGAGGAGGUGGGACCCCUAAAUUCCAACACACCUCGUACAAAGAAGAUUUUGAAUGAGCCAUCAAGCUGCAUAUAAACAAUUUCCAUAUAGGUAUAUUGAUUUAUAUGAUAUGCAUUCAUUUAAUUAACCCUACAGCUAUAUCCAUGUUGAGUUUGUGACGCUACUCUUCUUGAAGUGCCCUAUGAUAAGUCUACUAUUCAUCAGAAAUGUCUUUGACCUCAGUUUCUAAAUAAGUUUCGAGAUCAAAUGGAAUCAACUAGGCUCUACGAGAUCAAACAGUUAAACAUCGAAAAGUUUCGAGAAAUCUCGAUUUGUUUCCCUUGCCACUCCCAUGCACCUAGUAAGGUACUUCAUUAUAGAAUAACCAAGAGUACCUUAUCCACCAAGUGACAAAACUUAUUAGUAAUUGCCGCUCUAUAUUGAUGACAUAGAAGACGAUCUCCAAAAUAAACUCAAAAAAGGCAACUAAUUUUAAGGCAAAUAGGAAUUUACAGCUCUUGCCCCAAAAAAAUCAUUGCUGGAGAUAUGAGGCAUCCGCAAUGCCAAUUAACUACAAAGGCAAUGACAACCAGUCAAUCAAAUGAAUUCAAUUAGCUAAUGAAAAGUUCAACAAAAGGAAAAUGAACUUAUGUCAUAAGGGACAUCUUAAAGGUAAAUGCUUUUUAAUUCUCGCUAUGACUAGACUGUUCAAAACUUGGAUGUGCAAUUGGUUGAAGGUUUAUUUUAGGUGGAAGAGAGGGAUUGGAUUUGGUAGAUACGAGUCUUUCCUCUCUGGACUUCUUUGAAUGGAAAGGCAUUUCAUUCAAAUCCACCUCCGAUUUUCUCUUAAUCUUCUUCUACGGCAAUAUCGCCUUUCCUUGUCUCGCAUCUUCCGAGAAGGUGCUCAAAGUUAAUGGUUUCCUCUUGCUUAAUUCUAUCUGUUUUGUAAUAGUUUAUUAGGAUUCUUUUAGCACCAGAUGAUGGUGAUGAUAAUGAUUGAUUACAGCUACUUUUAUACAACGCAAGGGAGCUUUUCUUUUCCAUCCAUUCCUUUGUUUGCCGUUUCCGAUGCGGAGCUCCACAUGUAAUCAUAGCAUACAAUUAAAUAUGCUCAGAUUGGAGAGAUGGAACGGCUGGGAUUCUGGUCCCAGAAUCAGGUCAACAUGGUAAGGAUCGAAAGCCCUUUUGCAUAAAGAAAUUCUGGGCAAUGAGUCAGCCCUCACUCCCCACCUUUCUUACAGAUCCAUCACAUCUUUACUAAAUUAGGGCAACGUUGUUGUAACUAUAGGUGCAAUAAUUUUUAAGAGACGCCCAAAAAAAAUAAAAAUCGCCAGGCCUCCACGGAACGAAGAGUUAUUUUCUUGCAUCAGCUUUAGUCUUGAGGCCCGCACUGCGUGCAUGCGUGAUCACAAAUGGAUAACGUAUGAAGAGAAAAGAAUUCUUUUUAUUGAGCGGAUGUGGAGUGUGUGCUAAUUACACACGGGUGUAAUUUGGUGAUUAGUUGGUAAGGAGACGGUGUGUGAUUUUAACUUUCGACAGGAAGGGCAAUUUUGGAAAAAAAGAGAUCGACAAAAUAAUGUUAUGGUGAAAACAAAGAGGUGCAAGUGUUGUGAGAUUCAAACCUAGGACCACGAGCGAUAAAGAUUGAAUGGUGAUGAACUUGUUUUGCCGUUUGGAGAUAGAUCUUCAUAUAUCCAUCAAAAGCAUGUUUUGGGUUGGUUUUUGAACGGGUCAAAAAUAGUUCGGCUCAAAUAAACUCAUUUUAAUCCGUUUAAUCUAUUUACAUACAAUAUGUAUAUAGUGACUCAGAUCCAACAAUGUCCCGUGUUGCUAAAACAUGUCUUUAUUUAACCCAAAGCUAGGAAAAUUCACACCCAAAAUCGAGAUGGGUUGGGUCGUAAACCCAUUUAGUACCUCAUCAUUUAUUAUGUAAAUUUUGACAGGUUUAAUUAUUCAAGAGAGAUAAAAAGACAAAAACACGCCCGGAUCGGAUCCGGACUCAGCACUGUUUUCGCAGCACCGAUUGCAACGGGCAAAUGGCCCCUUUCCUCGCCCGACCCACGGUCCAUCCCCCACGUUUCUCGUCCGUGGCACGUGACUCGCAGGUGCAGAGACAGAGAGAGAUUCGACCAUGUGACCCCACCUCCUCGAAUGCCCAGAUCCGCCAGCUUCGGCGCUUUGACUUUAAAAGAAAAAACGACGACGCAGCACAAACCGUUCGGCGUUCGACCUCGGCAGUUCUUGGCAGAGGGGAACGUCGUUUCGCUCUUCCAUCCCCCGUUUUUUAACUUUUCAUCUUUUCUUUAUUUCAGAUUAAAAAAAAAUAUUUUCUUUAUUUCCUUUUUUUUCUUUUUCUCGAAUAUGGUUAAAGGCCAAAUAUUUCUAAGAAGGCAAAUCCCGAUUUUUCCCCCUCCUCCCCUUUUCCGUGUUUUCAUACAUUCUUUUUUCUCCUCUGCUUGGGACUUUUAUGUAGGACGAAAUUUCCUUUUUUUUUUUUUUUUUUUGUGCUAAUUAAAUGAAAGAGAUCUUAGAAAGGGAAAGUCCGUCAAAUUGAAGCCAUGCGUAUCCAGGUACCCUUCUUUUUUUCCAUUUUCAGUUUUUGGCAAUAAAAUUAUUUUUGAAUAAUGGAGAAACCUUAAUUUUUGCAAAAAACGAGAACGAAUCUCUCGAGAUGGAUUAGAUGCAUUGUAUAAAAACAAGUAAUACAAAUGUUUUUGUGACAUCCUGAAAUUCGACCCCGUUUCGAUAAAGUGAAAUGGGCAUUUCGUCGGCGUGCCUAUGGCCUUUUUCUCUGAGCUGAUCACUCACGAGUUAACUGACCUAUUGGGUGAAGCCGUUAAGGGAUGUAUCGGCCGUAAAAUCCCUAAAAGCUACCUAAUUGGUUGGAUUGAGCCAAAAUCACGUCUGAUCGAUUUUUAAUCACGAAAUUGAACUCGAUUUCGGGAAUUGAAUUUUAAGCGCGUCAUAAUUCUUAUUUUUAGGAUCCUGUCUCAUCGCUCGUCAAUUUAUUGACGAGUCCGAAAUUUAAAUAAAGAAAUUAUCGGAAGAAAAUUGAAGACCAAAAGAAAAUAGAAAGGAAAAGGAAAAGAGAAAAGGAAAAUUUGCAUAAAGGAAGUAUGCAUUUUAUUUUUCUUUUUCUCUCUCUCCCCCUUUUCUUUUUCUCUCUUUUCUCUCUCUCUCCUCUCCCCUCCCCCUCGUGCGAAUUCUUUUCCCCCACCGACUCAGGGCGCGUUUGGUAACGAUUCUGUUCCCGGGAGCUGAUUCUGAUAAGAACUGAUUCUUUUUGAUUCUGUUCCCGGGAACUGAUUCUGAGUAAAAACACGUGUUUGGUAACUGUUCAAAAUUUUUUAUUCUGGAAUAGAAUUGCGUUUGGUACCGUAUUAAUUGAUUCUGUUCCAAAUUAAUUUCUUUUGAUUUUUAAAUAAAUUUUAAAUAAUUUCUUUACUUUUUUACUUUUUUCUUUUUUUUUUCCUUUUUUUUUUCUUUUUUUUCUUUUUCUUUUUUCUUUUUUUCCCCUUUUUUCCUAUUCUUCUUCUUCUUCAUUUGGCCGGUCGCCGGACCGGCGACUGGCCAGACGAGGGCCGGCGACGCUCACCGGAGCGCCGCCAGCCCUCGGCGAGGUCGGCCUUCGUCGGCCGAGCCUCGCUGGCAGCUGGGCGAGGCUGGCCUCGCCCAGCCUCGGCGAGGCCAGCUUGGCCACCGGCGGGGCUCGGGCGAGCCGGAACUCCGGACGCGUCGGACCCGCUUCCAAAUGGACGAGGCCGAGUGCUGCCGAGUAUGCGGCCUCAUAGGUUGCAAUAGGCUCUCGCUCUUCCUCAAGGAAAUGUCGAUCUCGCCGGACCGGCGGCUGGCGGCGGACCGACGACCGGCGGCGGCGGCGGCGGGCGGCGGCGGCGGCGGACGGCGGACGGCGGCGGGCGAUGGCGAAUGGCAACCGAGAUGAUGAAAGAGAAGAACAAGGUUUUACCGUUUUGAUUCUUUUUUCUGAUUCUCGGACGAGAAUCAAAUUUUUUUUUUAUUCUCAAAUCUUGUCCAAAAUUGUUCCCGGGAACAAAAAAUUUACCAAACGCGAUUCUCGUCCCAAACUGAUUCUGGGAACAAAAAAUCAGAAUCUGGCACUGUUGGGCAAGUUGCCAAACAGGCCCUCACUUUCCUCUCUCUUUCUCUCUUUCUUUUUGACUAGUCAAAGCUUAUCUCCUCCUCUCUCUUAUCUUCUUCUCUCUCCUCUCUCUUCUCCCUCACCCCACGUGACAGAAACUCCUCUUCUUCCUCUCUUCUUCGUGCGACCCAGCUGAACAGAAACGGCAGCAGCUCGCCUGGGAUCAGAGCGGCCGCCAUCGCCGCCCAAGAUCAGCCGCUCGCCGGUCGUCCUUCCCCGCGCUCCGCCGCUCACCGCUCGCCUCUGCUUCCCCCUUGCUCCCUCAGCUGCCGCCGACGCCUCUCUCUCUCUCUUCUGGUUCGAACGAACCAGCAAGAUAAAGGUAGCAGCUCACCGAAGCAGCCGUCGCCACCGCACCGGAGCUAGGCCGCCGCUCGCACCGCACGCCGUGCGGCCACCGCUCCGCCAGCCCUCGUUCCCUCGCGCCCAGGUCUUUCCCGUGUGUCUCCCACCCCUGUUCCGCUUUGUCCAGCCACCGUGGGUGGCCGAGCAAGCCGCCGGAGCCGCCGUGCAGCCUUGCCGGACCGCCACCUACCUUCCCGACCCUUCUCCGCCCCUAACCAUGUCUGUUUUCCCCUGUUUCACAGCCGAACCAGCAAACCCACGAGUGGGUUUCCAGCCGGUUCGUGGGCCGUUUUGGGCCGUUUCCGGGCCCCGAACCCGAGCCGUGCUUUGGGAAGUUUUGUUCCUCGCGUCGCCCCCGUCGGAUUGAUCCGACUUGCGCGCGAUUUGGUGAGUAAUCUCACUAAUCCUGGAUUAGUUGGCUAAUUAUGCUUUAGGUUGGUUUAGUUUUAAUUAAUUAUAUUUAGGUUGUUAGAUUAGAAGUAAUUAGCAAUUAUUAGUCAAUUGUGAUGUGAUUUAGAUAAAUUGAGUGUGCAAUUAACAAGUAGACAUGGUCUACUAUUUAUUGGGAGUGUCUCGGGAAUUUUCGGACCCCUAAUUGAGCUUCAAUUUGGCGAUUCGGGCCUAAGUGAGAUUUUUGGCAUUUAAAUAUUAAUUUUCGGAAUUUAAUUAAAUAAUUAUUUAUUUUCCGAAAAACCAAGGGAGAGGGUCUGGAACCGGAAUAUUAUGCUGGUGAUCGUGGCGAAGUCCGUUUAUUUAAUCGGACUUUAUUUUAAGCUAAAUUGAAUUUUUAAUAUUAAUUAAUUUUCGAAAUUAAUUAAAUAAUUAUUUAUUUCCUGAAAAUUCAACUGGGAUGGCCCGUGACCGGAAUAUUGUGCUGAUGACCGUGGUGAAGUCCGUUUAUUUAAUCGGGCUUUAUUUUGAGCUAAAUUGAAUUUUUAAUAUUAAUUAUUUAAUUUUCGAAAUUAAUUAUUUUUCGGAAAUUAAGAUAUUGAUGGCCGACGACUGAAAUCUCGUGCUGAUUGUCGUGGCGCAGUCCGUUUAUUUAUUUGAGCUCUACGUUGUAUGAAAUUAAAUAAAUUGUGAUAUUUUAGGGAUUUACCCUAAAUUGAUUGAAUUUGAGUGAAAUUGAAUUAUUGAUUGGCAGAUGGCCGAGUAUGGCUAGUUAGCUAUUGUAAUGCCUUGUUGAGCUGUAAGUGGAGAGAGCAAUGAGAGCUAACUGAGAAAUCUAUUGACUGAGAUCGAUCAAGUACGAAGUAUAGACAGGCGUGGUUCGGUGAUGGGGAAUAUCACUGUGCGAAAACGGCGCCUUAAAGAACGCACGUAGACUGUCUAUGACUUAUGGUAGGCGUGGUUCGGUGAUUAAGGAAAUCACUGUGCGAAAACGGUGCCUUAAAGAACGCACGUAGACUACCUAUGAAUCGUGACAGGCGUGGUUCGGUGAUUAAGGAAAUCACUGUGCGAAAACGGCGCCUUAAAGAACGCACGUAGACUGUCAGCGAUUUGUGACCUAUGACGGGCGUGGUUCGGUGAUGUGGAAUAUCACUGUGCGAAAACGGCGCCUUAAAGAACGCACGUAGACCGUCUGUUACUUAUGUCACCUUGGCGAAAACGACGCCCGAGAGCAUUCAUCCGGCUCUGUGACUAAGUGUACUAUUGGAGAUUAUCGUGAUCAGUAAUUGGUACGUCACCUUGGCGAAAAAGACGCCCGAGAGCAUUCAUCCCGGCUCUGUGACUGAGUACCCGAAUGGAGAUUAUAAAGUAUGGUGUUGAUGUGACCGAGAGGUGGUCCGAAUGACAUGUAAUCGACUAGGUCGAUUGAUCAUUGUUUUGAUCUAAUGUGUGAAUUGAUUGAUUGAAUGGGAAUGACCGUGAGUGGUCUUGUUGGCGUGUAAUCGACUAGGUCGAUUGAUCAUUGAUUUGAUUUGAUGUCGUGGAUUGAUUGACUGAUUGGAAAUGACCGUGAGUGGUCUUGUUGGCAUUUAAUCGACUAGGUCGAUUUGAUCGAUGCUUUGAUCGGUGAUAUGAUUGCUUGGGUGCCUAUUAUGAAUUGUACUGACUUGCAGGUGGGAUCUGAUGCCAAGGUACGUCUUCUGCCAUGUGCGUGGUUAGGCAGCCUAUAGUAUAGUGGUUUACUAAUCGGGCUUAGUGGGGUUGAACUCGCCGAGACGUAGUCUCAUCCCAGUUUGGGGAAAACCAUUUCAGGACCCCGCCGAAGAGCUGAGAAGGAGGAAUCUGAGAAAGAGGACUCGGAGGAGAAUCUUAAGGAGAAAGAUUUUUGGAGGAAGAAGGCAAUCCUGAGAUGGGCCUUGAGUACGGCCCAGUUCGUCUAAGUUUCUGUCUUCUUUUGAGAUCUCCAUUUUGAUGUGAAUAGUUUUGAAGUGGUUUGUGUUUUGUAUAAAAGUUUGGUUAUAAAUUUCAAUAAGAAAAAUAUGGCCCUGCUUUUCUAUCCCAUCGUUUUAUUGUCUGGGGAUUUUAACUGCUUCCGCAUGUGCUUAAAAAUUGAAAGGGUCGGCGAUACAUUGUCCUGGGAUAUCGCAUUAUAAAAUCGACCAAAUAGAAGAUGUGCACGUGCCCGAUGAUCGGGGCGUGACAGUUUUGGCCACUUAUUAGGAUUUUGACUUAUGUUUUAUUCGGUUUACAAUGUUAGAGGGUUAUUCUUGGGAAUUUUUCUGAAAUUGGAUUAUCGCCAAGAAAGAAGUAUGAGUAAAUUAUAAUUUAUAAGACCGGAUCAAUAGAUUUCAUGCAAAGUCUUCUUUUGUUCUUUUGGUCAAAAAAUUUAUGCAGAAAUUUUGAUGCUGUAGAGCCUGAAUAUCUGGCGGAGAAUUCUAACUUUGGUAAGCAAUGCAAUAACACAAACCACAAUUAAGGAACCAACAAAAUGCAAAUUCUUCUGAACCCCUUGGCAUCAAAUAUUAAUAAAUCUGGUAAAAAGCCAUUAAAAAGUCAGUCACGUCUCGCAAAGAAACCGUUAAAGAUGACAAAUCAUUCAAAUUUGACUAGUCAUGUGCACCAACAGUGAAAGCCAUGAAAAGAAGAGGGCAAGUGAAAUAACUCUGAGCUUCAUGGCUGAUAUGAUUCAAAGAAAUCAUAUCACACAGUGUCACUCUCCUCCCAUCAGCUGAACCCAACAAAAAAAAAAAAGACAAAAUAAAAACGGAAGGAGUUGGAGAGAAAGGAGGUGGGACCCGAGAAAAUGAAGGGAAGUGCUUGGAUCAAUGCUUCAUAAGAGAGCCUGGCAACAAGGUAGUAUACAGUAUCUCAUGUUGAAAUAAAGCAUACGUGAAAUUCAAAUCCAAGAUCUAACUGUGACUUUUAGAAAAUACGAUUGCUCAAAUAGCUACGUGUUAGGGAAAAGUCUUUGAUACAUAUAAAAACUGCCAAGUUCUGAAGAAAAUUAUGUGACACGACCAAUGAGGCCUUUCAAUUGUCAAAAACACGUUAAGUUCCAUUUUCUUUAGUGUGGCGCAUGUGUUUGAUUAUAUGGCGGAGUGGGUGGGUGUGCUUUGGGGGUUUAGUGGAGGAAACUUGAAGCAAAAAGGUUCAAAACCUGAAAAGCCUAGCCCCUCUAAACCAAUGGUAUCAACAAGAAAAAUUCUACAGCCUUGGCCCCUUAGUCUAUCCCGAGAAAAGGUGGCAAAAAUGGGUCAAAGACUAACUUUUUAACUUACACUUAGUGGAAUCACUGGAUUUACCCCAUUGGCUAUCCUUCUAACAUAAGAAGGGAGAGGUGGGGGGUUUGAAUCCCCCAUUCUUAAGAGGUCGAAGUAAAACCGAUUUAGUUUUAAAUGUAGGUUCUGACUUCUACACCUUGUAAUGAGGUAAGACAAAAGUCUAAAAGUGAGAGUUAGAGUAAGAUCAACUCAUACUUAGUGGGCUGGGCAUUAUUUGUGCUGGUUUAAAUUUUAAGAGCAUGUUAUUAUGCUUCAGAGUAGCAAAGCCCAACUUUGUCUUGGCCCAGCUAGCUAAUUUUCAAAAGUGUAUCCGCAGCCCACAUCCCUAAAUGGAGUUGGGAACGUGAGGAUGUGAUAAAUAAAUGGACGUCACCGGGGUUGUAUUUAUUCCUCGCUAGCUCCACACGCUAACGAUUUCAUCUAAAUCCAAUAUAUUUUAAAAUGAUACACUGGCUUAUUCUCUUGAACCUUUAAAAUUUUAAAUAAUUGAUUGAUAUAUAGAGCUAUAAAUUGUUAGAUGACACCAAAGAAGAAGCGGAUGGUCCCUUGAUGCUCCCUUCUAUGGCGCUCUUGGUUUUUCGUCUUGAAAUGAUUAAAUACAAGGAUAGAAAGAAGAACUAGUGUAGCGAGCACACACAAAGGAAUGAUGUGAAAUGAAACAAUGUCUCUCUCUUGUUUCCCUUGCUCUGGCUUUGCCCUUUUCUCCAUGGAAGUCGUGGAAAAGUAUUAGACAAUAUAAAAAAUAAGAAUUAGUGAAAAUCUAUUGAAAAAGAUAUAUAUAUAUAUAUAUAUAUAUAUAUAUAUAUAUAUAUAAAGGAUUAAUUGUUUGAGGUAUGUAAGCACUAUUCUUGAGAAUAAUUCCACCCCUCAAAGUAUGAAGCUCAGUACAAUAGGCUCUAGAGGUUAUCCUCACAAGAUAUAACUCCAUACGGAAUAAUAAAAGAAAUGGAAACAUAUUGUGUGUAUAGCACAGCAAAAAAAAAAAAAAAGGGAAAUAUAUUUGAAUUAUGUGAAUUUAGUGUAUCUCAAAUGAUUUUUGUUUAUAGUUUAAUCUUGUAUUCGAAUGAAAGAGAAGCUAUUAAGAAAAAAUUAUAAAUUAAUUGAUAAUUAAUAAAACCAUGACCAUUAUAAAUGAUAAUUUGAUCACGUCAUAAACGAAAGAGAACCCAAAAUUAUCCUUUGCACCUCAUAAAGUCUCGAGAUCUUUGUCUUGGUAAAUUUCCUUACUCAUCAUAACUUUUCUUUAUCAAAUGAUAAUUUGAUCACAUCCAUAACUUUCCUUUCAUGUAUUGAAGUGAUUACACCAAAUCGAUUUUGCAAAAUAGACUCAACGGAUCAUGUUUUUUCCCUUUCUAUCCAACGAUCCACGUUGAAUGUAGGACUAAUCCCAUAAAAGAGAGUUUUGACUUGUGAAAUUUCCAUCCCCGUCAGGAGGUUUUGCCCAUAGUGAAGUAGCUUUUUAAUUAUUAUUUUUGCCAAAUAGUGAAGUAGUGUUUGGAAAUGCUAUUUUUCCUAAAGUUUUGAAAAUCAUUCCACUAUAAAAUAUAUUUAAUAUAUAGAAAAGGAAAAAAAAUGUAAAUUAAGAAAUAGUAUUACUUUGAUCCCACAUACAACAAUUAUAUCCUGCAAACUAUGGCAAUAUACACCAUCAUGAUGGUUUUGUGAAUGCUUCACAAAGAUGAACUGUCAAAACAAGAUUGCAACAUGUCUAUAACAGCUAAACAACCAUACAUAUGGUAAUUUUUAGUUUUUGCGGCUAGUGGUAUCUCAGCAUAUAAGGGCGUGCAUGAUAAAAUUUAUAUUUCUCUAUUUUUUUUGUUUCUCUGUUCCUUGAAACGGGUUUGGAACAUAAAUCCGUUUGGUAAUGCAAUUUGAUUUUUCUAUUUCUAGAACAUAUUUUUAUUCCAUAAAUAGAUUUGAAGAAGAAAUCAGAAGCUAAAAUUUUUAACUUCUCAAUUUCUAAAAUAUAAAUUGAGAAAUCAAUUUAUGUUCUAAAAAUUUUGUCAUGCGCACCCUAAUUUUGUGACUUGUGGACCAGUGUCCUCAUCAAGACCCUCAAAGCAUGAAAUCAACUAGACAAUCAUGUUUAAAAGUAGCUUUCUAAAGCAUGUUUCAACUAGAAAAAGGCAGUAUAAAAAAUGCAAAGGAAAUAUGUACAUCAACAAAAAGGUCAUAGAGAUCACAAAUCGUGUCCUCCAUUGCAGCAUCCAUAUCAUAUUGUCUUUUAGGAAUUUCUUUUUCCUUCCAAUACCUGAAAAUCAUCCGAUGCUCCAGAUUGAUGCUGUAGAGCCUGAAUAUCUGGCGGAGAAUGCUAACUUCGGUAAGCAAUGCAAUAACAUAAACCACAAGUAAGGAACCAACAAAAUGCAAAUUCUUCUGAACCCCUUGGCAUCAAACAUUAAUAAAUCUGGUAAAAAAGCCAUUAACAAGUCAGUCACGUCACGCAAAGAAACCGUUAAAGAGGACAAAUCAUUCAAAUUUGCCUAGUCAUGUCCACCAGCAGUGAAAGCCAUGAAAAGAAGAGGGCAGUGAAAUAACUCUGAGCUUCAUGGCUGAUAAGAUUCAAAGAAAUCAUAUCACACAGUGUCGCUCUCCUCUUAUCACCUGAACCCAACAAAAAAAAAAGAAAAACAAAAUAAAAACGGAAGGAAUUGGAGAGAAAGGAGGUGGGACCUAAGAAAAUGAAGGGAAGUGCUCGGAUUAAUGCUUCAUAAGAGAGCCUGGCAACAAGGUAGUAUAUAGCAUCUCAUGUUGAAACAAAGCAUAUGUGAAAUUCAAAUCCAAGAUCUAACUGUGACUUUUAGAAAAUACGAUUGCUGAAAUAGCUAUGUGUUAGGGAAAAGUCUGAUACAAAUAAAAAUUACCAAGUCUGAAGAAAAUUAUGUGACACGACCACUGAGGCCUUUCAAUUGUCAAAAACAUGUUAAGUUCCAUUUUCUUUUGUGUGGGGGCAUGUGUUUGAUUAUAUGGUGGAGUGGGUGGGUGUGCAUUGGGGGUUUAGUGGAGGAAACUUGGGGCAAAAAGUUUCAAAACAAUGUGAACCUGAAAAGCCUAGCCCCCUAACCGAGUGGUAUCAGCAAGAAAAAUUAUACAGCCUUAACCCCCCUUAGUCUAUCCUGAGCAAAGGUGGCAAAAAUGGGUCAAAGACUAACUUUUUAACUCAUACUGAGUGGAAUCACUGAGUUUGUCCCAGUGGCUAUCUUUCUCACAUGAGAAGGGGGAAAUAGGGGGUUCAAAUCCCCCUUUUCAAGAGGUUGGAGUAGAGGCGAUUUAACUUUAGAUGUAGGCUUCGACUUCCACACCUUACAAAAAGAUAUUGGCAAAAAUUUGAAAAUGAGAGUUAGAGUAGGAUCAGUAAAAAGGAAAAUCAACUCAUACUUAGUGGGCUGGGUAUUAUCUGUGCUAUUAUGCUUUAGAGUAGCAAAGCCCAACUUUGUCUUGGCCCAGCUGGCUAAUUUUCAAAAGUGUAUCUGCAGCCCAUAUCCCUAAAUGGAGUUGGGAACGUGAGGUAGUGAUAAAUAAAUGGAUGUCACUAGGUUUUUAUUUAUUCCUCGCUGGCUCCACAUGCUAACGAUUUCAUCCAAAUCCAAUACAUUUUAAAAUGAUACGAUAUCACCGGGUUAUUCUCUUAAACCUUAGAAAUUGUAAAUAACUUAUUGAUAUAUAGAGCUAUUACUUAUUAGAUGACACCAAAGAAGAAGCGGAUGCUCCCUCGAUGCUCCCUUAUGCAGCGCUCUUGGUUUUUCACCUUGAGAUGAUUGAAUACAAAGAUAGAAAGAAGAACUAGCGUAGCGAGCACAUGCAAAGGAAUGAUGUGAAAUGUAACAAUGCAUUUCUUUGUUUCCCUUGCUCUAGCUUUGCCUUUUUCUCCAUGGAAGUGGUGGAAAAGUAUUAGAUGAUAUGAAAAAUAAGAAUUGUUGGAAAUCUAUUGAAAAGGAUAUUUUUUAAAAAAAAAGAUCAAUUGUUUGAGGCAUGCAAGCACUAUUCUUGAUGAUAAUUCCGCCCCUCGAAAUAUGAAACUCAGUACAAUAGGCUCUAAAGAUUAUCCUCACAAGAUAUAACUUUGAACAGAAUAAUAAAAGAAACAGGAACGUAUCAUGAGUAUAACGCAGAAAAAAAAAGGAAAUAUAUUUUAAUUAUGUGAAUUCAAUGUAUCUCAAAUGACCGUGGUUUAUAGUUUAAUCUUGUAUUCAAAUGAAAGAAAGAGCUAUUAUGAAAAGUUAUAAAUUAAUUGAUAAUUAAUAAAACGAUGACCAUUAUAAAUAAUAAUUUGAUCAUGUCAUAAACGAAAGAGAGAACCCAUAAUUCUCCUUUGCACUUCGUAAAGUCUUGAGAUCUUUGUCUUGGUAACUCAUCGUAACUUUUCUUAAUCAAAUGAUAAUUUGAUCACAUCCAUAACUUUCCUUUCAUGUAUUGAAGUGAAGACAGAAAAUCGAUUUUACAAAAUAGACUUGACGGAUCAUGUUUUUUUCCUUUCUAUCCAAUGACCUAUGUGGAAUGUAGGACUAAUCCCAUAAAAGAGAGUUUUGACUUGUGAAAUUUCCGUCCCCGUCAGGAGGGUUUGCCCAUAGUGAAGUAGCUUUUUAUUAUUAUUUUUGCCAAACAGUGAAGUAGUGUUUGGAAAUGCUAUUUUUCCUAAAGUUUUGAAAAUCAUCCACUAUAAUAUUUAUAUUUAAUAUAUAGAAAAGGAAACAAAAUGUAAAUUAAGAAACAGUAUUACUUUGUCAAUGUUGUCUUUCACUGACACACAGCAACAGAUCCGUCUGUAACUCUAGUAUGAUACGCAAGUCUUCCGUUUCCAAAGUGGGUCAAAUGAAGCCCGGGGUGCAAAAUAGAGUUUAGACAAACUUCAGGGGCGAAAGAGGAAAUUUCAAAAAAAAAAAAAUCGAAAAAAUAAGGCUCCAAUCUCUCCCAUUCUCCGGCGUAUCUAUAAAAAUAGGUAGCGGAAAACAUCACCAAUCCCGCCAUCGCUGGGAACGUCUUUUGAAAAGAGCACUUCGAAGCGCAUGGUCUCUAGAGAGAUUAGCGAUCGUCUCGAUUCGACUGCAGCGUGUGCAUCAUUGAUCGAUCGAUUGAAUCGCUUGAACAGGUCGAGACUCCAUGGAGGAUCGGGGCUUGGAGGAGGUAGAGAAAGUUUGGGGUUGCUGAGCUUGGCUCUCGAGUUCGGCUUCGACGAGCAGUCUGCCAGCAAGUGCUUGGGACCGUCUCGUUUCCCUCUACGGUAACUCGAAUCGUUAUUUCAUCGCCCACUUUUUAUGCCGAUUAGCGUUGCGGAGGUUGUGUAGGUAUUUUGACGAUUGAUUGUGUUGCGUGGAUGAUUCGUGAAUCGAUUGAUUGUGCAGUCCUGAAUACGGAGAUUUAUUGGGGUUAGUCGUCAUUUUGACGAUGGCUGUGGAAUGGUCUGCCUUUUGGAUGUGAAUGGACCAGAGCUGGUUGAAUCUAGUUCAUUGAUCUCGUCCCUAUUUCUCUGUGGGUUUUGCGGAGCAGUCUUAUUGACUAGCGAAAUGUCUUGACUUAUUUUUGAACUGACUGCAAAUUUACAUAUGGUGUCUUGCCUACAUAUAAAUAUGGUGUCUCACUGAACUAAGUGCAAAUCACAUAUUGUAGAUUGUGUUUAUUUGAUCUCUUGUUUGCCAUGGAACUUACAAAAUCAUCUCUUUCUUCUUUUGGUUUACUUAAGGUGACAGAGGUCAAGAGUUUAUCACUGUGGAGCACUGUGGCGAUGACUUCCUAGCAGAACUUGCUAAAACUAUGCAAGAUACUGAGGAUUGGAAUGAUUUGCAAUCUGUGGAAAUCAGAAACUUGUGGAGUUUUGACUGAUAUGUUUGGCCAAGAUAUCAGUAAUGAUGGCGAAUGCAUUGUUGUGCACGAUGUCAAUAUUAUAGAAGAUUCUCCACGACCUGAGAAAAGUCAAUCUUUCCUUGAGGUAGAAUCCUCUGCUGACAAUGCAGACGAAGACGAUAUAUUUGGUAGUAAAAUGGGCAGGAAACCCACAUGCUAUAUUCCUGAUCAAAGCAGCACUCCGAGCCCUUUAUCCACUCAACUUCUGGCCAGACGAUCUUUAGAAUCCAUGGCAUGCUUUUGAAAACUGUGAAGUUGUCUCACUCCCUUCUGCCCCCACCAGUUUGAAAGGAUUAAGAAAAAGAAAGAAAUGCAGGGUGGCUUGGCAUGUUUUUUCCCAUCCCCAAACAUAAUUGGGUGACAGUUGUUAAAUUUGUGCCUCGAGUUUUUGAUUCAUGGACCUAGAUUUGGCUUGGGAUUGGCUCGUUUAAUUGCAUGGACCAAAUACGCAGCUUGAAGAAUGUCUGAGUAUUGUACAGGGUUGGCCGUUCAGUGAAGCAACUGUGGACACCUGAAGAAGCCACGAUAGUUACUGGGCAAAUCCCAGGAGUCUGGCCACAAUGGUCCAGUUGUCUAGGAGGUUAACAAAAAGUUGGCAGAUCUCGGCUCAUGAGUUUUUAUUCUUUUAACAAUGAUUCUGCAACUCAUAUUUUUAUAUAUUUUUGUUGCUGAUGUAUAUUUGGGCCAAGAAGGAAAAUAAGAAGAAUUGAGAACAGAUUGUCUUGGUUUUUGAUCAGGAGAGUUUAGAGUGUCCUUUCAGAAAACUCUUAAAACGCUUUCCGCUCAUCUAGCUCGCUUUUGAUUGACUCUUGCAAUUGGGGUUUUGGUCAGUGAGAAAUUGAUUUAUUUCUUAUUGUAAUUCCUUCUUGGUCAUUGUGAAACAAGUCCUCCCAUUGACAUGGAUGAAACUGCCCAACCCCUUAAAUUAGCGUGUUACUGUUCUUUGCUCUUAAAAUUAAUGUCUUUCCUUGAUCGUUUCCAGUUUGCUUGUAAUUCUGCUUACAACAAAGGACCUUACGCAGGGUUCUCUAUACAAGAGCAUUUAGUAAAUUGCUUAUGAGGGCUCUCAUCCGAUCAAAUGUAUAAGACACUCCUAACUUUUGCCAGUCUUUUAAGAUCUAAAAUGACUUAUAUUAGAACCGUUUGUCAAUAAAAACAGUUGAUUUUUUUUUUGAAAGUAUAGUACAUCAUCCAAGUGUUGGACUUAGGAUCCGACGGCUUUAAUAGGAGUGUUUUGCAAAAUGAAGGCUAGGGAUCUCCUGUGCACAAUUUUCUUUUUCCAUCACUCCAUGUCAGAAACUUUUUAUGGUGCUGAAGAGGCUUAUUUGUGUUAAAGGACUGUAAGAGCACUAUCGCUCAAGGUUCAAUAUCGUCAUUUUCAAAUAAAAGACAUUUCUCUCAAAUUUCGACAUGCAAACAAGGAACUCUGAGUUAUGAGGAAUUGCGACCCUUGGAUGACAUAGAAUUGGCAAAUGUUGUAAUAUUCAGAAACAAAGCAUUUCAACCAAUGCAGCAUCAGGCUUGUAAAUCUUCUGUAGCCAAGCAAGAUUGCUUCAUUUCAACCAAUGCACCAUCUAGGACCUUCUGAUCACUGACUGGAAAAUUCAUCUUGUUUAUGCAUACAAGUGUUGUUAUCAGUCAUAAUUUAGGUCCAAUCCAAAUGGGUUACUAAGUCAAAGAGGAAUAAUUUUCAAAGUACUUCCACCAAAUAUGGGUUCUAGAUUUCUAAAUUUCCUCGCAGUUAUUGGCUAUGCCAUUUUUUCACAAGGGGUGAUGAUCUAUGACUUCUUUUUUCCAUAAUUGGUAUGAACUGAAUGUCCUUUAAUAUACAAUGGAUCUUGGUAGCAUCCAAGAUAUUUGAUUUACUGAAUUAAGGACGAAGAUAUUAAUCUAAAUUUAUUAAUUUGAAUUUUCUAGAAGUGUUUUCUAUUCAGUCUUGAGGUGGUUGAUAUAUGUUUCUAGCUGAAAGUAAUUAUAAGACAAGUAGCGACUACUGGUCCUUUCUGAUAAGCUGAUUGUGAAAGAAAUAAUAAUUCGCUUGCCCCUUCCUUUCUUGAUGUGUUCUUCUGAUGUUUUUACCCUUUGUUUUAGCCACCGGCAACUCAGGCGUCACAGUUGUUAUUUCCCAUUGCUAUCUCUCAUCCAAGAUCAAUUAGUUACUCCAACCCUCAAGUACGGAAUACCAUGUUCUUUCUUGAACUCUCAACAAAUUGCUGCCCAAGUAGCAGCUGUCCUCCAAGAAUUAAGGCAAAGGUUUAACUAUAUUGGACUUCUAAAGCUUUUAUGCUGAGUGUUGUGACUAUCAAAUUAUUAAUCUCCACUUAUGCUUUUCCUACCUUUCCAGAAAAGAUAAACCAUCAUGCAAGCUAUUGUAUGUAACUCUUCAAAGGAUUGUGGGAAAAUAUUGAAAUGCUUGCAUAAAAAGGUAUUGUUUCUGAUGCACCAUAACUUUUUCAAAAAGGUUUAAAUUUUUUAUAUUCAACCAUCAUGCAUUGCGGGCACGACUAGCUGGUUUUGUUGUUGAUGAGGCGCAUUGUGCGAGGUAUGCAUAAUCUUUGGUAUGCCUCGUACAUGAAGAAAGAUUAUGCUAGAGUUACUUCAAAAGGAAUAAUUAUUUGUGAUGUUGCCACUGCAAAACUAUUGUCCUCGUUUACUUUUACCAAAAAAAAAAAACUAUUGUCCUUGUUUAUGAUAUAGCUAAGCAAGUUAACUUUUAUAUAUAUGAACUUAAAACUCUUUCUCCAAACCUUUUUGCAUUUUCAGUGUUUCUAGCCUAAUUAAUUCAUCAGUGUUACACUAAACCUUUUGAAGCCCAGACACCUUUGAAGUUGUAAUAUAACAGAUUGCAGCGUUCGUUGUUUGAACUUUAGAAAAGACCUAGGUUCCAUCAUUUGGGAACACUUAGUGGCUCAUCAUUCAUUAUAUUGAGUAAAGAAGACAACUUAAAUAAGCUCCAGUGGAGAUUACUUUCCAAAGUAAUUGGAACUGGCAUAAGCUUGGAUAACGAUCCCAUCUCCUGUCUUUGUUUGGCAUGAUUCUCAGUCUCUUAAGCUGGUUCUUGAGUCCCUUUUUAUUCUGUUAAUGGUUAUACUAUAUGUUAACAACUUGAGAAAGACAAAGAUUCUCCCAUGUGGUCAUUGAUUGCAUUUCUUUCAAGGUCUUAACUGGAUUUGCUCUGCCAAUGUGAUCUCGUGAAAGGAACGUACUGCUAGUUUGAGCUUUUCUUGUUCAUUUGACUGAUUUAUGAGAAAAGCUCAUUGAUUGUCACUUUCGUGAUUGUCGUUAUUGUUGUCAAUGGGGACAUGAUUUUUGUCCAGAUUAUCGGGGACUAGGAUGUCUCAAGCAAAACUUUCUGUAUGUCCUAAUGAUGGCCUUGACUGCUACUGCCACUCAGCUCGUGAAGUACUAAACUUACACGUUAACCUCCUGAUUUUGUUCAAAUAAUCUGUUUGUUCUAAUUGAAUUAUACAUCAUUGUAGGAUAUCCUAAAAGCUCUUAGGAUUCCCCAUGCUCAUGUUCUUGAGACAAGCUUUGACAGAGCAAAUCUAAAAUAGAGGUUGUAGCUAAGACCAAGGAACCACCGAAGCAGCUUGGAGAGCUGCUAAAGAAUUGUUUUGCUAAUUUUUGUGGCACAAUAUAUUGCCUUUUGAAGAGUAAAUGUGUUGACGUCGCAAAAUACUUGAAUGAGAAGUGCCGUAUAAAGACAGUGUGCUGUCAUGCUGGAUUAGCAGCCUGCCAGAGAGUAGCUUUUUGAACGAAAUGGCAUACUGGAGAGGUCCACAUUGUAUGUGCUAACAUUGUGUUUGUGAUGGGAAUAGACAAACCUGAUGUGGUCUCUCUCAAUGACAGUUUACUCCACCCUAAGAAUGGUAGCAAUCCAUGUCUCUUUCCUGCCCCCCCUUGCUGAUGCUUUUUCUUUAUUUACAAAAAUUUCAUAUUCAUUUAAUGAACUUGGUCCCUCCAAAAUUUUGUAGUUUCUUUACAUCCCGAAGUUUAAGGAAUUAUUGUUAGAAACUUUUAGCAUAAUAGUCUUGCAAAUUUAAGAGCUGUGUUUUGCAACAAUCAUUCUUCCGAUUGUGAAAUAUGAUAAAUGAAGAGCAAUUAUUUCGGAACUUGAGAAAUAAUGCUUUGGUAUAGAUGGUGGAGAAAUAAUUCUUUGAUACAGAUAGAAUGAUGGAACUUUACUACUAGGUCUAUCUCUAUUUUGGUAAAAUUAGCUAUCCAUUGAAAAAAUACGCACUGUUGACAUUUCAUGAGAGAUUUUUUAGGAAAUAAUUCGAAUGUGUUAGACAUCUAUAAAGUUGAGAAAGUUUGCAUUCCACCUCGAAGGCGAAGCACAAGAUGUAGAUUGUCUGGCCAUCCGUGAGUUGCUUCCUGGAAAAAAAAUAUACCUCUGCUAAUAUGGGAGAAUGCCUACCUUGUCCUGUAUGUAAGCUUUGACAUUAUCAAUGGUAUCCAAGCUCUCCACUUCCAAAGAUAUGAUCUUUCCAAUGAUUAUAAUCAUCUGUAACCAAUGUGAUAACAGUCAUGACUGCUAUAGAGGCACUCGCUUUUGCCACUUAAAUUUUAUCUUAUCCAUCUACACGGUGAAUUGUCAGUUCCAUGUCACUAUUAACUUCUAUCACACAUCAAUAGAAAUGUGAUUGCCAAGUCACAACUGUACUUGAAACUGAGAAAAUUGUUUCACAAACUCUAGUUGCCAUUUUCAAGAAUAUCAAUUUAGAGCAGUAUUUGAGAAUAUUUGUGAAUUAUCGAGUCACAAACUUAAGAAGCAUCAUGCAGUCAAGAAUUGGAUGGUUGGGUUCAAGAUGUAAGCAAAGCACACAAAGGCAGAACUAAACUUAUGAACCAGGAAACAUUAAUUUCGGUAGAUACAUAUGAAUAUACAAAGUAGCUGCUUUUCAAUAAGAACCAGAAACAUCAAUUUCUACCAAAAAUUGUUUCAAAUAUACGCACUGGCACUCUAUAAGAAAGCUAAUUCGUGUAAUGUAUAUGACCUAAAUGCAGCUAAACUACAGGAAAAAUGCAGCUCCUCAUCUCUAUUUCAGCCACUUCAGAGCAAUGCCCACCAAUGCCUUCAAAGCCUCUUCACUUCUCACUCAACUCAAACAUAGGUACACCAUGUUAAAGACCAAAACAGACAUCCCAAUAGCAGCGAAUACAUGACAAAAAAUGUCAUUAGCUUCUAAAAGCAAAAUACCAAAUGACUUAUUCUCCCAACUAAAUUACUUUAGCUAGGCCACAUUGUCUUCCAUUUGCAAAUCAUUAGAUAAGGCAAGAUGACUACCAAACUAAUAAACACUACAUCAAGAUAAGGCACAUAACUGUCAUCCCUGACCCAUCCCAUUCAAUAGAAUAGGCAAUCCCCACAACACAAUUGAAGCACUAAAUCAACUGCAAAAGGAGUAACCUUUGGUGCAGAUCAAUAUUUCACAAUUUCAUGAUAUGCGAGAGUAGAUCGAUUGCUCCAGCAAAAAUUGAUCGUGCAAUGUCAGUAACCAAUCCAAUCUAUGCUUUUCCUUUCCACAAAAAUGUCCAGGUCGAGAUAUAUGCAUGAAUUAUCAUAUUCAAUAGCACAAGGCUGGAUCAACAAAUUGUCUUCCAACUAGUUUAUGGUGACUUCCCUCCAAACUUUACUCCCAAAGCAUGACAAUUAUCACUGAAUAGAUAGUCUUAUCUAUUCAUCUGUGGUCGACCCAUUUCCAACUUCUUUAAUAUCACCUACAAAUUCAGCACACCAAGCAUCCUGUGAACGAACUACGCAUUUGUCAACACUUGUUGGCUGAAAAUAAUUGUCUUUGACUACGGAUUGACAGUCUCAUGAGAUAAUAGUUCGAUUUUUUGGGCAAAGUAAUCCCGACAACGCGAAGGAAGAUUUGAUACCACUAUCAUUUCGAUCAAUCAAAACAUAUUUUUUCGAUCAAAAUCAAAUGAUUAUUUCUCAGAUUUGACGAGGUUUCAAUGUUAUGUUAGGAGGGAGGGAGAGAGAGAGGGAGAGAGAGGGAGACGUUUGCUCUACUAUCUAGAAGAGAAGGACAAGAUAGCAGCGGAGGAGGAGCGGCUUUGGAGACAAUAGAAUUUUUUUUUUUUUUAUCACCCAUAUUUUGCGUCCCAAAUAUUAGAUAUUAAGGAAAAAGUAUUUUCUUCGCGAAACAAACACAAUCUUAAUUGAAAAUAACCUUCUUUUACGUAUAUUUAGUAAAAUAUUAAAUUGAUUGUAACUUUCUUUAUAUUUCAUAAAGUUUUGCGGCCUAUGUGUCACUGAUUUUGUGUUUAUUUAACAAAAUAUUGAAGUAGUUUUGGAAAUGUAUAUUUAAUAAAAUAUUAAAUUAAUUGUCACUUUCUUUAUAUUUCAUAAAGUUGUGCGGCCUAUGUGUCACUAAUACAUAAUUUUGUGGGUAUAUUUAGUAAAAUUUUAAAGUAGUUUUGGAAACGCUAUUUUUCUAAAAUUUGAAAAUUGUUCCGUUGAAAUAUGUAUAUUAAUAUAUAAAAAGGUAAAAAUGUAAAUAAAAGAAAAGGUAUUACUAUGUCAAUUUUUUGCUUUGCAGAUAAACAUCAACAGGAAAGAAAUUUGAGAUACGUCUCGUAAAUGUAAAACUUUCAGUACGACAUGCAAGUCUCGUGUUUGCAAGGGAGCCUUCCCACAGAACGAACCCAAGGGUGUCAAAUGAAACCAGAAAAAAACUUAUGGGGGGGCAAAAAUAAAACUUAAACAAACUUCAGGGGCAAAAAGGAAUUGUGAAAGAAAAAGAACUGAAAAAUAUGGCUCCAAGUCUCUCCCAUUCUCCGGCGUACAAAAUUGGAAAACGAAAAACAUCAAUCCCGCCAUCGCUGGGAAGGUUCUCGAACAAGAGCACUUCGAGCUCGCUCGCUCGCUCGAAUAUCCGAUUCGAGACUACGGAUCGAUUCGAUUCCGACUCGAGCAUCAUCAAUCGAUCGAAUCGCUAGAACAGGUUGAGAUUCCAUGGAGGGAGCAGGGCUCGGAAGUAGAGAAAGCUCGGUUGCUGAGCUCGGCUCUCGAGUUCGGAUUCGACGAGCAGUCCGCCAACAAGUGCUCGGACCAUCUCGUUUCGCGCUCCACGGUAACUCGAAUCGUUAUUUCGUCGCGCGUUCUUCUGCUAAUUAGCGUUUGCGGAGACUAUGGAGGUAGCUCUCGUCCCCACGAUGAUGAUGAUGGCUGUGGAAUCGUCUUGCUUUAGGUUUGAAUGCAUCGGAGCGGGUUUAGCGAAGUAGCAGUCCUACUGACGAGCGAAAUGUCUGGUGCUGGUCCAGCUUGAUGUGCUUGGGUUACUUCGGAUGGACGGCAGUUUUUUCUUGAUUAUUGGCCCAAAUUGCGUGAUAUCUGGUCAUCAGAGAAUGACUUUGAUCGCUUGUGUUGCGGGGAUAGUUUGUGUAUUUGAUUGAACGUGCAUUCCUAGUUAAGGAGAUUCAUUGCGGUUAGUCUCGAUUCUGAUGAUGGCUAUGGAAUAACGGUCUACUUUGGAUUGGAAUGGGACCAGAGUUUAGGUCAUUGAGCGUGAGUCUCAUCCCCUGUUUUUUUGUGGGUUAGGCGGAGUAGUCCUAUUGACAAGUGAACUGUAUGGCUUAUAUCAGUGCAAAUUACUUGUGGUGUCUUGCAAUAAUAUCAAUAUCGUGUCUCUUUGAACUAAGUGCAAAUUACACAUUGGAAAUUGUAUUUAUUUGAUCUCUUGUUUGCCAUGGAUCUUGCAAAAUCAACUCUUUCCUCUUUUGCUUUUCUCAAGGUGAUGAAGGUCGAGAGUUGAUCACCGUGGAGCACUGUGGCGAUGACAUCCUAGCAGAACUUGCUGAAACCAUGCAAGAUUCUUAGGAUUGGGAUGAUUUGCAAGCUGCGGAAUCAGAAUCUCGUGGAGUUUUGACCAAUAUGUUUGGCCAAGAUAUCUGUAAUGAUGGUGAAUGCAAUGUUAUACACGACGUCAAUAUUAUAGAAGAUUCUCCGCAACAUGUGAAAAAUCAAACUUUCCUUGAGCUGAGGAUUCCUCUAUUGACGGUGAAGACAAAGAUGAUGUAUUGGCAGUAAAACGGGAAGGAAAUCCUCAUGUAUAUUCCUGGCCAAAGCAGUACUCUAAGCAAUACAUCCACUCAAAUUUCAGGCAGACAAUCUUUAGAAUCCAUGGUAUGCUUCUCCUAUGGACAUAGACAAUACUGCCAAACCACUUAAAUCAGUGUGACUGUACUUUUCUCUAUAAUUUAUUCUCUACUUGAUUAUUUCCCAUUUGCUUGUGAUUCUGCACACAGCAAAGGACCUACACAAUGUUCAUGUCCAGAAGCAUUUAGUAAAUUGCUUAUGGGGUCUCUCAUCCCAUCAAAUGUCCAAUAGACGGUCAUAACUUUUGCCACUCACUUCCACACUCUUCAAGAUCCUAAAUGACAUAUUAGAACUCUUUGGUCAAUAAAGAAGUUGAUUUCAGUUUUGGAUGAUGUACAAAUUCAUAUAUUUCUCAAAUGCUAUGAGAGUACUGUAGAUCAUCAAAGUGUGGAACAUCAAAGUGUGGAACUUAGCAAUCCAGCGUCUUUGAUAGGAAUGUUUUGUGUAAAUGAAGGCUUGUGAUUUCUUUGAGCACAUUUUUCAUUUUCCAUUACAAUCCAUGUCAGAAACUAUUACGGUACGGAAGAGGCUUAUUUCUGUUGAAGGACUGUAAGAGCACUGUUACUCAAGGCUCAAUAUCAUUAGUUUCAAAUAAAAGACAUUGCUCUCCGAUUUCGACAUCCAAACAAGGGACUCUGAGUUAUGCGGAACUCCAAGCCUUGGAUGACAUAGAAUUGGCAAAUGUUGUCAUAUUCGGGAACAAGGAAUUUCAACCAAUGCAGCAUCAGGCUUGUAAAGCUUCUGUAGCCAAGCAAGUUUGCUUUAUUCUCAUGCCCACUGGAGGUGGUAAAAGUUUAUGUUACCAGGUUAGUGAAUGUUAACAUUGUCUCAACUGGGUGAUGAUUGUAUGUAGACAUGUGUGGAGACAAUGUUAGAACACAAGUCCUGUGCACUUUGCUCAGUGGUUCCACCAAUUUAAUGUUUAAGGGUAGACCUGUAUGUCAACAUUUAAGCUUUAACAUGAUCUUCUGAUCUGCUUUGUUUGGCAUUUUUAAGAAGGUUGUGAACUUAAGGAAGGAAAUGUUUUUCAAAUGAAAAUUAAGCUAUAGGAAGUGAUUCAGGUACAUAAGCAUGGGUUCCAAUGUAUGGCAUCGGACAGAAGUAGAAAAGAAGGAAAUACAGUACAUUCUCGUUGUGCCUUUGCACUUCUCUAACUGGUCUGUAAUUUUUAGGAUUUGAAGUUUGUACACACUUCUAGGACCUUCUAAUCACUUACAGGAAAAUUCAUCUUGUUUAUGCAUGUUAAGUUUUGCUGUCAGUCAUAAUUCAGGUCCAAUUCAAAAGGGUUAUUAAGUCAAAGAGAAAUAAGUUUUCAAAGUACUUCCACCAAAUGCGGGUUCUAGAUUUUUAUAUUUCCUUUGCAGUUAUUUGCUAUGCCAUUAUCUCAACAAAGGGUGAUGAUCUAUGACUUCUUUUUCCCAUAAUUGGUUUGAAAUUAAUGUGCUUUCAUAUACAAUGGAUCUUGGUUGCAAGCAAAAUUAAUGAUUACUGAAUUAAGGAGGAAGAUAUAAAUCUGGAUUUAUUAAGUUGAAUUUUUUAGAAGUGUUUUCUGUUUAGUCUUGAAGUAGUUGAUAUAUGUACUGAAAGUAAUUAUAAAACAAGUAGUGACAACUGGUCCUUCCUGAUCAGCUGAAGGUGAAAGACAAUUCCAUUGUCCCUUCCUUUCUUCAUUUGCUCUCCUGAUGUUUUUACCCUUAGUUUCAACAGCCAGCAACUUUAAAACCAGGUGUCACAGUUGUUAUAUCUCCCUUGCUAUCUCUCAUCUAGGAUCAAAUAAUUACUGUAACCCUCAAGUACAGCAUACAAUCUACUUUCUUGAACUCUCAACAGACUGCUGCCCAAUUGGCGAUUGUCCUCAGAGAACUAGGGUAAGGUUUAGCUCUAUUGGACUUCUAAAACUUCUAUGCCGAGUGUUGUGACUGUCAAAUUAUUAACCUCCACUUCUGCUUUGCCCUCCCUUUCAGAAAAGAUAAACAUUGUGCAAGCUAUUGCUUGUAAAUCCUGAAAGGAUUGGGGGAAAAAUAUCAUUUCUCGAGAUAUUGAAUUGCUUGCACAGAAAGGUAUUGUUUCUGAUGCACUGUAAGUUUUUUCCAAAAAGGUUCUUUAUGAUUUUUUAUAUUCGAUGAUAUUUUAUUGCAGGCCCAACUAGCUGGUUUUGUUGUCGAUGAGGGACAUUGCGUGAGGUAUGCAUAAUCUUUGGCAUGCCUUGUACAUGAAGAAAGAUCAUGCUAAAGUUACUUCAAAAAGAAUAAUCAUUUGUGAUGUUGCCGCUACAAAACUAUCGUCCUUAUUCCAGAUAAAUAUGAGCAAGUUUCCUUUUAUAUAAGCUAACUUAAACUCUUUCUCCAAACUUUUUUGCAUUUUCUGUGUUUCUAGCCUUAUUAAAUUGUCAGUAUUACCCUAGACCUUCUGAAGCCCCUGUGAAGUUCUAAUAUAACAGAAUGCAAUGUUCCUUGCUUGAGCUUUGGAAAAGAUCUAGGUUCUGUCAGUUUGGGAAAACCUAGUGGCACAUCAUCCAUUAUAUUGAGUAAGAGCACUCAACUUAAAUAAGCUGCAAUUGAAAUGACUUCCUGAAGUAAUUGGAAGUGGCAUAAGCUUGGAUAAGGAUGCCAUCUCCUGUCUAUGUUUGGCAUGAUACUCUAUCUCUUAAGCUGGUUCUUGUGUACCUAUUUAUUCUAUUAAUGGUUACACUAUAUACUGACAACUUGAGAAAGGCAAAGGUCCACUCACGUGAUCAUUGACUGUGUUUCUUACAAGGUAUCAACUGGAUUUGCUUGGCCAGUUUAAUCUCAUGAGAGGAAGAUGCCAUCUGCUAUCUAUGUUUGGCAUAAUACUUAGUCUCUUAAGCUCGUUCUUGUGUAUCUAUUUAUUCUAUUAAUGGUUAUACUAUAUACUGACGACGUGAGAAAGGCAAGGGUCCACCCACAUGAUCAUUGAUUGUGUUUCUUUAAAGGUAUUAACUGGAUUUGCUUUGCCAAUUUAAUCUCAUGAAAGGAACAUGCUGCUGGUUUGAGCUUUUAUUGUACAUUUGCCUGAUUGACGACAAGAGCUCAUUGGUUGUCAUUUUUGUGGUUGUCAUGAAAGGAACGUACUGCUGGUUUGAGCUUUUGUAUAUGCUAGCUUAAGCUCUUUUUCCAAACUUCUCUGCAUUUUCUAUGUUUCUAGCCUAAUUAAAUUGUCGAUGUUACACUAGACCUUCUGAAGCCCAGAACCCUUUGAAGUUUCUAUAUAACAGAAUGCAGUGUUCCUUGUUUGAUGAAAAGAUUUAGGUUCCAUUGUUUGGGAACACUUAGCGGCACAUCUUUCAUUAUAUUGAGUAAAGAGCGCACAACUUAAAUAAGCUCCAAUGGAAAUUACUUCCCAGAGUAAUUGGAAUUGGCAUAAGCUUGGAUAAGGAUCCAAUCUCCUAUCUAUGUCUGGCAUGAUACUCAGUCUCUUAAGCUGGUUCUUGUGUCCCUGUUUAUUCUAUUAAUGCUUAUACUUUAUGGUAACAACUUGAGAAAGGCAAAGGUUCAACCAUGUGAUCAUUGAUUGUGUUUCUUACAAGGUCUUAACUGGAUUUGCUCUGCCAGUUUGAUCUCAUAAAAGGAAUGUGCUGCUGGUUUGAGCUUUUCGUGUACAUUUGACUGAUUAAUGAGUAAAGCUUAUUGAUUGUCACUUUUGUGGCUGUCAUUAUUAGUCAAGGGGGACACGAUUUUCAUCUAGAUUAUAGAGGACUGGGAUGUCUCAAGCAGAACUUUCCGUAUGUCCACUCAGUCAGUUUGUGAGUACUAAACUCACAUAUUAACCUCCUGAUUAUGUUGAAAUAAUCUGUUUAUUCUGAUUGAAUUAUACAUCCAUUGCAGGAUAUCCUAAAAGCUCUUGGGGUUCCCCAUGUUCUCAUAGAUUAGAUCUAGUCUGUCAAAGCUUGGGGACCCAAGGUUUGACAGACUAGAUCUAAAAUACAAGGUCAUACCUAAGACCUAGGAACCACUGAAGCAGCUUGGAGGGCUGUUAAAAAAUUGUUUUGCUAAUUUUUGUGGCAUAGGAUAUUGCUUUUUGAAGAGUGAAUGUGUUGAUGUCGGAAAAUACUUGAAUGACAAGUGCCGUAUAAAAAUGGUGUACUAUCAUGCUUGAUUAGUAGCUCCUCACUGUUCAAAAGAAAUGGCAUACUAGAGAGGUCCAGAUCGUGUGUGCUACCAUUACCUUUGGGAUGGGAGUAGACAAACCUGAUGUUGUAAGUCGAAAUGGACUCUGGCCUUUGCCUAUUUCUUACGUUUUAGAAGUCGUUAAAUGUGGUGGAAUGACCCGAAGAAGCAAAGAAGAGGAGGGUGGCCAGAUACAAGCUUUAUUUGGUCGAGGGCAAGUUCAAGGCUUCUUUCAAACAAGAGUCCUGGUGGUUGAAGCGCAACUGCUCGAGCUUUAUGUGUUGAUUUUUAAUACGUAGAAAUUACAGAAUAUCAUGCUCAUCGUCAUCAAGAGAGAAAAGGAUGAAAUCGGUUAGGAGGAAACGAAGAGGUUGGUUUUGUUUAUUGGGUAAUCAUCUUAAUAUGUAUCUAAUGGUAAUUAAGUAUUCAGAAGAGUGUCACAAUGUUCCAUCUUUCCAGUAUAAUGUUUGUUCGAAUCCUUGUUUCAUUCAUCGAUCUCUAGCAUUCGAAACAUAGGAAAAUGAGAUCACUCGUAUGUGAUAUUCACAUAUAUUUAUAUUUGCUGGAAGUCUUUUUUCCCCGAAUUUCCUUCCCUUUUGAUUUAUCUGCAACAUGAUUCUGCAUGCGUGCAUGCAUUCUCGUGCAAAGUAAGAAUUGUCUGACCUGCUAAUUCUCUUCUCAACAACACGAUGCUGAUUGCAAAAUAAGAUGACUGCUUUCAUUUGUAGUAUUUGACGUUUACAUCUACUUUCGUGGUCGAUUUCGUUGUUCAGAACUUUUAUUUUUGGCCAAAUGUUGUUUUAAGUCUCCGUUUUGGGGUUCAUUAACCUGUAAUUCCUCAAUUUGUCUAUUUUGAUUCCUCUGCAUUAUAUGAUUUGGCAAACUACCAAAGCUAUACAUUCUAACAUGCAGCUAGCAGGUGUUAAAUAAGCUAAAAGGCCUUCUAUACUUCCAUUCUGAUUUGAGGACAAUUUUCAUAUUUCAAGUACCAUCCUGUCGAGCUUGGAGUUACAAAUAUGAGGAAAUCAAAGUGCCUGAAGUGAACUUUCUCUUGUCCUUGGGGAACUUACAUAGUUAUUGUUUGAAUGGCUGUUACUCAUAGGAUCUCGAUGUAAAAUGUGAUAGAACUUUCAAAAACAAGCUCGAAGCAAAUUGUUAGCAUGAAACGAAAGUAGAAGAGAAAAAGGGGAGGAAACCCAUGAACAAAACCACAUCAGCUCAAUUCGUUCAGAAUGUUCAUCCAAUUAUCCGGUCUAUUCACGCGUUCCAACUUCAAAUCAAUUCGGCUGAUGGGGCUGUGAAUGAUGUUCCAUAACUAGUCAAACACAAAGCUACUGCCCUUUGGAUUAAUUACCUAGACAUUGACUAAGUAGCCAAGUAAAUAAAGUGUAGAGCUGAUACAGUGACUUUACUCGCGACUUUUCUCGUGUAAUGUUCAACCAAUAUUCAAAAAUUAGAUCAUUUCAUGUUAAGUACAUUUAACAAGUAUUUCAACACAACCCGCAUUACAUAUGUGUUAGUACUUAUAGAUUCAAAUGUGGCUUAACAAGCUGCUUGGCCUUGUCUUGAGCUCUGGAAAAAUUUGGUAAAAAACGGAGCUCCAAAUUCGACAUGCAAUCUCAAAUUUUUAUUGUCCGAUCAAGAGGAAUAUAUUUUAUGAAAACUAGAGUCGCUAGAAAUGUCACCAUAAGUGUGCUCAUGACCCGUACAUUUGUAAUGAAAAUACAGUGAAUUUUAACAUACUGAUUACGCAUGACAUGAGAAAACGAUAAACCAAUUACUAAAAUUCCAUGAAUACCUUGCGAGAAGCUUUAAACUACUAAAAUUCCACCUUUGUAAUCUAGUAGAGGGUACAGGAAUAUCUAAGAGUGGCCUCAAAGAAAUUGCUUCGAUUGACACUUGAAUGUGUGAAACGGUGACCGCAAUUUGGUGGAGUAUCGUCUCAUUAUAAACCAAUUAGAUGACCCUUAGAAGUUUUUUGUUCAAAGAAAAUGAGUAAAUUUUUGGAAGGGCGGAGUAAAUUUUGGUAAGGGUUCUUUUCACCCUUCCAAAAAUUUUGUCCCCGUUUUGUUUUUAGUCUUCAACUGCAGCCAAUGCAAGAGAAAAACAGGUUUCAGGUGUGAAAAUAUAUACGGUUGGGUCUCUUCAGCUUUUAGAUUCAUGCUUAAAUAAAUCAAGUUUGAGAUUAUACAAUAAAAGUGAUUGCAAAAUGCGGACAUAUGAAUUUUCUGAUGUAACACCAGACCAGAGAGAUGAUUUUACACUACUGAACACCUUUCUUUUGUGUUCAAAGUUCAACCAAAUGAGAAACUACUGUCUUCUUGUAAACCCUUUCACUGAAACUCUUGGCUGCAAUUGCAGAUUUUUUGCUGAUUCCAUGGCAUUCGCUUUUUCUAGUCGCAAAAUUGUAGCCUGAAGUGGACAUCUAACUGGUAAUCUCCUUGACAAAUCUCAUUUUAUACUUAACUUGCACAAAUAAAACCACCUGCACGUGCGGCCUUCCUGCAAGCGAUUUGUGUUUGCAAAGGACAAAUAACCCACAUGAGAAGAGGCUGCUUCAUAUCCAGAAUCCUUUGAAGAGUAUUGACAACACAGAGCACAUGAUAAACGCCACUAGGUUCAGAAUACAUUUUCAUAACGACAUAGCUCAUUCCUGCCCACAUCUCCAUCGUGUAGUGUUUUGCGACUUUCUCCAAGUUCCAUGAAAUGCAGCUUGAAUCUACAUGAUGAGCAUGCGACUGACUCAUUAUCAAUAAAUAAAGAAAUGUGAGAUUGCAGCAUCACAAUUUACCCCAUGAAAGAUAAGGUACAAAUGCAUAAACAUCAUUUACACCAAUGGUUGUUCAACCACAGUGAACAGAGACUUCAUUAGCUAGCAGAUGAAAAAGAAAAAAAAUAGGCUUAAAAUAAGUAAACAACUAGCAACAACACUUUCCCUGUUUGUGUUCAGGAACAAAAUUGAUGUUAAUGAAAUUAUGCUGAAAAGGUGAAAUGCCUAAAUUACAGAACAGAAGGACAUACUUGUUAUCAUUGGCAAUAUCCAAUCGGCAAAAUCAGCUUUUCGGGAUAAAUUGUGAGGAGGUCAGUCUCCAACUUCACUAAUUCAACACUGCAAACAUGAGAACUGAGCUUAUCAAAUCAGAAACCUAUAUGACUACAUUCAAAGGACAAACUGAUAGAAAUGGAGUAGCUUAGCAGUGCAUACCUACCUCUGCAUAGCCUCAUCGAGUUCAGAAGUGAUAUCCCUAGAAUGCAACCACACCAAACAACUCUGCAUCAGGAUAACAUACACAAAAAUCACUAGAUACUCAUUUGAUUAACAAAGAGAUAGAACCUAACGAGCAUACAAACAACAUAUUCAAUUUAAAAAACUGCAUUUACUAUCAUUCAUGUACAUGCUGUUGAGACCAGAUCAAGUGCUUUGGAUCUUCACAAGCAACAAAACUUCCUUAGAACAUUCCGCUUCGCCCACGAGCCUCUUCAAGUUUGGCACCUCAUCUGUUGCUGAUGCUUUCCCUGCAAAAUUGGUCUCAGGUAUGGAAUUUGAAGUUCCUCAGCCAAGUGAGCCACACCCAAUUCAGUCAUGUGAUAAAAUAAUUCUAUGGCAACAAUAUGAUCAAAUGUGAUGUAAACUAAUUAGCAAAUUCUCGAGCUCCUCGCCCCAGCUUGUUUCAUAGAUGGGCAAAAAAUUGUCCAGUUAUGCAAAAGGUCAUCAAUACAGCCGAUUGAAUUGAAGUCUCAAAGUAAGCCUUGAUCAUUACAUAGACCAACCAAACCUGUCAUACAAGCAGCACUAGUUUACCUUGCUUGAUAAUAUUUCAAGACAACAUUUUGACUACUCGUAAUUUUAAGAAAGGCGUACAUUCAUAUAUGACAGACUAGCUGAAGCUACUUUAACAUUUCUUAAUCACCAACCAAAAUUACACCGAUUCUCAUUCAAGAAAAAGACCCUAUAUAAACUCCAUCCACACUAGAGACUCAAACAAACCUUUGAUCGAGAAUUUGCAUAAAACAACUCAAUAUUCCACUCCAGACCCUAGCACUUGAUUGAGAAUUUGCCAAGCGGCACAACCUCCAUGCAUCCACCUGAGAGAAUCUGGAAGGGGAAAAGUAAUGCUGCUCUUCAAGAACGAACCGGUCUCUCCACUUGGUUUUAGGUAUGAAAAUGUACAAGGCUGUGUCUCUUCUGCUUUUAGAUUCAUGCUUAAAUAAAUCAAGCUUGAGAUAAUACAACCAAAGCGAUUGCAAAAUGCCUACCUACAUAUGAAUUUUCCCGUAACCAGCCUAGAGAGAUCAUUUUACACUAAUGAACGCCUGUAUUUUGUGUUCUAAAUUCUUCCAAAUGAGAAACUGCUGUCUUCUUGAAAACCAUUUCUUUGAAACUCUUGGCUGCAAUUGACAGAUUAUUUGCUGAUUCCACGAUAUUUGCUUUUUCAAGAAAAAAGUCACCCAAUCACAAAACUGCAGUUGAAGUGGACAUCUAAAUGGUAAUCUUGUUAACAAAUCUCAUUUUUGCUUGACUUCACAUAUAGAACCACUUGCACAUGUGGUCUUCCUCCAAGCGCUUAGUGAUGGGGCCUUGGUUAAAGAAUAGCACGAUUUCAAAGCUUGCAAAGGACUAAUACACCACAUGAGAAGAGGUCGCCUUUAUCAAGAAUCCUUCGAAGAGUAUUAACAAAUGGAGCAAAUGAUAAACACCAAUUGCAAAUAACUUUGAAAUGCCUUUCCAUACUGACAUAGCUCAUUCUUGCCCGUAUCUCCAGCCCGUGGUGUUUAGGGAGUUUCUCCGAGUUUCAUCAAAUGCGGCUUUGAGCUGCAUAAGGAAGAUAGCACUGACUAAUUAUAAUUAAAUGAAGAUAUCCAAGAUCAUAGCAUCAGAAUUUACCACAUGAUAGAUAAGGUAAAAAUGCGUAAACAUCGACACCAAUCGGAGUUGGACCACAAUGAACAGAGACUUCAUUAGCUGGCCGAUGACAAAGAAACCAACAGACUUAUAAGAAGUAAACAUUUAGCAACACUUUCCCUGUUUGUGUUUAGGAACAGAAUUGAAGCUAAAAAAAUUAUGCUGAAAAGGUGAAGUGCCUAAACUACAGAAUGGAAAGAUGCAUUUGCUACUGGGUUAUUUUGCAAGUUCCAAUUAGCAAAUCAGCAAUGCGGGAUAGUUUGCGAGGAGGUGAAUUUCAACUUUACAAAUCCAAUGCCGCAUACAUCAGAAAUGAGCUUAUCAAAUUAGAAACCUAUAUGACAACAUUCAAAGGAUAUCAUCACACAAAUAAACUAACAGAAAGGAGCCUAGUAGUGCAUACCUCCCUCUGCAGAGCCUCAUCAAUUCCGAAGUGAUAUCAUUAGAAUGCAACCGCGUCAAACAACUGUGCAUUAGGGUAACAUACAAAAAAUCAGUAGCUUAGUAUUUGAUUAAAGGAGAGCUAGAACCUAAUGAGCAUACAGAAAGCAUAUUUAAUUGAGAAAAAUACAUUUACAAUCAUUUAGGGAUGUGAUGUUGAGAUCAGAUCAAGUAUUUGAAUAUUCAGAAGCAUCAAAACUUCCUUGGGAUACUCCAGUCAGCCCCAAAGUGUCUUUAAGUUUGGCAUGCAAGAUGGUCCUCAGCUGUUGCUGAUGCUUCCUCUGCAAAAUCCCUUUUCUUUAUUUUGAUCGGUCUCAAGUAUGGAAUUUGAAGUUCCUCAGCCCACUUAGCCACACCCAAAUCAGUCAUGUGAUAAAGCAAUUCCACAACAACAAUAGGAUCAAACGGGAAACAAACUAAUUAGCAAAUUCUUGAGCUCCUCGUCCCAGCUUGUUUCAGAAACAGGCAAAAAAUUGUCCUUUAAUGCAAAAGGUCAUCGAUACGGUUGAUUGAAUUGAAGUCCCAAAGUAAGCCUAAAUUGUUAUAUAGACCAACCAAACCAGUCAUACAAGCAGCACCAAUUUACCUUGCUUAAUAAUCUUUCAAAACAAUAGUUUGCCUACUGGUAAUGUUAAGGAGGUCAACAUUCAUACGUGACAAACUAGCCAAGACUACUUUUAACAUUUUUUGCUCACCAACCAGAAACACUUGAACCUUGAAUUUUAUUUAAGCUCAGUUCACCAUAUAUACUGGGAAGUGAUGCUCUUCUUAGAGGGUUAAUGAGGGCCAUCAUGGGAACUAAAGGAACUCAAAAUGGCCAAGGAUUUUGAAAAGAAAAUAUGAACUUUCGACACUGGGAUAUUCCUGGCGUAGUAUGCAAUAAUACAAUAAUGAGUAGCAGAAGUUCAUUGGCCUCUAGAUGAAAAUUUCAAAUCCUGGGUUUGCCGAUAGGGGAACUAUAAAUCACUAGGUAAUUCUUGUUUACCUUUGUUGAUACUUUCAUUCUUGCCUCACAAGCUACUAUCUAUUUGCGGUCUACAGAAGCUGCCAAUGGAAGGAUAAAUGAAAAACAUUGCUAUAACGUAAUCAACAAUAAUUAUACAGAGGCAAAACCAGAGUUUUCAAUCAAAUAGAUAUCCAAUUUGGAGCAAAAAGUAUUACUCUAUUCGCUCACGCUGGCCGUUCAAGGAUAAAGAAUCUUACUAUGCCUUCUAUUGACAUUUGGGUUUACAUUUUGAUCUUGGUUGAACCAUCAUGUGAGCUUCUAUGAUCAACUCCUCCACUCCUUCAAUCGUGCAAGACCAGCAAUUUAGGAAAAUACAGAAUGCUGUCAUGGAAAACCUUCUUGUUAAAAGAAGAUAUUGAUGAAAAGGAGGUCAUGAAUCUUAGAGGAAAAAUGAUUGUUCUCUACUUAUUUACCUCUGUUGAAGAAACGUGACUAGUCUCACUGUUGUAAUAUGGGUAUAAGAUUCCUCACAUCAUUAUCACUGCAAGAUUAUAUUUCCAUAGAGAACUCAAAACAAUUCCUAACUUUUAAUGAUGCGCUUUCCAGAUAAUUUCGGUAUUGCUUCCAAUGAGUCACAACCACAAAUAUCCAAAUCAAUUAAAUUCAACAUUUCAAGUCCCCGAAGCUGAGUAAGUUUCUUGCAGUUUUGAACUCUUAGAGAUCGUAACUUCUCACAUCCCGUCAAAUCUGGCAAAGUCUCCAUUGAUAUGCAUUUUGUAAAAUCCAACUUUUCUAAGAACUCUACAUCGUCAAGACCUUCAAUUUUGACUAGAUUGUAGCACUUGAAAGCCGCUAAUUCCUUCAAACACGGUAAUUCUAGACAGCGAAGCCUUUCAAUGGAAUUGCAGUCCCUCAAAGAUAUGAACUCCAAGGAACUGCACUUUUUUAUUGAAAGCUCUUCAAAGUGCAUGAGUCCGCCGAGUGAAAGUGAUGUCAGCGUAUCCCACUCCUCAAAACAGGGUUUAAGUGGUAUUGAGGAAAGCUUGUGGAUGUCUUCAAGUAAAUGGCGUAUCACAAGAUUGAGUUUUUCUAGGUGGAUGAGGGCCUUGUGGCUAAGAAGCUAUGGUAGUCCAAGACUCAGACAAGUGACGCCCAGAUAUCCUAAGCCCGCAGGACGCUUUGGCAGUGACCGGAGCUCGUCACAGCCCGAUAGGUCAAGGCUUUGGAGAAGAAGGAAGCUCUGGUAGCGACCGGAGCUCCUUACAGCCCCCAAGCCUAAGGCGUUGGAGAGACGAAGGAAGCUCUGGCAGCGACCGGAGCUCCUUACAACCCUCUAGGUCAAGGCUUGAGAGAGAUGAAGGAAGCUUUGGCAGUGACCGGAGCUCCUUACAGCCCCAUAGGUCAAGGCGUUGGAGAGAAGAAGGAAGCUCUGGCAGCGACCGGAGCUCCUUACAGCCCCCUAGGUCAAGGCGUUGGAGAGAAGAAGGAAGCUCUGGCAGCGACCGGAGCUCCUUACAGCCCCCUAGGUCAAAGGAGUCCCCUAGGGCAAGGCUUUUGAGAGAGGAAGGAAGCUCUGGCAGCGACCGGAGCUCCUUACAGCCCCCUAGGUCAAGGCUUUGGAGAGAGGAAGGAAGCUCUGGCAGCGACCGGAGCUCCUUACAGCCCCCUAGGUCAAGGCUUUGAAGAGAGGAAGGAAGCUCUGGCAGCGACGGGAGCUCCUUACAGCCCCUUAGGUCAAGGCUUUGGAGAGAGGAAGGAAGCUCUGGCAACGACCAGAGCUCCUUACAGCCCCUUAGGUCAAGGCAUUGGAGAGAGGAAGGAAGCUCUGGCAGCAACCGGAGCUCCUUACAGCCCAAUAGGUCAAUGAUUUGGAGAGAAGAAGGAAGCUUUGGCAGUAAUGAGAGCUCCUUACAGCCCCUUAGGUCAAGGCUUUGGAGAGAGGAAGGAAGCUCUGGCAGCGACCGGAGCUCCUCACUGCCCACUAGGUCAAGGUGUUGGAGAGAAGAAGGAAGCUUUGGCAGCAACCGGAGCUUGUCAUGGUUCCCUAGGUAAAGGUGUUGGAGAGAGACGCUUUCUAGCUGGUUAAAUAUCGAUGUGUCAUUGAGAUUGAAAAUUUCCCCUCCCAGAUGACAGUAUCCAUUGAGAAAUAGAGCCUGCAGAUUUUUCAACAUUCCAAUAGCAAUGGGACGCUUUUUGAUAGUAGAACAACACAAGCCAAGAUAUUGCAAAUUCUGUAAAUCCCCAAUUGAACUGGGGAUUUCUCUCAGUGAGUAACACCCUAAGGCGUCCAGUGUCUUCAGCUUCCUCAAAGAACCAAUAAACAUAGGAAUCUCUGUAAUAGCAGUGCCAUCUAAAUAAAGUUCUUCUAAAUCUUUUAAUUCGCCCACCUCCUGUGGUAGCUCCUUGAGAUGCUUACAGUGACUCAAAUCUAAGGAAACGAGGCUCGUGAGUUUGCCAAUAGAAGGGUGGAGACACUUCAGUUUCUUACAUUUCCCUAAUGCGAGAAUCUUCAACUGUGUGAAAGCCGAGAGAUCAGGAGUACGUCUUAAAUUCUGGCAAUAUGUAAGCCUGAGAACUUUAAGCCGCUUUGACGCCUAAUAGAAAAGGUGAAUAAGCUGUCAAAGAAUGGAUUGAUCGACUAAACAAAAACAAAACCCUAAAUUUGUUAUUUUCUCAAUCUUACCAUGAAUGACCUCCAUCCUUGCCAAUACUCUCUAAUCUUGCUCCCAGAUAAAUCCAGUAUCGAUAAAUUCGAUAGAUGCAUUGAAGGAGACAAGUCGCUUUGCAUGACCCUCCACUCAAGCCAUCUCACUUCAGAAAGGAGUUCGUCAUUGGAGGUUCCGCUUGAAGCUGCCCGCAAAUUGUCACAGAAACGGAAACGAGAGAGGGGUCUCCACAAAAUUUUGCGGAACCGGGAGGGGGCCUCGGAGGGGAACCAGGCGGGGCAUCCCUGCGAGUUUUUUAACUUUUUAGUUUUUCUUUUCUUUUCUCAAAUCUUGGAUUUUGCACGAUCUAUAACCUUUCUCUCCUUCCAUGUACAAAUAUGGCUCAUAUUUAAUUUUUUUUUGACGACCUUUUCGAAAAUUAAACAAAUGACGUGAAAAAUAAAGAAAAAAUGGUUAUUGCUCUAAAACAACUAAGGUAAAGGUAACUCAAUGUUUUAUCUUUUCCUUUUUUCUUUCAAAUUUUGUAGCGCAUGCACUUUGACUUUUAUUUAUUACAAAAUAUAUGAAACCAUUUUACAACAUACAAAUGUUUACUUGUAAAUUUUCAUGACUUUUGUAUAAUUUGUCAAAAGAAUUUGUUGAAGAGUGCCGGUGGGCCACCUGUAAGUAGCUAUGGAUACACCCAGUUUUCAUUUCAUUAUUUAAAUGUAAUAAUGCCGAAGAGAAAAAAUGGGAAAUUUUCAAUAUAUUUCCAUUUAUAGAAAAGAUUAUACAGAGAGCCUAUCUAUUAACUUUUUUACAGGGUUGUCUAAGAAAAUCAAAGAAAAUCAAAUUAGAUAUGCGUAAUCAAAAUAAAUAUAGAAAAUUAGAGAAAAUAUCCUAAAUAUCUCUAGAAGAUAUCUACAUAUCUUUAACAUCAUUUAUUAUUGUUCUGAAGUGUUUAAUCAUUUCUUUGAAAACUUAAACCCUUUUUUUUUUGUUAAGUACGUUUAAAAAGUGACUUGGUGACAUUGGACAAUAGUGUAUAAAUCAUAUCCUGAGGCGGCUCAAAUGGACAAUAUAAAAUAAUAAAAUGACAUGAACAUUGAUAAUUUAACUAAAAGAUUGGCUUCAUGCUGAGCAUCAUUAUACUCAAAGGUAUGGAUAUAAUAAUAAGUAUGGCAUUUCCUCUAAUUAGUCAAGUUUUCAUGGACUUUUUUAUGACAAAUAGUUGUAUGUGUUAUAAGUAACUUAUAGCGGAUACAAAUUUUGUUAUAAGAAUAUCCACUCUUUAUCGUACAUCUAAAGAUUGGCUUCAUGCUAAGCAUCAUUAUACUCAAAGGUAUGGAUAUAAUAAUAAGUAUGGCAUUUCCUCUAAUUAGUCAAGUUUUCAUGGAUUUUUUUAUGACAAAUAGUUGUAUGUGUUAUAAGUAACUUAUAGCGGAUACAAAUUUUUGUUAUAAGAAUAUCCACUCUUUAUCGUACAUCUAAACUAAUCCAUGAAAUGAGCAAGGUCAAAGUGAUAAAACCUUAAAAAGCAGUAAGAUUCUAAAAAUACUUUUAAGGGGAUUUUUGUUAUCUUAUCUAUUAAAAGGAAAUAAUAAUUAAAAGAGAUAGAUAUAACUAGUAGAGUAGAGGGAUGGGUAUCUUCAAAAUCAAAUUGGAGAACAAAAUAUGAAACAUCGUAUUCCUAAAUCAUAGGACUACCACCGAUACAUCUGGCCAUACCAAUAAGCAAGAACAUGUGAUAAGUGUGAAAUUUUUUCCGAUCUUAUUGUUUUGAAUUCAUUAUCAGUUAUUAUAAUUGGCACAUGCUAUCUUUUUUUCUAAUCAAGAAAUAUUCAUUUAUCUUAUCUAUGAUGUUUAUACUUCAUCUUCAUUCAUUAUUGUAGUGUUUAAAUUAUCAAUAUUUUCAACUAGAUAUGACAAUUGCAUGCUUUUAGUAAAUGAGAUUUAUAGUGUAAAAUUGUAGUUAAAGGAACUUAAAUCGAUUGUCAAUCAAAUCUUUACUUAUGUAAUUUAUAUCAAUGAUAUUGAAUCAAAUGGUAUAACGUUCUCAUCCUUUAAAUACAUAUAAUCCAUUUAGCUAUCACAAAUAAUCUAAGAUGGAUAUUUAUAUAGAUCUUUCUUCCUAAAAAGUAAGAGCAUCUAUUCAUCCUAGAUGAUAUAUUAGAAUAGAUCAAAUUAAAUAUAUUAAAAUAAGAGGGAAAGAAAAAGAAAGGAGUGCCAUAUUUUACCUGUGCAUGGAUUCUUAAUACUUUUGGGACUCCCUCGUAGUCGUUGUUCCAUGGUCCACUACGUUUCUCAGGCGGUUGUCCUUGGCAAAAAAUGCUCCUUCCAAGAUCUCUUAGUUGAUCAUGCACUAGAAAUUCACCACGAUCUCCAAUUUUAAUUAAGCACCUCAACUUCAACUCUUCAAUACCUUGACUUGGAUAAAACUCACAGUCCUCCCACAUGUACAUGGCGUAUUUGCUCGUUUCACCAAUAAAGAAACAAACAAUAUCGAGAAAAAUCUGUUUUUGUCCAUCUCCUAAUGCAUCAUAACUUAUUUGCAAUUUCUUUUGGACAUCUUCAUGUGGUUGGUUUUUUAAUUUCUUCUUCACAUCUUCCCAUACUUUUCGAUUUUUUUUUUUAUACAAGUAAGAACCUACAACUUCAAGAGCCAAGGGAAGCCCACCCAUGUUAGAUAUGAUAUCACGAGAUAUACCCUCAAACUCCUUCGAAGAAUGGUCCAUACGGAAUGCAUGUCUGUUAAACAAAAGCAAAGCUUGCACCUUAUCCAAUUCAUUCAAUUCAUACUUGUAGUCUACCUCAAAUUUAGAUUGAUCAAGAAUGGCUUCAUUUCUAGUUGUAACAAUGAUCACACUUCCUGCCAUAAACCAAUCACGCUCCCUAGCCAACGCAUCUAGUUGACUCUUGUCAUCUAUAUCAUCCAAAAUAAUGAGAAUCUUUUUGCCUUUGAAUCUAGAUUUGAUUAUAUUAAUCCCAUCAUCAAUUCUAGACACUUCACUUUCCCUCUGUAGUAUAUCUGAUAUUAGUUGACUCUGUAGAUACGUUAUACCGUCGCGCCUAGUUGUUUCUCGAACAUUUGGAAGGAAGCUGAUACUCGCAAAUUUAUUUGAGAGCUGAUUGUAGAUGCACUUGGCAAGAGUUGUCUUGCCUAUCCCGCCCAUGCCAUAAAUUCCAAUCAUUCGAGCAUUGAUGGAAGGAUUGUUGAUCCAAUUCAUAAUUUCCUUCAUACGAUCAUCAAGUCCAACUAGUUGCUUAGACACAUCUAGCUGAAAAUCUUCCCGUAACUUGCUUAUAACAUUUUCAACCACAUGUUUUAUUAAUUUUCCCUCAUGCCUGUCAAACAACAAAAACAAUGAGAAAUUAUGAACCUAGACAUAGUUUAUGCGAAGUAUUUUAUCCUUAUCAACUGAGCUAACCCUUGUUGGCUAUAGGAGGUUGAUUUUAUCUAGUGGUGAUCAAGCUUUGAAGACCAAGCAUUGGAGUCAUUAGGAGGCCUAUUGUUUAGUGAUUGAUACUAUUGGCUAGAGGUAUCGUCGUUUCUUUGUUUUUUAUGGUAUUAUGCUCUAUACCGGAGGAAAAUGUAAAUUCUUGGGCACUAUUGGAUGCUUUGGUUUUAGUUGUCGUUGGUUUAGUUUUAAGGGACAUCUUGGGGCGUAUUGGUUUUUGUUGUCUUCGAGGCAUUACGGCUAUUUAUUUUGGGGAUCUUUUCUGAGCUUACAGUAAAAGUAAUUCAUCUGCAUUUCCUCAACUCUGUGUGAAGAAGAAAACUUAUCAAAAAAAAAAAAAAAGUUCAGUAAAGUACCCAUUCGCAAUUUUCUGAGAUUCCCAUCCAAUUAAGUGACUAACUUCAUUAAGUGCUCCUUGCCCCUCUUCGAUAUCCUUCUCAUCAAAAUGUUCCCGACUUGAAUGGAAGGCAUUUCCAAAAUUUCCUUCUAGAUGCCGCACAUCGGAUGGGGAAACUUUGUAAAAUAUAGGCAACACUAUGUGUGACGCGCUCUUCUUACAGUCCAUGAUAUGAACGAGCUCACGGAGGCACCAUUUGCUCGAAGCAUAAUUUUCGGAGAUGACGGGGAUCGAAAUCUUAGACCGUCCGAUGGCAUCGAGAAUAUUUGAACCAAAUUCCUCGCCAAUUGGGAUGCUAUUCUCGUCCCUGAACACGCAAAGCGGUAUAAUCCCUACUUUGAUCAGACUGUGAUAGAGGUGAUCAGUGAAAGUAUUGCGGGUAUCAGAGCCUCUAAAGCUCAAGAACACGUCAUAUUGACCGCUACCUACACCUGUGGCUUCUGGAGAGAUGAAUGAAGAAGUGGAUGCUCCUUCAGUGCUCUCUUCCUCUGCCUUCUUUUUCUUUCCCUGACUCUGCCCUUUGUCCAUGGUGAUCUGGAGGGGAAAGUCGAAAAGAAAGAUCCUUUUGUUGCUGCUUAAAAGGAUUGUUGAACAACGAAAGACGUUUUUAGAAUGCUUUUCUGCAAAUGCUUGUUGGCUCCGGAUAACGUGUUCGUUAAUUCCCUAGGUAAUAAAGACACGACCUUCAGUUAAGUAAGCUAACAUCAUUUCACUGCAGAAGAUUAGGUGGCCCUGAGGAGGCCCCCAAAAAGCCCACAUCAUUUACUUGUUUAGAAACAUAAAUUUGAAAUUAAACAAAUUACAUUGUAAUUAAUCGACUUCCUUAAAACAUAUUUGAACAAUUACAUAACUUCACGCAUGUGUAUGAUAUUUGAAGGUGAAUUCUUUCAUUUCAAGGUAAGAUAUUGAAAUUACGUAGGUAACUCCAUGGAAGCAUCUUCCUCUGGAUAUAAGCUCACACGAUGCCUAAUCCUUGUCAUAAUCUUCGACCUUGCUAUUAUUAUUUUUAUCCUAAUACAUAAACAACCCUAACUAUCUCCACCACCUCAUUUUCACAACCCCUUCUAUGUAUUCCCAUGUCCAUUGGCCAAACUAAUGAAGUGUCAUGUAAAUUGUUGCCCGAUAAACCAUAUCAUCCAGAUGUGUGCACUUUCUUAAUUGGAGGGAAUUUCCAUCAAUCACGUUUUUAAUUUGGCGGGUUUCGAGUUUUAGGCAUUGCUCAUAUGUAAAAUUAACUAAAUCUAAAACAUUAAUCGAGGAAAAAUUUUCAAUUGAUUAGUUGUUUUGAUUAUGAAGGAAGUCGAUGAAAAUGAUUCUAAAUGAAAGGGAAAUACUUCCUUUUGGGCCCACAUUUUAUUUCUUUCUAAAGGUGCAUAGAAAUGAGAGGAAAUGCGAAAAUUGCACUUUUCUUCCAACUUCCUUUUUAAGGAUGAAUAGAAUGAACGAUAAUUAAGUCUAUCAAUGAAAUUAAGUUCCAUUAACAUCAUUUCCACCCAACAUGCAUCCAAACAUUUUUCGAGGACUUUUAACUUAUUUCUCCGAGCAAACUCGAGCUUCUCCGACAAGCUGAUACGUUCUUCUCUCUUCAAAUGGCUCAGAACUAGGUACUCUCCCUCUUACUUAACUUCAAUCAAUCUUAGACCAUCUUUGUUCUCCUUCCCUCCCCCCCUCUUUUCUCUUUUUGUGUGAAUGUUGUUUCUCUAUUCGUUUCGGGUUGUUUGCGUCACUUCUUUGAUGUUUUCAUUCAAUUUUUGUGAUUUCAUAUUUUAAUUUUAUUUAAAAUUGUCAUAUUCUUAAUGAUGUUGGAAAUGCAAGGUAGAGAUGAACAAAUGGUCGUUGUCAUUUCUCUCUUAUUUAUUUCGUGUUGGCCCCAAAUGCCAAUAAUUUUAUAUAAGACGAAUCUAUGACAUGAUGUUACCAAGCUAUUCACUUCAAACUUUCAAAUUUAAAUUAUUGAUUGAUAAAUUGUCUGUAAAAUAGAGUUAUCAUUCGUUAAAUGACACCAAAUGAGCAUAACACGUUAGUAUUAAGUUACUAAUGAUAUAUGAAAUACUUGUACACUGUCUUUGAGUUCUUUUAUGGGUCGUUUUUUUAUUACAAUUUUGUUGGCAUAUCAUUCAACUCUUGAAAGGUCAGUAAAACAAUGAUAAAAGAAGUAUGCGAAAUAUUCAAAAAAUAAAAGAUAAUUUAGGAAAAAGCAUAGAAAAGAAGGGAAUGAGGUGUCCAGGCUUCCUUUUAGAAGGAAGCAGUGAUAUUUAGAGGUAAUGUCCAAAAAGGCUUUUGAAUUAUGAAUUCUUAAUACAUAGAAACUUUCAUGAACAUGAAUUGAAAGUAAAAAGGGGAAUGAAAGAUGUAUGGAAAUUUGAGGGCGAAAGUUGGAACAAAAAGAUGCAUUUUUGCGCAUAAAAAGGAUCGAUGAACUAAUCUCUAUGAACAAUAAUGAAGAUAAAUCUGUUACCACACAAGGAAAAACGAACAUGAAAUCUUUAAUUAAUUGGUAAUUGAUUGACUAGGAGCAGUCGCAUAUGCUUUUAGCCCUUGCGUUAUCUUCUUUUGGACCUCACACUGUUGAAGUCAAACAUGCUGGCUUGAUCCACCCACGAGUACCGUGUACAUCAAUUUUUCAAUUGGGCUAUAAAGAACUAGAAUCUGUGUACAAGUAUACUGCAUUCAAUUAAGAAUAUAAGUAUACCUUUGGUCUUUAUUUGGUUAUUGAAACUCAGAAUUUGAUAAAUCAUUUAAAAGAUAAUAAUUGAGUUGAAACGGAAUUAGAAAUGUGUGAAAGACUUCAAGAAAGGACCAAGCUAGUAAUUGUGGAUGUGAUUCUAUAUUUUAAUAUUGUUUAACAAAGUUAGUUGGAAAUGUAAGGUAAAGAUAAACAAAUGCUAGUGGUAAUUUAUCUUUUAUCCAUUUCACGCAGGAACCACAUGCUACAGUUCCAUGUAAAAUGAAUUUAUUUUGAAUUAGUAUGCUAUCACCGAGCCUUUCAAAUCAAAUUUUCAUAUCUAAAAAGUUGAUUGAUAUCUUGUCUAUAAAAUAGAGCUAUUAGAUGGCACCAAAUAAAGGAGCGGAUUCUCCCUUAGUGCUCUCUUUUUAUGCACUCUUUUUUCUUCUUAUUGAGAUUAUUGAAUGUGGUUAUUUAUCUUUUAUCUAUUUCACGCUAGCACCACAUGCUACAAUUCCAAUGAAUUUAUUUUGAAUGAGUAUGUUAUCACCGAGCCUUUCAUUUCAAAUUUUCAAAUCUAUAAAGUUGAUUGAUAUCUUGUCUAUAAAAUAGAGCUAUAAUUUGUCAGAUGGCACCAAACGGAGGAGCGGAUGCUCUGUUAGUGCUCUCUUUUUAUGCACUCUUUUUCCUUCUUAUUGAGAUUAUGAAUACAAGCAUAAAGAUACAAGAAGCACCGCAAAGGAAUGACCUGAAAUGGAAGUAGAAUACUAUAAUUGGCUAAAUUUGUGAUAAUUCAGGUUAAAUUGAUUAAUCACAUUUUGAAGAACGAAUUUAUUGUUUGAAAAGAAAGAGGUGUAAGAAAUGAGUGAUAUAAAGCUAGGUGACUCUCCAUAUGGCCCAAUUUAUUCGAUUGUUUUCAUGAGUGUGUCAUAAGAUCGAUUUAUAUUUUUUUUCUUAAUAUAGGAUAUCAUGUAAAAGAUCCUAGGAAGUAUCAUACUAUGGACUUUAGCAUGUUUUAUAUUGCGAUGAUUGAAAUUGUCAUGAGUUGUGAGCAAGUAAAAUGUAGCGAUAUAGUUAAAAUGCUCAAACUCUCACCGUACUUUUUAAUUCUUCAUUUACUUUUCUUUUUUUCAAGUAAAGACUCGGUCAAUUUUUUAAGCUUUGAAGUGAGAAAAUGAUUUUUAUUUUUUAUUUUUUCUUGCUAAAGAAGGGAGAAAAUGAAUCAGAGGUGAAAGGGAAUAUACUUUCUAGGAUUAAUGGUCCAACAAUUCGAGUAAAACAGGAUAUUACUCAUUUGGAAUGUUCUAGAGGGAGUAAAAUUAUUGAAUAAGUCUUCUUAAGAGAAGACUUACUCUUAGGAUGAUUGGUUUCAGGAUAAAUGGGUUCUAAACAAAGAAUUAGGAACUUAAUAUGUAAUGAUUGGUUCUCCUCUUUUAUAACCGAUAACCAAGUAGUUGACCCAGGAACCAGCCUACUUUUAUUUUUUUGAUUUAUUUUUCCAUAAAUUGAUCUAGGAUCUUCAAACAUAGAGAAACCUCACAAUGCAUUAAAAAAAUAGAAUGGUCUAUGAAUUCAACCGAAAUGUGGCAAAUUUACGUGCAACAGAGUCUAGUGUACUUGCAGACCUACUUGCUCUAGUUCAACAAAAGAUCAGUACUAAAUUACGAUGCAACUAAGAAUCAGAUAGGAAGGCCAUCAUAGGAUUAGCCACAUCUAAAGUCGAAAACAAAAGGCUUUCCUUUUUUCACUGAAGUGAAAUCUAAGCUGGGCACAUACCUCGUCAAUAGGCAACAAUGACUCCAAAAGAGAGAAUAGAAGACCCUCCUCUGCUAUUCAGCAACCACCCCACAUCCCCAAUAGACAAAAAGAGCCCAGAGCACACUUAGUUCAGCCAAUUAUUCCAAUAAUGAAGUGACAAAAUCAAAAUAAACGGGAUGCUAAUAAGAAUGAAAAAGUGAUUACCACAAGUGAGCUGAGAUGCGAAGAGAGGCACGAGACCGGAGAGAGAGGAGACCGUAAACAAGCCUGGGCGAGAACUUUCAAGAGGGAUAAAGAACAAAGAAAGCGAGUGAGGACUAAUCAGUAGACGAUAGUCUCGAAAUGUUCUGCAAGAGAGAGGCCGAAUGCGAAUAAUAAAGUGAGAAACGAGAGAGAGAGAGAGAGAGAGAGAGAGAGAGAGGACCAAUUAGUAGCAGGCGAUAGUCUCGAAUUAUAAUUGAUGGACCGAUAUCCUCAUAUGGCUGACUGACUAGUAGCAAUAAAAUUGUUUUCAGGUGGCAAGCUAAGUCAAGCCACACAAUUUGGACCAAAGUACAGAAUGACCGCUUCUGUUCAUAUCUACUUAGAAACCAUUUUGUUAAACUGAUAAAUGUGGCUCUAACUGACAUUAGAAUCUUCCAUUAUACUAUUUUCAAAGACAUUCUUAAGCCUGUAAAUGCUAAAUUCUCCUCCCAUCCUAAACAUGCAUAAAUCAUAUUGUUGAAUUCAUUGUAAGUCGGUAAUUUCCUAUGCUAUAUAUAUAUAUGUAAAAGUCAUGUCUUUGCUCUAAGCAGUAAAAUCGCAUGAAAACCACACUUUAUCAUGAGUUUCUCUAAUACAAUCCGCAAAGAUAAAGUCCACCUAAAAAUUGUCCACAUAUCAAACAUGCGUAAGUACGUUGAAAGCAGCAGCUUUGCUCACUUUCAAGCUUUCCAUUGUAACCAGCACAAAAAAUAGUACGAUUGUGAAUUUUUCAUAAUUUCCGGAAGACAUGAAUUUUCUGUCAUUUUUCCAGAAAUUACGGAAAUUGUCGAUAAAACGGAAAAUGGUAUUAUGGACAUCCAAAAAUUUUCUAGUUGAUCUGACCUGUUCGAAAUUUUUUUUGUUGUUGAUAAUUCUCAUCCAUAGCCUGUGAAAGGUUUUGUGCAAUUAUAGAAGGAAAUAGACUAGCACCAUCGAUAUUUGGAAAAUAUAGAUUUUUUAACUAUUUUCAAGAAAAAAAAAUAUUUUCACAAAAACUGAGUAUUUUGGAUCUUUCAUGCUUAAAGUAAUUUUGGACAAUUGUUGUAUGUAUAAGGCCAAUGGACCAAAAUUGAGUCUAGAAGGGUAUUUUUCGCAAUUUUUAUCAAGCAGGCUUUUUUGUCCCAAGAGUUCAGUUAACCAUUAAUGUUUUGAAAACAACGUCAAGAUAAGGGCCAGCAUGUGAUUCCACCAGAUUCAACCAGUCUAACCAUUCAUAAUGGUUUUUUUUUUUUUUUGGUUCAAAAUAACCAAUUAAUUUAAAUGAGAAUAUUUUAAUAAGAAAAAUUAGCAAUAUAUGUGAUGAUGAUUUUGAAAAAAAUCGAGGGAAUUUCACAAGAAAUAUUUUGUAUGCCUUAAAGGAUGUUAGGCAUUAGGCCAUGAGUAAAAAUCGAAUAUAUUUGUGUCCUAUCAAUUGUAAUAGAUACGAGAAUGAAGGUCUGGCUUACCUUGAGGAGCGAUGCAGAGAUGAAAUUACUGUGAUGGUUUUUAGUAUUUGAGAGGAAGUCGCCUUUAAGUAGAUCAAGUUGUGUUCGAGUCUUGAAAGACAGUACAAUCCGAGGAUCACCUUCACACCUCAGCCUCAAGCUAUAAAACCAAAUAUAUCUCAGAACAAAAAUGAGUCUCAAUGAUUUAUGGUGAUUGGUGUUUCUCCUCUUCAAGCACAAGCACUUGGGACUUUAUAUUUUAAUUUUGUUUAAAAUUGUCAUAUUCUUAAUGAGGUUGGAAAUGUGAGGUAGAGAUAAACAAAUGCUCGUGGUUAUUUAUCUUUUAUCUAUUUCACACUGGCACCACAUGCUACAAUUCCAUGUAAAAUGAAAUUAUUUUGAAUUAGUAUGCUAUCACCGAGCCUUUUAAUUCAAACUUUCAAAUCUAAAAAAUUAAUUGAUAUCUCGUCUAUAAAAUAGAGCUAUUGGAUGGCACCAAAUGGAGGAGCGGUGCUCCCUUAAUGCUCUCUUUUUAUGCACUCUUUUUUUCUUCUUAUUGAGAUUAUUGAAUACAAGCAUAAAGACACAAGAAGCACCGCAAAGGAACGACCUGAAAUGGAAGUAGAAUAGGAUAAUUGGCUAAAUUUGUGAUAAUUCAGGUUAAAUUGAUUAAUCACAUUUUGAAGAACGAAUUUAUUGUUUGUAAAGAAAGAGGUGUAAGAAAUGAGCGAUAUAAAGCUAGGUGACUCUCCUAANNNNNNNNNNNNNNNNNNNNNNNNNNNNNNNNNNNNNNNNNNNNNNNNNNNNNNNNNNNNNNNNNNNNNNNNNNNNNNNNNNNNNNNNNNNNNNNNNNNNAUUUCUAUUUUUUUCUUAAUAUAAGGAUAUCAUGUAAAAGAUCCUAGGAAGUAUCAUACUAUGGACUUUAGCAUGUUUUAUAUUGCGAUGAUUGAAAUUGUCAUGAGUUGUGAGCAAGUAAAAUGUAGCGAUAUAGUUAAAAUGCUCAAACUCUCACCGUACUUUUUAAUUCUUCAUUUACUUUUCUUUUUUUCAAGUAAAGACUCGGUCAAUUUUUUAAGCUUUGAAGUGAGAAAAUGAUUUUUAUUUUUUAUUUUUUCUUGCUAAAGAAGGGAGAAAAUGAAUCAGAGGUGAAAGGGAAUAUACUUUCUAGGAUUAAUGGUCCAACAAUUCGAGUAAAACAGGAUAUUACUCAUUUGGAAUGUUCUAGAGGGAGUAAAAUUAUUGAAUAAGUCUUCUUAAGAGAAGACUUACUCUUAGGAUGAUUGGUUUCAGGAUAAAUGGGUUCUAAACAAAGAAUUAGGAACUUAAUAUGUAAUGAUUGGUUCUCCUCUUUUAUAACCGAUAACCAAGUAGUUGACCCAGGAACCAGCCUACUUUUAUUUUUUUGAUUUAUUUUUCCAUAAAUUGAUCUAGGAUCUUCAAACAUAGAGAAACCUCACAAUGCAUUAAAAAAAUAGAAUGGUCUAUGAAUUCAACCGAAAUGUGGCAAAUUUACGUGCAACAGAGUCUAGUGUACUUGCAGACCUACUUGCUCUAGUUCAACAAAAGAUCAGUACUAAAUUACGAUGCAACUAAGAAUCAGAUAGGAAGGCCAUCAUAGGAUUAGCCACAUCUAAAGUCGAAAACAAAAGGCUUUCCUUUUUUCACUGAAGUGAAAUCUAAGCUGGGCACAUACCUCGUCAAUAGGCAACAAUGACUCCAAAAGAGAGAAUAGAAGACCCUCCUCUGCUAUUCAGCAACCACCCCACAUCCCCAAUAGACAAAAAGAGCCCAGAGCACACUUAGUUCAGCCAAUUAUUCCAAUAAUGAAGUGACAAAAUCAAAAUUGUUGGAAUGUAUUAGGAAAUCUUCUAGAAUUUCUCCCUGAUUAUAUUACGUGAUUAUAUUACGUGAUAUUAUGUGAUUUGUUUUUUAUUCUGAUUGCUGUAAAUUAGAUAUUGAUAGAUAUUAGAGGCAACUUAGGAUCUUUAUCUAUAUAGGUUUCUUACCUAAUUUAGAUUCUCUGUUCAUGUAUUUAUACUCAUUGUAAUCACUCUAUGAGAGAUAAGAAAACAGAUUCUUUUCUUCAUGGUAUCAGAGCCCAAAGGUCCUUCAUCUAUUCACCUCGAGUAAUUUUUUUUUUUUUUCUUUCGUUCGAUCACUAUGUCGGACGAAUCAUCAACCACCCAAUCUAACCCUCCAUCACUUCUUACAAAAUCCACUGAAGCUCAUCCCAUUCAGAUCACUUCCAUAAAGCUGAAUGGUGAUAAUUUUUUUCGGUGGUCUCAAUCCGUUCGAAUGUAUAUACGGGGUAGAGGAAAAAGUGGCUAUCUGACUGGAGAUAAUGCAGAACCAGCGACAGAUGACCCCACUUGGGCUGUCUGGGAUGCAGAGAAUUCAGCGAUUAUGACGUGGCUGACCAACUCCAUGGAAGAAGAUAUUGGUGCAAAUUAUCUGGGCUAUUAUACCGCAAAGGAACUCUGGGAUGCGGUGUGUGAGAUGUAUUCAGAUUUGGGUAAUCAAUCUCAAAUCUACGAGUUAACCUUGAAGCUAGGGAAGAUGCGACAAGGAGAGGAAACUGUCACAAAAUACUUUCACUCCUUGAAACAUUUGUGGCAGGAAUUGGAUGUAUUCAAUGAUCAUGAGUGGAUGUGUAUUGAAGAUGGUAAUCGAUACAGGAAAAUUGUAGAAGCAGAACGUAUUUAUGCUUUCCUAGCAGGGCUUAGAGAUGAGUUUGAUGAAGUACGGGGCAGAAUACUUGGGAAGCAGCCUCUUCCACCUAUUGGAGAGGUCUUCUCAGAGGUUCGGAGAGAAGAAAGUAGACGGGGAAUAAUGCUGGGCAAGUCGGCUACCGGCGGAAAGGAUGGAUCAUUGGAAGGUUCAGCAUUAACUAUAUUUGAAGACAAGAAGGGCCAUGUUCCUACAACAAUAGUUUCCGAGGCAAAUAUAAGCAAGAUCCCCAUUAACUUGCGAAGAUCAGAUGGGAAACCUCGUAUUUGGUGUGAUUUUUGCAACAAACCCCGUCAUACACGGGAGACCUGUUGGAGGAUUCAUGGCCGUCCAGCUUCUACAACUAGUGAAGCAAGGAGACCAACUUCAUUUAGCCGUGAUAAUAAGUCUUCUCAGCGUAUGCCUCCUACAGCUAAUGAGGCCACUGCAUUCUCUUUCAGCAAAGAACAACUAAACCAUCUUCUGCAACUACUUCAGGCUGGGUCCGUAUCGGGUAAUCCUACUGCUUCGAUUGCCCACCAAGGUAGAAAUCUAAAUGCCCUCUCUUGUUGUUCACAAUCUGUACCUUGGAUCAUUGAUUCAGGGGCAUCCGAUCAUAUGACUAAUCUUCCAUAUUUGUUCAAAUCCUAUAUUCCUUGUCCUGGCAACCAAAAAAUUCGGAUUGCCGAUGGGAGUUUUUCAUCUAUUGCAGGCAAAGGAUUAGUUCCACUUUCUGAGUCUAUUAAACUUCAUAAUGUACUGCAUGUUCCUAAGUUAGCCUGCAGCCUCUUGUCUGUUAGUAAACUUUCUAAAGAGUCUAAUUGCGUGUGUCUUUUUUGCUUCCCAUUGUGAGUUUCAGGAUCAGAUCUCGGGGAAGACGAUUGGCAAUGCUAGGAUGAGGGAUGGUCUUUACUAUUUUGAAGAGUUUGUCUCUAAUAAAAAAGCUCAGGCGUAUGGAACUUUCAGUUCUUCCCCUGUUCAAGAACAAAUAAUGGUUUGGCAUCAUAGAUUAGGCCAUCCUAGCUUUAGAUAUUUGAAACAUUUGUUUUCUCAUUUGUUCAAAGAUGUGGAUGUUUCUUCACUACAUUGUGACAAUUGUCUUUUUUCUAAAAGUCAUCGUACUCAUUAUAAUCCAAAACAGUAUCGUGCAUCAUCUCCUUUUUACUUAAUCCAUAGUGAUGUUUGGGGUCCUUCACCCAUGUCAACAAAAACCGGAAAACGAUGGUUUGUUACUUUUAUAGAUGAUCAUACCCGUUUAUGUUGGACAUACUUGAUGAGCGCCAAAUCUGAAGUUGAGUCAUUGUUCAAAAAAUUUUAUCAAAUGGUUAUGACUCAAUUCCGUACUACUAUUAGUAUUCUUCGUACUGAUAAUGGUACUGAAUAUUAUAACCAAUUUUUGGGGAGUUUUUUGACAGAAAAAGGCAUCAUUCACCAGUCAACUUGCCGAACUACACCCCAACAGAAUGGCAUUGCUGAACGCAAAAAUCGCCAUCUCCUUGAAGUAUCGCGUGCCCUCUGUUUUUCAAUGCAUGUACCUAAAUACUUAUGGGGGGAAGCUGUGCUAACAGCAUCUUAUCUAAUUAAUAGGUUGCCUACUCGGGUAUUAAAUUACACUACUCCCUUAAAUUGUUUCAAAAAAGUGUACCCCACAGCUCGUAUUUUUUCUGAUAUUCCUCUAAGGGUGUUUGGUUGCACUACAUUUGUCCAUCUCCCAAUUCAGUGUCGAUCUAAAUUAGAUCCUCGGGCUGAAAAGUGUGUGUUUAUAGGGUAUGCACCUAAUCAAAGAGGUUACAAGUGUUACAAUCCACAUACUGGUAAAACUCAUAUCACUAUGGAUGUAACAUUUAUCGAGUCACAACCGUUUUUUUCUAACAAAUCUCUUCAGGGGGAGAAUGGCGAAGUUAGUGAAGAGAUUAACUCUCCUGUCCUUCCUAAUCCUUUGUUUGAAUCUUCGAAAACACCUCUGCCAAAUCUUGAUGUGUCAAAGAUAGGGGGAGAAAAAGUUCAAGAUCACAAUGUGAUCAAUAAGCCCGAGCUUCAGGUUUAUACUAGAAGGAAAACUCUUCAAAAUAUUGCAGAUCAGAACUUUGUCCUGGAGCCUCAUCCGUCUACAACCCCGAGAGAUGAUCUCUUGCCUUCGUCAUCAGGUGAUCCUAGUAGUACUCUUUUUCCCUCCAUUCCUAUCUUAAAUUCUGAUACUAAUGCUUCUAAUCUUGAUAUGCCUAUAGCUCUUAGAAAAGGAGUUAGAUCAUGUACUAAGCAUCCUAUAUCAAAACAUGUGUCAUUCCAAAAGUUAUCUCAUCAUCAUAGAGCAUUUGUGUCAAAUCUGUCUCACAUAUCUAUUCCUAGAAAUAUCCAUGAAGCUUUGAAGGAUCCAAAGUGGAAGAUGGCUGUUGAGGAUGAAAUGCUUGCACUUAAGAAGAAUGGCACAUGGGAGUUGGUUGAUACACCAGAAGAAAAAAAGAUCGUUGGCUGUAAAUGGGUAUUUACUGUAAAAUGUAAACCCGAUGGGAGUGUUGAGCGGUAUAAAGCAAGGUUAGUGGCAAAGGGGUUCACUCAGACUUAUGGAGUAGACUAUCAGGAGACUUUUGCCCCAGUUGCCAAGAUAAAUUCUGUUCGAAUUUUACUAUCUUUGGCUGCUACAUUUGAUUGGCCCUUACAUCAGUUAGACGUGAAGAAUGCAUUCUUGAAUGGUGACUUGGAGGAAGAAGUGUUUAUGAGUUUACCACCAGGUUUUGCAGAAACUGAAGGCAAAGUUUGCAGAUUAAAAAAGUCGUUGUAUGGACUUAAACAAUCUCCAAGAGCGUGGUUUGAACGAUUCGGGAAGGUGGUUAAAAGAUUUGGCUAUCACCAAAGUCAAGGAGACCACACUCUAUUCUAUAAACACUCAAAGGAAGGUAAGCGUGCAAUUCUAAUCGUCUAUGUUGAUGAUAUAAUAUUAACUGGUGAUGACAAAGUUGAGUUGAAAAGCUUGCAAGGGAAGUUGGCUGAGGAGUUUGAAGUUAAGGAUUUGGGUGCCUUGAAAUAUUUUCUUGGAAUAGAAUUUGCGAGAUCCAAAAAGGGCAUUUUUAUAAACCAACGCAAAUAUGUUCUUGAUCUGCUUAAAGAGACAGGUCUAUUAGGAUGUAAAGCAGCAGAGACCCCCGUGGAACCAAAUAUGAAGCUUGAACUUGCCAAGGCUGAAGAAGUAAUAGACCGAGAAAGGUAUCAAAGGCUUGUUGGUCGACUUAUUUACUUAUCUCAUACUCGACCUGAUAUAUCGUUUGCUGUAAGUAUGGUGAGUCAGUUCAUGCACUCACCAGGGCCAAGGCAUUUUGAAGCGGUAUAUAGAAUUUUACGCUACUUGAAGGGAAGUCCUGGUAAGGGUCUAAUGUUUGAAAAACAUGGACAUCUGGAAAUUGAGGUGUUCACUGAUGCAGAUUGGGCUGGAAGUACUAUGGAUAGGAGAUCUACUUCAGGCUACUGCACGUUUGUUGGUGGUAAUUUAGUCACUUGGAAGAGUAAAAAGCAGAGUGUGGUGGCAAGAAGUAGUGCUGAAGCUGAAUUUCGAUCAGUAGCACAUGGUGUAUGCGAAGUUAUGUGGAUUAAAGGUAUCUUAGAUGAACUACAAAUUCCAAGUUCCAUACCAAUGAAAGUAUAUUGCGACAAUAAGGCAGCAAUCGCAAUUGCUCAUAAUCCCGUGUUACAUGAACGGACAAAGCAUGUGGAAGUUGAUAAACACUUCAUCAAAGAAAAACUUGAUAGCGGACUAAUUUGUAUGCCGUAUAUUUCAAGUGAUGAUCAGACUGCUGACAUUCUGACCAAGGGAUUACAUAGAAGGCAAUUCAUUCGUCUAGUGAACAAGCUGUCUAUGGAAGACAUCUUCAAGCCAGCUUGAGGGGGAGUGUUGGAAUGUAUUAGGAAAUCUUCUAGAAUUUCUCCCUGAUUAUAUUACGUGAUUAUAUUACGUGAUAUUAUGUGAUUUGUUUUUUAUUCUGAUUGCUGUAAAUUAGAUAUUGAUAGAUAUUAGAGGCAACUUAGGAUCUUUAUCUAUAUAGGUUUCUUACCUAAUUUAGAUUCUCUGUUCAUGUAUUUAUACUCAUUGUAAUCACUCUAUGAGAGAUAAGAAAACAGAUUCUUUUCUUCAAAAAUAAACGGGAUGCUAAUAAGAAUGAAAAAGUGAUUACCACAAGUGAGCUGAGAUGCGAAGAGAGGCACGAGACCGGAGAGAGAGGAGACCGUAAACAAGCCUGGGCGAGAACUUUCAAGAGGGAUAAAGAACAAAGAAAGCGAGUGAGGACUAAUCAGUAGACGAUAGUCUCGAAAUGUUCUGCAAGAGAGAGGCCGAAUGCGAAUAAUAAAGUGAGAAACGAGAGAGAGAGAGAGAGAGAGAGAGAGAGAGAGAGGACCAAUUAGUAGCAGGCGAUAGUCUCGAAUUAUAAUUGAUGGACCGAUAUCCUCAUAUGGCUGACUGACUAGUAGCAAUAAAAUUGUUUUCAGGUGGCAAGCUAAGUCAAGCCACACAAUUUGGACCAAAGUACAGAAUGACCGCUUCUGUUCAUAUCUACUUAGAAACCAUUUUGUUAAACUGAUAAAUGUGGCUCUAACUGACAUUAGAAUCUUCCAUUAUACUAUUUUCAAAGACAUUCUUAAGCCUGUAAAUGCUAAAUUCUCCUCCCAUCCUAAACAUGCAUAAAUCAUAUUGUUGAAUUCAUUGUAAGUCGGUAAUUUCCUAUGCUAUAUAUAUAUAUGUAAAAGUCAUGUCUUUGCUCUAAGCAGUAAAAUCGCAUGAAAACCACACUUUAUCAUGAGUUUCUCUAAUACAAUCCGCAAAGAUAAAGUCCACCUAAAAAUUGUCCACAUAUCAAACAUGCGUAAGUACGUUGAAAGCAGCAGCUUUGCUCACUUUCAAGCUUUCCAUUGUAACCAGCACAAAAAAUAGUACGAUUGUGAAUUUUUCAUAAUUUCCGGAAGACAUGAAUUUUCUGUCAUUUUUCCAGAAAUUACGGAAAUUGUCGAUAAAACGGAAAAUGGUAUUAUGGACAUCCAAAAAUUUUCUAGUUGAUCUGACCUGUUCGAAAUUUUUUUUGUUGUUGAUAAUUCUCAUCCAUAGCCUGUGAAAGGUUUUGUGCAAUUAUAGAAGGAAAUAGACUAGCACCAUCGAUAUUUGGAAAAUAUAGAUUUUUUAACUAUUUUCAAGAAAAAAAAAUAUUUUCACAAAAACUGAGUAUUUUGGAUCUUUCAUGCUUAAAGUAAUUUUGGACAAUUGUUGUAUGUAUAAGGCCAAUGGACCAAAAUUGAGUCUAGAAGGGUAUUUUUCGCAAUUUUUAUCAAGCAGGCUUUUUUGUCCCAAGAGUUCAGUUAACCAUUAAUGUUUUGAAAACAACGUCAAGAUAAGGGCCAGCAUGUGAUUCCACCAGAUUCAACCAGUCUAACCAUUCAUAAUGGUUUUUUUUUUUUUUUGGUUCAAAAUAACCAAUUAAUUUAAAUGAGAAUAUUUUAAUAAGAAAAAUUAGCAAUAUAUGUGAUGAUGAUUUUGAAAAAAAUCGAGGGAAUUUCACAAGAAAUAUUUUGUAUGCCUUAAAGGAUGUUAGGCAUUAGGCCAUGAGUAAAAAUCGAAUAUAUUUGUGUCCUAUCAAUUGUAAUAGAUACGAGAAUGAAGGUCUGGCUUACCUUGAGGAGCGAUGCAGAGAUGAAAUUACUGUGAUGGUUUUUAGUAUUUGAGAGGAAGUCGCCUUUAAGUAGAUCAAGUUGUGUUCGAGUCUUGAAAGACAGUACAAUCCGAGGAUCACCUUCACACCUCAGCCUCAAGCUAUAAAACCAAAUAUAUCUCAGAACAAAAAUGAGUCUCAAUGAUUUAUGGUGAUUGGUGUUUCUCCUCUUCAAGCACAAGCACUUGGGACUUUAUAUUUUAAUUUUGUUUAAAAUUGUCAUAUUCUUAAUGAGGUUGGAAAUGUGAGGUAGAGAUAAACAAAUGCUCGUGGUUAUUUAUCUUUUAUCUAUUUCACACUGGCACCACAUGCUACAAUUCCAUGUAAAAUGAAAUUAUUUUGAAUUAGUAUGCUAUCACCGAGCCUUUUAAUUCAAACUUUCAAAUCUAAAAAAUUAAUUGAUAUCUCGUCUAUAAAAUAGAGCUAUUGGAUGGCACCAAAUGGAGGAGCGGUGCUCCCUUAAUGCUCUCUUUUUAUGCACUCUUUUUUUCUUCUUAUUGAGAUUAUUGAAUACAAGCAUAAAGACACAAGAAGCACCGCAAAGGAACGACCUGAAAUGGAAGUAGAAUAGGAUAAUUGGCUAAAUUUGUGAUAAUUCAGGUUAAAUUGAUUAAUCACAUUUUGAAGAACGAAUUUAUUGUUUGUAAAGAAAGAGGUGUAAGAAAUGAGCGAUAUAAAGCUAGGUGACUCUUCAAAUAUGCGUGUAUGGCCCAAUUUGUUCGAUUGUUUUCAUGUGUGUGUCAUAAGAUCGAUUUAUAUUUUUUUCUUACUAUUGGAUAUCAUGUAAAAGAUCUUAAGAAGUAUCAUACUAUGGACUUUGGUAUGUUUUAUAUUGCGAUGAUUGAAAUUAUCAUGAGUUGUGAGCAGGUAAAAGUAGUGAUAUAGUUAAAAUGCUCAAAACUCUCACCGUACUUUUUAUUUCCUCAUUUACUUUUAUUUUUUUAGAGUGAAGAAUCGGUCAAUUUUUUAAGCUUUGAAGUGAGAAAUGAAUUUUCUUUUCUUUUUUCUUGCUAAAGAAGGGAUAUAACGAAUUAGAGGUGAAAGGGAAUACACUUUCUAGGAUUAAUGGUCCAACAAUUCGAGUAAAACAGGAUAUUAGUCAUUUGGAAUGUUCUAGAGGGAGGUAAAAUUGUUGAAGUCUCCUUAAGAGAAAAUUUACUCUCAGUAUGAUUAGUUUCAGGAUGAGUAGGUUCUAAACUAAGAAUCAGGAACUUAUCAUGUAAUGAUUGAUUCUCCUUUUUUAUAACUGAGAACCAAACUAGUUGACCCAAGAACCAGCCUACUUUUUUUUUUUCGGAUUUAUUUUUCUAUAAUUUGAUCUAGGACCUUCAAACACAAAGAAAGCUCACAAUGCAUUUGAAAAAAAAAAAAAAAAAAGGUCUAUGAUUCAAUCAAAAUGUGGCAAAUAUGCGCGCAACAGAGUCUAGUGCCCUUGCAAACCUACUUGGUCUAGUUCAACAAAAGAUCACUACUAAAUUACAGUGCACCUAAGCAUCAAACAACAAGGCCAUCAUUGGAUUAGCCACAUCUAAAGUCGAAAACAAAAGGCUUUCCUUUUUUCUCUGAAGUCAAAUCUGAGCUGGGGACAUACCUCGUCAACAGGCAACAAUGACUCCAAAAGAGAAUAGAAGACCCUACUCUGCUAUUCAGCAGCCACCCCCACAUCCCCAAUAGACAAAAAGGCCCAGACCACACUUAGUUUAGCCGAUUAUUCCAAUAGUAAAGCAACAGAAUCAACAGAAAUGACACCCUAAUAAGAGAUGAAAAAGUGAUUACCACCCGCGAGCUAAGAUGUGAAGAGAGGCACAAGAUCAGAGAGAGAGAGAGAGAGAGAGAGAUUCUAAACAAGCCUUGGCGAGAACUUUCAAGAGGGAUAAAGAACAGAGGAAGCGAGUGAGGACUAAUCAGCAGAUGAUAGUCUAGAAUUGUUCCGCAAGAGAGAGGCCGAAUGCGAAAGAUAAAGUGGGAAAUGAGCGCACGAGAGAGAGAGAGAGAGAGACUGAGGCCCAAUAGUAGUAGGCAAUAGUCUCGAAUUAUUAUUGAUGGACCGGUACCUUAUAUGGCUGAUUGACUGGUAGCAAUUAAAUUGUUUUCAGGUGGCAAGCCAAGUCAAGCCACACAAUUUGGACCAGAGUACGAAAUGAUUACUUCUGUUCAUAUCCACUUAAAAACCAUUUUGUUAAACUGAUAAAUGUGGCUCUAACCGACUUGUGAAUCUUCCAUUAUAUUAUUAUCAAAGACGUUCUUACUCCGGUAAAUACUACAUUCUCCUCCCACCCUAAACAUGCAUAAAUCAUAUUGUCAAAUCCAUCGGAUGUCAGUAAUUUUCUACGAUAUAUAUAUAGAAGUCAUGUCUUUGUUGUAAGCAGUAAAAUCACAUGAAAACCACACUUUAUGACAAGUUUCUCUAAUUCAAUCUGCUAAGAUAAAGUCCACCUAAAAAUUGUCCACAUAUUAAAUAUGUCUAAGUUCAUUGAAACCAGCAGCUUCGCUCACUUUCAAAUUUCUAUUGUAACCAGCACAAAAAAAUAGUACAAUUGUGAAUUUUUCAUAAUUUCCAGAAAAAAUUUGAAUUUUCUAUCAUUUUCCAGAAAUUACGAAAAUCGCCAAUAUAAUGGAAAAUGGUUUUAUGGACAUCCAAAAAUUCUCUAGUUGAUCUGAUCUAUUCAGAUAAUUUUUUUUUGUUGACAAUUAUGAUUCGUAGCCUUUGAAAGGUUUUGUGCGAUUAUUGAAGAGAAUAGACCAGCACGAUUGAUAUUGGGAAAAAAUCUAGUUUUUAAAUGUAUUCAAGAAAAAAAAAUAUUUCUGCAAAAACUGAGUAUUUUGGAUGUUUCAAGCUUUAAGUAAUUUUGGCUCCCACUAAAAAAAAAAAAAAAAGUAAUUUCGGACAAUUGGGGUGCACAUAGGGCCAAUGGACCCAAAAUCGGGUGUAGAAGGGUAUUUUCAUAAUUUUAAUCGAACGGGCUUUUUGUCCCAAGGGAAUUUCACGUGUUAUUCGGUAUGCCUUUGAGGAUGUUAGGCGCUAAAGCGAUGAGUAAUAAUAAAGUGUAUUUUGGUCCUAUCUAUUGUAAUAGACCGGAGGACAAAGGUCGGACUUACCUCGAGGAGGAGGUAUUCAGAGAUGAAAUAACUGUGAUAGGUGUCAGUGUUCGAGAAGAAGUCGCCUUUGAAGCAGAUCGAGUUGUGUCCGAGUUGCGAAAGGCAGUGCAAUCCCGAGGAUCACCCUCACGCCUCCACCUGGACCGGCUUGGUUUGGAAGUACGCUGGGGUAAAUUUGCAGAUCAUCUCAGGUUAGAACAUCACGAGAAAGGACGAGUAGUGGCUACAAAAUCACCAACAACAGGCAAGGAACUUACUAUCUCUCGAUUAAAUUGCAGCCCUUCUCUGGUAUAUCUGGAGAUCCCAGAAACGACUCUCGUGUUCUGAGCGAAGACCGCACCACCAAACCCAGGAACCCUAAUCGCCUCAGUGGAGUCCGCGAUCAGAAAUUAUAGCAAGCGGAACACUAAAAUGUUGGAAACUCGACACGAUUCGAGUCGAUUUUACCUGUUAAUCGGUGCCCGCCGAAAACCCAGUCCCUCAAGAAAACUAUCGAUGGGGUCCUUUGAAGCCGGUGGUUCGGAAGGAGCGAUUGCAGGUGCUCUUCGCGACGGCCUCAGGCGUACUGCUCAAUGGAUUCUCGAGAAAGAAGAUCCCUUGCUUCCUCCGCCGAUUCAAGCUGAAGCUCUCGCCCUGGUAAGAGGAUUCGAUGUGCUUCAGAUCGAGAAGUAGAGAGAACUUGUACUUGGGAGUCGGGCAACGCGGCUGUGUUGAGUCUCUCUGCGGGAGCAUAAUCACGUGCCAUAGUUAGGGGGGAGGCGCACUGAUUUUGGAUGCCGGCGCAUGAUCACGUGCCAUGGUUAGGUGGACGCCUGAACCCAGUUGGCUAAUUUUCAAAAGUGUAUCCGCGUCCCAUAACUUUAAGAUUGCAUUUGGCGAUUCGAAUAAAGUUCAAAUUAAAAUAAAAUGUAUCAUAUUCUACAUUUGGUAUAUACUCAAAAUAAGAUAAAAUCAACUACAAAUAAGAUAUAAAUCGGAUAAAAGUAUCUCAUUGGGAAAUGCGGAUAUGAUUUCUGAUAUUCAUAAUAAGAAAUUUUUUUCUCAAAUAACAAAUUUCUAAAAUUAAAAAAUUACAAUUAUAUUUCAGUAUAAAUAAUAUUUGAAUCUAGUAUAAAAAAUAAAAAAUUAAUUUUUUAAUUUAAUCUUAUUUUUAUUUAUAUAUUAGAAUUUAAUUCUAUCUUAUAAUAUAAAUUCAAUAUAUAAAUAUAUAUUAUUACAUAUUUUCAAUGUUUUAAUAUUUCAGGUAUAUUAGUAUAAUUUUCUAUUUAAUACAUUUUUAUUAGAGAGUGAUGGAAGGGGGAAGAGAGAAAUAAAAAAAUAAUUAAAAAAGAGAGGAAAAUAAAAGAAAAAUAAAAUAAAAUAAAGUAGACAAAAAUGUCACGAGAAACAACGAUUCCAAAAGAGAGAAUAAAAGACACCCUCCUUAGCUAUUCAGCAGCCACCCCACAUCCCCAGUAGACAAAAAGGGCCCGGAAGACACUAGUUCAGCCUAUUAUUUCAAUAAUAAAGCGAUGAAUCAAUAGAAACAACACGGUAGUAAGAGAUGAAAAAGUGAUUACCUUCUGCGAGCUAAGAUACGAAGAGAGGCGCGAGAUCGGCGAGAGAAUACCCUAAGCAAGCUUGGGCAGGAACUUUCAAGGGGGAAAAAGAACGGAGAAAGCGAGUGAGGACUGAUCAGUGGAUGAUAAUCUCAAAUUGUUCUGCAAGAGAGAGGCCGAAUGCGAAAGAUAAAGUGAGCAACGAGAGAGAGAGAGGGUGGGGAAGGGAGGGGGGGAUCAAUCAGUAGUAGACGACAGUCUCGAAUUAUUAUUGACCGACCGGUAGACGAUAGGCUGAUUGACUGGUAGCAAUAAAAAUUCUUUUCAGAUGGCAAGCAAAGUCAAGCCACACAAUUUAGACCACAGUACAGAAUGACCACUUCCAUUCAUAUCCACUUAAAAACCAUUUUGUUAAAUAGAUAAAUGUCGCUCUAACCGGCUUGUAAAUUUUCCAUUAUAUUAUUAUCAAAGACGUUUUUACUCCAGUAGGUGCUGCAUUUUCCUCCCACCAUAAAGAUGCAUAAAUCAUAUUAUCAAAUCCAUUGUAGGUCAAUAAUUUCCUACACUAUAUAUAUGUAAAAGUCAUGUCUUUGUUGUAAGCAAUAAAAUCUCAUGAAAAGCACAUCUUAUGACAAGUUUCUCUAAUUCAAUCCAUGAAGAUCAACUCCACCUAAAAAUUGUUCACAUAAUAAAUACGUGUUGACAAUUUUGAUCCAUAGCCUAUGAAAGGUUUUGUGCAUUAUUGAAGAGAAUAGACUAGCAUGAUCAAUAUUUAGAAAAAUAUUUUUAACUAUUUUCAAGAAAAAAAAAGAUUUAUUUUUGCAAAAACUGAAUAUUUUGGAUGUUUUAGCCCUUAAGUAAUUUUGGACAAUUGGGGUACACAUAGGGCUGAUGGACCCAUAAUCGGGUCUAGAAGGAUAUUUUGGUAAUUUUCAUUCUUGAGGGAGUUCAAUCAACCAUUAAAUUUUAGAAAACAACAUUAGGAUAAAUGCUUAGGCUAGCAUUCGAUUCCACUAGAUUCAACCAAUCUAACCAUACAUAACCCAUUAGUUUAAUGAGAAGAUUGUAGUAAGGAAAUUAGCAAUAUAUAUGCAAUGAUGAUUUUGGAAAAGUCGAAGGAACUUCACGAGUAAUGUUUUGGUCGCCUUAAAGCAUAUUUGGUGUUAUGCAAUGAGUAAUAAUCAAAUGUAUUUUUGUCCUGUCAAUUGUAAUAAACUAGAGAAUGAAGUUCAGGCUCACCUGGAGGAAUGAUGCAGAGAUGAAAUUCUUGUAAUGGGUUUUAGUAUUUGAGAAGAAGUUGCCUUGAACAAAUCAAGUUGUGUUCGAGUCCCAAAAGGCAGUACAAUUUGAGAUCACCUUCACACCUCAACUUGAAGCUGUCAAUACAAACAUAUCUCAGAACAAAAACGAGGAUCUCAGUGUUAUGGUGAUUGGUGUUUCUCCUCUUCAAGCACAAGCAUUUGGGACUUUAUAUAAAGUUGUACUUCUCUUGCCCCAGAGGAGACGCAAAAUCUUGAGGUGGAUGGCGUUUCUUGGACGAGGCAAUUGUACUUCUUUUGAUUGUUGCCUUUUUGACCAAGACCACCAAAAACAAUCCCUUCCUCGAAAUUGGCAAGACAACCCCCUAUAGACUUCACUUAUUAAUUCUUUUUGUUAUUGGAUUUUGCAGCCAAGCAAAUCAUAGUGGAUAUUAACUUUUUUACACGAUGCUAGUCCUUAACAGCCACGGAAUCAUCUCUUUUUCUUUCUUUUUUUUCUUUUUUUUUCUUUUUUUGUCAAACGAAAUUAUCUCCUUUACUUGGGAACUUUUGCAAGGUGUUCAUAUUGAAAAUUACUUCUUCUCUUGCCUCGAAAAGUGAGCGCAAUGUGCUAGGGACCCACACAAUCUUACCAUGGAUUUGCGUGUCCUCGAUGAGAAAAUUUACUAUUUUUAUUGACUAACCCCAACCUUUUGUUAGUUCUCUUUGUAAUUGAAUCACAUGGCCGCACAAAUCAAAGUGAAGAUGAACAACAUUUUGCUUUCCCUUCCUAUUGAAAUAAAAGCCUCUCACCGUUGGAGGCAUUGAAAUGGUCAAAAAUCUAUUUGUUAACUCAUAUUUAGUGACUUGAAUCAUAUAUGGAUUGGCUCAAAUUGAAAGAAUAGGUUGUUAUGAAUUUAAAGUAACAAGAUUUUAUUCAAUAUAUAAUAUAUUUUAAUGAGUUUGAAUCAUGUCUAUAUGCAAUUCAUGUUAAUUAAAAAAAAGAAGAUGAGAAAAGUAAUGAUCUUUUCAUUUGCUUUCACAUGGCUCUUCUUAGGGGAACUCGUGCUCGAGUGUGGUAUGCCUCGACACGUGGAGCCCAUUGUAUGUGGCGCGACAAUUGCAUGAGCUUUUUCUUUACUUGCCCAUUGCUUUAAUCAAUGAUUAAGUGACCCAUCAUUCAUUCCCUAUUCAUUAUCGAUUGUUUAAUCUAGUGGGACUCAUGUAGAACUUAUAUGGCUCCGGUCAUUUUAGUUUUCCAAAUGUAAUCUUUCCCACAAUAUCAUUUAACUCCACAUCUAGACGACGACGUCAAUUAGGGCCAAUUCAGCCAAAUCUCCUCUGUACUCUUAAGGACGUAAGGAAUUAGAUUGAUAUCGUGUGCUUAAUAUGCACACAAAAAAAUUUAUCUUAGGUAUUUAGGGAUCAAAGUUAUGGUGAAAAAUAAGGGAAUGAAAAAAGCUGGGAAAAAUUACCGAAAAAGUCCUAAACCAAUUGCAUUUGUGCUAAUUCAGUCCUAAACCUCCAAAUUUGAUCAAUUUAGUCCUAAAUCUUUUAAUAAUUUGUCAAUAUAGUCUAUCCGGCCAAUUUUGAUGGGUUUAGGUUGCUUUGGAUGGUGGUUUUUCUUGGUUAUUAGCCGAAUUGCAUCCUAAUGGGCGCUUAAAUGUCAAAAAUACUCUUCAUCAGCUUAUCACACCAUACGAUACAACUGUCACAUGAAAUAUCUGUUAUUCUACUGCAUCAUUUCUCUCUCUCUCUCUCUCUCUCUCUCUCUCUGCCCCCACCACCGUGAAUUAAUGUCACCAUCCUAUAGUCACUCGCCCAAACAACACCAACAUGCCAUCCACAACUUAGGCCCCAUCUCUCUCUCUCUCUCUCUCUCUCUCUCUCUCUUCUUUGUCACGGCUGAACUCAAAAUAGAGGCGUCUUGCUCAAAGCUGCAAUGACACUUGACUAGACCUAGCAUCACAUCUUAGUAAUUUUGGCAUGCAUUGAGCUAGACGCAGCAUUGGAUCUCUACUAGAUCUAAUGUCGAGCCCAACACUGCAAUGGGCUGUCAUUGAGGAUUCAUAACUCUAGGAUAAAUAUGUUGUUGCAACAUCAAGCGCAUCGCCAAAUUGGGUCAAUGGGAUAUUCUUUCACAUAACAUGAUCAUGCCAGUAUAUGCAUUUUGCAAAAGAAAUCUUUAUCACGAAAAAAAAAAUACUUUUUCAAAACUUCUAUAUCAAAUUUCCUAUGAAACCGAGUUAAUUACCUUUUAGAAAAUUGUCUGGUGAGGGAAAGCAAGUCAAAGUCUUCCACCAUCUUCCUUGCUCAGUUGCAAAGAAAGUGGUAAGGCAAAAGCUGACAAGACCUACUCAACAGAAUUUUUUUUUUUGGGAGGGGGGGUGGGGAGGACUAGCGAGGAAACGCAAGUUAAAGUCUUCCACCAUCUUGCUUAACUUCGAUCAAUCUUAGACCUCUUUGUUCUUUCUCCCCCCCCCCCCUCCCCCCCUCCCCCCCUUCCUUCCUUUCUCCCUCCCUUGCUUCCCUACUCCUUUCGGGUCGGUUGCUUCACUGCUUUUAUGUUUUGGUUCAAAUUCGGUGAUUUCAUAUUUUAAUCUUAUUUAAAAUUGCCAUAUUCUUAAUGAAGUUGGAAAUAUGAAGUGGAGAUGAACACCAGAUGAACACCAAUUUAAUUUUAUUUAAAUUAUUGAUUAAUAUAUUGUCUACAAAAUAGAGCUAUAAUUUGUUAAAUGACACCAAAUGAGCAUGAUGGAUUAGUAUCAAGUUGCUAAUGAUAUAUGAAAUACUUGUACACUGUCGUUGCUUUUAUUAUAAUUUUGUUGGCAUAUCAUUCAGCUCUUGAAAAAUCAAUAGACCAAUGAAAAAAGAAGGAUGCGAAAUAUUAAAAAGUUAAAAAAUAAUAUUGGAGAAAGCAUAGAAAAGAAGAGAAUGAAGUGUCUGGGCUUACUUCAAGAAGGAAGCGGUGAUAUUUAGAGGUAAUGUCCAAAAGGCUUUUGAAUUAUGAAUUCACGACACAUAGAAAACUUCAUGGACACAAAUUAAAAGUAAAAAGGGAGUCAAAGAUGCAUGGCAAUCUGAGGGCAAAAGUUGGAACGAAAGAUGCCUUUCCGCUACAUAAAAGGAUCAAUGAACUUCUCUCUACAAACAAGUAUGAACAUGAAUAUGUUACCACGCAAGAAAAAAUCAACAUGAAAUCUAUAAUUAAUUGGUAAUUAAUUGACUGGGAGCAGUUGCAGAUGCUUUUAGACCUCGCCUUGUCUUCUUUUGGAACUCAUCCUAUUCAAGUGGAACUUGUUGGCUUGAUCCACUCACGAGUAACGUGUAGGUUAAUUUAUCAAUUGGACUACUAGAAUCUGUGUACUUGUAUAUUGCAUUCAAUCAAAAAUAUAAGCAUAGGUUCGGUUUUCAUGGUUAUUGAAAAUGGAAUCUGAUAAAUCAUUUAAAAGAUAAAUAUUGGAGUUGAAACGGAAUUAGAGAUGUGUGAAAGCCGUUGAGAAAAGACCAAGCUAGUAAUUGUGGAUGUGAUUUUAUACUUUAAUUUUCUUUAAAAUUUUCAUAUUCUUAAUGAAGUUGGAAAUGUGAGGUACAUAUAAAUAAAUGCUCAUGGUUAUUUAUCUUUUAUCUAUUCCAAGCCGGCACCACAUGCUCCAAUUUAGUGUAAAAUGAAUUUAUUUUGAACUAGUAUGUUAUUAUCGAGCCUUUAUGUUAUUACCAAGUCUUUCAUUUCAAAUUUUGAAAUCUAAAAUGUUGAUUGAUAUCUUGUCUGUAAAAUAGAGCUAUAAUUUGUUAGAUGGCACCAAACGGAGGAACAGAUUUUCCCUCGGUGCUCUCUUUUUGCAUACUCUUUUUUCUUCUUAUUGAGAUUAUUGAAUACAAGCAUAGAGACGCAAGAAGCACUGCCAAGAAGCGAACUGAAAUGGAAGCAGAAUAGGAUUAUUGACUAAAUUUGUUAUAAGUCAGGUUAAAUUGAUUAAUAACAUUUUGAAGAAUGAAUUUAUUGUUUGUGACGAAAGAGGUGUAAGAAAUGAGUGAUAUAAAGCUAGGUGAAUCUCCUAAUACGUGUGUAUGGCUCGAUUUAUUUGAUUGUUUUCAUGUGUGUCAUUCGAUCGAAUUAGGUUUUUUUUUUUUUCCUUACUAUUGGGUAUCAUGUAAAAGAUCUUAAGAAGUAUCAUACUAUGGAUGUUGGUAUGUUUUAUAUUGUGAUGAUUGAAACGAUUAUGAGUUGAGAGCAGGUAAAAAGUAGAAUAUAGUUAAAAUGCUUAAACUUUCGCCGCACUUUUUUUCAUUCCUUAUUUACUUUUCUUUUUCAGCAAAGACUCAGUCAAAUUUUAAAGCUUUGAAGGGAGAAAAUGAGUUUUUUCUUUCCUUUUUUUUUUCUUUUUCUUUUUAAAGAAGGGAGAAAAUAAAUUAGAGGUGAAAGGGAAUAUACUUUGUAGGAUUAAUGGUCCAACAAUUUAAGGAAAACAUAAUAUUACUCAUUUGAAAUGUUCUAUUGGGAGGUAAAAUUGUCUAAUGACAUCUCCUUAAGUGAAGACUUACUCUUAGGAUGAUUGGUUUGAGAAUGACUAGGUUCUAAACUAAGAAAUAGGAUAUUAUUUAAUAAUAAUCGGUUCUCCAUUUUUGUAUCCAAGAACCAAACUAGCUGAUCCUGAACCAGCCUACUUUUAUUUUUCUGAUUUAUUUUUCUGAUUUAUUUUUCUAUAAACUGAUCGAGGACCUUUAAACACAGAGAAACCUCAUAACACAAAAAAACAAAUUAUCUCUAGAUUCAAGCAAAAUAUGGAAAUUUAGCGCGCAUUAGAGUUUGAUGCACUUGCAGACCUACUCAUUCUAGUUCAACAAAAGAUUAAUACUGAAUUACGAUGCAACAAACAAUCAGGCAAUACGGCCAUCAUAGGAUCAGCCAAAUCUAAAGUAAAAAACAAAGGCCUUCUUUCUUCAUCGAAGUCAAAUCUGAGCCGGGAACGUACCUCGUUAACAGGUAACAUCGACUCCAAAAGAGAGAAUAAAAGACCCUCCUUUGCAAUUUAGCAUCCUCCCUACGUCUGCAAUAGGCGAAAAGGGCCCAAAACACACUAGUUCAGCCUAUUAUUCCAAAAAUAAAGCGAUGAAUCGAUAGAAACGCUGCACUAAUAAGACAUGAAAAAGCGAUUACCUCCCGCGAGCUGAGAUGCGAAGAGAAGCACCAGAUCGGAGAGAGAAGACCCUAAACAAGCCUGGGCCAGGACUUUCGAAAGUAAACGAAGUGAGAAAGCGAGUGAGGACUAAUAGUCUCGAAUUGUUCUACAAGAGAAAGGCCGAAUGCGAAAGAUAAAGUGAGAACUGAGAGAGAGAGAGAGAGGGGGGGGGGGGGGGGGCAAUUAAAUUGUUUUCAGAUGGCAAGCCAAGUCAAGCCACACAAUUUUGGACCAGAGAGUACGGAAUGACCACUUGUGUUCAUAUCCACCUAAAAACCAUUUUGUUAAGCAAAUAAAUGUGGCUUUAACCAGCUUGUGAAUUUUCCUUUCCAUUAUAUUAUUAUCAAGGACGUUCUUACACCUGUAAAUGCUACAUUCUUCUCCCACCCUAAACAUUCAUAAAUCAUGUUGUCAAAUCCAUUUAGUAAUUUUCUAUGCUAUAUAUAAGUAAAAGUCAUGUCUUUAAUGUAAGCAAUAGAAUCACAUGAAAACCACGACGAGUUUCUCUAAUUCAAUCUGUAGAGAUAAAUUCCACCCAAAAGUUGUCCACAUAUUAAAUAUGUGCAAGUGCAUUGAAACCAGCAGCUUUGCUCACUUUCAAGUUUUUCAUUGUAACCCUCACAAAAAAAAUUGUACAAUUGUGAAUUUUCCAUAAUUUGCAGAAAACAUUUGAAUUUUCUGUCAUUUUUCCAAAAGUUACGAAUAUUGCCAAUGCAAUGGAAAAUGGUUUUAUGGAAGUCCAAAAAUUCUCCAGUUAAUCUGACUUGUUCAGAAAAUUUUUUGUUGUUGACAAUUUUGAUCUGUAGCCUGUGAAAGGUUUUGUGCAAUUAUUGAAUACUAGCAAGAUCAUUAGUUAGAAAAAUAUAGUUUUUACCUGUUUUCAUGAAAAAAAAAAAGGAAUUAUUUACACAAAAACUAAGUAUUUUGGAUGUUUCUGGCUUUAAGCAAUUUUGAAUAAUUGGGUACGUAUAGGACCGAUGGACCCAAAAUAAAGUGUAGAAGGGUAUUUUCACAAUUUUUAUCAAGCAAGCUUUUUGUUCUAAGAGAGUUCAGUCAAUCAUUUAAUAUUUUGAAAACAACAUCAAGAUAAGGGCCGGCAUGCAAUUCCACCAAAUUCAACGGUCCAACCAUUCAUAACCGAUUAGUUUUUUUAGGUGAAAAUAACCAAUUAGUUUAAAUAAGUAGAUUGUAGUAAGAAAAAUUAGCAAUACAUGCAAUGAUGAUUCUGAAAAAGGAGGGAAUUUCACAAGUAAUAUUUUGUUUGCCUUAAAGGAUGAUAGGUAUUAUGCCAUGAGUAAUAAUCAAAUAAAUUUUUGUCCAAUCAAUUGUAACAGACUGGAGAAUGAAGAUCGCGCUUACCUCGAGGAGCGACGUAGAGAUGAAAUUACUAUGAUGGAUUUUAGUGUUUGAGAAGAAAUUGUCUUGAAGUGGAUCAAGUUGUGUCCUAGUCGCGAAAGGCAGUACAAUCUAGCAUCACCUUCACAACUCAACCUAGAGCUUUCAAACUAAAUACACCUCAAAACAAAAACGAGGGUCUUAGGUAUUUAUGGUAAUUGGCAUCUCUCCUCUUCAAGCACAAGCCCUUGGCACUUUAAAUAAAGCUCUACUUCUUCUCUUGCCCCAAAGGGGACGCAAUUGUAAUUCUUUUAAUUCUAACAUUUUUGACCAAGACCACCGAAACAAUCCCUUCCUCGAAAUUGGCAAGACGACUCCUAUAGACUUUACUUGCUAGUUCUUUCUUGGCACUUUAAAUAAAGCUCUUCUCUUGCCCCAAAGGAGACGCGCAAUUGUACUUCUUUUGAUUCUAACCUUUUUGACCAAGACCACUGAAACAAUCCCUUCCUCGAAAUUGGCAAGACGACUCCUAUAGACUUUACUUGCUAGUUCUUUCUUGGCACUUUAAAUAAAGCUCUUCUCUUGCCCCAAAGGAGACGCGCAAUUGUUAGGAGACGCGCAAUUGUACUUCUUUUGAUUCUAACCUUUUUGACCAAGACCACCGAAACAAUCCCUUCCUCGAAAUUGGCAAGACGACUCCUAUAGACUUUACUUGCUAGUUCUUUCUUGGCACUUUAAAUAAAGCUCUUCUCUUGCCCCAAAGGAGACGCGCAAUUGUACUUCUUUUGAUUCUAACCUUUUUGACCAAGACCACCGAAACAAUCCCUUCCUCAAAAUUGGCAAGACGACUCCUAUAGACUUUACUUGCUAGUUCUUUCUUGGCACUUUAAAUAAAGCUCUUCUCUUGCCCCAAAGGAGACGCGCAAUUGUUAGGAGACACGCAAUUGUACUUCUUUUGAUUCUAACCUUUUUGACUAAGACCACCAAAACAAUCCCUUCCUCGAAAUUGGCAAGACGACUCCUAUAGACUUUACUUGCUAGUUCUUUCUUGGCACUUUAAAUAAAGCUCUACUUCUCUUGCCCCCAAAGGAGACGCGCAAUUGUACUUCUUUUGAUUCCAACCUUUUUGACCAAGACCACCGAAACAAUCCCUUCCUCAAAAUUGGCAAGACGACUCCUACAGGCUUUACUUGCUAGUUCUCUUUGUUAUUGGAUCCCGUGGCCAAGCAAAUCAAAGUGGAAAUUGACUCUUUUACAUGAUGCUAUUCCUUAAGAGCCACGGAAUUAUCUCCCUUAUUUUUUGUCAAACGGAAUUAUCUCUUUUACUUGAUAACUUUUGCAAAGUGUUCAUAUUGGAAAUUUCUUCCUCUCUUUCCUUAAAAGAUGAACCAGAUUUACUUGGGAUGCACACAAUCCUAAUGUGGAUUUGUGCGUCUUUGAUGAGGAAAUAUUCUUUUUUACCUGACUAACCCUCAAAUUUUGUUACUUCUCUUUGUAAUAGGAUUACAUGGUCGAGCAAAUCAAAAUGAAUAUGAAUAACAUUUUGCUUUCUCUUCCCAAUGAAAUGAAAGCCUCUCAUCACUAAAGGCAUUGAAACGGUUAAAAAUUUACUUUUUAACUCACAUCAGUGACGUAGAUUAUAUAUGAGUUAACUAAAAUUUAAAGAAUAUUUUAUUAUGAAUUCAAAGUAACAAAAUUUAACUCAACAUAUAUUUUAAUGAGUCUGAACCAUGUCUAUAUGCAAUUUAUGUUAUUUGAAAAAGAGAAAAGUAAUGAUUUUUCCAUUUACUUUCACGUGGCUCCUUCUUAUAGUGGGCCUCACGCUUGAGUGUGGUACAUCCCAGCACAUGGAGCCUACUUAUGUGGUGCGACAACUGAAUUAGUUUUUUCUUCACUUCCUUAUUGCUUUGACCAAUGAUCGAGUGCCACGUCAUUGUUCCCUAUUUAUUACAUACCGCUAAAUCUUGUUGGACUCACGUAAAACUUUUAUGAGUCCCAUCAUUUUUAGUUUUUCAAAAAAUGAUCUUUCUCACUAUCAAUUAGCUCAACCUCUCUGACCAAAAAAAUAAAUAAAUAAAUAAAAUUGCUCAAUGUCUAGCCGAUGACAUCAAUUAGGGUCAAUUCAGCCAAACCUCCUCCAUACACUUAAGGAUGUAAGGAAUUAGACUAAUAUCGUGUGCUUAAUUUGCACAUAAUUUUUUUUAUCUUACGUAUUCAGGGAUCAAAAUUAUGAUGAAGUAUAAGGGAAUAAAGAAAGCAUGAGAAAAUUUCCAUAAAAGUUAUAAUCUAGUCCUAAUCAUUUUAAUUUGACCAAUUUGAUCCUUUUGAUAAUAUAUUAAUGUAGUCCAUCCGGCCAAUUGUGGUAGAAAAUUGUUGACGUAGACGUUGAGCAUCCUAUAAGUCACGGCCGGCAUUGACAUAAAAAGUUCUUUUUUUAAUUUUUAAUUUUUUUAAUUUGUACAAAAAUAGAAAGGGAAAACAUCAAUCCUACCAUAGUUGGGAAGAUUUUUUGAAAAGAGCACUUCAAUUGCGCGCUCUCGAGAGAGACUAGCGAUCAAUUCAAUUCCGAUUUGUGCAUCAUCCAUCGAUCGAUCGAAUCGCUGGAACAAGUUGACUUCUGUGGAGGAUCAAGCCUUGGAGGUAGAGAAAGCUCAGUUGCUGAGUUUGGUGCUCGAUUUUGGCUUCAACAAGCAAUCCGCCAACAAGUGCUUGGAUCGACUCUUUUCGCUCUACGGUACCCUAAUCAUUAUUUUGUCGCUCAUUUUUUUGUGUUAGUUAGCGUUGCAAAAUAUUAUGUAGGUAUUUCUCGUCCGCUACAAUAAUGGCUGUGGAAUAGUCUACUUUAUGUUUAAAUAGUUUGGAGCUAGUUUGGUGAAAUAGUCUUGCUGAUGAGCGAAAUGUUUGGUAUUGUUCUAAUUUGAUGUUUUUCUUUUUUUUCUUUUUUCGGUCGAUCAGUUUGGUGUGUCUAGGUUGCUUUGGAUGGUGGUUUUUGUUGGUUAUUAGCCAACGUUGCUUAAAUGUCAAAACUACUCACUUUGUAUUGGCUUGUCACGCCUUCUAACACGACUCACAUGAAAUACCUUUUAUUCUACCACAUCAUUUCUCUCUCUCUCUCUCCGCCACCACCCCUCCCCCCACCAUUGCCAAUUAAUGUCACAAUCGUACGGUCACUCCCCUGACCAAAACCAACGACGCCCUCCACAAGUUAGCCCCCAUCUUUGUCCAUAUAUCUCUCUCUCGUCAUGGCCCAACUCGUAAAUAGAGGUUUCUUGCUCAAAGCUACAAUAAUGCGUGACUAGAUCUAGCAUCACAUUUUAGUAAUUCUAGCAUGCAUCCAGCUAGACAUUGCGAUGGAGUUUGACUAGAUCUGAUGUCGAGCCCAACUCAGUGGUGCGCCAUCAUUGAGGACUCAUAACUAAAGAACAAAUAUGUUGCAAUAGCCAAGCGCGACGCCAACUUGGGUUAAUGACAUAUUUCUCCAUACACGGCAUGCUCAUGCCAACAUCUACAUUUUGCAAAAGAAAUCUUUAUGAUGAAAAAAAGACUUUUCCAAAAAUUCUAUAUUAAUUUUUCUACGAAACUGAGUUAAUAACCUUUCACAAAAUUCUAUGGCAAGGGAAAGCAAGUCAAAAUCUUCCACCAUCUUGUUUGCUUAGUUGCAAAAAAAAAAAGUAAUAAGGCAAAAGUCGACAGGACUUAUUCAAAAGAAAGGGAUAAAAAAAAGGACUAGCAAGGAAAAGUAAGUCAAAGUCUUUCACCAUCUUGCUUGCUUAGUUGCCAGGAAAGACAUCAGGUAAAAGCUGACAAGACCUACUCAAAAGAAAAGAUGGAAAAAGAUUCUCACGAGUAAAAGUAAGUCAAAGUCUUCCACUAUGUUGCUUGCUUAGUUGCAUUGUGAAACAAGAGACCAUUAUUUAUCAUGAAAAUAUUGUAUAAGCUUAAUUUAUAAAUGAUGAGGCUGAAAAAUCAAUUAUAAUAUAAUAAUGUACUAAAUUUUGUGUUUUCCGAUGGGGCUUUGCAUGGGUUUGCACAGUUUCUUUUAGGUGUUUUAAUGAAAUCUAGAUGUUUGAUAAUGCUAUGUAUAUUUGUUAUACAUCAAGGUCUUCAAUUUGGCUACUGACUCUAAAUAACUCAUAUUGAUCUGACAGCAUAUGUGGUAAUGUUAUUGUUCUAUAAUUAUACUCUUUUUUUCCUUUUAAAUUAACAAGAGCAAGCCAAUACAACUCACAGUCCAUGAGAACUCGAGAAUAUACCAUACAUAUUAUCCUCAUGCUAGUCUGUCAUCAAGUGUUUGAGGAGAGUUGAAAUUGACAUGUGCAAGCUAUUGGAUAUUUAGAAUUAGCAAAGUGUAGCUACCUUAUAAAAUUUGUCAAAUUUUCAUCUUUAUUUAAAUUCAUAAAAUCCAUUUACCUCACCCCCACUUUCUUUGCUUAUGCUGAUCGUGAUUUUUCUUUUUUGAGAUUUACAUUCGAUCCAACAUUGUUCUUUGGUCCAGAUACAAUUCAGCACAUAUAUUAGAUUUACAAAAUAAUUGCUCUGUAUCAUGAGAAUGCUAUUAAAAGGAGUAACAUGUAAAACUAGUAAGAUUUUUGCCUUUUGCUGAGGAACAUACUUGUUUUCUGGCUUAACAGAUGAUCGACCGUUAAACUGAUCUGAAAAAUCCGAUUUUGCCGGCUUUUAUUGGUCAUAAACCACAGGAAUCAAAUGUAUCUUGGUACUCUGUAAGUGUCUUCCACAACAAUAGUAGGAUAAAUGGAAUACCAAUGGAUAUUUGACUCUUCCCUCUUUCAUUAGUUGACUAAGAUGAGACAUCAGUGGUCCAAAAUGGAAAAGAACAUAAAGGAAUAAAUUCAUUGACACCCAUCAUCUUAGUAUCACCAAAUUUAAGACUUCCAAAUGAGGUUAAAAAAAAACUUGGGUCUUGCUGCGCAAUAAAAAAAAGCAAAGGAUCAACGCAUGAAGAGAACAAAGAAUAUUGUUUACGUCCACCAGCCAAAAGAUUGCAAGAUCAACAGCAAAUGCAGGAAAGGAAAGAAAUCCAGAAGAAAACCACACGAAACCAUUUAUUAUUUACAAGCAUAUACCAUCAUGGAACCAAUAUGUGUGCCAUUUAAUAGGAAGAGCUCAAAGAUUGUCUUCAAUACAAAAUAACUAUAGUCACAAGUCAUCUUUUUAACAUGUAAAAACAACGAUUUCAUUCGGCAAAAUUUGCCACCCCAGUCAUGAAGAGCAUGGUAUCUGAAAAGCACAUCACUCUCAAAUGUACUUUUCAUGCAAAUGGCGAGGUGCUUAUAUCAUAAAAAUGAUCGCUUAUAUCACUUGAUAUAAUUAAUCAAUGAAAAAUAUAUUCAUUAUCGAUAAAACUUUAGAUCCAAACAUUUUCGUGAAUAAUAAAAGCAUCUCUCAUUCCUUCAUUAUUGUUAGCGAUUUUUAUGGAAUUAUUUGCCUAAAUCAUUUUUCGCAAGACAAACACACCCUUAAUGUCAAACAGCUCCAAUGUUUAAAACUAGGAGAAGGAAAUUCAAAGCAGACUUUUUACAUUGGUUUAUAGCAAGUAAAAUGGAUUGCAAAUAUCUUUGGUUUUUGUACAUGUGAAAAUUAGACUUCCGCUGUUUUGUUAGGUCAUUGGAUUUGGUGGUUGAGUGUGGAACCGAAGAAGAUUUGCGUAAAAAAAAAAUUGCAAGCGGUUCUAACGAAUGGUUUUUGAUUUUAACCCAUACUACGACUUAAUAAUGGAUUGAAUUGCAAAAUUCGCAAUAAAUUUUUUUAAAAUACAAUUAUGAUGUAAUCAGAGCAGCUUGAUGCAUUUCAUUCCAUAUUUUUAAUUUGUGGCUUGCUUAAAUUAUAUUUAUAAGAAGGUAACGAAGGAGGUGAUGAGUACUCAUAUUUUAAUCAACCUCGAUUGGUUAUUAUGUGGAAAGCACACAACUUCCUAAUCAUGAUUGUUGGCUAAUCAUACUUCGUAGCGUGAGGCGAGGGAAAGCAAAUCUUCCAACAUCUUGCUUGCUUCAGUGCAAUUUCCAGCUCUUCUCUUUUAACCAAAGAAAGGGAUAAGGAAAACGCGGACAAAACCUACUCCAAAAUCUAAAUAAAUAAAUAAAAGACUCUAGUCAACGUUCAACAUUGGAGUGCUUCUAGUUCUUCCCCUGAAUUUCCUCGAAGGUGUAUGAAUGUGAGGUAAUCGUGUUUACCUAUCUCUACGGGAGAUUGUAGUUACAAUCACUUGGGUUAUGUUUACGGCGGGAUAAAAGACCAGUCUUUAUCAUGAAAUAUUGUAUAGAAUUAAUUUAUGAGUGGCACAACAGACAAUACUAAUCAUAAUUUGAAGUUUUUGAAUGGUAGUGCGGCAACUUGUGUUUUCUAGUGAGACUCGAUGUAAGGUUUUCAUAAUUUUCAAUAGAUAUUGUAAGAAAUCUUGAUGUUGUUGUAAAUUUGACAUACACUGAACUUUUCAUUUUGUCUAUUGACUCUAAAUAACUCUUAUUUAUCAAUACUUUGCAAUGGUUAUUGCUCUAUAACUAUACCUUCUUGAGUGGCCUAACAUAGGUCAUGAUGCAUGAAUGUGAACACGAGAAUAUGCCAUGCAUUCAAUUACUAGCCUUGUGAAGGGUUUGAAGAGGAUAGAAAUUGAUUUGUCAAAGCUAUUGGUUGCUUAGAAUAUGCAUCAAUAUUAUAAUAAAGUUUGCAAUAUUUUAAUCUUUAUUCAUUCCCUGCGUUUUCUUCUCUCAUGCUUGCUUCGCUUAUCGUGAGUUUAUUGAGUCCACAUUAGUCCAAUUAUUUUUAUUGAUCCAGGUGAACAAUAUUACGAGAGUGCUAUUAAAAAGAGUAACGUGAAAAAUUAGCGAGAUCUUUGACUAGGGUUCUGCUAAGGAGGAAACUUGUCAUUUUCCGGCUUAACAUAUAACGGACCGUUAGACUGAUCUAGAAAAAUCUGAUUUUGUCGGCUUUUAUUGGAUUGAAACUACAUAGAUCAAAGGUAUGUUGGUGCUUUGUCAAGUGUCUUCCGGAGCAAUAAUAGGAUAAAUGGAGUACUAUUGGCUCUUUGACCCUUCCCUCUUUCAUCCCUUGACUGAGAUAAGACAUCAGUGGCCCAAAACACAGAAGAACAAAAAGGAAUAAAUUCAGUGACCCCCGUACCACCAAAUAUAAGACUUCAAACCGAGGUUAAAAAUCCUGGGUUCUGCUGCACAAUAAACAAAAGCAAAGGAUCAACACAUGAAGAUAAAAAAGAUCCUUUACCUUCACCAGCCAAAAGAUUGCAAGGUCGGCAGCAAAUGCAGGAAAGAGAUCCAGAAGAAAACCAUAUGAAACUGUUUAUUACUUACAAGCAUAUACCAUCCUGGAAACUAUAUGCAUGCCAUUAGCGGGAAGAGCUGAAAGAUUGUCUUUAACACAAAUUAACUAUAGUCAUAUGUCAUCUUUUAACAUGUAAACACAAUCAUUUCAUUCGGCAAAAUUGGCCACCCAUGUCAUGAAGUGCAUGAUAUCCUCAAAUUGGAGAGUUGCAAGCUGACAAAGCCAUUUAAAGGAUCGCAGCCUUCAGCCACUAAUCAUAUGUGAAAGACAGCCAAAUGUCAUGUGAAUCAGCAACUACCGUCCUAUUAGGCAAUACUAACAUUUCAGUCUUCCCAUUGUUCACAUGAAGAGCACGGAGAAUCAUAAUGAAACGGGAGAAAGCAGUGUACGAUGAGAUACUCUUUAGUCAGUAAUCAUAUGUGUCAAGCAGAACUAUUUAAGGCUCCACUGCCUUCAAAAUCAGAUCACCAAGUUUUGUAUCUCCAAGCCAACUUUGAAUGGUAGUUGCAAAUCACUUCUUUUAGGAACACUCUUGGGGAAAUCGAGCAUUUGAUGAUGUUAACUUACAUUCUGACAAAUACAGGUCAUUGUCUUCAUUUUCAGUCUUCAGCAACCCAACCAUCUUGAUUCACUUCACCAUUGGAUUGCACAGCUGCCACUUCACUAUUAUCCUCUUUUGCAAGGAAAUGGGGAUCCAACAAACAUUGAAGACACAUUCUGUGAGAGAGUAGUUUCUAAAUCUGGAUUGGCAUGGUCAGUAGCUGAAAUGGAACGGAAGUCCUGAUCUCCAACCAUUGAAGAGGGGAGAGACUGUGAACUUCUAAUAACCCUCUACUGAUUUUGCUGACUACUUGCAGUUUUCACUGAAGACAUGGAACUACCCUGAACAAGAUAGGACUCCUCAUUAAGAGAUGCUAGUCGGCAAAAGAACUCAAAAUUAGAGGCAGAGCUCAAAAAGAACAUAAAUGUUCCUACAGUUGACAGCAACAAGGUAUUUUAGUAACUGAAAUAUCACCUUUCCCAGAAGUUAAUUGAUCAAACCAUUUGCGAUUCAAAAUAUGAAUGUGACCCCAUCUUUUAGCAACCUUGUAUUUAUCUUCUGGAGCUUACAGCCAGUCAAGGGCAUCGUAGUGGGACUCACAGUGCUACAAAGCAUCAUAUAUGAGGCCAAUAGAAAGAUUCAAUGGUAAUAACAUUGCUGAGCAAUGUGCUUUGAGCAACCAACAGGCAGUCCUAACUCACACUGGAAAAGCGAGAACUGGCUGAGGAUCUUUUAACAAUUCGCAGUUCAAAUUGUAGGUUCUUUAACACCUUGUUUCCUUGAACCACAGAACACAAUUCUUUAGGACUGAUUUAGAAGUCAAAGUCAAUGAUAUUCUCAUGCCGGGAAGUUUCACUGUUUCUCAUCUGAGUAAUCAAAUUCCCAAGUAAAAGGAUAAUACCAAAAACCAGGAUUAAAUCAAGUAUAGCUAUUUCCUAUUUCAAACUAUAAUCGUCACUAAACCUUGAAAUGAUAUAGAUUUUUCUUUUCAAACUCUUAAAGGUGUUUUCAUAUGCGAAGACAAGAUAAAGAUAUGUGCAUUUUCAAAUGGCGAUCUGAUAUCAAAGGGAAAAUAUGCAAGCAAAUCACUGGACUUUAAUCUUGAAGAAGAAAAAGUUAUUUCUGCAAUUAAAUGAGUGUCCUGGUCAAUUCUGCAGAAUAUUUCCCACCAUUUUGUGUGAUAUGCUUCUGAAUCUCCUUCUGUGCAUCUAAGAUAAUGAAGGACAUCAAAAUUGAAGAACUGGAGGACAACCAACAGCAGCAGCUAUAUCAAAUAAUCAGUAUGUGCAGGAAUUCCUGUGACACAUACAUUGUCGAUCCAGAAAAUGGAAGAACUCUGUAAGACUCCUGAGGUACAACACGGUGCACAACAUAACAUUCGUAUAACCAAUUAAUGGCGACAACAGGUUUCUUCAGAACAUUUAAAGCCCACUGCAUGAUGACAACAUUAAUUGAUAAAUACAAUGUAUCUUUCAAGAUGAAAUUCAUAGAAGACUUUGCACACGGAAUAUUCAAAAAAAUAUGGAGGAAACUCUUCUUUAGUUCAGCCAACUCAAUGAGAAUACUACCCACAAUACUUCCCAUACUUAGUGAAAAAGCAUAAUGAAUCUCAUUUAAGGUGAUUUAACCUUAACAAGAUACAACAAAUUCGCAACUCUUAAACUAAAUUCAAAUUAUUAACUCCAAGACUUAAACCUUGCAUUUUGCAGCCAAAAUAUUCUUUGCAAUUACGAAGCUAACAUUGCUGAAGUUUUGGUCUUAGAACUCCCCCCGUUGAACUAACCAACUUCUCAAUCUCAGCCAGCAGAUUCACGUAAAUGGUGAAACAAUAAGAGAGAUGACAAGCUGCCACCAUAUUUGUUCAGACAAAAGCAUGUCUGCAGGCAAAAGAUUCAAGGGGUCACAUAGAAGGAUACAUGGAUAAGGAUAAGUGACACCCACACUGACUUUGAGUGACAAGUUACGACAAAGAUUACAUGCUAAAAAAUCAUACAAGGCCAGGCUUAUCUAGGAACAGGCAUACCUCCUCAUCCGUCUCAAAUCCAGAUGCAAGGACUUCGACACCAUCCAUAGCAAGACAAACAAGUAUGCCCUUUUUGCGGUAGAGGUCUGCAUUCUUUCGCACGCGAAACCACCACACACUGCAGACCUGCAAGAAAUAUCCCCCAUCAAAAGUCAACAUUAUUUUCCAGGCAGAAGAACUCCUCUCGACUUGCUUGACCAGCACAUUGACCCAAAUGCCUCCGCUUUCGUUUCUCAACUACAAGUCCUGGUUUAGCAUUUAGCAGCCUCGAGGAAAAACCAGAAGAUAAGACUAGGACGAGAACAAGAUCUUUACCGACUAGCUUACAACCCUUUCGCCUGAAGAUCCUCGAGCUUCUCAAGACGUAAAACAAACUCAAACCCAAUUUUCAAAAUGAACCCAAAAGCCGUUAGCGCCGCCCAAUCCCAACGUACUCACGUGAUCGGGGAGAAGAAACGGCGUGAAAAUCGCGGGGCCCACUCCUGGAAGGGUCGCGGCGGAGGAAGGCCUCAGCUCCGUUCAGCUUGAGCGCGUCGAACAGCUCGGGAGGCACUCAAGUUCCUCGGCACAAACACGGUCGCCCCCCUGAAACGGCUUCGUCUUCGCCAUUUCCUAUCUUCCUUCUCCGGCAGCGACUUCCUCGACAGAUGAUCGGUCUCGUUGCUAAGGAUUUCUGCGAAAUCCAAAUGCAUGUGCGUGAGAGAGAGAGAGAGAGAGAGCAACGAUGAAGCGCAGAGGGAAUCGGAAGUUGGAAGAGGAUGAAGGAGGAGCGACUUGGGGAAAAAUUGAGUGGAGUGAGCUUUUUCUGAAUUCUUCCCCAAAUUGGGAUUGAUUAGGGUAUGAGAAAGCGCGGGAAUUGGGGUUUUCUUGCGCUCUUUUCGGAUUUUCCUUUUUAAUUACCCUUUUUUGUGCCAUUAAUUUUGUGGAUAAUUUCUCAAAAACCCCCCCCAACUUUCACACCGUUGCAUGACUGCUCUCUAACUUUGAAAAAGGUACGCACUAUGCCCGCGCCGGCGACACGAGCCAUGGAAAGAAAAUAAAAGAAAAGAAAAUAAAAGAAAAGAAUAAAAAGCAAAGAAUGCAAAAAGAUUUUUUUUAAAAAUUUGCAAAAAGUUAUCCAUUUUAGCAUUAAUUGUGUCACAGCAAAUAAUUGACAUUUGCGUCAGCGAUUUUCAAUCAAAAUUAAUCAAAAUAAUUGCAUUAAGAAAUUGUCAACAAUUUUAGAACUAAAUUAACCAAAUUAAAAAAUUUAUGAUCGAAUCGACAUCCAUUGAGAAUUAUUUUGUUAAUUUUCCCUAAGAAGUUAGUCACAUGUCUAGAUCAAAACUUCAAGUCACAUGUCUAGAUCAAAACUUCACAUGAAGUUUUUAUUGUGGAUCCAUAAGUGCUCAAAAAUUACAUUGGAUCCAUGGAUAACACUUUUUGUCAUGUUUCAAGAGCAACAAAAAAUUGGGGCUUCUUGGCGAUAAAUCUUUUUAUAGAUUUUUUUUUUUUGGUAAAAAGAAAGCGACAAAAUGAUGUUUAGGUGAAAACAAAGAGGUGCAAGUGCUGCGAGAUUCGAACCCAGGAUCAGGAGCAAUAAAGAUUGAAUGGCAAUGAACUUAUUUUGCCAUUUGGAGAUAGAUCUUCGUACACUCGACAAAAGAGAUAAAAAGACAAAUGUACGUUUACAAUCUAUUUUGAUAGGUUUAGAUAUUCAAGAGGGAUAAAAAGACAAAAACACGCCCAGAUCGGAUCCGGACUCAGCACCGUUUUUGCAGCACCGAUUGCAACGGGCAAAUGGCUCCCUUCCUCGCCCGACCCACGAUCAAUCCCCCACAUUUCUCGUCCGUGGCACGUGACUCGCAGGUGCAGAGACAGAGAGAGAUUCGAAAGCUUCCGGUUUUCAUGUGACCCCCCACCUCGAACGCUCACAUCCGCCAGCUUCAACGCUUGGAGUUUAAAGGAAAAAACGACGAUGCGGCACGAACCGUUCGACCUCGGCAAUUCUUGGCAGAGGAGAAUACCGUUUCGCUCUUCCAUCCCCCGUUUUUAAAUUUUUCAUCUUUUCUUAAUUUCCUUUUUUUUCUUUUUCUCGAAUAUGGUUAAAGGCCAAAUCCCCAUUUUCCCCCCUCCUCCCCUUUUCUGGAUUUUCAUGCAUUCUUUUUUCUCCUCCGCUUGGGAUUCUUAUGCCGGACGAAAUUUCCAGUUUUUUUUUUUUUGCUAAUUUAAUGAAAGAGAUCUUGAAAAGAGAAAGUCCGUCAAAUUGACGUCGUGUUUAUCCGGGUACCCUUGUUUGUUUCCAUUUUCAGUUAUUGGCAAUAAAAAAUAUUUUUGAAUAGUGGAGAAAUCUCAAUUUUUGCAAAAAAUGAGAAUGAAUCUCUCGAGAGGUUGUAUAAAAAGAAGUAACGCAAAUGCUUUGGCCACUCACUAGGAUUUUGACUUAUGCUUUAUCUGGUUCAUGACAUUAAAGGGUUAUUUUCGGAGAUUUUUCUGAAAUUGGAUUAUCAUCAAAAAAGAAGUACAAGUAAAUUAUAAGGCCGGAUCGAUAGAAUUUAUGCAAAGUCUUAUCUUUUGGGUCAAAAAAAUUAUGCAGGGAGUUUGAUUGCCAAAAAGUUCAAUAAAUUACAACUGCCUCCUAUGGCGGAGGAGCGUGUAGAAAACGUGCUUGUCCGAACCCAUGAGGUCAAAACUCGCCAUCCCCUCGCCUUAGUUCCCAUCCUACCAAAAAUUCAUAAAACUCGCAACUUUUGUCUUCCUCCUCAAAAGCCUCUCUCUCUCUCUCUCCGUCGCCCUAUGAAAAACGCUUUCACCACCAUUCGCUCUGAAAAUGUAGAACAGGCAUAGCAGUUCAUCGUCUCCAUCGAGCAUCGAGCAAGUGUCGACCACCAUGGGGAAAAGAAGUGGUAAAACCCUAAUCUCCCACACCCUAGCAGUUUAUCACGAUUCUUUUAGCACCAGAUGAUGAUGAUGAUUGAUUACAGUUACUUUUAUACAACGCGAGUGAGCUUUUCUUUUCCAUCCUUUCCUUUGUUUGCCGUUUUCAAUGCGGACUUAAAUAUGCUCAGAUUGGAGAGAUGAAACAGCUAGGAUUUUGGUCUCAAAAUCAUGUCAACAUGGUAAGGAUCGAAAGGCUUUUCGCUAAAACAAAUUUAGGAACCCUAGCAGUUUUUGCUAUUGGGCUGUGAAUAGGUCUGCUAGCAGAAGUUGAACCAUGAAUGCCUAAAUCAAUCGAAAAUCUCUCUGGCGGGGUUUUGGCUGAGCAACUGAAAGACCCUCAACUGGAACUGACUCAUCUAUUUUAGGCGACAACAUCUUUGUCCACCUCAUUUUCUCUUGAUCCUCCUAUAAACAGAUGAUACGAAUGGCAUAAGCUACCAUUUAGUCGCAUAUAUCUGCUAACGCGUUGCAGUGGGAAGAAAAUUCGCAUGUAGGAGUAAGGAAGAAAGAUGCUACUUUACAUUCUCAUGAAAAGCGAAACUGCAGAUACUUCUACCACUUUGAGGUCUCCAAAUUCAUAAAUUACACCACUCAAGGCACAUACAUUAAUUAUACUAUCAAUGUCUAAUCUAUUCUAUAAAGCAGACAACCAAUUUAAUUUCUUUGCCGGGAAUCACGUUUCCUUCAUCCAAUGAAGAAACAUAAAAGCCAUAUUAAAUAGCAAUUACCCAUAAAUAAAUAAAAAGGUCAAAGUUAUAGGUGGAAUAAGCGAAGACAUAUAAUAAUCACUUUGAAGAAAAGCUAUGUUGAGUCAUGAGGCGGGCAGUAAACACACUAAAAAAAAUGGNNNNNNNNNNNNNNNNNNNNNNNNNNNNNNNNNNNNNNNNNNNNNNNNNNNNNNNNNNNNNNNNNNNNNNNNNNNNNNNNNNNNNNNNNNNNNNNNNNNNNNNNNNNNNNNNNNNNNNNNNNNNNNNNNNNNNNNNNNNNNNNNNNNNNNNNNNNNNNNNNNNNNNNNNNNNNNNNNNNNNNNNNNNNNNNNNNNNNNNNNNNNNNNNNNNNNNNNNNNNNNNNNNNNNNNNNNUAGGAUUUGAUUCUGCAAGUGGUUCAGUAUGAAUGAAGAAAUUUCAAACAAAAAAUUAGUGGAUGCAAGUAAAAAUCAAUUGAGGUGAUAAAUAAAUAGAGAUCACAUAAAACCAUUUUCUAUGUAGAGAUGACGGGCUCCAUGGAAACGUUCUUUAUUUUAAUAUGAUGAUACCUACAUGCGUCACAACCUCAAUUCCCCCUAUAUCUUUUUCUUCUCAAGUAGAAAAGAAUAUCCUCUAGUUGUUUUACAUCCCAAUGAUCCUGAGGUCCGGACGAGAACGAAGAUCGAAAGAUAAUGAAUAAAUAGAGACAUAUAAAAUAACAAGUCACACCAACCAAUUCACUGAGUUCUGCACGUUUCAUUAUGCAUGCUAUCAUGAUUAUCAUCAAAAUGUUUACUUGAACAACUUCACAGAGACCCAAAGUUGACAACUGCAGCCAUUUCAAAAAGCAGGUUGCACUGUCCACUCUUUACAUUAGUUGUUAAUUCAGAACAAGGGGAAAGGCGGGUUUGGUGCUUGCAUAAUUUCGUAUGAUUGCAUAAAUAAAUCAUAAACUAACACUCAUGUGAAACCCACAUCAGGAAAACCAUCACCAUGUUUGACCACUAUAUGAACAUGUGCUUGCAAUCGUGACCAUAAAAUAUAUUAAAUAUCAGCACCGUAAAUGCAGUUGAUCCCACGUCCAACUAUUAUUUCCUGCAAACUGUGGCAAUAUACACAAUCGUGAUGGUUUUGUGAACACUUCACGAAGAGGAACUGUUAAAACAAGAUUGCAACAUGUCUAUAGCAGCUAGAGAGCAAUACAAAUAGUAAUUUUUAGUUUUGGGGCUAGUGGUAUCUCAGCAUAUAAUUUUCUGACUUGUGGACCAAUGUCCUCAUCAAGACCUUGAAAGCAUGAGAUAUAAUAAAAAAAUCACGUUUAAAAGUAGCUUUCUAAAGCACGUUUCAACUCGAAAAAGGCAGUACAAAAAAUGUGGACGAAAUAUGUACUUCAACGAAAAGGUCAUAGAGAUCACCAAUAGAUCUUAUUGACACCCGAAUUUUUAUCGACGUUUUAAAUGUCCACUCAUUUUCCAAAAAUACAAAAAUCUAUAAAAUGAUAAAAGGCCAAAAAUAAAAUGUAUUUAACAUAAAGAAAAUAGUAAUAAUGGAAGUAUAAAGAUCCAAAAAAUUAUAUAAAAAAAAAGAAAUGAAAGAAAAUAGGUGGAAUGAAGAGGAAAUAAAAAGAAAAAUAAACUAAAAUGAUUAAGUCGAACGGGCCGGCCCCGCUCCUUUAACAAAUGGUUGGCCAGCUCCUUCUUUCCGUUGGCCCAUCCGUUGAAUUAUUUUUUUCCAGCCCAUUUCUUUCAUCCUUUUUGUUUCCUUCAUGGCCCAUUAGAGUUAUAAGAAAGAGAGAGGAGCCCAGCCCAUGGCCCCUUCUCUUCUCUAAAUGGGCGCUCUCCAGAGAGAGAGAGAGAGAUGGUAGAAGGACGUGCUGUGACCAAAAAAGGGAAAGUCCGUGAGCGAGGGUGAGGAGCGACGAGCAAGUGACGUGAGCGUGCCCAAGCCUUCUAGGAUAGGUGAGCUGCACAGAGAGAGAGAGAGAGAGAGGAGAGGCCUAACAGAAAAAGAUUCGGCCGAGAGGAGCGCCGCUGGUUUGGCAAAGAGAAGGGGGGAAGAAGGGGGGGGGGGGGGGGGGGGGGGGUGUUCUCCCCCGGGGCCUUAAAAAAAAAAAAGAUGGCUCUCAGACAGAUUUUCUGAUCCCCGGGGGUUUAAUUUUAAAAAAANNNNNNNNNNNNNNNNNNNNNNNNNNNNNNNNNNNNNNNNNNNNNNNNNNNNNNNNNNNNNNNNNNNNNNNNNNNNNNNNNNNNNNNNNNNNNNNNNNNNNNNNNNNNNNNNNNNNNNNNNNNNNNNNNNNNNNNNNNNNNNNNNNNNNNNNNNNNNNNNNNNNNNNNNNNNNNNNNNNNNNNNNNNNNNNNNNNNNNNNNNNNNNNNNNNNNNNNNNNNNNNNNNNNNNNNNNNNNNNNNNNNNNNNNNNNNNNNNNNNNNNNNNNNNNNNNNNNNNNNNNNNNNNNNNNNNNNNNNNNNNNNNNNNNNNNNNNNNNNNNNNNNNNNNNNNNNNNNNNNNNNNNNNNNNNNNNNNNNNNNNNNNNNNNNNNNNNNNNNNNNNNNNNNNNNNNNNNNNNNNNNNNNNNNNNNNNNNNNNNNNNNNNNNNNNNNNNNNNNNNNNNNNNNNNNNNNNNNNNNNNNNNNNNNNNNNNNNNNNNNNNNNNNNNNNNNNNNNNNNNNNNNNNNNNNNNNNNNNNNNNNNNNNNNNNNNNNNNNNNNNNNNNNNNNNNNNNNNNNNNNNNNNNNNNNNNNNNNNNNNNNNNNNNNNNNNNNNNNNNNNNNNNNNNNNNNNNNNNNNNNNNNNNNNNNNNNNNNNNNNNNNNNNNNNNNNNNNNNNNNNNNNNNNNNNNNNNNNNNNNNNNNNNNNNNNNNNNNNNNNNNNNNNNNNNNNNNNNNNNNNNNNNNNNNNNNNNNNNNNNNNNNNNNNNNNNNNNNNNNNNNNNNNNNNNNNNNNNNNNNNNNNNNNNNNNNNNNNNNNNNNNNNNNNNNNNNNNNNNNNNNNNNNNNNNNNNNNNNNNNNNNNNNNNNNNNNNNNNNNNNNNNNNNNNNNNNNNNNNNNNNNNNNNNNNNNNNNNNNNNNNNNNNNNNNNNNNNNNNNNNNNNNNNNNNNNNNNNNNNNNNNNNNNNNNNNNNNNNNNNNNNNNNNNNNNNNNNNNNNNNNNNNNNNNNNNNNNNNNNNNNNNNNNNNNNNNNNNNNNNNNNNNNNNNNNNNNNNNNNNNNNNNNNNNNNNNNNNNNNNNNNNNNNNNNNNNNNNNNNNNNNNNNNNNNNNNNNNNNNNNNNNNNNNNNNNNNNNNNNNNNNNNNNNNNNNNNNNNNNNNNNNNNNNNNNNNNNNNNNNNNNNNNNNNNNNNNNNNNNNNNNNNNNNNNNNNNNNNNNNNNNNNNNNNNNNNNNNNNNNNNNNNNNNNNNNNNNNNNNNNNNNNNNNNNNNNNNNNNNNNNNNNNNNNNNNNNNNNNNNNNNNNNNNNNNNNNNNNNNNNNNNNNNNNNNNNNNNNNNNNNNNNNNNNNNNNNNNNNNNNNNNNNNNNNNNNNNNNNNNNNNNNNNNNNNNNNNNNNNNNNNNNNNNNNNNNNNNNNNNNNNNNNNNNNNNNNNNNNNNNNNNNNNNNNNNNNNNNNNNNNNNNNNNNNNNNNNNNNNNNNNNNNNNNNNNNNNNNNNNNNNNNNNNNNNNNNNNNNNNNNNNNNNNNNNNNNNNNNNNNNNNNNNNNNNNNNNNNNNNNNNNNNNNNNNNNNNNNNNNNNNNNNNNNNNNNNNNNNNNNNNNNNNNNNNNNNNNNNNNNNNNNNNNNNNNNNNNNNNNNNNNNNNNNNNNNNNNNNNNNNNNNNNNNNNNNNNNNNNNNNNNNNNNNNNNNNNNNNNNNNNNNNNNNNNNNNNNNNNNNNNNNNNNNNNNNNNNNNNNNNNNNNNNNNNNNNNNNNNNNNNNNNNNNNNNNNNNNNNNNNNNNNNNNNNNNNNNNNNNNNNNNNNNNNNNNNNNNNNNNNNNNNNNNNNNNNNNNNNNNNNNNNNNNNNNNNNNNNNNNNNNNNNNNNNNNNNNNNNNNNNNNNNNNNNNNNNNNNNNNNNNNNNNNNNNNNNNNNNNNNNNNNNNNNNNNNNNNNNNNNNNNNNNNNNNNNNNNNNNNNNNNNNNNNNNNNNNNNNNNNNNNNNNNNNNNNNNNNNNNNNNNNNNNNNNNNNNNNNNNNNNNNNNNNNNNNNNNNNNNNNNNNNNNNNNNNNNNNNNNNNNNNNNNNNNNNNNNNNNNNNNNNNNNNNNNNNNNNNNNNNNNNNNNNNNNNNNNNNNNNNNNNNNNNNNNNNNNNNNNNNNNNNNNNNNNNNNNNNNNNNNNNNNNNNNNNNNNNNNNNNNNNNNNNNNNNNNNNNNNNNNNNNNNNNNNNNNNNNNNNNNNNNNNNNNNNNNNNNNNNNNNNNNNNNNNNNNNNNNNNNNNNNNNNNNNNNNNNNNNNNNNNNNNNNNNNNNNNNNNNNNNNNNNNNNNNNNNNNNNNNNNNNNNNNNNNNNNNNNNNNNNNNNNNNNNNNNNNNNNNNNNNNNNNNNNNNNNNNNNNNNNNNNNNNNNNNNNNNNNNNNNNNNNNNNNNNNNNNNNNNNNNNNNNNNNNNNNNNNNNNNNNNNNNNNNNNNNNNNNNNNNNNNNNNNNNNNNNNNNNNNNNNNNNNNNNNNNNNNNNNNNNNNNNNNNNNNNNNNNNNNNNNNNNNNNNNNNNNNNNNNNNNNNNNNNNNNNNNNNNNNNNNNNNNNNNNNNNNNNNNNNNNNNNNNNNNNNNNNNNNNNNNNNNNNNNNNNNNNNNNNNNNNNNNNNNNNNNNNNNNNNNNNNNNNNNNNNNNNNNNNNNNNNNNNNNNNNNNNNNNNNNNNNNNNNNNNNNNNNNNNNNNNNNNNNNNNNNNNNNNNNNNNNNNNNNNNNNNNNNNNNNNNNNNNNNNNNNNNNNNNNNNNNNNNNNNNNNNNNNNNNNNNNNNNNNNNNNNNNNNNNNNNNNNNNNNNNNNNNNNNNNNNNNNNNNNNNNNNNNNNNNNNNNNNNNNNNNNNNNNNNNNNNNNNNNNNNNNNNNNNNNNNNNNNNNNNNNNNNNNNNNNNNNNNNNNNNNNNNNNNNNNNNNNNNNNNNNNNNNNNNNNNNNNNNNNNNNNNNNNNNNNNNNNNNNNNNNNNNNNNNNNNNNNNNNNNNNNNNNNNNNNNNNNNNNNNNNNNNNNNNNNNNNNNNNNNNNNNNNNNNNNNNNNNNNNNNNNNNNNNNNNNNNNNNNNNNNNNNNNNNNNNNNNNNNNNNNNNNNNNNNNNNNNNNNNNNNNNNNNNNNNNNNNNNNNNNNNNNNNNNNNNNNNNNNNNNNNNNNNNNNNNNNNNNNNNNNNNNNNNNNNNNNNNNNNNNNNNNNNNNNNNNNNNNNNNNNNNNNNNNNNNNNNNNNNNNNNNNNNNNNNNNNNNNNNNNNNNNNNNNNNNNNNNNNNNNNNNNNNNNNNNNNNNNNNNNNNNNNNNNNNNNNNNNNNNNNNNNNNNNNNNNNNNNNNNNNNNNNNNNNNNNNNNNNNNNNNNNNNNNNNNNNNNNNNNNNNNNNNNNNNNNNNNNNNNNNNNNNNNNNNNNNNNNNNNNNNNNNNNNNNNNNNNNNNNNNNNNNNNNNNNNNNNNNNNNNNNNNNNNNNNNNNNNNNNNNNNNNNNNNNNNNNNNNNNNNNNNNNNNNNNNNNNNNNNNNNNNNNNNNNNNNNNNNNNNNNNNNNNNNNNNNNNNNNNNNNNNNNNNNNNNNNNNNNNNNNNNNNNNNNNNNNNNNNNNNNNNNNNNNNNNNNNNNNNNNNNNNNNNNNNNNNNNNNNNNNNNNNNNNNNNNNNNNNNNNNNNNNNNNNNNNNNNNNNNNNNNNNNNNNNNNNNNNNNNNNNNNNNNNNNNNNNNNNNNNNNNNNNNNNNNNNNNNNNNNNNNNNNNNNNNNNNNNNNNNNNNNNNNNNNNNNNNNNNNNNNNNNNNNNNNNNNNNNNNNNNNNNNNNNNNNNNNNNNNNNNNNNNNNNNNNNNNNNNNNNNNNNNNNNNNNNNNNNNNNNNNNNNNNNNNNNNNNNNNNNNNNNNNNNNNNNNNNNNNNNNNNNNNNNNNNNNNNNNNNNNNNNNNNNNNNNNNNNNNNNNNNNNNNNNNNNNNNNNNNNNNNNNNNNNNNNNNNNNNNNNNNNNNNNNNNNNNNNNNNNNNNNNNNNNNNNNNNNNNNNNNNNNNNNNNNNNNNNNNNNNNNNNNNNNNNNNNNNNNNNNNNNNNNNNNNNNNNNNNNNNNNNNNNNNNNNNNNNNNNNNNNNNNNNNNNNNNNNNNNNNNNNNNNNNNNNNNNNNNNNNNNNNNNNNNNNNNNNNNNNNNNNNNNNNNNNNNNNNNNNNNNNNNNNNNNNNNNNNNNNNNNNNNNNNNNNNNNNNNNNNNNNNNNNNNNNNNNNNNNNNNNNNNNNNNNNNNNNNNNNNNNNNNNNNNNNNNNNNNNNNNNNNNNNNNNNNNNNNNNNNNNNNNNNNNNNNNNNNNNNNNNNNNNNNNNNNNNNNNNNNNNNNNNNNNNNNNNNNNNNNNNNNNNNNNNNNNNNNNNNNNNNNNNNNNNNNNNNNNNNNNNNNNNNNNNNNNNNNNNNNNNNNNNNNNNNNNNNNNNNNNNNNNNNNNNNNNNNNNNNNNNNNNNNNNNNNNNNNNNNNNNNNNNNNNNNNNNNNNNNNNNNNNNNNNNNNNNNNNNNNNNNNNNNNNNNNNNNNNNNNNNNNNNNNNNNNNNNNNNNNNNNNNNNNNNNNNNNNNNNNNNNNNNNNNNNNNNNNNNNNNNNNNNNNNNNNNNNNNNNNNNNNNNNNNNNNNNNNNNNNNNNNNNNNNNNNNNNNNNNNNNNNNNNNNNNNNNNNNNNNNNNNNNNNNNNNNNNNNNNNNNNNNNNNNNNNNNNNNNNNNNNNNNNNNNNNNNNNNNNNNNNNNNNNNNNNNNNNNNNNNNNNNNNNNNNNNNNNNNNNNNNNNNNNNNNNNNNNNNNNNNNNNNNNNNNNNNNNNNNNNNNNNNNNNNNNNNNNNNNNNNNNNNNNNNNNNNNNNNNNNNNNNNNNNNNNNNNNNNNNNNNNNNNNNNNNNNNNNNNNNNNNNNNNNNNNNNNNNNNNNNNNNNNNNNNNNNNNNNNNNNNNNNNNNNNNNNNNNNNNNNNNNNNNNNNNNNNNNNNNNNNNNNNNNNNNNNNNNNNNNNNNNNNNNNNNNNNNNNNNNNNNNNNNNNNNNNNNNNNNNNNNNNNNNNNNNNNNNNNNNNNNNNNNNNNNNNNNNNNNNNNNNNNNNNNNNNNNNNNNNNNNNNNNNNNNNNNGCCCGCCGCUGGGCGAGCUCGGCUCGCUGGAUUAGGCGAGCCGACUCGCGCCGGCCUGGGCGAGCUCGAUCUCGCCCAGAUCCGGGCGAGGCCGACCUCGCCCAGCGGCCGGCGAGCCUCGGCCUCGCCGGGAUCUGGGCGAGUCGGCGUCGCCUGGCGGUGGCCCGGCGAGGCUGCGCCUCGCCCGCCGCUGGGCGAGCUCGGCCUCGCCGGAUCAAGGCAAGGCCGACCCUCGCCGGCCAAGGCCUUGGCCGGCGACCGGCCAAAAGAAGAAAAAAAAAAUGAAAAAGAAAAAAAGGAAAAAAUAGAAAAAAUAAAAGAAAUAAAAAAAUUAUCCAAAUUUACCAAACAUGUUUCUGUUUAUUUUUUAUUCCCGGAACAAGUUUACCAAACGCGUUGUUUUGUUCAGAAAUUGUUCCCAGGAACAGAAACACUUUUUUCUAUUUCUGUUCCCUGGAACAAUUUUUAAACAGAAACACAACCAAACGCACCCAAAGUUGCCGAGAAUGAACGCUUCGGAGGAAGAAGAUGACCAGAAGAAAAGGACAAAACAGGGGAAAAGACAAAAAGAGAAAAGAAAAAAUAAUAAAUGAAACAUUUAAAAUUGAGUUCUUUGCGGACGCGGGUCGGAUCCAGGUUGUCGGAUUGGGUCAACACUCAACAGUCCGGACUGAAUUACCCCGUCCGAACCCAUUUUUCCGAAUAUAAUGAUAUCAAAUAUUAGAAAGUUAAAAAAUAUUUUUAAAAUGUAAAAUUAAAGAAAAAAGAAUAUUAAUAAUGAUAUUAAAAAUUAUAAUAAUAUAAAAUGCUAAAAAUCGAAACCUGAUCAAGUAUUGUUUUCUUCGCUUGAGCUUAGGCUCAAGUCGACUCAAUCCUCACAUAACUAGGAGUCAAUAGGCUUAGCAAUAAAACUUGGCAGUAAAAUCACAUAAGCUGAUCAUCCAAUAGUUACUUCACGUGAAGAACAAAAAAUGCUAAGCAUACACCAUGGUUAUACAAAGAGAAAAGGCAAAGAAAGAAAGCUGUGGCAUAUCAUUUUGAGUAGAACAAAUUCCUCCAUAACCUUCACUACUCAAAGCCAAGAGUCAAUCGAACAAUUGAUGACAACCAGAUGAGAAGGGGAAAUGGACAAGAUUUGCAUGGCAAUAUGAUUGCCAAACUAAUAAACACUACAUCAAAAUAAGGCACGUGAUUAUCGUCCCUUCCCAUCCCAUUCAAUAGAACAAUGAAUCUCUACAACAAAAUUCAAGUACUAAAUCGCUUAAAAAAAAGAAGUAUUGUGGGUCUAGGCCAAUAUUUCACAAUUUUAUGAUAUGCAAGAAUAGUCCGAUUUCUUUGGAAAUAUGAAAACAUGCAGAGAAGACCCCAAAAUUAGGCAAAAGGUGAUAGUGUGAUGUCGGUAAUCAAUCCAAUCAAUGCUUUUCCUUGUCACAUAAAUGUCCAGAGCGAGAUAUAUGCAUGAAUUAUCAAAUUCUAUAACAAAGGGCCAGAUCACCAAAUUGUUCUUCCAACUAAACUAGUCCCACCAAUUUAUGGUGGUUUCCCUUGAAACUUUACUAACCAAAGUAAGACGGCUAUGACUACAUAGACAUUCUAUCUAUUCAUCCGUGAUCGACCCAUUUCUGACUUCCUUCCAACAUCACCAACAAAUUCAGUAGACCAAGCAUUCUGUAAAUGACUUACGCAUUUGUCAACACUUAUCAACUAAAAAAGAACGUCUUUGGUUAUGAAUUAACAGUCUCAUGAGGCAAUAGCUCAAUUUCUUGAGUGAAGUAAUCUUGACAAAGCAAAGAAAUAUUUGAUACUGUUAUCAUUUCGAUCAAUCAAAACAUAUUUUCUUAGCAAAAUUGAACGAUUAUUCCUUAGAUUUGAUGAGGUUCGAGUGUUAUGUUAGGGAGAGAGGGAGGGAGGGAAGGAGAGAUGAACUAAUAACUAGAAGAGAAGAGUGAAGUAGCGCGAGGAGAAGCUCUAAAUAUAAGAAAUUGUGAAAAAGGUACUUUUUUUGCAACAUAAACAUAGUCUUAGUUAAUAGUAAAUUCAUUUCGUGUAUAUUUAGUAAAAUAUUAAACUGAUCAUAACAUUCUUUAUAUUUUGUAAAGCUUUGCAACCAAUGUGUCAAUAAUUUUUUUUUCUUGUGAUUUUACUUGUGAUAACUUUUCUUAAGCAAAACAAAUUUGACGGAUUAUGUUUUUACCCUCUUUAUCCAGCUAUCCAUCUUGAAUAUAAGACCAAUAUCAUAAAAGAGAGCUUUGACUUAUGAAGUUUCAUGACAAUCAUGAUGUUUUGUGCACAAUAGAGUAAUAGUAAAGUAUUGUUGGAAACACGAUUUUUCCAAAUUUUUUUGAAAAUCCUUCUAGUGAAAUAUGAAUAUUAAACUAUAUAUAUAUAAAUGGUAAAAUCGUAAAUUAAAGAAAAGGUAUUACUUUGUCAAUUUUUUUUGUUUUGCAGAUAAACAGUAACAGAAAAGAAAUUUGAGAUACGCAUCGUAAAUCUAAAACUUUUAGUACGAUAUGGAAGUCUCGUGUUUGCAAGGGGAGCCUUCACACCAAACGAACCCAAGGGUGUCAAAAACUAGAAAAAAGUCGUAGGGCGGGCCGAAAAUAGAACUUAAACAAACUUCAGGGGCAAAAACGGAAUUGUAAAAAAAAGAACUGAAAAAUAUGGCUCCAAAUCUCUUCCAUUCUCCGGCGUACAAAAUUGGAAAACGAAAAACAUCAAUCCCGCCAUCGCUGGGAAGGUUCUGGAACAGGAGCACUUCGAGCUUGCUCGAAUAUCCGAUUCGAGACUAGGGAUCGAUUUGAUUCCGACUCAGACAUCAUCAAUCGAUCGAAUCACUCGAACAGGUUGAGAUUCCAUGGAGGGAGAGGGGCUCGGAAGUAGAGAAAGCUUGGUUGUUGAGCUCGGCUCUCGAGUUCGGAUUCGACGAGCAGUCCGCCAACAAGUGCUCGGACCAUCUCGUUUCGCGCUCUACGGUGACUCGAAUCGUUAUUUCGUCACGCGUUCUUAUGCUAAUUAGCGGUUGCGGAGAUUAUGGAGGUAGCUCUUGUCCCCACGAUGAUGAUGAUGAUGAUGGCUGUGGAAUCGUCUUGCUUUAGGUUUGAAUGCAUCGGAGCAGGUUCAGCGAAGUAGCAGUCCUACUGACGAGCGAAAUGUCCGGCACUGGUCUAGUUUGAUGUGCUUAGGUUGCUUCGGAUGGAUGGCGGUUUUUUCUUGAUUAUUGGCCCAAAUUGCGUGAUAUCUAGUCAUCAGGGAAUGACUUUAAUCGCUUGUGUUGCGGGGAUAGUUUGUGCAUUUGAUUGAACGUGCAUUCCUAGUUAAGGAGAUUCAUUGCGGUUAGUCUCAAUUCUGAUUAUGGCUAUGGUUGGUCUACUUUGGAUUUGAAUGGGACCAGAGUUUAGGUCAUUGAGUGUUAGUCUCAUCCCCUGUUUCUUUGUGGGUUUGGCAAAGUAGUCCUAAUUGACGAGUGAAUUGUCUGGCUCAUAUCAUUGCAAAUUACUUAUGGUGUCUUGCAGCAAUAUCAAUAUUGUGUCUCUUUGAACUAAGUGCAAAUUACGUAUUGGAAAUUGUAUUUAUUUGAUCUCUUGUUUGCCAUGGAUCUUGCAAAAUCAUCUCUUUCUUCUUUUGCUUUUCUCAAGGUGAUGAAGGUCAAGAGUUUAUCACCAUGGAGCACUGUGGUGAUGACAUCCUAGCAGAACUUGUUGAAACCAUGCAAAAUUCUUAGGAUUGGGAUGAUUUGCAAGCUGUGGAAUCAGAAGCUCAUGGAGUUUUGACCAAUAUGUUUGGCCAAGAUAUCUGUAAUGACGGUGCAUGCAAUGUUAUACACGAUGUCAAUAGUAUAGAAGAUUCUCCACAACCUAUGAAAAAUCAAACUUUCCUUGAGGUGAGGAUUCCUCUACGAGGAUGAUGUAUUGGGCAGUAAAAUGGGAAGGAAAUCCUCAUGUAUAUUCCUGGCCAAAGCAGUACUCUAAGCAAUACAUCCACUCAGAUUCUGGGCAGACAAUCUUUAGAAUCCAUGGUAUGCUUCUCCCAUGGACAUAGACAAUACUGCCAAACCACUUAAAUCAGUGUGUGACUGUACUUUUCUCUUAUAAUUUAUUCUCUGCUUGAUCAUUUCCAAUUUGCUUGUGAUUCUGCACACAGCAAAGGACCUACACAAUGUUCAUGUCCACAAGCAUUUAGUAAAUUGCUUAUGGGGUCUCUCAUCCAAUCAUGUCCAAUAGACGGUCAUAACUUUUGCCACUCAGUUCCACACUCUUCAAGAUCUUAAAUGACAUAUUAAAACUCUUUGGUCAAUAAAGAAGUUGAUUUCAGUUUUGGAUGAUGUACAAAUACAUACAUUUUUCAAAUGCUAUGAGAGUACAGCAGAUCAUCAAAGUGUGGAACUUAGCAAUCCACAGCGUCUUUGAUAGGAAUGUUUUGUGUAAAUGAAGGCUUGUGAUUUCUUCGAGCACAUUUUUCAUUUUCCAUGACAAUCCAUGUCAGAAACUAUUAUGGUAUAGAAGAGGCUUAUUUCUGUUGAAGGACUGUAAGAGCACUGUCACUCAAGGCUCAGUAUUAUUAGUUUCAAAUAAAAGACAUUGCUCUCUGAUUUCGACAUCCAAACAAGGGACUCUGAGUUAUGCGGUAUUCCAAGCCUUGGAUGACAUAGAAUUGGCAAAUGUUGUCAUAUUCGGAAACAAGGCAUUUUGACCAAUGCAGCAUCAGGCUUGUAAAUCUUCUGUAGCCAAGCAAGUUUGCUUUAUUCUCAUGCCCACUGGAGGUGGUAAAAGUUUAUGUUACCAGGUUAGUGAAUGUUAACAGUGUCUCAACUAGGUGAUGAUCGUAUGUAGAAGUGUGUGGAGACAAUGUUAGGGCACAAGCCCUGUGCACUUUGCUCAGUGGUUCCACCAAUUAAAUGUUUAAGGGUAGACCUAGAUUUCAACAUUUAAACUUUAACAUGAUCUUCUGAUUUGCUUUCUUUAGCAUUUUUAAGAAGGUUGUGAACUUAAGGAAGGAAAUGUUUUUCAAAUGAAAAUUAAGCUAUAGGAAGUGAUUCAGGUACAUAAGCAUGGGUUCCAACGUAUGGCAUCGGACAAAAGUAGAAAAGAAGGAGAUACAGUACAAUCUCAUUCUGCCUUUGCACUUCUCUAUCUGGUCUGUAAUUUUUAGGAUUUGAAGUUUGUGCUACACUUCUAGGACCUUCUAAUCGUCACAGGGAAAUUCAUCUUGUUUAUGUAUGUUAAGUGUUGCUGUCAGUCAUAAUUCAGGUCCAAUUCAAAAGGGUUAUUAAGUCAAAGAGAAAUAAGUUUUCAAAGUACUUCCACCAAAUACGGGUUCUAGAUUUUUAUAUUUCCUUUGCAGUUAUUUGCUAUGCCAUUAUCUCAACAAAGGGUGAUGAUCUAUGACUUCUUUUUCCCAUAAUUGGUUUGAACUUAAUGUCCUUUAAUAUACAAUGGAUCUUGGUUGCAAGCAAAAUUAAUGAUAACUGAAUUAAGGAGGAAGAUAUAAAUCUGGAUUUAUUUAGUUGAAUUCCUUAGAAGUGUUUUCUGUUUAGUCUUGAAGUAGUUGAUAUAUGUACUGAAAGUAGUUAUAAUACAAGUAGUGACAACUGGUCCUUCCUGAUCAGCUGAAGGUGAAAGAAAUAAUAAUUCUGUUGUCCCUUCCUUUCUUCAUUUGCUCUUCUGAUGUUUUUACCCUUCGUUUCAGCUGCCAGGAACUCUAAAACUAGGUGUCACAGUUGUUAUAUCUCCCUUGCUAUCUCUCAUCUUGGAUCAAAUAAUUACUGUAACCCUCAAGUAUGGCAUACAAUCUACUUUCUUGAACUCUCAACAGACUGCUGCCCAAUUGGCAGUUGUCCUCCGAGAACUAAGGCAAGGUUUAGCUCUAUUGGACUUCUAAAACUUUUAUGCUGAGUGUUGUGACUGUCGAAUUAUUAACCUCCACUUCUGCUUUGCCUGCCCUUUGAGAACAGAUAAACAUCGUGCAGGCUAUUGCAUGUGACUCCUGAAAGGAUUGGGGGAAAAAUAUCAUUUCUCAAGAUAUUUAAAUGCUUGCACAGAAAGGUAUUGUUUCUGAUGCACUGUAACUUUUUUCCAAAAAGGUUCUUUAUAAUUUUUUAUAUUUGAUGAUAUUUUAUUGCAGGCACAACUAGCUGGUUUUGUUGUUGAUGAGGGACAUUGCAUGAGGUAUGCGUAAUCUUUGGCAUGCCUUGUACAUGAAGAAAGAUCAUGCUAGAGUUACUUAAAAAAGAAUAAUCAUUUGUGAUGGUGCCACUGCAAAACUAUUGUCCUUAUUCCAGAUAAAUAUAAGCAAGUUUCCUUUUAUAUAAGCUAACUUAAACUCUUUUUCCAAACUUUUUUGCAUUUUCUGUGUUUCUAGCCAUAUAAAUUGUCAGUGUUGCCCUAGACCUUUUGAAGCCCCUGUGAAGUUCUAAUAUAACACAAUGGAAUGUUCCUUGUUUGAGCUUUGGAAAAGAUCUAGGUUCUGUCGUUUGGGAAAAUUUAGUGGCACAUCAUUCAUUAUAUUGAAUAAGAGGACUCAACUUAAAUAAGCUGCAAUGGAAAUGACUUCCUAAAGUAAUUGGAAGUGGCAUAAGCUUGGACAAGGAUGCCAUCUGCUGUCUAUGUUUGGCAUGAUACUCCAUCUCUUCAGCUGGUUCCUGUGUAUCUAUUUAUUCUAUUAAUGGUUACACUAUAUACUGACAACUUGAGAAAGGCAAAGGUCCACUCACGUGAUCCAUUGAUUGUGUUCCUUACAAGGUAUUAACUGGAUUUGCUUGGCCAGUUUAAUCUCAUGAAAGGAAGAUGCCAUCUGCUAUCUAUGUUUGGCAUAAUACUCCAGUCUUUUAAGCUCGUUCUUGUGUAUCUAUUUAUUCUAUUAAUGGUUAUACUAUAUACUGACAGCGUGAGAAAGGCAAGGGUCCACCACAUGAUCAUUGAUUGUGUUUCUUAAAAGGUAUUCACUAGAUUUGCUCUGCCAAUUUAAUCUCAUGAAAGGAACGUGCUGCUAAUUUGGGCUUUUAUUGUACAUUUGCCUGAUUUACAACAAGAGCUCAUUGGUUGUCACUUUCGUGGUUGUCAUGAAAGGAAUGUACUGCUGGUUUGAGCUUUUUUAUGUGCUAACUUAAGCUCUUUUUCCAAACUUCUCUGCAUUUUCUGUGUUUCUAGCCUAAUUUAAUUGUCCAUGUUACCCUAGACCUUCUGAAGCCCAGAACCCUAUGAAGUUUCUAUAUAACAGAAUGCAGUGUUCCUUGUUCGAUGGAAAGAUUUAGGUUCCGUGGUUUGGGAACACUUAGUGGCACAUCUUUCAUUAUAUUGAGUAAAGAGCGCACAACUUAAAUAAGCUCCAGUGGAAAUUACUUCCCAAAGUAAUUGGAAUCGGCAUAAGCUUGGAUAAGGAUCCAAUCUCCUAUCUAUGUUUGGCAUGAUACUCUUAAGCUGGUUCUUGUGUCCCCGUUUAUUCUAUUAACGCUUAUACUUAAUGGUAACAACUUGAGAAAGGCAAAGAUUCAACCAUGUGAUCAUUGAUUGUGUUUCUUCAAAGGUCUUAACUGGAUUUGCUCUGCCAGUUGAUCUCAUGAAAGGAACAUGCUGCUGGUUUGAGCUUUUCUUGUACAUUUGACUGAUUAACGAGUAAAACUCAUUGAUUGUCACUUUUGUGGUUGUCAUUAUUAGUCAAGGGGGACACGAUUUUCAUCUAGAUUGUACGGUACUGGGAUGUCUCAAGCAGAACUUUCUAUAUGUACCAGUGAUGGCCUUAACUGCAACCGCCACUCAGUUUGUGAGUACUAAACUCACAUAUUAACCUCCUGAUUAUGUUGAAAUAAUCUGUUAAUUCUGACUGAAUUAUACAUCCAUUGCAGGAUAUCCUAAAAGCUCUUGGGGUUCCCCAUGUUCUGAUAUAUUAGAUCUAGUCUGUCAAAGCUUGGGGACCGAAGGUUUGACAGACUAGAUCUAAAAUACGAGGUCAUAGCUAAGACCUAAGAACCACUGAAGCAGCUUGGAGGGCUGCUAAAAAAUUGUUUUGCUAAUUUUUGUGGCAUAGUAUAUUACUUUUCGAAGAGUGGAUUUGUUAAUGUCGCAAAAUACUUGAAUGAGAAGCGCCAUAUAAAAAUGGUGUACCAUCAUGCUGAAUUAGUAGCUCGUCACUGUUCAAAGGAAAUGGCAUACUGGAGAGGUCCAGAUUGUAUGUGCUACCAUUGCCUCUGGGAUGGGAAUAGACAAACCUGAUGUUGUAAGUCGAAAUGGACUCUGGCCUUUGCCUAUUUCUCACGUUUUAGAAGUCGAUAAACGUGGUAAAAAGACCCAGAGAAGCAUAGAAGAGGAGGGUGGCCAGAUACAAGCUUUAUUUGGUCGAAGGCAAGUUCAAGGCUUCUUUCAAACAAGGGUUCCGGUGGUUGACGCGCAAAUUUUCAAGCUUUAUGCGUCGAUUUUUAAUAUGUAGAAAUUACAGAAUAUCAUGCUCAUUGUCAUCAAGAGAGAAAAGGAUGAAAUUGGUUGGGAGGAAACAAAGAGGUUUGUUUUGUUUAUUGGCUAAUCAUCUUAAUAUGUAUCUAAUGGUAAUUAAGUAUUCGGAAGAGUGCCACAAUGUUCUACCUUUCCAGUAUAAUGUUUGUUCGAAUCCUUGUUUCUUUCAUCGAUCUCCAGCAUUCGAAACAUAAGAAAAUGAGACUUGUAUGCGAUAUUCACAUAUAUUUAUAUUUACCGAAAGUUUUUCUUUCCCCGAAUUUCCUUACCUUCCGAUUUAUCUGCAACAUGAUUCUGCAUGCAUGCAUGCAUUCUCGGGUGAAGUAAAAAUUGUCUGACCUGCUAAUUUCUCUUCUCAACAACACGACACGUUGAUUGCAAAAUAAGAUGACUGCUUUCAUUUGUAGGAUUUGACGUUUACAUCUACUUUCGUGGGAGAUUUCGUUGUUUAGAACUUUUAUUUUUGGUCGAAUGUUCUUUUAAGUCUCCGUUUUAGGGUUCAUUAACCCUGUAAUUCCUCAAUUUGUCUAUUUCGAUUCCUUUGCAUUAUAUGAUUCUAUCAUAUGGCAAACUACCAAAUCUGUAUAUUCUAACAUGCAGCUAGCAGGUGUUAAGGCCUUCUAUACUUCCAUUCUGAUUCGAGGACAGUUUUCAUAUUUCAAGUACCGUCUUGUCGAGUUUGGAGUUACAAAUAUGAGGAAAUCAAAGAGCCCGAAGCGAACCUUCUCUUGUCCUUUGGGAACUUACAUAGUUAUUGUUUGAAUGGCUGUUAUUCAUAGGAUCUUGAUGUAAAAUUUGAUAAGAACUUUCAAAAACAAGCUCGAAGCAAAUUGUUAGCAUGAAAUGAAAGUAGAAGAGAAAAAGGGGGGAAAACCCAUGAACAAAACCACAUCAGCUCAAUCGGUUCAGAAUGUUCAUCCAAUUAUCCAGUCUAUUUACGCGUUCCAACUUCAAAUCAAUUCGGCUGAUGGGGCUGUGAAUGAUGUUCCAUAAGUAGUCAAACACAAAGCUACUGCCCUUUGGAUUAAUUGCCUAGACACCUAUUAAGCAGCUAAGUAAAUAAAAUGUAGAGCUGAUACAUUGACUUUACUCGCGACUUUUCUCGUGUAAUGUUCGACCAAUAUUCUGAAAUUAAAUUAUUUCAUAUUAAGUAAGUUUAACAAGUAUUUCAACACGACCUGCAUUACAUAUGCGUUAGUACUUAUAGAUUCAAAUGUGGCUUAACAAGCUACUUGGCCUUGUCUUGAGCUCUGGAAAAAUUGAGUCAAAGUUCAAGGGGACAACAAGCAAAUCAAACCAUGAAUACCUUGCAAGUAGCUUUCAACUACUAAAAUUCCACCAUUGUAGUUUAGUACAGGGUACAGGAAUAUCUGAGAGUGGCCUCCAAGAAAUUGCUUCGAUUGAAACUUGAAUGUGUGAAUGGUGACCGCAAUUUGGUGGAGUAUCGUCUUAUUAUAAACGAAUUAGAUGACCCUUAGAAGUUUUUUGUUCAAAGAAAAUGAGUAAAUUUUGGGAAGGGCUCUUUUCACCCUUCCAAAUAUUUUGUCCACGUUUUAUCAUUAGUCUUCAAUUGCAGCCAAUGCAAGAGAAAAACAGGUUUCGGGUGUGAAAAUAUAUACGGUUGGGUCUCUUCAGCUUUUAGAUUCAUGCUUAAAUAAAUCAAGUUUGAGAUUAUACAAUAAAAGUGAUUGCAAAAUGCGGACAUAUGAAUUUUCUGAUGUAGCACCAGAACAGAUAAGAUGAUUUUACACUACUGAACACCUUUAUUUUGUAUUCAAAAUUCAACCAAAUGAGAAACUACUGUCUUCUUGUAAACCUUUUCACCGAAACUCUUGGCUGCAAUUGACAGAUUUUUUUGCUGAUUCCAUGGCAUUCACUUUUUCUAGUUGCAAAAUUUUAGCCUGAAGUGGACAUCUAACUGGUAAUCUCGUUGACAAAUCUCAUUUUAUGCUUAACCUGCACAAAUAAAACCACCUGCACGUACGGUCUUCCUACAAGCGAUUUGUGCUUGCAAAGGACAAAUUCCCCACAUGAGAAGAGGCUGCUUCAUAUCCAGAAUCCUUUGAAGAGUAUUAACAACACAGAGCACAUGAUAAACGCCACUAGCUUCAGAAUACAUUUUCAUAAUAACAUAGCUCAUUCCUGCCCGCAUCUCCCUCGUGUGGUGUUUGGGGACUUUCUUCAAGUUCCAUGAAAUGCAGCUUGAAUCUACAUGAUGAGGAUAGGACUGACUCAUUAUCAAUAAAUAAAGAAAUGCGAGAUUGCAGCAUCACAAUUUACCCCAUGAAAGAUAAGGUACAAAUGCGUAAACAUCAUUUACACAAAUCACUGUUCAACCACGGUGAACAGAGACUUCAUUAGCUAGCAGAUGAAAAAGAAAAAAAUAGGCUUAAAAGAAGUAAACAAAUAGCAACAACACUUUCCCCGUUUGUGUUCGGGAACAAAAUUGAUGUUAAAAAAAUUAUGCUGAUAAGGUGAAAUGCCUAAACUACAGAACAUAAAGACGUACUUGUUACUUGAUCAUUGGCAAUAUCCAGUCAACAAAAUCAGCAAUUUGGGAUAGAUUGUGAGGAGAUCAGUUUCAACUUCACUAAUUCAAUACUGCAAACAUGAGGACUGAGCUUAUCAAAUCAGAAACCUAUAUGACAACAUUCAAAGGAUACAAACAACUCUGCAUCAGGGUAACAUACACAAAAAUCACCAGCUACUCAUUUAGUUAACAAAGAGAUAGAACCUAACAAGCAUACAAAUAACAGAUUCAAUUUAAAAAUCUACAUUUACUAUCAUUCAGGUACAUGCUGUUGAGACCAGAUCAAGUGUUCUGGAUCUUCAUAAGCAUCAAAACUUCCUCAGAACAUUCCACUUGGCCCACGAGCCUCUUCAAGUUUGGCACCUCAGCUGGUGCUGAUGCUUUCUUUGCAAAAUUGGUCUCAGGUAUGGAAUUUGAAGUUCCUCAGCCAAGUGAGCCACACCUAACUCAGUCAUGUGAUAAUAUAAUUCCAUGACAACAAUAUGAUCAAAUGGGAUGUAAACUAAUUAGCAAAUUCUUCAGCUUCUCGCCCCAGCUUGUUUCACAGAUGGGCAAAAAAUUGUCCUGUUAGGCAAAAGGUCAUCAAUACAGCUGAUGGAAUUUAAGUCCCAUGUAAGCCUUGAUCAUUACAUAGAGCAACCAAACCUGUCAUAGAAGCAGCACUAGUUUACCUUGCUUGAUAAUAUUUCAAGACAACAUUUUGACUACUGGUAAUUUUAAGAAAGGCGUACAUCAUAUAUGACAGACUAGCCAAAACUACUUUAACAUUUCGAAAUCACCAACCAAAAAUACACUAAUUCUCGUUCAAGAAAAAGACCCUACAUAAACUCCAUCCACACUAGAGACUCAGACAAACCUUUGAUCGAGAAUUUGCAUAAAACAACUCGAUACUCCACUCCAGACCCCAGUACUUGAUCGAGAAUUUGCCAAGCGGCGAGAGCUCCAUGCAUCCACCUGAGAGAAUCUGGAGGGGGAAAAGUACUGCUGCUCUUCAAGAACGAACUGGUCUCUCUACUUGGUUUUAGGUAUGAAAGUGUACAUGGCUGUGUCUCUUCUGCUUUUAGAUUCAUGCUUAAAUAAAUCAAGUUUGAGAUAAUACGGCCAAAGCAAUUACAAAAUGCCUACAUAUGAAUUUUCCGACCUAUCCAGCCUAGAGAGAUGAUUUUACACUAAUGAACGCCCAUAUUUUGUGUUCUAAAUUCUUCCAAAUGAGAAACUGCUGUCUUCUUGAAAACCUUUCCAUUGAAUCUCUUGGCUGCAAUUGACAGAUCAUUUGCUGAUUCCUCGGCAUUUGCUUUUACAAGAAAAAAGUCUCUCCCGGUCACAAAACUGUAGCUUGAAGUGGACAUCUAAAUGGUAAUCUUGAUAACAAAUCUCAUUUUUUGCUUGACUUCACAUACAGAACCACUUGCACAUGCAGUCUUCCUCCAAGCAAUUAGUGAUGGGUCCUUGGUUAAAGAAUAGCACGAUUUCAAAGCUUGUAAAGGACUAAUGCACCACAUGAGAAGAGGUCACCUUUAUCAAGAAUCCUUCAAAGAGUAUUAACAACAUGGAGCAAAUGAUAAACGCCAAUUGCAAAUAACUCUGGAAUGCCUUUCCAUACUGACAUAGCUCAUUCUUGCCCAUAUCUCCAACUCGUGGUGUUUGGGGAGUUUCUCCAGGUUUCAUCAAAUGCAGCUUUAAUCUGCAUAAGGAAGAUAACACUGACUAAUUAUAAUUAAAUGAAGAUAUCCAAGAUCAUAGCAUUAGAAUUUACCCCAUGAUAGAUAAGGUAAAAAUGCGUAAACAUUGAUACCAAUCGGAGUUAGACCACAAUGAACAGAGACUUCAUUAGCUAGCCGAUGAAAAAGAAACCAACAAACUUAAAAGAAGUAACAUUUAGCAACACUUUCCCUGUUUGUAUUUACGAACAGAAUUGAAGCUAAAAAAAUUAUGCUGAAAAGGUGAAGUGCCUAAACUACUGAACAGAAAGACGCAUUUGCCACUGGGUUAUUUUGCAAGUUCCAAUUAGCAAACUCAGCAAUGCGGGAUAGUUUGCGAGGAGGUCAAUUUCAACUUUACAAAUCCAAUGCCGCAUACAUCAGAACUGAGCUCAUCAAAUCAGAAAACUAUAUGACAACAUUCAAAGGAUGUCAUCACACCAAUAAACUAAUAGAAAUGGAGGAGCCUAGCAGUGCAUACCUCCCUUUCAGAGCCUCAUCAAUUCCGAAGUGAUAUCAUUAGAAUGCAACGGCGUCGAACAACUGUGCAUCAGGGUAACAUACAAAAAAUCAAUAGCCUAGUAAUUGAUUAAAGGAGAGCUAUAAUCUAAUGAGCAUAAAGAAAGCAUAUUUAAUUGAAAAAAAUACAUUUACUAUCCUUUAGGGAUGUGAUGUUGAGAUCAGAUCAAGUAUUUGAAUAUUCAGAAGCAUCAAAACUUCCUUGGGACACUCCAGUCAGCCCCAAAGUGUCUUUAAGUUUGGCAUGCAAGAUGGUCCUCAGCUGUUACUGAUGAUUCCUCUGCAAAAUCCCUUUUCUUUAUUUUGAUCGAUCUCAAGUAUGCAAUUUGAAGUUCCUCGGCCCACUUAGCCACACCCAAAUCAGUCACGUGAUAAAGCAAUUCCAUGACAACAAUAGGAUCAAACGGGAUACAAACUAAUUAGCAAAUUCUUGAGCUCCUCAUCCCAGCUUGUUUCACAGAUAGGCAAAAAAUUGUCCUUUAAUGCAAAAGGCCAUCGAUACAGUUGAUUGAAUUGAAGUCCCAAAGUAAGCCUAGAUCGUUAUAUAGACCAACCAAACCUGUCAUAGAAGCAGCACCAAUUUGCCUUGCUUAAUAAUCUUUCAAAACAAUAGUUUGCCUACUGGUAAUGUUAAGGUGGUCAACAUUCAUACACGACAAACUAGCCAAAACUACUUUUAACAUUUUUUUUGUCACCAACCAAAAACACUCAAACCGUGAAUUUAAUUUUAGCUCAGUUCACCAUAUAUACUGGGAAGUGAUGCUCUUCUUAGAGGGUUAAUGAGGGCCAUCAAGGGAACAAUAAGAAACUUGACAGGGUUUUCGUUCAUCACAGAAAAUCAGAAGGCGUUCGUCCUAAACAGGACAUCUGCCAUUAGUCAAAUUUGACAUACAAAAGAACUAAAGGAACUCAAAAUGGCCAAGGAUUUUGAAAAGAAAAUAUGAACUUUGGACACUGGGAAAUUUCGAGUUUAGUAUACAAUAAUACAAUAAUGAGUAGCAGAAGUUCAUUGGCCUCUAGAUGAAAAUUUCAAAUCCUGGGUUUGCUAAUAGGGGAACUGUAAAUCACUAGGUAAUUCUUGUUUACCUUUGUUGAUAUUUUCAUUAUUGCCUCGCAAGCUGCUAUCUGUUUGCAGUCUACAGAAGCUGCCAAUGGAAGGAUAAAUGAAAAACAUUGCUAUAAUGUAAUCAACAACAAUUAUACAAAGGAAAAUUUAGAGUUUCCAAAAACAAUCAAAUAGAUAUCCAGUGUGAAGCAUAUCAUUCUAAAAAAAUACAGCUUCGAGAAAAGUAUCACUAUUUGUUCACGCUGGCCAUUCAAAGGAUGGAGUAUCUUACUAUGCCUUCUAUUGACAUCAGGGUCUGCAUUUUGAUCUUGGCUAAAGCAUCAUGUCAGCUUCUACGACCAACUGCCCCACUCCUUUCAAUUAUGUAAGAAUAGCAAUUUAGGAAAGUACAGAACCCCAUUGCAGAAAACCUUCUUGUCAAAAGAAGAUAGUGAUGAAAUGUAGGUCAUGAAUCUCAGACGAAAAAUGAUUGUUCACUGCUUAUUUACCUCUAUUCAGGAAACAUCACUCCAUCAAUCAAAAGACAGAUCUUGUUCAUAAUUUCUAAAGAUGCGAGUUCCAAAUAAGUUCGGUGUUGCUUCCAAUGAGUCACAACCAGAAAUAUCCAAAUCAAUUAAAUUCAACUUUUCAAGUCCCUGAAGCUGUGUAAGUUUCUUGCAGUCUCGAACUCUUAGAGAUCGUAACUUCACACAUCUCGUCAAAUCUGGCAAAGUCUCCAUUGAUUUACAUCCUGUAAAAUCCAACUCUUCUAAGAACUCCACACGGCCAAGACCUAUUAUUUCGACUAGAUUGUCGCACCCAACAGCCACUAAUUUCUUCAAACACCGUGAUAUUGGACCAAAAAAACUUUUAAUGGAAUUGCAGUCAUAUAAAAAUAUGACCUCCAAGGACUCCAAAGCUAUAUUUGAUCCAAUAAUUAAAACUAGGCUAUUGCAAUGCUCAACACGUAAUCGUUUCAGAUGAAUCAAUCCUGAAAGGCCCAAUGUUUUAAUGGAACUGCACUUUUUAAUUGAAAGCUCUUCCAAGUGCAUGAAUCCGCUGAGCCGAAGUAAUGUUAGGUUAUCCCACUCCUCAAAACAGAGUUUCAAUGGUAUUGAGGAAAGCUCGUGGAUGUCUUCGAGUAUAUGGCAUACCUCAAGAUGGAGUUUUCUUAGGUGGAUGAGGCUAAAAAGCUGUGGCAGUGUAAGGCUCUGACAAGUGACCGACAGAUUUGUUAAGCCCGAAGGAAGCCUUGGCAGCAACCGGAGCUCCUUACAGCCGUUUAGUUUGAGGCGUCGGAGAGAAGAAGGAAGCUCUGGCAGCAACCAGAGCUCCUCACAGCUCCCUAGGUCAAGGCGUUGGAGAGAAGAAAGAUUCCGGACGCUUUCUGGCAGGUCAAAUAUCGGUGUUGCAUAGAGAUUGAGAAUCUCAAGGGAAGGCAAGUCACCGAUUUCACUUGGAAUUGCCCCUUUCAAACUAGUGCACCAGAUCAUUUCUAGAGUCCGCAGAUUUUUCAACCUUCCAAUAGCACUGGGAAGCUUUUCGAUCUCAGAAUUACUCAAGUCCAGAUGUUGCAAAUUCUGUAAAUCCCCAAUUGAGCUAGGGAUUUCUCUUAGUGAAUAACAUUCGCAGGCAGUCAGUUUCUCCAACUUCCUCAGAGAACCAAUGGACAUAGGAAUCUCUGUAAUACCAGAAAGAUUUAAUAUAAGUUCUUCUAAAUCUUUUAAUUCGCGCACCUCUUCUGGUAGCUUUUUGAGACUUCUACAGUGAUUCAAAUCUAAGGAAACGAGGCUCGUGAGUUUGCCAAUAGAAGGGUGGAGAUCCUCUAGGUUGUAACAUCCGAACAAGAUGAGAAUCUUCAACUGUGUAAAAGCCGAGAGAUCAGGAGUACAUCUUAAAUUUUCGCAAUUCGUAAGGUCGAGAACUUUAAGCCGCUUUGACGCCUAAUACGAAAGAGAAUAAACUGUUAAGGAAGGAGUUGAUUGGCUAAACAAAAACAAAACCCUAAAAUCGCAGAGAUAAUGUUCUUCUUCUCCUAAUCUUACCAUGAACAAACUCCAUCCUUCCCAAUCCUCUGUGAUCUGUUCCCAUGAUGAUAACCACAACACCGAUAAAUUCGGUAGAUGCAAAUUGAUCGGUAGAAAAAACAAAUCGCGAGGACGGACCUGAAGCCAUCUCACUGAAAAGAGUUCCAUGGAGUCUUUGCUUGAAGCUGCCCCGAGAAAGUUGUGGAAACAGGGGCGUCUCUGCAAGUUUUUUAACUUUUUAGUUUUCGCUUUUUUAAAUCUUGGAUUUGCACGAUUGAUACCUUUUUAUCCUUCCCCUGUACCUUUUGACGACCUUUCGAAAAUUAAACAAAUGACGUGAAGAUAAAGAAAAAGAUAGUUAUUGCUUUAAAACAACUAAGACAAAUGCACCUCAAUGUUUUAUCCCUUGCUUUUUUCUUUAUCAAAUUUUGUAGCACGUAUAUUUUGACUUUCAUUUAAGAUGAAAUACGAGAAACCAUUUUACAACGUAUAAAUAUUUACUUGUAAAUUUUCAUAAGACUUCUCCAUCAUUUCUCUAAAGAACGUGUCAAAGAGUGCCAGUGGGCCACUUGUAAGUAGCUAAGGAAGCACCCGGUUUCCAUUUCAUUAGUUAAAUGUAACAAUGUGGAAGAGGAAAAAAGGGGGAAUUUUUAAUUAUAUUCCGAUAUAUAUAAAGAAGAUUACAUGGUGGAAAAUCAAAAGAAAUCAAAAAUGAUAUGCAUAAUCAAAAUGGAUAUAAAAAAUCAAGAGAAAUAUCCUAAAUAUCUCUAAAAGAUAUCUAAAUAUCUUUAACAUCAUUAACUAUUUGUGUGAAGUGUUCACUCAUUCUUUGAAAAUUGAAACUUUUUUAUUUUUGGUAAAAUAUGUUUAAAAAGUGACACGGUGACAUUGGUUAGCAGUUUUGACAGGGAUUGAAAAAAUAAGUCGAUUUCAUAACUAAAACAUGAACCGGUUAACUAAAAAGUGACGUAGUGACAUUGUUUAAUCAUCAUAUGUCCGUUUCCAUAAGAACGGAAUCGUUCCUUUUUCCAUCUUAUAAAUAAAAAAACAUAUUGUUUAACUUUCCUACUAAAACAUAUCAUUUAAUUAGUUGAAGAUGGUGAAAAAUAAAUUCCCUUAUGGCUUUAAUUGACUUUAAUAAGAAUACCUACAUUUUCCCCCAAAAGUUUUUUUUUUUUGGUCGGUUUGACACAUUUGUCGUUGUCUGCUUCAAUAUUAACCAGUGAAAUGCAAUGGGUAUAAGUUCUAUUAAGUCUAUUUGUCAAAGAAGUCGCUAAAUUGUUGUAAUCACCAUCCCAUGCUAUCUUUCAUAAUUUUCGCUUGUACAUCGAUCUAUACUGUGUAUUACAUAAAAAAAUCUACUGUAUGAAAAGGGAAUUUCAAACAUCAAACUCUCCUCAAAAGUUUUCACACAAUUCGUAUAUAUUUCACCAAAAUGAACUAAAGAAUUAGGAUAUAACAAAAUAGACAUAAUCAUAUUUGAAAUAGUCAAGAAAAUUGGAAAUUAAUCCCAUUAUUAUUUCAAUUUCCAAAGUUAAAUCAAAAUCUGUCGAAUUGUACAAUCAUUUAAUUUUUUUUCCGACACUAUUUAUCCACUUUCAGCAUUUUUGUCCAUUCAAAACAGAAUUGACUUUUCUUUUUCAUUUUUCCAAACACAAGUAUGGUGUGCUCUUUUUGCUAAUGUUAAGAAGUUAUUGGAUCAACAAAAGACUGUGACAUUAAAUCAUAGGAAUGAACUAUUUCAAAUUAUAUCAAGAAUAUAAAGCUGCUUUAUUUGCCCAACAUCUCUUAGUCAAUUUCUAGGGUUAAUUCCUCUCCAUUGAUCAGCCGUGACCCUAUGACGCUUAUCAGAUGGACAAUAUAUAAUAAAAUGACAUGAACAUUGAUAAUUUAAGUAAAAGAUAAAAGAAUCUUAUUGUUUUGAAUUAAUUAUCAGUUAUUGUAAUUGGCACAUACUAUCUUCUUUUUUAACCGAGAAAUCUUCAUUUAUUUGAUUUACAAUGUUUUUACUUCAUCUACAUUCGUUCUUGUAGUCCUUCAGAUUAUCAAUAUUUUCAACUAGAUAUGACAAUGGCAUGCUUUUAGUAAAUGAGUUUUAUAGAGCAAAAUUGUAGUUAAAAGAUCUUAAAUUGAUUGUCAAGCGAAUUUUUACAUAUGUAAUUUAUAUUAAUGAGAUCGAAUCAAAUGGUAUAACUUUUUCAUCCUUUAAAUACUUAUAAUCCAUUUAGCUGUCACAAAUAAUCUAAGAUGGACAUACAUGGAUGUUUACAUAGAUCUUUUUUCCUAAUAAGUAAGAGCAUCUAUUCAUCCUCGAUGAAAUAUUAGAAUAGAUCAGAUUAAAUAUAUUGAAAUAAGAGGGAAAGAAAAAGAAAGGAGUGCCAUAUUUUACCCAUUCAUUAAUUCUUAGUACUUUUGGGACUCCCUCGUAGUCGUCAUCCCAUGGUCCGCUAUGUUUCUCAGGCGAUUGUCCUUGGCAAAAAAUACUCCUUCCAAGAUCUCUCAAUUGAUCAUGCAUCUCAAAUUGACCAUAAUUUCCAAUCUUAAUCUCUCAAUUGAUCAUGCAUCUCAAAUUGACCAUAAUUUCCAAUCUUAAUUAAGCACCUCAACUUCAGCUCUUCAAUACCUUGACUUGGAUAAAGCCCACAGUCCUCCCACAUGUACAUGGCGUAUUUGGCGUAUUCACUCCUUUCGCCAAUAAAGAAACAAACAAUAUCGAGAAAAAUCUGCUUAUGUCCAUCUUCUAAUGCAUCAUAACUUAUUUGCAAUAUUUUUUGGACGUCUCUAUGCAGUUGGCUUUUUAACUGCUUUCGCACAUCUUCCCAUACUUUUCGAUUCGGUUUUUUAUACAAGUAUGAACCUACGACCUUAAGUGCCAAGGGAAGCCCACCCAUGGUGGAUACAAUAUCACGAGAUAGACCCUCAAAGUCCUUCGAAGAAUGGUCCAUAUAAAAUGCAUGUCUAUUAAACAAAAGCAAAGCAUGCUCUUGAUCCAAUUCAUUCAAAUCAUACUUGUGUACAUUGAAUUCAGAUUGAUCAAGAAUGGCUUUAUAUCUGGUUGUAACAAUAAUAAUACUUCCCGCCAUAAACCAAUUAUGUUCUCUAGCCAAAGCAUUUAAUUGAUCCUCGUGAUCUAUAUCAUCCAGAAGAAUGAGAACAUUUUUUCCUUUGAAACUAGAUUUGAUCAAACUAAUUCCAUCAUCAACAUUCCCAAAUUUAGGUUCAAUUUUCGGAAUGUCCUCAAUUAGUUGCUUUUGUAAACAAACAAUAUUGUUGUGGCAAGCUGUUUCUCGAAUAUUUGCAAGGAAGCUACGAUGCACAAAGUCCUUUAACAGCUGGUUAUAGAUUACCUUGGCAAGAGUUGUUUUUCCAAUCCCACCCAUGCCAUAGAUUCCAAUCAUUCGAGCAUUAGUGGUAGGAGCAUCUACCCAUUUCAUGAUUCUGUUCACAUGAUCAUCUAUUCCAACUAAGUGCUUAGUAACAUCAAGCUGAAAAUCUUGUCGCAACUUGCUCAGAACAUUUUCAAUUACUUUUUUCACUAAUUCUCCUUCAUACCUGUCCAACAAAAAAACUCAUUGAUAAUUUCGUGAUUAUACUUAAUCUCAUCAAAAGGCACCGAUAGACGUGAAGAAUGGAUGGGACCAAUUAACAUGCAAGAUGUUUUGGUUUUACAAAUAACAAUGGGGGAUGAUGGCCAGCAGUCAUUUCAUUUUUUCUUCUCUCUUUUGCUAGAUGGAUCUUGUUGAAAGAAAAUAAGGAGGUGCACUUGGCUCGUUAAGAGUCUUUAGUAAGUGUAAUGUUUGUUACAAGGCUUAUUAUUGGUGCUAGUUAAAUGGUAGGAGGCCAAUUUUGUUUUAAUUAAAGAAGUUUAGAAUAAAAGUAGGUUACUCCACUCUAAGGCCAGGGCUUCUCACAUGCUAAAAUUGAGGACUUAUAAUUGAUUUACAAAUCGCUACCAAUGGGGUCUACUGACUGUGGAAAUCAAACCUAGACAUGGUAAAUGUGAAGUGUCCGGUUCUUUUCACUUGAGCCAACUUCCAUUCGCAUGAGGAGGUCUAUUUUAUCUGGUGGUGAUAAAGCUUUGAAAUACUGAGCAUUCAAGUCCUCUCUAAGCGUAUUGUUUGGUGAUUGACACGAUUGGUCGGAGGGGUUGUCAUUUCUUUGAUUUUUGCUUUGUUGGAGACAAUUGUAUUUCAUCUAUUUCGCAUGAACAAGAAAAUUUACUGGAUAAUUACUAAAAUAAUCCUAAAUUUAUUAUAAUUGUGCCAAUUCAGUCUUAAAUUUUUUUCAUGGCCAAUUUAGUCCUAAACAUUUUGAAAAUAUGUUGAUGUAAUCUAUCUAGCCAAUUUUGAUUAGAAAUCACAAAUGUAAACACCAACCGUCUUACAUGGCACAAUCAGUAUUGACGUGAAUAAUUUUUAUAAUUUUUUAUAAUUUUUUCUGAAUUUUGUUGGAUUUGUUUAUAUUUUUUUUUUCCUUUCUCUUCUUUUGUUUCCCUCCUUCCUCUACGAUCGCCGGCCAUAGAUGACAGCCGCCUCACCGUGAGGGCUGACCUCGCCAGAAUCUGGUCCUUCUAGUGGUCCUAUAGAGAAUCGCAAGGAGGGAGAGACUGAGAGUUUUUCCAACAAGAGAGGGCCAUCGUUGGGUCGGAUGAGGAGGUUCACAAGCAGCCAGAACGUGCUGGCAAACUUCAACUGGACGACGCAGGUGGCGUCGGUGGACGCAGGAGAGCAGAGGAACUGUUACUUUGGCAACAAAGACAGACGACGAGCAAGAUGAUGACGACGGCGACGAAGUGGUGAUUCCAUUUUCGGCCCCCAUUUUGGUAGGUGGAGUGGAGUCGAAGGCGAAGAAGGAAUUGAAUCUGUGGAAGAGAAGGACAAUGGCUCACCCUCAGCCACCUUGCUUGCGACAUCCCCAAUUAUUCUGCAAAUGUAAUCGUGUUCUCGAAUGAUUGUGCUCAUGGAUUCCCAAUUUCUGACGUUUUUCCUUCUUUUUUUUUUUUUUUUUUGGGGGAUUUCAGUUUGGGUUGGCCUCACCUCUUCAAAAGGACCAGAUUCCAGCGAGGUCACCCUUGUCAGAUGCGGCGAGGGCAAGCCUCACCAACCCUCGUUUGUGGCCUGUCACCCUUCAUCAAGGAGGCUGCAGCCAGAGUGGAAGAAGAAAAAAAAAUAAAAACUAAAAAUUUCGGAAAAAUAAUAAAAAAUUAUUUAAGUUAACAAUUUUCAGCUGAAAUUGACCGAAUGACUAUAUUGGCAAAUUUUCAGAGGGUCUAGGAUUAAUUUGACUGAAUAAAAAUGUUUAGGACUGUAUUGAUAUAAUUACAAUAGAUUUAAGAUUUUUUUGGUAAUUUUCCAAACACUUACUUAUCAAAAAAGAAAAGUUAAGGUGGAAGCAAAGUACCCGUUAGCAACUUUCUCGGACUCCCAUCCAUGUAAGUAACUCACUUCUUUGAGUGCUUGCUGCCCUUUCUGGAUAUCCUCCUCAUCAAAAUACUUCUUACGUGAAUGGAAGGCCUUCCCAAAACUUCCUUUUAGAUGCCGCACAUCCGAUGGAUCCACUUUAUAAAAGAUGGGCAAAACUAUGUGUGAUGUGCUCUUUGCGCGAUCCAUGAUAUGAAUAAGCUCGCGAAGGCACCAUUUGCUUGAAGCAUAAUUGUUGGAGAUGAUGAGGAUCGAAAUCUUAGACCGAGCGAUGGCAUCAAGAAUCCGUGGACCGAAUUCCUCGCCAAUUGGAAUGCUCUUAUCAUCCCUGAACACGAAAACCGGUACAAUCCCCGCCUUGUCUAGACUCUGGUAGAGGUGAUCGGCGAAUCCCUUACGGGUAUCUGACCCUCUAAAGCUCAAGAACACAUCAUAAUGAUCAUUACCUUCUCCCGUGGGUGUUGGAGAUAUGAAUGAAGGUGUGGGUGCUCUCUUCUUCUUCUUGAGAAGAUUGAAUGCAAGCACACUGAAAAGAAUCGUCGUGGUAAGCACCGCGGAAGAACGCCCCAUUAUGAAAGGGUGCAUCCUUUUGUUUGUUACGGUGUGGCUCUGCCCUUUUGUCUAUGGCAAUCUGAGGGGGAAAGUUGGGAAGAAAGAUGCUCUUCUGCUGCAUAAAAGGAUUAAUAACUAGUCUCUAUCAAGUAUGAACAAGUAUGAACAUGAAAUCUUUUACCAAGCAAGAAAAAAUAAACAUGAAAUCUUUAAUUAAUUAGUAUUUGAUUGACUACGAGCAGUUGCAUGCGUUUAGUCAUUGCGUUAUCUUCUUUUGCACAUCAUUCUUUAGUCAAGUCAAUCUUGUUGGCUUUGGUCCCCUCACGUAUAACGUGUACAUUAAUUUCUUAAUUGGGCUAUAAAACACUAGAAUCUAUGUACAAGUAUAUUGCAUUCAUUCAAAAUUACACAUAGUGGUUCAGUUGUUACUUGCUUAUUGAAAAUAAGAUUUUGAAAACUCAUUUUUUUGUCAAAGAAUUUCAUAAAUCAUUUAAAAGCUGAUAACUGAAUUGAGACAAAAUUGGCAAUGUGGGGGAGGACGUGAAGAAAGGACCUAGCUAGUAAUUAUGAAUGCGAUUUUAAAUUUAAUUUUGCCAUAGAUUUCUCCUCCUGCACAGCACAAAGCCUCCCUUCUCCUUGUUUAUCUGCUCCUCUCGCCGACACAUUCUCUCUUCCCCUUCUGUCCUUUCGUUUUUUCCUUUCUUUUCCUUUCUUUCUCCUUUCUUUUCCUUUCUUUCUUCUCUUCUUUUCCUUUUUGACUCUAAUGUAUUUUCUUCUUCUUUUUCUCAUCAUUUCAAACUCCAAUUCACCUAAGAUUACUACCUUUCCACCAAAUCACUUUUCACUUUUGACCGCAUUUUACUGUUCACUUUGACUGUAUGUUCCCACAUGUAAUUGAUCGGAAGUGACCGAGUGAGUGUCAGGGAUAGUGAAUGAAAAGCUCUUAUUCUAUAAAAUUAUAUUAGAAAAUUAAAAUUUCAGCAUGUUACAGCAGAUGCGGGAACAAUUUAUCAAGGAGAUAUUUCUAUCAAAUAGAUUGGAGAAUAGAAGAAUAUGUCUAUAGAUUUAUAACAGUUCAACUUAUAUAAAAUUUACAUCCACUCUCUCAAACUAACAACCAUCAGUAUGGCAUUUUUUUAACCGAAAGAAUCAAAUGCAACUGAAACAUAUCGUGAACGCACGAGAGAUCGAGGCAACUUAGAGAUUUGAAGCUUUCUGAAUUUCCGCCAAGUCCAUUGGCAUCCUCUAAAUCCUUUUUAUAUAAAACUAACCGUUGUGAGAAUAAUUUUACCCGUAAAACAUCCUUUCAUAGGUUUUCUUUGGAGGGUGCCCUUUUUACUUGGAGGUCAUAAAUACGAAAAUUAUGUCUCAUAAAUACGAAAAUUAUGUCUGGUAAAAUUCCACAAAAAUAAUAUUUUUAUUCAGUUAAUAGUAAAUUUAUUUUGUCUAUUUUCACUAAAAUAUGUAAAUUUAUCAUAACUUUCCUUUGUACUUGGUAAAGUUUUGACAUCCAUGUCUUAGUAAUUUUCCUUACUCAUCGUAACUUUUCUCAUGAUAAUUUGAUCAUGUUUGCAUCUAACUUUCCUUUAAUUUUCGGAAGUGAUGAUAAAAAAAUCGAUUUUGCAAUAUAGAUUUGACGGAUCACCUUUUUUGCCCUUUUUAACCAACGGUCCACAUCGAAUGUAGGACUCAUCCCUUAAAAGAGAGUUUUCACUUAUGAAAUUUCCAACAUGAUUAGCACGUUUUAGCCAUAAGAAAGUAGUUUAUUUUUUUCUGAACAGUAUAGUAGUGUGUUUUUCCAAAAUUUUGCAAAUCGUUCCUUUGAAAUAUAUAUAAAGGUAAAAAUGUAACUAAGAAACUAUAUUAAUUUAUCAAUACUUUCUUUUGCUGAUGCACAGCAACAGAUAAAAGAAAUUUGAGAUACUUCUGAACAGUAUUUUUGAUGUUUCAGGCUUUAAGUAAGUUUGGUUCCGACCAAAAAAAAAAAAGCUGUAAUUUUGUACAAUUGGAGUGCAUAUUAGGCAAUGGACCCAAAAUCGAGUCUAGAAGGGUAAUUUCAUCAUUUUAAUCGAGCGGGCUUUUUGUGCCGAGGGAAUUUCACAUGUAUUAUUCUGUUGCCCUAGAGGAUGUUAGGCGAUGAGUAAUAACCGAAUGUAUUUUUGUCCUAUCAAUUGUAACAGACCGGAGAAUGAAGGUCGGACUUACCUCGAGGAGAAGAUAUUCAGAGAUGAAAUAACUGUGAUGGGUUUGAGAAGAAGUCGGCUUGAAGCAGUCCAAGUCCCAAAAGUCAGUGCAGUCCCGAGAACCACCUUCACGCCUCAACCUGGACCGGCUUGGUUUGGAAAGAUGGUAAGGUAAAUUUGCAGAUCAUCUCAGGUCAGAACGUCACGAGAAAGGACGAGUGGUGGCUACGAAGAAAUCACCAACAACAGACGGCGAACUUACUAUCUCUCGAUAAAAUCCCAGCUCUUCUCCGGUAUAUCUGGAGAUCCCAGAAACGACCCACGUGUUCCGAGCGAAGACCGCCCCACCAAACCCAGGAACCCUAAUCGCCUCGGUGGAGUCCACGAUCAGAAAUUAUAGCAAGCGGAACGCUAAAAAGUUCGAAACUCGACACGAUUCGAGUUGAUUUUACCUGCUGAUUGGUGCCCGCCAAAAAAACAGUCCUUUGAAGCCGGUGGUUCGGAAGGAGCGACUGCAGGUGCUCUUCGCGACGGCGUCGGGUGUACUGCUUGGUGGAUUCGCGAGAAAGAAGAUCGCUGCUUCCUCCUCCGAUUCAAGCCGAAGCUCUCGCUCUGAUCGUAGAGGCUUCGAUGUGCUUCAGAUCUGGAAUUAGAGAGAACUUGGUACUUGGUAGUCGGAUAACGCGGUUCUGUGUUGACUUUCUGCUGGAACACGAUCACGUGCCAUGGGUGGGAUGCGCUGUGUCUUGGACGCCAGAGCCCAGUUGGCUAAUUUUCAAAAGUGUAUCCGCGGCCCAUAUCCCUAAACGGAGUUGGAAACAUGACGUGGGUAUAAACAAAUGGACUUGUGUUUAUUCCAUGGUAGCUCCACGUGCUAACGAUUUCUUCUAAAUCCAACGUAUUUUAAAAUGACAUGAUAUCACCGAGUUAUUCUCUUAAACCUUAGAAAUUUUAAAUAAUUGAUCGAUAUGUAGAGCAAUAACUUGUUACGGGAUACUGCAGAAGGAGCAUGAAUACUCCCUUGAUGCUAUCUUUUGCGGCAUUUUUGUUUUUUCUUCUUGAGAUGAUUGAAUAUAAGGAUAAAAAGAAGAAUUGACGCAAUGAGCACCGCAAAGGAAUGAUGUGAAACGAAAUAGUGCAUCCCUUUUGUUUCUCUUGCUUUGGUUUUGCCCUUUCUCCAUGGAAAUGUUGGGAAAAUAUUAGAUAACGUGAAUAAAGAGAAAGAAUUGUUGGAAAUAUAUUAAAAACGAUGAAAAAAUAUACGAUAUAUUGUUUGAGGCAUUCAAGCACUAUCCUUGAGAUCAAUUUCUCCCUUCAGAGCAUGAAACUCGGUACGAUGGGCUCUAGUGGCUAUCUUCACGAGAUAAAACUCUACAUGGAAUAACAGAAGGAAUGGGAACAUGUUAUGUGCAUAGCCUAGCCAAACAAGGAAAGACAUGUGAAUUUUGUGAAUUCGAUGUAUAUUGAAAGAUUGUGGUUUUAUGGUUAAUCUUGUAUUCAAACAAAAGAGAGAGUUGUUAGAAAACCGCUACAAAUUAAUUAAUAAUUAAUAAAAUGAUGACCAUUAUAGAUGAUAUUUUGAUCACAUCAAAAAAUUAAAGAGAAAGCCUCUAACUCUCCUUUGCACUUCAAAAAGUUUUGAGAUCUUUGUCUUGAUAAAUUUCCUUACUCAUCCUAACUUUUCUUAAUCGAACGAUAAUUUGAUCACGUCUAACUUUCCUUUAAUGUUUAAAAGUGAUGCAAGAAAAUCGAUUUUGCAAAACAGACUUGAAAUGUCAUGUUUUUUCCCUUUCUAUCUAAUGGUCCAUAUUGAAUAUGGGACCAAUCCCAUAAAAAAAGAGAGUUUUGACUUAUGAAAUUUCCAUCCCCAUUGAGAUGUUUUGCCCAUAAUAAAGUAGUGUUGAAGACGCUAUUUUUCUAAAGUUUGGAAAUCAUUCCACUAUGAUAUUUAUAUUUAAUAUAUAGAAAGGUAAAAACGUAAAUUAAGGAACGGUAUUACUUUCUCAAUGUUGUCUUUUAUUGACUGACGCAAAGCAAUAGAUACGUCUGUAACUCUAGUAUGAUAUGCAAGUCUUCCGUUUCCAAAGUAACCUUCACACAUAAUCCCAUCUGCCGAGGUUAACGAUGAUUCAAGCCCCUUUCAGACAAUUGGAAUUAACCUUCCAAUAGCACUAGGAAGCUUUUCAAUUGUAGAACCACUAAUGUCCAGAUGUUGCAAAUUUUGUAAAUCCCCAAUUGAGGUAGGGAUUUCCCUGAGUGACUCAUAAUAGCUGGCACUCAAUUUCUCCAGCUUCCUUAGAGAACCAAUAAACACAAGAAUCUCAGUACUAUCGGCAAAAUCUAAUAUAAGUUCUUCUAAUUUGACAGAUUCGCCUCCUUUCAGUUUUAACACACAUACCCAUCCGCUCUUGGUCCGGUCCAUUGCCAUAUUCUUCUUCCGCGAUCCCAACUCUCUUGUGGAUCCUGAGAUUGCGAUGCUCUCCCCAAUUUCAACUUGGUAAUCUAGCCGAACACUGAGAUGCAUCUUCUCUUGUCCCAGCUUUGAUAUGAUCUUCUUCGCUUUCUUCUCCUCUUCUCUGCAAUAAACACACUAUGUUAUAGCUUCUACCGAUAGCCUCCUUCCUUGUCUAGACAACUUAAACAGCAAUUUUCACACGAACCACCAUUCAUUCUUUGCCAUUUAACACCACAUUCAAAGAGAAACCUCAAAUCAAGAUGAUAUAAGAUAAUUAAUGACGCUACCUUUUUUAGCAAGAAGAACUCGAAAGAAGAAACAGAAAAACUCUUUUUUCUACACCUAUUCUCAUUCAAGAAAUAGACCCCACAUAAACUCUAUCCACACUAGAGAAUCAGACAAACCUUUGAUCGAGAAUUGCAUAAAACAACUCAAUACUUCACUCUGGACCCUAAUGCUCGAUCAGAUUGACAUAAGUGUACUACGACAAAUCCAAUGAGAGAGAGAGAGAGAGAGAGAGAGAGAGAGAGAGAGAGAGAGAGAGAGAGAGAGAGAUGGUUUUAGUGGUGGAAACGCCACGAACAACCAUAAAGGAGCGACUCCGAGCGGCAGGAGCUCCAUGCGUCCACCUAAGAGAAUCUUGAAGGGGAAAAGUAAUGCUGCUCUUCAUGAAUGAACUGGUGGUCUCUGUACUUGGUUUUAGGUAUGAAAAUGUACAUGGCUGUGACUCCUCCGUUUUUAGAUUCAUGCUUAAAUAAAUCAAGUUUGAGAUUAUAUGACCAAAGUUGAUUGCAAAAUGCCUACAUAUGAAUUUACAGAUACAACUAGACCAGAGAGAUGAUGUUAAACUAAUGAAUGCCCUUAUUUUGUGUUCAAAAUUCUUCCAAAUGAGAUACUACAAUCUUCUUGGAAACCUUUUCAUUGAAACUCUUGGCUGCAAUUGACAGAUUAUUUGCUGAUUCCACAGCAUUUUCUUUUUCCACGAAAAAAGUCUCUCCCGGUCACAAAACUGUAGCUUGAAGUGGAAAUCUAAAUGGUAAUCUUGUUAACAAAUCACAUAUUAUACUUGACUUCACAUACAGAACUACCUGCACAUGGGGUCUUCCUCCUAGAGAUUUGCCAUGUGCUUUUGCUAAAGAAUAGCACAAUUUCAAUGCUCGCAAAGGACUAAUUCACCACAGGAGAAGAAGUCACGUUAUAUUAAGAAUCCUUUGAAGAGUAAUAACAACACGGAACAAAUGAUAAACGCCAACAGCAAAGAACUUCAUUAUGCCUUUCCAUACUGACAUAGCUCAUUCUUGCCCGUAUCUCCAACCCAUGGUGUUUGGGGACUUUCUCAGAGUUCCAUCAAAUGCAACUUUAAUCUGCACAAGGAAGAUAGCAAUGACUAAUUAUCAAUAAAUGAAGAUAUCCAAGAUUGUAGCAUCAUAAUUUACCCCAUGAGAUAUAAGGUACAAAUGCGUAAACAUUGACACCAAUCAGAGUUGGACCACAAUGAAUAGAGACUUCAUUAGCUAGCCAAUGAAAAAGAAACCAACAGGCUUAAAAGAAGUAAGCAAUUAGCAACACUUUCCCUAUUUGUGUUUAGGAACAGAAUUGAAGUUAAAAAAAUUAUGCUGAAAAGGUGAAUUGACCUAAACUACACGAUAGAAAGAUGUAUUAGCAAUACGGGAUAGUUUGCAAGGAGGUUAAUUUCAACUUCACAAAUUCAGUGUUGUACACAUGAGAACUGAGCUUAUCAAAUCAGAAACCUAUACGAUCACAUACAAAUGAUAUCAUCACACAAAUAAACUGAUAGAAAUGGAGGACCCUAGCAGUGCAUACCUCCCUCUGCAGAGUCUCAUCAAUUCUAAAGUGAUAUCAUUAGAAUGCAACCACAUCAAACAACUCUGCAUUAGGGUAACGUUAAAAAAAAUCAGUAGCUUAGCAUUUGAUUAAAAGAGAGCUAGAACCGAAUGAGCAUACAUAAUGCAUAUUUAACUGAAAAAAAAAAUACAUUUACAAUCACUCAUGGACGUGACAUUGAGAUCAAGUCAAGUGUUUGAAAAUUCAGAAGUAUCAAAACUUCCUUGGGACACUCCAGUUAGCCCUAGAGCAUCUUGAGGGUUGGCACGCAAGAUGGUCCUCAGCAACAGCUGAUGCUUCAUCUACAAAAUCCCUUCUCUUUAUUUUGAUCUGCUCAGUAUGAAAUUUGAAAUUCCUCAACCGAGUUAGCCACACCCAAUCAGUCAUGUUAUUAAGCAAUCCCAUGACACCAAUAGGAUCAAACGGGAUGCAAACUAAUUAGCAAAUUCUUGAGCUCCUCGUCCCAGCUUGUUUCACAGAUGAGCAAAAAAUUGUCUAUUAAUGCAAAAGGUCAUCGAUACAGUUAAUUGAAUUUAAGUCCCAAAGUAAUCCUAGAUCAUUACAUAGACCAACCAAACUUGUCAUAGAAGCAGCACCCAUUUACCUUGCUUGAUAAUCUUUCAAAACGACAGUUUGACUACCGGUAAUGUUAAGGUGGUCCACAUUCAUACAUGACAGACUAGUCAAAACUACUUUUAACAAUUAUUUUUUUUUAUCACUGAACAAAAACACUUUAACCUUAUAUUUAAUUUUAGCUCAUUUCAUCAUACUUACUGGGAAUUGAUGCUCUUCUAGAAGGUUCAAGAGGAAUAUCAAGGGAACAUUAAGAAACUUGACAGGGUUUUCGUUCAUCAUGAAAAACUGGAAGGCGUUUGUCCCAAACAGGACAUCUGCCAUUAGUCAAGCUUGACACAAAGGAACUCAAAAUGGCCAAGGAUUUUUAGAAAGAAAUUAUUAACUUUUGGACAUCGGGAAAUUCUAGGCGUAGUUGACAAUAUUGAGUAACAGAAGAUCAUUGGCCUCUAGGUGAAAACUUCAAAUCCCAGUUCACCGAGAGGGGGGAACUGUAAAUCACCAAGGAAUUCUUGUUUACGUAUGUUUGAUGUUUUCAUCCUUGCCUCACAAGCCGCUCAUCUAUUUGCAGUCUAAAAAAGCUGCCAAUGGAGGGAUAAAUGAAAAACAUUGCAAUAACAUAACCAAUAGCAAUAUAUGCAGGCAAAUCCAGAAUUUCCGAAAUCAAUUAACUAGAUACACCAUGUGGAGCAAAUCAUUCUCAAAAAAUAGAGCUUCAAGAAAAGUAUUAGUCUAUUUGCUCAUUCCGGCCGUUUGAAGGAUGAAGAGUCUUACUAGAUAACCAAAUGUCUUCUAUUGACAUUUUGAGUCUACAUUUUGAUCUUGGCUGAAGCAUCAUGUCAGCUUCUAUGACCAACUCCCCCACUCCUUCGAUUAUGUAAGUCUAGCAAUUUAGGAAAGUACAGAACCCUGUCAUGGAAAACUUCUUGUCAAAAGAAGAUGGCGAUGAAAAGUAGGUCAUGAAUCUCAAAAGAAAAAUUAUUGUCGCUGUUUUACCUCUGUUGAGGAAGCAUCACUUCAUGAGUCAAAAGACAGCUCUUGUUCAUAAUUAUCAAAAGAGGCCCGUUCUUUCCAAUGAGUCGCAACCAUCAGUUCUCAAGUUAAUUAAAUCCAACUUUUCAAAUCCCCAAAGCUGAGUAAGUUUCUUGCAAUUUUUAACAGAAAAAUAUUGUAACCUCUGACAUCCAUUCAAAUCUGGCAAUGUCUCCUUUGAUUUGCAUCCCAUAAAAUCCAACGGUUCCAAGAACUUUGCCCUGUCAGGGCCUUGAAUUUUGACUAGGUUAUUGCAAUCCUCAACCUGUAAUUUUUUCAGAUGAUUUAAACAUGAAAGGUCCAAUCUCUCGAUGAAACUGCAAUCUCUCAUAUACAAGUCUUCCAAGUACUCAAAUCGGUCGAGCUUAAGCAAUAUUAGCUUAUCACACUCCACAAUACCGAGUUCCAAGAGUCUUGAGGAAAGCUCAGGGAUGUCUUCAAGUAGAUGGCAAUGGUCAAGCCAGAGUUCUUUUAGGUGGAUUAGGCUAGAAAGUUGUGGCAACAUGGGACUCUGACAACAGACUACUAGAUUUGUUAAGCCCGAAGGAAGCUCUGGCAGCGAGCAGAGCUUGUCACAGCCAUUUAGCUUAAGGGAUUGGAGAGAAGAAAGAUUUUGGACGCUUUCUAGUAGGUCAAAUAUCGGUGUGUAAGAAAGAUGGAGAUACUCGAGGGAAGGCAAGUCACCGAUUUCAUUUGGAAUUGCCAGAAUACAGCAACGUGAGAGCUGUAGCGUCCGCAGAUUUUUCAACCUUCCAAUAGCACUAGGAAGCUUUUUGAUCGCAGAAUAAGUCAAGCCAAGAUGUUGCAAAUUCUGUAAAUCCCCAAUUGAGCUAGGGAUUUCUCUCAGUGAAUAACACCCGUAGGCAGUCAGUUUCUUCAGCUUCCUCAGAGAACAAUAGCACUGGGAAGCUUUCCGAUCUCAGAAUAAAUCAAGUCAAGAUGUUGCAAAUUCUGUAAAUCCCCAAUUGAGCUAGGGAUUUCUCUCAGUGAAUAACACCCGUAGGCAGUCAGUUCCUUCAACUUUCUCAGAGAACCAAUAGACGUAGGAAUCUCCAUUACCAGAUUCAUAUAAUAAAAGUUCUUCAAAAUUUUUUAAUUCGCCCACCUCCUGUGGUAGCUCCUUGAGACACCUAUAGUGACUCAAAUUUAAGGAAACGAGGCUCGUGAGUUUGCCAAUAGAAGGGUGGAGAUGCUCCAACUCCCACCAUCCGCUUAAUUUGAGAAUCUUCAACUGUGUGAAAGCCGCCAAAUUAGGAGUACUUAAAUUAUCGCAAUAUUCAAGCAUCAGAAUUUAGAGCUGCUUUGACACCCGAUACAAAAGGAGAAUAAGCCAUCAAAGGAGGAGUUGAUCAGUUGAAAAAAAAAUAACAAACCCUAAAAUCGCAAAGAGAAUGUCUCCUUUUUCCCAAUCAUGAAUGAACUCCAUCAUUUCCAAUGUAUGAAGCCGCUGCCCCAUAACUUCAGCACCGAUAAUUUCUUUUUUUUUUCUUUUUUUUUGAGCAAGCAGCACCGAUAAUUUCGGUAGAUGCAAAUUGAUGGUCGGAAGAUACAAAUUGCUUCCAAAGACUUCCCACUCAAGCCAUCUCACUUUAAGGAGUUCGUCGUUGGAAAUUCCGCUUGCAGCUGCCCUCAAAAUGUCGUCGAAGCAGGAGGGGCGUCUCUGCGAGUUUUUUAAAUUUUUAGUUUUUGCUUUUUGAAAUCUUGGACUUGCACGAUCUGAAACCUUCCCAUCCUUUCCGUAUAAAAAUAUGGACACGUGAACUCACAUUUGAUUUCUAUUUUUGCCGACCUUUCGAAAAUUGAACAAAUGAUGUGAAAAUAAAAAUAAUAAAAAUAGUUAUUACUUUAAAACAACUAAGGCAAAUGCACCUUAAUGUUUUAUCUUUUUCCCUUCUUCUUUUUUUAAUUUUGCAGCACGUGUAGUUGGACUUUUAUUUAAGACAAAAUACAUGAAACCAUAUGACAAAAUACAAUUGAUUACUUGUAAAUUUUCAUGUGUAUAAUUUCUCAAAAGAAUUUGUUAAAGAAUGCCCGUGGGCCACCUGUAAGUAGCUAUGGAAGCACUUGAUUUUGAUUUCAUUAGUUAAAUGUAAUAAUGCGGAAGAGAAAAAAAAAGAGGGGAAUUUUCAAUAUAUUUUGAUAUAUAAAAAAGAUUACGUGGCUAGAACCAUUUAAGGAAAUCAAAAGAAAUCAAAGUAGAUAUGUGUAAUCAUAAUAGAUAUAAAAAAAUCAAAGGAAAUAUCUUAAAUAUCUUUAGAAGAUAUCUAAAAAAAUCUUGAAUCAUUUCUUUGAAAACUAAAACGUUAUGUUUAAAAAGUGACAGAGUGACAUUGGUGAGCAAUUUUAACAGGGAUUGAAAAAAAAAAAAAAAAAGUUGCUCUCAGAGUAACUAAAAAAAUGAAUCGAUUAACUAAAAAGUGACAUGAUGAUAUUGUUUAAUCGUCAUAUCCGAUUCCAUAAGAAUGGAAUUGUUUCUUUUUGCAUAUUAUAAAUCAAAACGUACUGUUUAACUUUCCUACUUAAACAGAUCAUUUACCUUUUUAUGGUCGGUACUUAAACAGAUCAUUUAAUCAGUUGAAGAUGGUGCAAAAAAAAAUUCCCUUUUAUGGCUUUGAUUGACUUUCAUAAUAAUACCUAUAAUUUUCCCCCAAAAGUUCAAUUGGUUAGGAAUUCAGUAAUGCACUUUUAUGGUUUGACACUCUCCCAUUUUCAGUUCCGCUGAGUCGCGUUCUCCGGUAAUGACUCGCUUGUGUUCUUCCAAUUCGUCGUUCGCAUCUUUUCCAUCCGUUGGUCGCUGCAUCAUUUGCUAUUUUUGGUUCUCUUCUUUGCUGCUACAUUGGUCGAAGGAGCAAUCUGUCGCUUUGAUUGCGUUGCCUGCUGUGGAUUUUGAGCUUAGGUUCGUUGUCGAUCGAUGUGCAGAAGUGUUCAUUGGGUAAAUGAGGGGGGGAGAGAGGAGAGGGGAUGACUUGAUUUGGCCCGAAAUGGAGUUACUGGGGGAUGUUUCGGAGACGGCGGGAUGAGGUUGAAGUGUUUUUGCUCUCGUCGGAGUGACUUUUUGAGUCCGCGGUGCGAGAAUAGCGGCGGCUACUUCGUUUGAGUCCGUUGAUUUUGCUCUACUUCCCUGUUGUUGAGCACUUUAUGUUGUUGAGCACUUUAUCGUGACUGAGCUUAGCUUGUGUGUUGGAUGAUUCUUUAGCUGGCAGCCUGGCACUUCUUAGAGUCUCGUUUUACAUAUUAUGUAGAGGAAAGCAGCAAAAAGUUGCAGUUUUAAGGAAUCGUGUGAGACAUGUUGUGCUCGAACUCUGUCAAUUAUCAUUCUUGUCAUCUGGUGCAGUGUUUCCUCAGCAUGAGGUAAUUUGGUGUUUUUCCAUGGUACUUGCUGUAGGUUGGCUAGUUUUAACCAUGUAAUGGCAUGAGUAUGACCACUUCAAUCGUACUUUAAGGGCACGUUUGUUUGGACUUAAGUAAAAGGUUUCCCGCCAGAAUUUAAGAUAUUAUUCAAAUUUCAGAAAAUUAUGAAAACGUUAUAGGUGAAUGUACGUGUCAACAUAUGAGUACAGUGAAAGUUUCAUGACUUUCGUAUUUAUAAAAAGUUAAAAGUGUGUGAGCUGCAAUAUAUAGAUUAAGCAAAAAGAAAAACAUAGAAGUCAUUCCUGACAUGCCCGAAGCUUGGACAGGUUUGAUAGCUUUUUCUUCUAGUUCUGCCUAGGUUCCUCAAAGCCUGCUUGAACUUCCCCACCCUGGUUCAAUCGCAGAGGACAUCCAAUCCAAUUGCUAAAUUGGGUUCUUUGUUUUUCUGUCUCUUUAACUUGGUUGAAUUCUGCCUCUUUGGUCUUGGUGCAUAGAAAUGAGCCUUCAGAUGAAGUUUCUUUGUUUGGAGAAUUGAUAGCAACUUUUUUUGGUGAAUGGUUAUGAGAGUACUUGGAGUGUGUGAUUUUUGGUUCUGGCUGCUCUGUCAUUCUUAUGGAUGAUAAACAGGACUCUGUAUGAUGCUUGUUAUCUCAAAACCAAUGUUUUUAUUCUUUGUGGGACAGUUCUGCUUCCAUGGGAUGGAAUGAUAAAAUCAUCAAGCAGCCGGAAGAGGAAACUCAUGAAUCAUGGACCCUAACUCUACACUCUCUGUCUGAUUUAUCCCAUAUUUCGCCAAUUGUAUUCUUGUACCUCAUUAAAGAAUGUUAUGCUUCUGGUAUAAGAAUGCCUUCCCCUUCAAAAGUCUCUUGCCACGUUUAUAUUCCAUUUUCCCUUAGUGGUACUUCACAUCAUAUGCAGUAUAUGCGAGCAAAUGACUUUUCUAGUGUUCCUAUAUGUAUCAGAUGAUCGACUUGCCUGCAUCUUCUGGUUUUACGUCAACUUUUUCAUUAACUUCUCUUCCAAAGAGGAGGCUCUUCUUUAGAUGCUAGUUUUAUUCUAAGAACAAACUGAAGUUUUGAGCCAUGUAAGACAUUUGUCCUCAAAUGUCAUCAAUUAGAGGACACACGUGCAGUACAUUGUGCAUCUCAGUAUUUAUGACUACCGUCACACUGCACAUAGCAUUACACUUUUUGAUGAGGAAUAAUUGGUCAUUUACUGGAUAUUGCUAUCCUUUAGUCUUUUCAUAGAUGCUUGGAAUCCACUUGGUUUAUGGCUAUCUGGACUUCUUUUCUUAGAGAUAUUGCCUUAUGUUCUAAUGCUUAGGUACCUUGAAGGCAACUAGGAAGUUCGGGGCACUUCAACACCAAGUCCAUCAAGUAUUAAAUAAUGGGCCCCGACCCGGACCCGCUACGUUUGUCAUACACUGUCUCUAUGCACUACCCAUAUUUGACAUUUACUGUGAGGGAUUCAGUCACUUGAUAAUAUCUUCUCUCUGUCGUUUUCUGAAAGCUAACCUUGCGGACUCCAUGCAAGCAAAGGACUUAGCUGUGCAUUUGUUUGUUGAUAUGGUUCAGGGAUAUGUAUAUCAUGAUGAGAGGAUACUUGUGAAGGUAGUAGAAGUUUAUGAUGUGAGACUGACAAACAUUGAGUAUGUCAUAUUCCAACUUAAAGCUACAAACAUUAACUUUAGACAAGUCACUGCAUUAACAUUUCUUGAGCAAUAUGUUUUCAAGUUGAUAAAUUCCCAGUCCUAUAUGACAGCAGUCAUUCUAUUGGAGCAUUUUUCUAUUCACCGAUUUGGGAAAUCCUUCCUUCUUGCUAUGAUAGAAAAGAAAGAAUUUAGGGCUGCAGAGAAGUGGGCCACAUUUAUGGGCAAGCCAAUGUUAUGUGUACUUGUCCAGGUAUAUAUAGACAGAAAAAUGCUGAAGUAUGCUUACGUGACAAUAAAGAAAAACAAUCUCCGGCAAGAAUUUGCUGAUGUAUAUCAUUAAUGUAAAGAAAGGUACUUCUUUGCUGUUAAAAUUUUUUGGAAGUGACAUUUGCUUUAGAUUUAUUUAUUAUGUUGCUGAUAGUGCAUGGAAAUCCAAAUUUCUUACUGGAGCCAUUGUAUCGAGAACAGCAAGACUAAUUUAUUCUUUUGUAGUUCAAUGAAGCAGCUAGCAGAAAAAGGGUGCUGGGAUGUUGCUGAGUCAAAGGCAAAGGGUGAUCUACAGCUCAUUGAAUACCUGGUAUUAGUCUAAAAUGCUUUGUUCCAACUGUGGCAUCUUUCUUUAGAUGAACUUGAAGUUGUGUGAUUUUAAGUUGCAACUUUAGUAGAUUUGUAUCAAUCUUUUGAGGUUUGCAGUUUGGCUUCUAUAGGGGUUCCUCAAAUAGUUUUGUCAGUCCUGUCUUUCUUAGCAACGGGUAUUGGGAGAACUGUUUCAGUAAUCGCACAUUUUAUCUCCUGCUAUUGGACUUUGGUGCAAUGUCUAAUGGUUCUUGGUCCUUUCAUAGAGAAAUGUGAUUAAUUUUUUAGUCAUAAUAUGUCUUCUGAUGUAACUAUAGCAUUUGAGCUGUGUACAUAAAUGACAUCUUGUGGCUUGAGCAAGAAAUUCCUGUGGUGCCACCUCCUCCUUUGUGAUGAACAUUUGUCCUAUUACUGUUGUUUUUUCCUCCUUGCCUUUGCCUUUUCCCUGAAGGUGAUGUUUAAGUUUUUGAAUUAACAUAUUACCAGUCUGUAGCUGUCAUAAGACAUAAAGAAGGGAGACUUACAUGCUUUUGUUUAUUCUAUUAAGAUUUUACUCUUCCACUUUAAAGGUCUAUUUGGCAAUGGAAGCUGGUUAUCCAGAAAAAGUUGAUGAAUUGUGUGAUCGAUACUCUCUUCAAGGUUUUCCAAAAGCCAAAGGUGUGCCAACAUCUAUUUUGUUUGCCAAAAUAUUAGGAUAAACAUAUUGCUGUGAUUUCUUUUCUCUGACCUGUAAGUUUAGAAAAUUAUGUUGUUGCACUAUUUUUGCUGAAACAGUUUUUUGUCAGUCACUGCUGUGAUUGGAACCUCUAUUGUGCUACUAGAAGCCAACUAGAUGCCUCAAGUAGGUUACUGGGAACCUUAGAUAAGGUUUCUUCUUGCUUUGUUUGCAUAAAGUACCUGGACUAUGCAUAAGAUUCUAUAGGCACAGUUAACGAGGUGUUGGCAUGCUUGUCUAUUGAGUUAAGUAUGGGGCAAUUGCAUUGAUCAAUGUAGAUGGCUAUCUUUGUUCGAAUAUACCUUCUAAUGUGAAUAUCUUUAUCAAUACAUUGCUUGCAUUUUGUCAGAGAAUGUGGCAAACUGAUUGGGAUUCUUAUGGCCAGUAUGUUGUUAUUCGGUGAACCGAAUAGAUGUUUUGCUUGCGUUCUCUUGUUCCUAUAACUUGUAAAUCUUGGUUUGAAUUGUAUCUGGGGAAGUGCUGAAGUCAUUAUGUCUCGAAAAUUGCUGAAUCAUUUGAUAUCUUGAACCCGACAGUUGCGUCUGCAAUUAGGUCUCUAGUUCUCCAUGAUUGAGGAAAAGAACAGUUCUGCUUGUGCCUGAUGAUCUAGAACCAAUUGCUUGCCAUAUUAUGUGGACCUUGAAAGGUUUUUAGUAGACCUUCGUAUACGUUGGGUAUUAAACUUCUCUGAUAAACAUGUAUUCUGUUGCACUAUCAUCAGUAUGGUGUAAGUAUGCUAUGCCUUGAUAUUUAGUCCUUGGUGAUCUCAUGUUGUGGAGUACAGCAGUAGGAUUUUCUCAGUAAUGUUGCAUUUUCUUUUUCAAAUAUACUAAUUUGUAACCAUUGGCUUGUUUAGAAUUGGAUGCAACUUUUCUGCAUCGUAAGCACUAUAUGUGCCACAAAGAACUGGGCAUUGAAGAUGUUUUUUGGGUUGAUCGAGUGGAUAGUUUGCAUACAGCAACAUACUGUAUUGAAGAAUCUAAAGUUGUUGGUGUGGACUGUGAAUGGAAACCUAAUUAUGUAAGGGGCAGCAAGCCUAACAAGGUAAUUGCUAAGUCCUGUUUGUCCUCAUCUUCAUAUGCAUAAUAUCUUGAAGGUUUUAUAUACUCGCUGAAAAUUGUCUUUGUGCCUUUUUGUUCCAAACAAAUUCAUUGUUGCCAGAAAAGAAAUUAAAUGGUUUAAUGAUCAAGAGUUAUUAUCAAGCUUUUGGUGAUUGCCACUAUCUUUCUUACGUUUCAACAGCCAUGUAAUCAACUAUGAAGCAUGAUAUUCAGCAAUGGCAUCCUGAGAACAAAACUUUUAAGAUGAUUUCAGAUGUGCUGUACUUGUUAUAUAGUGCGCUUCCUUUUAAAAAAAUUGAUGAGGGAUAUGCUUGGCCAGACGUAGGACCUGUUUGAAGGCUCCAUUUGGAAGAAUCAUGUAAAAGUCUAAAGAGUAUCUACAUGCCUUUUGAUAUUUGUUAACCACUAUCAGAAUGGAUUAAAUCAGACAAGGCAGAUGUAGAUGGUAUAGGACUGCAGUGAGGAGAUGGCAAUACAAGAAGACAAUGGUUUUGUCUCCACUUCUCACCAUCUUAUGUGUGGUUGCCAUUGGCAUGGCUAGUCUCACCAAUCAAUGUCCCUACUGCUGUCGGCUUAGCUCUCUUAUCGUGUGUUAUUUGGUUCUAAGCAGUGACUUGGUCUCUUCAGCCAAAUUACAGCAGCUGCUUGCUCUGCUGACGUGAUUUAGAGGUUUUGGUUGAGCAAGUUGUGGCUGCAAUUUGGUGGAGAAGACCAAGGCACCGUCAAGUCUUGGGUUGGCAACUUCGUGUCAAUUGUCAUGACUUUUUGUCGCCUUUGUGAUUGGCUCAUUCCACUAUGACCUCUCUGUCAGCACAAAUAUCUUAAAAGGUCAUCCAUUAAUGUCAGAAAUUAAUUAAGUCUGAUGUUUAUUUUGAUUUUCAGGUGUCCAUCAUGCAGAUUGCUUCCAGCAGAAGUGUUUUCAUCAUUGAUCUAAUAAAGUUGUCAGGGGAUGUGCCAUAUAUUCUGGAUAACUGCCUGAGUCGUAUUUUACAGUCUUCAAGUAUUCUAAAUCUUGGCAUGAGAAAUUAUUUAGCGUAAUUGUAUUCUGUCCUUCGCUUCUUGGUCCAAGCGUCAGCCUUAAUCUGGUAUCACCAAUAUGCGUCUACUAAUCUAGGGAAAAGAAAAUCAUUGUACUGACAUAAGAAUUUGGAAUUUCUGGUACCAGACGUACAUCGGGGCAUCAAAAAGCAAGAGUUUGGACAAGGAAUAAUUAUUUGUGCAUGUUUGGUACCGAUAUGACUAAGGGUGAUUGGCAUUGAAUGUUUCAGUAUGUUUGUUUUGCUGAAGUGAAUAGCUUUCCACAGAAUUUCCUGAUGUUCCUGCCCUAUGCAGGCUAUAAUUUUCAAUGUGAUAUGAAGCAACUCGCCAGCUCCUAUGAAACUCUGGGGUGUUUUAAGCAUUUUGAAAUGCUGUUGGACAUUCAGAAUGUAUUUAAAGAAUCCAGUGGUGGUCUCUUGGGGCUUGCUGAGGUAAAGUGGACUUGCAUUGUAUGACUAGUAUUGCUGCCUUGCUUACUAACAGUGGUGAAAAGCGGGGAACAUGAUUUCUUCUUGCUCAGAACUCAUGUUGGAAUCUGUGAUGCAUGCCUUUGAGGUCGCUUUUUGCCCUGAUGAGUAAUUACUUUUACCAUUAUCUCUUGCCUCUAACUAGGAAAUACUUGGUGCUGGUUUGAACAAGACAAGAAGGAAUAGCAACUGGGAGCAACGACCUUUGAAUCAAAAUUAGGUUAUUUUACAUGUUCUUUUUCCGUUUUUUUUUAUAUAUUGCCUCAGAAAGGAAAUUGCCGGAAAGAUCACACAAUUUAAUAGCAGAACUCAAAUGGUUGCAGUAGCAUACUAUAAUGUGUGGAAUGCAUCUGGAAGAACGAUAUCAGUACACAGAACUUCAUGGAGACUUCCAAUUAUAUCUUAAUGCUCCAAACAUUCGAGAGCCUAGGGUCAGUAGACAUGAUAAUCAUUUGCUUAAGCGAAUUCUCGAGAUCUUUAGUGCAACAAAAAUUCUCGUGGUGUCUAUUUAAAACAAUGUUUAUGCUGAUAUUUUUUAAAAGAAGUUUUCCUUUUUUUUAUUUUUAUUUUUAUUUUUAUUUUUAACAAACACCAUUUGCUAUUUCAACUCCAAGAAAGAGAGAGAAAAAUAAAGUAUAUUAAGGAGCAAACACAGCAAAGAAAAGAAAAGGAGAAAAGUUAACUGUUGGUGUUUCCUGAAAUAUGAUUAGAGCAGUAGUCCUUUGAUGUAACUGUAACGAUCGCAAUGUUUGCAGCUGGAAUAUGCCGCUCUUGAUGCUGCUGUUCUUGUGCACAUAUUUCAUCAUAUACGGGACCAAUCUCAGCAGGGUACUGCAGAUGGUAAUGACAAAAUCGAAUGGAAGUCUUCUAUAGUAAGUGGACAGCACCUAUUAGUUUUUCUUAAUUCUCCUAUAAGAAAAGCUGAAGUGAAAUGACAUUCUUCUUAAGUUUUGAGCCAGCUUAUUUGACCAUUUAAAAUUAUUGCAGAUUUCACACUUGGAUAAUGCCAAGACAACUAAAAAGAAUGUUCGGAAUAGAAGAAAGUGCAGAGUGGAGACUAACUAGCUGGACAAUCAAUUCAUGAACUGUCGGAGCUAUUUGCUGCAGGGAGUUUUUUCUUAUGUAAAUAGCUUUUGCAUAUAAGGACAUCAUUACUUAGUGAUCCAAUUAACAAUUCUGAUGUGCAUAUGGAAAGGAUUCAUUGCGAAUGAGUACUUCGGUUCCGUCUUCUUGUGCUGGGUCGCUUUUUCUCAAGAGAAUUUAGGUGCCUCAGAAAGCUCGUUGGUCAAAACCUGACCACGGCCACACUCUAUGCUUUUGAGUUCUGGUUUCCCAACACGAAGUUACUAUUGAAUUUCCUUGAUAUGCCGUGAGUGUAUAAAUCUGAUGGAUAUACUCGACAGGAGCCAAAUUGUCUUGUUGAGCCAUUCACCCAAAUGAGCAGCCAUCUAUGCAGAUAUUGUAAUGUAAUGCUCUACCUUGCUCGCUAUAAUUUGCAUUCGUCGUGCCUUUUGUUCAAGCUAAGCGAUUUCUGGGGGAACAAAGCGUGCUGUAUCUGGCAAUAAGAACCAAAAAAAGGGGCGAACGAAACCAAGAAUAACCGCAAUUUAGGUGUGUGCAUGAUUGCGUUUAUAUCCUUUUGGAUUGGUGGAGAUAUUGGUGGAGAUCUUGUGAUAUAACGAUUGAUUUAUUGUUGCGGAUCUUUCUUUGAUUUUUGAAUGAUUGAACUUCCGACUGAUGAACCCCGUCAAUGUAGCUGAUUUGGGACGAAUUUUUCUCGCCACCGAAGCCAAAUCUGAAUCCGAAUCCGGCAUCACGGGUUAGUAUCAAAGAUCUAGAAGCCUUAGUCGCAUGUAACCUCUAACUUCACUUAACAAAAGAAAAGCAUCAUCGUAAUUUCGAAAGAAAAGGGGGAAAAAAGUGAUAUCCAAUGUUAAAAAUAGGUCCGAAUCCUGGUCGCCUAUCUCUCUUACAUGGAAGUUUCCAUCCCCAACAGAAAGAACCACUCUCUGUUUGCUGUCAUCUCCAUAUCAUAACAUUAGAAAGAUCCCUCCUCUCUCUCUCUCUCUCUCUCUCUCUCUGUGAAAAAAGAAUCCUUCCCAUCCGAGAAAGGGGAGAGGCCGAGGCCGGGAGAGAGAGAGAGAGAAAGGGGAGAUACUGAGGACACAGAUGGACCCGUGGUCACCGAGCUACCGAUCCCAUGGAGUUGGCCGGAGUCUAGAGAUCAUGACGAUUCAAACUCGUAACCAAAACCAGAUGUACGUAGCCAAAUCCCGGCCUCGCAUGCUCGAACACGCUUAACCCCCGCACAGACUAGACAACGUGAAGGAGUCGGCGAUAAAAGCAUCGUGGUGGAAUGAUCCGGAGAAGAAGAGGAAGAGGAGGGUGGCCAGAUACAAGCUUUAUUCGGUCGAACGCAAGUUCAAGGCUUCUUUCAAACAAGGGUUCCGAUGGUUGAAGCGCAAAUGCUCGACCUUCGCACGUCGAUUCUAAUUAGCAGGAAUAACGGAAUACCGUGUCCAUCGUCAUCAAGAGAGAAAAAGGGUGAGAAAGAGGAAACAGAGAGAUUUGCUGUGCUCUUUGGGUCUUCAUCUUUAUAUGUAUCUAAUGGUAAUCAAAUAUUUAGAAGGGUGCCACAAUGUUCAAUCUUUCCGAUAUUAUGUUCAUCUGACUCGUUGUUUCAUUCAUCGAUCUCUAGCAUUCAAAACACAGGCAAAUGAGACGACUCUUACGUGACAGUAAUAUAUAUUUAUAUUUGCCGAUUUUUCUUUUUCAUUUUUGAAUUUUCUCACCUUCUAAUACAUUUGUAACAAGAUUCUGCAUCCAUGCCCAUGCAAAGUAGAAUUGUCUGAUUUGUUCAAUUAUCCUCUUUUCUAUAAGCUCUUUUCCUAAUAAAUGUGAUGCUGAUUGCAAAACCAGAUGAAUACUUGUAUUUGUAGGAUUGACAUUACCAUCUAUUUUGUGGUCGAUUUUGUUGGGUACAAUUUUGUUUUGGCCAAAUGUUGUUUACCCCUUGUUUCUGGGGUUCUUUAACCCCCUAAUUUCCUCAAUUUGUCUAGUUCGAUUGCUCUUUGUUGUACGAUUCAUCAUAUGUCAACAUAUAUUCCUGAAAUAGAUAUUCUAAAAUGACAUGCGCCGUGCUAAACAAAAAGGCUUUCGAUGGUUCUAUUUUGGUUUGAGGACAAUUUUCAUAUUUCGAAUGCUAUCCUGUUGAGACCGAAGUUACAAAAAUGUGGAAAACUGAAAGGCCCAAAGGGAACCCUCUUUAAUUCUAUCAAAACUUGCGUAGUUAUUGUUCAAAUGGUCGUAAUUUAUAGGAUCUUGAUGUAAAAUGUUAUAGAACUUCAAAAAACAAGGUCAAAGCAAAUCUUUGGCAUGAAAUCGAAGGAGGAGAGUAUGAAAACCCAUGAGCAGAACCGAACCGGUUCACCAGGUUUAACACCUUCAUCUAGUUAUCUAGUCGAUUCACAGUUUUCAAAUUUUAAAUCAAUUCAACCGAUAAGGUUGUGACUAAUAUUCUAAAAGUAGUCAAAACACAUAGCCAUUGCCCUUUGGAAUAAUGGCUUAGACACUGGUUAAGCAACUUAGUAAAUAAAGUGUAGACUCAAUACAUCAACUUGUGAUUUUUCUUGUGAAAUGUUCAAUCAAUAUUCUGAAAAUUUAAUUAUUUCACAUUAAGUAUGUUUAACAAGUAUUUCGACACGACCCACACUAUAUUUGUGUUAGUAAUUAAAGAUUCGAACUUGGCUUAAAAAGCUACUUGCCCUUACAAGCUACUUGGCCUUUGUAUUGAGCUCUGGAAAAAUUGAGUAUAAGUUCAAGUAGACAAGCAGCGAAAUAGACAGAGUACCUUGCCAGUAGCUUUCAGCCUUUCAACAACUAAAAUUCCACCAUUGCCAUCUAGUACAAGGGUACAGGAAUAUCAAAGAGUAACCUCAAAGAAAUUGCUUCGAUUGGGGCUUCAAUGCGUGACUGGUAACACAAUUUGGUGUAGUAGAGUCUGAUUAUUAACCAAUAAGAUGACCCUUUUAAAGUUUUUUGUUCAAACCAAAUGAGUAAACUUUGGUAAUGGCCCUUUUCACCCUUCCAAAAAUUUCCCAUAUUUUUCAAUAGUCUUCAAUCGUAGCCUACGCCAGAGAAAAAUAGGUUUCAGAUAUGAAAAUGUACGUCAAUGUGGCUCUUCCGCUUUUAGAUUCAUGCUUAAAUAAAUCAAGUUUCAGAUUAUAAGAUCAAAACAAUUGCAAAAUACCUACAUAUGAUUUUUCAACGUAACCAGACUAGAAAGAUGAUUUUACACUGACGAGCGCCUUAUUUUGUGUUCAAGAUUAUUGAGAAAACUACUGUCUUCUUGGAAACAUUAUCAUUGGAACUCUUUCCUGCAAUUGACAAAUUAUUUGCUAAUUCCAUGGCAUUCGCUUUUUCCACAAAAAGAAUCUCUCCGCCACAAAAUUUUAUAGCUUGAAGUGGACAUCUAACCAGUAAUCUCGUUAGCAAAUCUCAUUUGAUGCUUAACCUGCAAAUGCUUUCUUCCAGCAAGCAAUUUGUGAUUCGGCCUUUGCUAAAGAAUAGCACGAUGUCAAAGCUCGCCAAGGCCUAAUGCACCAUAUGAGAAGAGGUCGCUUCACAUCUAGAAUCCUUUGAAGAGUACUAACAACACAAACGCCAACAGUAAAUAACUUCGGGAUGACUUUCCAUAAUGACAAAGAUCAUUCCUGCUCGCAUCUCCAUCCCAUGGUGUUUGGGGACUUUCUCUGAGUUUCCUGAAUUGCAGCUUGAAUCUACACCAGAGGAAUAGCACUGACUAUAAUCAUCAGUAAUGAGAAAAAACCAAGAUACGUAGCAUCACAAUUUACCCCAUCAAAGAUAAGGUACAAAUGCAUAAACAUCAUUUCCACCAGUUGGACCACAAUAAACAGACGCUUCAUUCGCAGGCCGAUGAAAUAGAAAACAACAGACUUGGAGAAGUAAGCAAUUAGCAAUACUUCCCUUGUUUGUAUUUAGGAACAAAAUUGAUGCUAACAGAAUGACGCUGAAAAGGUGUGAGUGCCUAAACCACAUGACAGAAGGAUGUAUUUGUUACUUGGGUAUUUCGUAAUAUCCCCUUACCAAAAUCAGCAAUACUGAAUAGUUUGCAAGGAGGUCAAUUUCAACUUUACAAAUCCAAUACCGCAUACAUGAGAGUUGAGCCUAUCAAAUCAAAAACCUAUAUGAGAACAUUUACAAGAUAUUAUCACACUAAUAAACUGAUAGAAAUGGAGGAGGUUGUCAUCAUGCAUACUUGCGUACUAAUUUCAGGUGAAAUUCCACAACUCAUAUAGUCUAAGCACACAAGUUAGUCUUUCAUCGUACAACUAGCAGUGCAUACCUCUCCCUUCAGAGCCUCAGCGAGUUCAGGGGUGAUAUAUUUAGAAUGCAAUUGUAUCAAACAACUUUGCAUCAGGGUAACAUACAAAAAGUCAGCAGCUACAUGUUUGAUUAAUGAAGAGAUAGAACCUAAUGAGCAUACAGAAACCUUAUUUUAUAUAUAUAUAUAUAUAUAUAUAUAUAUUUACAAUCGUUCAGGUAUGUACUGUUGAGACAUGAUCAAGUGAUCGAAUAUUCACAAGCAUCAAAACUUCCUCAGGACACUCCGGUUGGCCCCAGAGCAUCUUCAAGGUCGGCACAAGAGAUGGUCCUCGGCUGUUGUUGAUGCUUCCUCUGCAAAAUCCCCUUUCUUCAUUUUGAUUGGUCUCAGGUAUGGAAUUUGAAGUUCCUCAGCCAAGUUAGAACUAGUAAUCAUGUUAACAAAUCUCAUUUUAUACUUGACUUCACAUAAAGAACCACCUGCACAUGCAAUCUUCCUAAAAGUGAUUUGUGAUUCAGUCUUUGCCAAAAAACAGGACGAUGCCAAAGCUUGCAAAGGACUAAAACACCACAUGAGAAGAGUUCGCUUGGUAUCAAGAAUCCUUUGGAGAGUAUUAACAACACGGAGCACAUGAUAAACGCCAUUAGCAAGGAACUUCGGAAUGCCUUUCCAUAAUGACAGCUCAUUCCUGCAAUGUUUUGGAACUUUCUCCGAGUUUCAUGAAAUGCAGCUUCAAUCUACACAAGGAAGAUAGCACUGACUAUAUCAAUAAAUGAAGAUAUCUGAGAUCCAAGCAUCACAAUUUACCCCAUGAGAGAUAAAGUACAAUUGUGUAAACAUCAGUGACACCAAUUGCAGUUAGACGACAACGAACAGAGACUUCAUUAGCUGGCCGAUGAAAAAGAAACCAACAGGCUCAAAAGAAGUAAGCAAUUAGCAACACUUUCCCUGUUUGUGUUUAAAAACAGAACUGAAGUUAAUAAAAUUAUGCUGAAAAGGUGAAGUGCCUAAACUAUAGAACAGAAAGAUGUAUUUGCUACUAGGUUAUUUUGCCGGAUCCAAUUAGCAAAAUCAGCAAUACAGGAUAAUUUGCGAGGAACAAAUCCAAUGCCGCAUACAUGAGAGCUGAGCCUAUCAAAUCAGAAACCUAUCUGAGAACAUUUAGAGGAUAUUAUCACACUAAUAAACUGACAGAAGUGAGAAGAUUGUCAUCAUGCAUACUUGUGUCCUAAUUUCAAGUGAAAUUCCACAGCUCAUAGAGAAUAAGCACACAAUUUAGUCUUUCAUGGUACGACUAGCAGUGCAUACCUCCCCUUUCAAAGCCUCGUCGAGUUCAGGAGUGAUAUCAUUAGAAUGCGACCGUAUCAAGCAACUCUACAUCAGGGUAACAUAUAAAAGGUCAGAAGCUAUGUUUGAUUAAUGGAGAGGUAGAACCUAAUGAGCAUACAGAAAGCCUAUUUAAUUUAAAAAAGUACAUUUACAAUUGUUCAGGUAUGUGUUGUUGACACAAGAUCACAUGUUUGAACAUUCAUACACAUCAAAACUUCUUUCGAACACUUCAGUUGGCCCUAGAACAUCUUCAAGGUUGGCACACAAGAUGGUCCUCAGCUGUUGCUGAUGCUUCCUCCACAAAAUCCCUUUUCUUCAUUUUGAUUGGUCUCAAGUAUGGAAUUUGAAGUUCCUCAGCCAAGUUAGCCACACCAAAAUCAGUCGUGAUAAAACAAUUCCAUGGCAGCAAUAUGAUCAAACGUGAUGCAAACCAAUUAGCCAAUUCUUGAGCCCCUCGUCCCAGCUUGUUUCACAGAUGGGAAAAUUUUUUCUAAUUAUGCAAAAGGUCAUCAACACGGAUGACUGAAUUAAAGUCCCAAAGUAAGCCUUGAUCAUUACAUAGACCAAUCAAACCUGUCAUAGAAGCAGCACCAGUUUACCUUGCUUGAUAAUAUUUCAAAACAACAGUUUGACUACUGGUAAUGUUAAGGUGGUCUACAUUCAUAUAUGACAGACUAGCCAAAACAACUUUUAACAUUUUCUUUGUCACCAAACAGAAACACUUGAACCUUGAAUUUUAUUUUGGCUCAGUUGAUCAUAUUCCGAGGAGAAGCGCUCUUCUUAGAAGGUUAAUGAGGGACAUCAAUGGAACGAUAAGAAAUUUGGCGGGGGUUUCAUUCAUUACGGAAAAUCCAAAGGCGAACAGGAUAUCUCCCAUUAGUCAAAUUUGACAUACAAAAGAACUUUCAAAGAAAAUAUGAACAUUGGAAGUUGGGAAACUCUGGGUGUAGUAUACAAUAAUGAGUAGUAGAAGUUCAUCAGCCUCUAAAUGAAAAUUUCAAAUCCCGAGUUUACCGAUAAGGGAACUGUUAAUUACAAGGUAAUUCUUGUUUACCUUUAUUGAUAUUUUCAUUCUUGCCUCGCAAGCUCCUAUAUGUUUGCAAUCUACAAAAGCUGGCAAUGGAAGAAUAAACGAAAAACAUUGCUAUAAUGUAAUUAACAGCAAUUAUACAAAGGCAAAUCUGGAGUUUCCAAAAUCAAUCAAAUAGAUACCCAGUGUAGAGCAAAUCAUUCUAAAAACUUCUCUUUGUGCUCACAUUGGCGAUUCAAGGAUGAAGAAUCUUACUAUGCCUUCUAUUGACAUUUGGAGCUACAUUUUGAUCUUGGCUGAAGCAUCAUGUCAGCUUCUGACCGACUCCCCCAAUCCUUCAAUCGUGUAAGACUAGCAAUUUAGAAAAUUCCACAACCCUGCCAUGGAAAACCUUAUUGUCAAAAGAAAAUGAUGAAAAGUAGGUCAUGAAUCUGAUAAGAAAAAUGAUUGUUCACUGCUUAUUUACCUUAUAUAGGAAAUGAUCACUCCAUGAGUCAAAAUCCAGGUCUUCAUCAUAAUUUCUUAAGAUGCGCGUUCCAGAUAAUUUCGGUAAUGCUUCCAAUGAGUCACAACCAGAAAUAUCCAAAUCAAUUAAAUCCAACUUUUCAAGUCCCCAAAGCUGAGUAAGUUUCUUGCAGUCUCGAACUCCUAGAGAUUGUAACUUCUCACAUCCCGUCAAAUUUGGCAAAGCCUCCAUUGAACUGCAUCCUGUGAGAUCCAACAAUUCUAAGAACUUCGCACCGUCAAGACCUUGAAUUUCAACCAUAUUGUCGCAGUAGACAACCUCUAAUUUCUUCAAACACCGUGAUUCUGGACAGAGAAGCCUUUUAAUGGAAGCACACUCAUAUAUAAAUAUGACCUGUAAGGACUCCAAAUUAUCAUAGCCCUGAAUUUCUACUAGGUUAUUGCAACCCUUAGCAUGCAAUCCUUUCAGACGAACCAAUCCUGAAAGGUCCAAUCUUUCAAUGGAACCGCACUCUCUUAUUGAAAACCCUUCCAAAUACGUGCAUCCAUCAAGAUUGAGCAAUAUCAGCUUAUCACACUCCUCAACACAGAGUUUCGAGAGUCUUGAGGAAAGCUCGGGGAUGGAUUCAAGUAGAGGACAUGCCUUAAGAUGGAGUUCUUUUAGGUGGAUUAGGCUAGAAAGCUGUGGCAACCUUCUGGGACUCUGACAAGAGAUCGACAGCUUAGUUAAGCCCAAAGAAAGCUCUGGCAACGACUGGAGCUCCUUACAGUCCACUAGUUCAAGGCGUCGGAGAGAAGAAAGAUUCCGGACACUUUCUGGCAGGUUAGAUAUCGGUGUCCAAGCGAGAUUGAGAUACUCGAGGGAAGACAAGUCACCGAUUUCACUUGGAAGUUUUUUUAUCACAGAAGCACUCAAGUCAAGACGUUGCAAAUUCUGUAAAUCCCCAAUUGAGCUAGGGAUUUCUCUCAGUGACUUACAGUAGAAAGCACUCAGUUUCUUCAGCUCCCUCAGAGAAGCAAUAGACGGAGGAAUCUCUGUAAUACCAGAAGAAUCUAAUAAAAGUUCUUCUAAAGCUUUUAAUUCGCCCACCUCCUCUGGUAGCUCCUUGAGACCUUUACAGAAUUUCAAGUCCAAGAAACAAGGGCCGUGAGUUUGCCAAUAGACGGUGGAGAUGCUCCAGUCUGCCACAUUGGACCAAUUUGAGAAUCUUCAACUGUGUGAAAGCCGAGAAAUCUGGAGUACAUCUUAAACUAGGACACCCAUAAAGGGCGAGAACUUUUAGCCGCUUUGACGCGUGAUGCAAAAAGAGAAUAAGCCAUCAAAGAAGAGGAGUUGAUCGGCUAAAUAAAAACAAAAUUCUAAAAUCGCAGAGAGGAUGUCUUUUUUCCCCAAUCUUACCAUGAAUGAAUUCCAUCCUUUCCAAUCCUCUGUGAUCUUGCUGUUACAUAACUCCAGCACCGAUAAUUCCGGCAGAUGCAAAUUGGUUGUCGAAAGAGACGCAUGGCUUUCAAGAACAUCCCACCGAAGCCAUCUGACUUCAGAAAGGGAUUGCUUGAUGCCUCCGCUUGAAGUUGCCCCCAAAAAGUCGUGGAACCAGGGACAUCUCUGCAAGUUUUUGAACUUUUUAUUUUUUGCUUUUUUUAAAUCUUGGAUUUGCACGAUUUGAUACCUUUUUAUCCUUCCCCAAUACAAAUAUGGAAACAUAAACUUACAUUUAAUUCUUUUUUUUUUUGACGACCUUUCGAAAAAUUAAACAAAUGACACUAAGAUAAAGAAAAAAAUAGUUAUUGCUUUAAAACAACUAAGGUGAAUGCACCUCAAUGUUUUGUCUCUUGCUUCUUCUUUUUUUCAAAUUUUGUAGCACGUACACUUUGACUUUUAUUUAAAAUACAUGAAACCAUUUUACAACGUCCAAAUGUUUAAUUGUAAAUUUUCAUAUGACUUCUCUAUAAUUUCUCUAAAGAAUAUGUCAAAAAUUGCCAAUGGGCCACUUGUAAGUAGCUAAGGAAGCACCCGGUUUUCAUUUCAUUAGUUAAAUGUACUAAUGCGGAAGAGAAAAAAAAAUGAAUUUUUUAAUAUAUUUCAAUAUAUAAAAAAGAUUAUAUGGAAGGAAAUCAAAAGAAAUCAACUCUGAUAUGCAUAAUCAAAAUAGAUAAAGAAAAUCAAAAUAAAUAUACUAAUUAUCUCUAGAAGAUAUCUAAAUAUCUUUAACUUCAUUAACUAUUUAUGUGAAAUAUUUACUCAUUUCUUUGAAAAUUGAAACGUUUUUUUUUUUUUUGGAAAGUAUGUUUAAAGAGUGACGUGGUGACAUUGAUUAGCAAUUUUGACAGGGAUUGGAAAAAAGAAAAAAGUCACUUUCAAAGUAACUGAAAAAUGAACCGAUUAACCAAAAAGUGACGUGGUGACAUUAUUUAAUCAUCAUAUGUCCGUUUCCAUAAGAAUGGCAUCGUUUCUUUUUCAUCUUAUAAAUCAAAAAACAUACUGUUAACUUUCGUGCUGAAAUAGAUCCUUUGAUUAGUUGAAGAUGGUGAAAAAAAAUCCCUGAUGGCUUUGAUUGACUUUUAUAAUAAUGCCUAUAUUUUCCCCCAAAAGUUCAAUUGGUUAGAAAUUCACUUUUAUGGUGUGACAUGUCUGUUAUUAUCUCUGCUUUAAAUAUUACCAGUGAAAUGCAAUAGGUAUAAGUUAAUCUUUAUUCGUCAGAAAAGUUGCUAAAUUGUUGUAAUCACCAUCCCACAGUAUCUUUUAUAAUUUUCGCUAGUACUAUACUGUAUAUUACAUCAAAAAAUCUACUGUAUGGAACGGGGAUUUUAAACCUCAAACUUCCCUCAAAAGUUUCCACACAAUUCGCAUAUAUUUCACCAAAAUAAACUAAAGAAAUAGGAUAUAACAAAAUAGACAUAAUCAUAUUUGAAAUAGUCAAGACAAUUGGAAAUUAGUCCCAUAAGUAUUUCAAUUUCUAAAGUUAAAUAAAAAUCUCUCAAAUCGUACAAUCCUUUAAUAUUUUUCUGACACUAUUUAUCAUCUUUCAACAUUUUCGUCCAUUCAAAACAGAAUUGACUUUUCUUUUUCAUUUUUCCAAACACCUGUAUCGUGUGCUCUUUUUGCUAAUGUAAAGAAGUGAUUGGAUCAACAAAAGAGUGAUAUUAAAUCAUAGGAACGAACUAUUUCAAAUUAUAUCAAGAAACUAAAGCUGCUUUGUUUGCCCAACAUCUCUUGGUCAAUUUCUUGGUUUAAUUCAUCGCCAUUGAUCAGCCAUGAGCCUAUGAGGCUUUCCAAACGGACAAAAUAUAACAAAAGGACAUGAACAUUGAUAAUUUAAGUAAAAGAUAAAACAUAGUUGAAAAAAUUGGCCUCGUGAUGAAAAUCAGAUAUAAGAAUACAAGGUUAUGGAUAUAAUAAUGAGCAUGACAUUUUCCCCGAUUUAUCAAGUUUUCUUCUUCUUCUUUUAUUUUUAAAAUGGUCAAGUUAGUCUAGCGAAUUCUAGCACAAAAGAGGCAUUGUCCCGAAAUAUAUAAAUAAUAUAAUACAACUUAUAGCAGAUAGUAAUGUUUGUUAUAAGGAAAUCCACUCUUUAUUAUACACCUAACCUAAUCCAUGAAAUGAGCAAGGUGAAUGGGAUAAAACCCUAAAAAAAUGUAAGAUUUUCCUAUGUAUAUUCUUGAGGGGAUUUUUGCUAUCUAUUAAGAGGAAAUAAGAAUGAAAAGAGAUAGAUAUAACUUAGGAAGCGCUGACACUCUUCAGGAACCUUAGUGUAAUGUCAAACACUCCGAUACGUGUCCAACACUCUCCAACACUCUCUAAUACUUGGUCAAUUCUCCUGACACUCAAGUCCAAAAUUUUGACAUGCGAGUUCGGAAUUCUGACACAUGAUUCUAAUAUGCACAUGAUCAAUUUUAAAAUUUUUCAAUAAGAGGAAUCAAAAUAUAAAUAUGUAAAAAAAUAAAAAAAUAAUAAAAUUAAUAUAGACAAGAAAAACCUAAUAUUCUCUUCUCUUUUGACUCUCACUUCACGUGAGAUACAAUUCACCCCCAAGUUUUGACACACUAAUCCAGAAUAUGCAUUGCUUGUUUUUUUCCUCUUAAGUUUUAUAAAUUAUUGAAACGGAGUUGAAUUUGUCAAAUUAAAACAAUGAUAUCAAUAAAUGGUGGAUUAAUGUUUUUAGUGUAAAUGCAUUAUAAGCUCUUUUUAUAUUUAUUUAUUCGUGAAUUUGAAUAAAAUUUUAAUUAAAAUGAUCAUUUAUAUAUAAAAAUAUACAUUUCAUAAAUAACAUGUUCAAACAUGUUGAAAUUCUAUAUUUUUUUACAAACGUGUGGACGUGUCGUGUCGUGUCACGUUGCAUGUCGCGUGUCGGUGUCAGUAAUACUUAGAAUAUAACUAAUAGAGGGAGCGGUAUCUUCAAAAUCAAAAUGGAGAAAAAAAUAUCAAACAUUCAAUUCCUAAAUCAAAAGAGCACCACAAUACAUUCGGCCAUACUAGAGAGCAAACAUAUGUGAUAAUUGUGAAAUUUUUUUCCAAUCAUAUUGUUUGAAUUAAUUAUCGGUUAUUAUACUAUCAUUUUUUUCAACUAGGAAAUCUUCAUUUAUUUGAUCUAUGAUGUUUAUACUUCAUCUUCAUUCAUAAUUGUAGUCCUUCUAAUUAUCAAUAUUUUCAACUAGGUACAACAAUUACAUGCUUUAAGUAAAAUCUUAAAUUGAUUGUCAAAACAAAUUUUUACGUAAGUAAUUUAUAUAAAUGCAAUUGAAUCAAUGAUAUAACUUUUUCAUCCUUGAGAUGCUUAUAAAUUAUUUAGUGUCACAAUUAAUCUAUGAUGGGCAUAAAUGGAUGUUUAAAAAGAUUUUUUUUUUCCCUAGAAAGUAAAGAGCAUCUUUUCAUGCUGGAUGAAAUAUUAGAAUAGAUGACCUUAAAUUUAUUAAAAUAAGGGGGAGAGAAGGAAAAAAGUGCCAUAUUUUACCUCAAGAUGUCUUAGCACUCUUGGGACUCUUGGGACUCCCUCAUAAUCGUUGUCCCGUGGUGUACUGCAUUUCUUAAGCAGUUGUUCUUGGUGAAAAAUGCUCCUUCCAAGAUCUCUCAGUUGAUCAUGCACAAUAAACUCACCAUAAUCUCCGAUUUUAAUUAAGCACCUCAACUUCAACUCAUUAAUUCCUAGAUUUGGAAAAAACUCACAGUCCUCCCACAUGUACAUGGCAUAUUGUAUAAAACAUUCAUGGUUUAGUUCAUCAAGAAAUAAACAAACAAUAUCGAGAAAAAUCUGCUUAUGUCCAUCUUCUAAUGCAUCAUAGCUUAUUUGCAAUUUCUCUUGGACUCCUUUAUGUAGUUGCUUUUUUAAUUGCCUCCGCACAUCUUCCCAUACUUUUGGAUCCAUUUUUCCAUACAAGGAAGAACCUACAACCUUAAGAGCCAAGGGAAGCCCACCCAUGGUGGAUACAAUAUCACUAGAUAUACCCUCAAAGUCCCUUGGAGAAUGGUCCUUACGAAAUGCAUGUCUGUUAAACAAAAGCAAAGCACUCACCUCAUCCAAUUCAUUCAAUUCAUACUUGUAGUCUACCUUGAAUUCAGAUUGAUCAAGAAUAGCUUCAUUUCUAGUUGUAACAAUGAUCAAACUUCCUGCCAUAAACCAAUCACGUUCCCUAGCCAACGCAUCAAGUUGAUUCUUACCAUCUACAUCGUCCAGAAGAAUGAGAACUUUUUUUCCUUUGAAUUUAUAUUUGAUGAUAUUAAUUCCAUCAUCAGUUCUAGACACGUGACUUUUGCUUAGUAGUAUAUCCGAUAUUAAUUGACUUUGUAAAUCUGCAAUCCCCUUGCACCUAGUAGUUUCUCCAAUGUUUGGAAGGAAGCUAGCACACACAAAUGUAUUCGAGAGUUGAUUGUAGAUGCACUUGGCAAGAGUUGUCUUGCCUAUCCCGCCCAUGCCAUAAAUUCCAAUCAUUCGAGCAUUGAUGGAAGGACUGUCUAUCCAGUUCAUAAUUUCCUUCAUAUGAGCAUCAAGUCCAACUAGUUGCUUAGGCACAUCCAGCUGAAAAUAUUCCUGUAACUUGUUUAUAAUAGUUUCGACCACACGUUCUACUAAUUCUCCCUCAUGCCUGUCAAACAACAAAAACAACGAGAGAUUAUGAACCUUGACAUAGUUUGUGAAGUUUUCAAUCCUUACCAACUAAGCUCACCCUUGUUGGCUAUAGGAGGUCAAUUUUAUCUGGUGGUGAUCAAGUUUUGGAAGACUGGGCAUUGGAGUCCUUUGUAGGCCUAUUGUUUAGUGAUUGAUACUAUUGGCUAGAGGUACGGUCUUUUUUUUUUUCUUUUUUUUUGGCUCUCUAGCAGAGGACAACGUAAAAUUCUUGGGCACUGUGGGAAGCUUUGGUUUUAGUUGUCGUUAAUUUAGUUUUCAAGGUCAUCUUGGGGAGUAAUGGUGUUUGUUGUCUUCGAGGCAUUAUGGUUGUUUAUUGGGCCAUUUUGGGGAUCUUUUCUGAGCUUGCAUUGAAUUAAUUCAUUUGCAUUUCAUUGGUUCUGCGAGAAGAAGAAAACUUAUCAAAAAAAGAAAAGUUAUAUGAAGUACCCGUUGGCAAAUUUCUCAGAUUCCCAUCCAUGUAAGAAACUGACUUCAUUAAGUGCCCGCGGCCCUUCCAGGAUAUCCUCCUCAUUAAGAUACUUCUGACUUGAACGGAAGGCGUCCCCAAAACUCUCAUUUAGAUACCGCACAUCCGAUGGCUUCACUUCGUAAAAAAUUGGCAACACUAUGUGUGACAUGCUAUUCUUACAAUCUAUCAUAUGAAUGAGCUCACGGAGGCACCAUUUACUCGUAGCAUAAUUUUUGGAGAUGAUGGGGAUCGAAAUUUUAGACCGUGAGAUGGCACUGAGAAUCUGUGAACCAAAUUCCUCACCAAUUGGGAUGCUGUUAUCGUCCCUGAACACGGAAAUAGGUACAGUCCCUGCAUUGACCAAUCUAUGGUAGAGGUGAUCGGCAAAUUUCUUUCGAGUAUCUGAGCCACUAAAGCUCAAGAAUACGUCGUAUUGAUGACCACCUUGUGUUGUGGGCACCAGAGAGAUGAACGAAGAAGUGGAUGCUCCCUCAGUGCUCUCUUCCUCUGCUCUCUUUCGCUUUCUCUGACUCUCCCCUCUGUCCAUGGUGAUCUGAGAGGGGAAGUUGAAAUGAAAGAUGCUUUUUCUGCUGCUUCAAAGGAUUGAUGAACAACAAAAGACACUUUUAGGAUGCUUUUCUGCAAAUGCUUGUUGGCUUGGUCCACUCCAAAUAACGUGGACGUUAAUUUCUCCCCAAGGCAAUGCUGAAGGAGUUUCGAAUUCUUGAGAAAGACAUUUUGAUGACACGGCCCUCAGUUAAGUAAGCUGACGUCGUUUCACUGUGGAAGAUUAGGUGGCCCUAAAAAGGCCCCCGAAAAGCCCACAUCAUUUACUUGUUUAGAAACACAUAGUUGAAACACAUAUAGAUAUUAAAACACAUAUGAAAACAGACUGAAGUGUAAAAAAUUGAACAACUACAUAACUUCAUGCACGUUAUGAUAUUCUAAGACUGAUUCUUUCGAUUCGCACCUAAGAUACUGAAACUAUGUUGGAAACGCUAUGGAAGCAUCUUCCCUUAAACAAAACCUCACAUGAUGCCUAAUCCUUAUCAUAAUCUUCAACCUUACUCUUAUUAAUUUUGGCCUAAUAAUAAACAACCCUGACUAUGUCCCCCACCUCAUCAUCACAAUCCCUUCUCUAUCUAAUCCCAUUUCCAUUGGCCAAACUAAUGUAGUGUCACGUAAUUGUUGCCCAAUAACCUCAUCCUCUAGAUGUGUGCACUUUUCUACUCGCGAUUUUAAUUUUGCAGGGUUCAAGUUUAAGGCAUCGCUCAUAUGUAAAAUUAACUAAAGCUGAAAUAUUAAUCGCGGAAAAAUUUUCGAUUGCCCAGUUGCUUAAAUUAUGAAGGAAGUCGAUGAAAAUGAUUCUAAAUGAAAGACAACUACUUCCUUUUGGGCCCACGUUUUCUUUUUCCCUUUCUAGAAGUGCAUAGAAAUUAGGAAAUGUAAAAGUUGCACUUUUCUUCCAAAAUUGACCUUGCUUCCUUUUUUAAGGAUGAAUAAAUGAAGGAUGAUCAAGUCUAUCAAUGAAAUUAAGUUCCAUUUACAUCAUUUCCACCCAACAUGUAUACGAACAUAUUUCAAGGAAUUUUAACCUUCCCUCUCAUGGUCUGCCUGUUUUUUCAUUCUUCAUUUUGAAAUUUUGAAAUUUAUGGCUUUAGUAUGCUCAAAAUUGGGCCUUUUGUGGGAUAAAAAUUUAUGGCUCUGAAAUAAGAUUAAUAUUAAUACAAAAGGCUGCGUCCCACUUGUAGUUCGAAUACUGCGGGAAGCAAUUUUGCUCUUUGCUUUAGAUGUAAUGCAAUAUGUUGCAUCCUUUUGCAUGUAUACAAAUUAGCAUAUCAAACGGUGUCGUGUUGACAUUUCAUAUGGUGAAACAUUUGAUAUUCGCAUUUGUUGUGUCAUGUCAUCUGACCCGCUUUAUUAAAAGAGGCGUGUUCAUAUCGUGGCAGUUCAACACGUUUACUAAACACUUCUUGUUCAGCUUUUGUCAUAUUCAUGUUAUAUCCUACUUCGACAUGACACGACAAAAAUCCCCAGCUAUAUCUUUAAACACAUGACCGCUCACAAAACCAAUGGAAAAUAAAUAAAAAGAAUGUCCAAAGUCUCUGAAUUUUUGUGGUAUUUAAGGACCGCUCGACGAAACUUAUACUUGAUUUUUUUCCGAAAAAAAAAAAAAAAGAAUUGCUAAAGUGAACAAGUCUCUCGGCCUUUGUUCUCGGAUCAGGGUACUCUCCCUCCUGCUUAACUUCAAUCAAUCUUAGACCUCUUUGUUCUCUCUACUUGUGUUUUGGUUCAAAUUCGGUGAUUUCAUAUUUUCAUCUUAUUUAAAAUUGCUAUAUUCUUAAUGAAGUUGUAAAUGUGAGGUAGACACCAAUUUAAUUUUAUUUAAAUUAUCGAUUGAUAUAUUGUCUACAAAAUAGAGCUAUAAUUUCUUAAAUGACACCCAAUGAGCAUGACAGAUUAAAAUCAAGUUACUAAUGAUAUAUGAAAUACUUGUACACUGUCAUUUCUUUUAUUAAAAUUUUGUUGGCAUAUUAUUCACCUCUUGAAAAAUCAGUAGACCAAUGAAAAAAGAAGUAUGCGAAAUAUUUUUAAAAAAAAAAAGAAGAAGAUAAUUUCGGAGAAAGCAUAAAAAAGAAGGGAAUGAAGUGUCAAAUGAAAUCUCCUUUAACUGAAGACUUACUCUUAGGAUGAUUGGUUUCAAGAUGAUUAGGUUCUAAGCUAAGAAUUAGGAAUUUAUACAAUAAUAAUCGGUUCUCCAUUUUUGUAUCCGAGAACCAAACUAGCUGACCCCAAACUGGCUGACUUUUAUUUUUCUGAUUUAUUUUUCUAUAAAUUGAUCUAGGACCUUCAAACACAGAGAAACCUCACAACGCAUUAAAAUAUAUAUAUAUGGAUUCAAGCAAAAUAUGGAAAUUUUGCGCGCAAUAGAUUCUGGCGCACUUGCAGAUCUACUCAUUCUAGUUCAACAAAAGAUUAAUACUGAAUUGCAAUGCAACUAACAAUCUGACAACAAGGCCAUCAUGGCAUUAGCCACAUCUAAAGUUGAAAACAAAGGAUUUCUUUUUUCACCGAAGUCAAAUCUAAGCGGGGGGACAUACCUCGUCAACAGGCAGCAGCGACUCCAAAGAAAGAAUAAAAGACCCUCCUCAGCUAUUCAGCAGCCACCCCACAUCGCCAAUAGACAAAAAGGGCCCAAAACACACUAGUUCAGCCCAUCAUUAUUCCAAUAACAAAGCAGCGGAUCAAUAGAAACGACACGCUAAUUAGACAUGAAAAAGCAAUUACCUCCCGCGACCUGAGACGCAAAGAGAGAUGCGACAUCAGAGAGAGGAGACCCUAAACAAGCCUAGGUGAGAACUUUCGAGAGGGAAAAGAUCAAAGAAAGCAAAUGAGGACGAUGGUUUUGAAUUGUUCUGCAAAAGAGAGGCCAAACAUGAGAGAGAGAGAGAACAUUUGGACCAGAGUAUAGAUUGACNNNNNNNNNNNNNNNNNNNNNNNNNNNNNNNNNNNNNNNNNNNNNNNNNNNNNNNNNNNNNNNNNNNNNNNNNNNNNNNNNNNNNNNNNNNNNNNNNNNNACCAUUUUGUUAAACAGAUAAAUGUAACUCUUGCUAAUUUUUCAUUAUGAUAUUAUCAAAGACGUUCUUCCUCCUGUAAAUGCUACAUUCUCUCCCACCAUGAACAUGCAUUAAUCAUAUUGUCAAAUCUAUGGUAGGUCUGUAACUUUCUAUGCUAUAUAUAUAUGUAAAAGUCACAUAUUUGCUGUAAGCAAUUAAAUUACAUGAAAACCACACUUUGUGACGAGUUUCUCUAAUUCAAUCCGCUAAGACAGUCCACCUAAAAAUUGUCCACAUAUUAAAUAUGUGUAAGUACAUCGAAACCAGCAGCUUUGCUCAAUUUCAAGUUUUCCAUUGUAACCAACACGCGAAGGAAAAAAAAAAAAACAGUACAAUUAUGCAUAAUUUCUGGAAAACAUUUGAAUUUUCUGUCAUUUCUAGAAAUUACGAAAAUUACCAAUAUAAUGGAAAAUAGCUUUAUGGACAUUCAAAAAUUCUCCAGUUGAUAUGAUGUGUUCAGAUAAUUUUUUGUUGUUGACAAUUCUAAUCCGCAGCCUUUGAAAGGUUUUGUGCGAUUAUCGAAGAGAAUAGACCAACACAAUCAAUAUUUGAAAAAAAAUCUAGUUUUUAACUGUUUCCAAGGAAAAAAAAAGAAUUACUUUUCCAAAAACGGAGUAUUUUGGAUGUUUCAGGCUUUAUUGCGUCUAGAAGGGUAUUUUCGUAAUCUUAAGACAGGCCUUUUGUCCCAAGGGAGUUCAGUCAACCAUAUAAGUUUUGCAAACAAUAUGGGGAUGAGGGCCAGCACGUGAUUCCACCCAAUUCAAUCAGUCUAACCAUUCAUAACCAAUUAGUUUAAAUGAGAAGAUUGUAGUAACAAAAAUUAGCAAUAUAUAUGUGAUGAUGAUUUUACGAAAGUCGAGGGAAUUUCACAUGUAUUAUUAUACAUGCAUUAUUAUGUAUGCCUUAAAAGGAUGUUAGAAGUUAUGGGAUGAGUAAUAAAUAAUCACGCGUAUUUUAUUCUUUGUGCUAUCAAUUGGAAUAGACCAGAGAAUGAAGGUUGUGCUUACCUCCAGGAGCGAUUCAGAGAUGAAAUAGCUGUAACGGGUUUCAGUGUUUGAGAAGAAGUCGCCUUGAAGUAGAUCGAGUUGGGUCCGAGUCCCGAAAGGCCGCGCAAUCCCGAGGAUCACCUUCACGCCUCGACCUAGACCGGCUUGGUUUGGAAAGACACGAAGGCAAAUUUGCAGAUCAUCUCAGGUCAGAACGUCGCGAGAAAGGACGAGUAGUGGCUACGAAAUCACCAACUACAUACGGGGAACUUGCUAUCUUUCGAUACAAUCCAGAAACGACCUCGUGUUCCGCCGAAGACCCCCCAAAUCCAGGAACCCUAAUCACCUCAGCGGAGUCCGUUAUCAGAAAUUAUAGCAAGCGGAACACUAAAAAGUUCGAAACUCGACACGAUUCGAGUUGAUUUUACCUGCUGAUUGGUGCCCGCCGAAAAACCAGUCCUUUGAAGCCGGUGGUUCAGAAGGAGCGACUGCAGGUGCUCUUCGCGACGGCCUCGGGUGUACUGCUUGGGUGGAUUCGCGAAAAAGAAGAUCGCUGCUUCCUCCGCCGAUUCAAGCCGAAGUUCUCGCUCUGGUCGUAGAGGCUUCGAUGUGCUUCAGACCUGGAAGUAGAGAGAACUUAUACGCGGGGGUCGGACAACGCGGUUCCGUGUUGACUCUCUCUGGUGGAAGAUGGUCACGUGCCAUGGUUAGGUGGAGGCACGUGUCUUGGACGCCCAAGCCAAAGUUGGCUAAAUUGCAAAAGAGUGUCGGUGGCCCACCGUGGAACAACGGAGAAUCAAAUAGCUGCUGAUUGGCAGGCGAAGGGCGAGGGCUCGCUGCCCUGACGCACGGCAAGCAGGAGCCGAGAGCCCUCGUGAUCAGGCUGCCAGUUAUCACUAGCCAUACCAUAUAAGACGUUCAUUAUUCAAAUCAAUAAUUUUCAAUCAAAAUUAUUCAAAUAGACUAUAUUAGAAAAUUAUUAAUAAGUUGAAAAUUAAACAAGUUGAAUUAAAAAAAUUAUGAUUGAAUUGGUACGAAUAUAAUAAAUUUAGAACUUUUUUGAUAAUUUUUCCUCAUUAAAUCUUAUGGAAACCACACUAAAUGAUAAGUUUCUCUAAUCCAAUCCACAAAUGUCUUCCUAGAAAUUUCUUGUCAAUUAAAUUAUUUUAGAAUGAAAGGUCACCUUCCUCCCAUGAAGUUCACGACGGGUUCUAGAAUUUUCCUCCCAUGUCUCUUUUUGAUUUUAACCUUUUUGGCCAAGACCCCAAAAUAAUUCCUUCUUCGAAAUUGCCAAGACCUCUUUUGAUUCUUACCUUUUUGACCAAGAGCUCAAAACAAUUCCUUCCUCGAAAUUGCCAAGACAACUAACCUUUUUGACUAAGAGCUCAAAACAAUUCCUUCCUCGAAAUUGCCAAGAUGACCCCUUUGUAGACUUUCCUUGUUAGUUUUUUUUGUUAUUUGAUCCAUUGGCCAAGCAAAUCAUAGUGAAAAUUAAAUUUUUGAAGAUGAGCAGUACUUUUGCUUUAUCCUCACCUUUUGACAAUGGCUCCGCUUGGCCACUCAAUUCAAAUUGAAGAUGGGCGAUACUUUUUGCUUUAUCCUCGCCUUUUGCUUUUCCUGCCCCAUUAAUUGAAAGAGUACAUACUUUUAUGUUGAAGUCAAGGUGUUCACAAUCAAAAUUAGUUUUCACACGAUGCUAUUUCAAAAGAGCCCCACAAUCAUCUACUUUAAUUGGCAACUUCCGCAAGGUGUUCACAUUGGAAAUUACUUCCCCUCUUACCUCAAAAGAUGAGCCAAAUGUGCUUGGGAUACACACAAUCCCACCGUGGAUUUAAUCGUCCCUGUUGAAAAAAUUUACUACUUUAAUCGAUUAACUCUCAACUUUUGUUAGUUCUCUAUGUAAUGGGAUCGCAUGACUGCAUAAAUCAAAGUGAAGAUGGACAACAUUUUGCUUUCCCUUCCCAUUGAAAUGAAAGCCUCUCACUGCUGGAGGCAUUGAAAUGGUAAAAAAUUUACAUUUUAACUCAUAUUUAGUGACUCGAAUUAAAAAUAGAGGCAUCUUGUUGUAAUGACACUUGACUAGAUCUAGCGUCGCAUUUGAGUCAUUCUGACAUGCAUCGAGCUAUACGCGACAUCGGAUCUUGAUUAGAUCUAAUGUUGAGCCCAACACUGCAGUGGGCCAUCAUCGAGGAUUCAUAUCUCAAGAACAAAUAUGUUGUUGCAUCAAUCAAGCGCAACGCCAAAUUGAGUCAAUAGGAUAUUUCUCCAUACAUAACAUGCUCAUGUCAAUAUUUGCAUUUUGCAAAAGAAAUCUUUAUCAAGAAAGACUUUUUCGGAGAUUCUAUAUCAAUUUUUCUAUGAACCGAGUUAAUUAUCUUUUAAAAAAUUCUCUGGUGAGGGAAAGCAAGUCUAAGUGUUCCGCCAUCUUGCUUGCUUAGUUGCAAAGAAAGUGAUAAGGCAAAAGUCGACCGCGGGGGGGGGGGGGGGGACAAAGGGAAGUUAAAGUCUUCCACAAUCUUGCUUACUUAGCUGCAAAGAAAGGGAUAAGAUAAAAGUCGGCAAAACCUAAGGGGAAGAUUCUAGUGAUUACAAGCAAGUCAAGUCUUCUACCAUCUUGCUUGCUUGGUUGCAUCAGGAGAGGAGAGGCCAUUAUUUAUCUUGAAAAUAUUGUAUAAACUUAAUAAAUAAAUGAUGCGGCAGAAAAUUAUAAGAUAAUAAUUGUACCAAAAUUUGCAUUUUACGAUUGGGUUUCUUAUGGGGUUUGCACUGUUUCUCUUAAGUGUUUCUCUUAAGUAUUUUAAUAAAAUCUAGAUGUUCAACAAUGCUUCGUAAAUAUGUUAUAUAUCAAACUCUUCAAUUUGCAUAUUGUUCUGAUAGCAUACACGGUAAUGUUAUUCUUCUAUAAUUAUACUAUUUUCCUUUAAAAUGACAAGAGUAUGCAAUGGGUGUGAUCCUGAUGUUAAUUUAUCAUCAAGUGUUUGAGGAAAGUUGAAAUUUACAUUUGAAAGCUAUAUGUUACUUGAAAAUAUAAAUCAACAUAGCCAAAAGUAGUUACUUCAUUAAGUUGGUCAAAUUAUCAUCUUUAUUUAAAUUCAUAAAAUUAAUUUUCUUCUCUCUUGCUUGCUUUGCUUAUGCUGAUCGUGAAUUUUUUUUUUUUUAUGAGAUUUACAUUACAUCCAACAUUUUUUUAGUCCAAAUACAAUUCAGCAAAUAUAUCAGAUUUACAGAGUAAUUGCUCCAUAUCAUGAGAAUGCUAUUAAAAGGAGUAACAUGUAAAACUAGUGAGAUUUGUGCCUUUUGCUAGGAACAUACUUGUCGUUUUUUUGGCUUAAUAGAUAAUGGACAGUUAUGAUGAUAUGAAAAAUCUGAUUUUUGCUGGCUCUUAUUAGUCAUAAACCCUGGGAAUGAAAGGUAUUUAGGCACUCUCCAUGGCUUCAUUCGUUUCGCAUAAAAUGUUGUGGUUCUAGAAAAUAUUUUCCAGAAAGCCAUUUUUUAAGAAAAUAACAAUAUUUCCGAGUGUUCGCUUGAAACAUAAGAAUGAAUUGAAAAAUAUUUUUCGCCAUUCAGUGUGGAAAAUUCAAUUUGAUUUCUUUUUGUGCACUCAUUUUAAUAAUUUUUUUAUUUUUUUAAAAAAUCUAAAUUUUGAUUAUUUUAUUUUUAAAAUUUCUUUCUGCUUUUUUCCUUUUACUUUUACUUUUCUAUUUUUACCUUUUAUAUUUUUUAUAUUUUUUUCCUUCUUCUUUGGUCAAUCACCAACCACGGGAUGUGCCCGAAAAGAAGGAAAAAAAAGGGAAAAAAUGAAAAAUGAAAAAUGAUUAAAAAAUUUCAAAUUUUUUAAAAAAGAAGAAAAGAAAGAAGAAGAGGUUUGCAAGGGUGUGAGAUAAGAUAGAGUAAGUGAGGAAAAUGUUUUCCCCUAUUUUAGAAAAAACAUUGCUAUUAAUGCAAAAUAUUUUUCUCAACUAGUUCAUUUUCUAUUAAAUGAACCUUGAAAUAUCCGAAAAAAUUUUCUUGGAAAUUAUUUUCCGCGAAACGAAUGAAGCCCAAGUGUCUUCCAGAGCAAUAGUAGGAUAAAUGGAACACCAUUGGAUCUUUGACUCUUCCCUCUUUAUUCGAUACUAAUUCAUAUCCUCACCAUGAUUUGGACUAUACAAUGUCAUUGUUGUUCUUGUGUCCAUGUUGGGUACAUUCCUCUGGAGUUGAUUCUUGUAAAAACUAAUUUCACCCUACGGCAAUUAUUUCUAAAUUUCAUGCAAACAAGUUGGAUCUAUUUGACUUCCAAAAGUUGGCUAGUAAUGAACAUAGACUUCAAAGGUGCCGUAUAUGUCAGUGGAAUGAGUAAGUCACAAGUUCCACCGUUUCACGUUCUCUAGGUUAUUUUCACCAACUCUAUUAAUGUGCUUGGUGUAGUCUAUUCCCAAUUACAUCUCCAAUUCACUAGUAGACAAUGAAGAUGAAUACCUAGCAGGCCGUGCGGUGUUCUUCGAAGCAAAGACCAUAGAGGUUUGUGGGCACUACUUAAUGAGGCUGCAUUCUUUCUCUGUGGAUGGAUUGUAUUAUAUCGACUGACAUAUGCCACAUGCAUAUUUGAGAGUCAACUCAUCGUUAUCGCCAAUAUGUGCUCCAGUUGGAGCUCCCGACUCAGUCCCAAAGAUUUGUAAUAUGGAACAAGAAGCAUUGUGAGCCCCUCCAACUUGAACCUUGAAGCCCAAGGCAAUGGCUAUCAAAAAAAAGAGCGAGACAAGGAAUUUUGCCUUUAUGGCCAAUGCUAUUUCAUUGAAAAAGGUAUCACCCUUCUUGUUCACGAAUUCAAUUGACAUUAGGUGUUAAAAUGGAAUGACUCAAUUGCUUGACCGUUAAUCUAAAUCUUCGGGUCUCAGUCUCAAUAAAUUCUUCUUUUUUCAUGUAAUUUGCAAGCUCAUUCUCUCAUUCCAAGGUACAAGACAUGUAUCAAUGGAACAAAUCCACCAUGGUGUAAAACAAGAGCUUGAAUUAUCAUAUCAGAAAAGCAGAAUGUGAUUGUUUCAAGCAUGUUUUUGCUAUUAGUCAAAUUUCCCCUAAAAAAAAUACUAAAUCUGGACAGAAUAAGAAAGCUUCUGGGCGAAGUAAGCAUUAUACUUGUAAAUUAGCACAAGAAUGAAAGCAGCGAAAUGGAAGAUGAAAUCCCAAAACUACCCAUAUGGAAUCUGCAAAUCUAUAUAAAGCUACAACACACCAUUUUGAUUUGAACAAAUUCUCCAUAAUCUUUGCAACUCAAAGCCACCUAAGGAUUGGCAAGGAUCAAUCUCAUGAUCAACAACGACCAAAUUUGAAAGGAAAACAGACCGGAUCUUAUCAAAUUGAUCAUGAUUUUUCUUUGGUAUUGGUCAUUUUCCUCAAUAAUAGUAAUCUCCCAGUGAAAUAUCAUCUCGUAACUUUUUGAACAUGACGUAAUUUCCUUUCUGUAGUCGUAAGCUCUGUAGGUCUUAUAGUUUGUAAUAUUCCAUUAAAAAUUGUAAUCUACCUAAAUUUAUAGUAAAUUUCUUUUCUUAUUAUUAGUAAAUUGUCUAAUGGAUCUUAACUUUCAUUCGGCGUACAUAAUCAUCCUCACUAAUAGUAAUUUAUUUGUAAAAUAUCCUUUUGUAAUUUUUCUUAUGGAGGAUGUAAUUUUUGUUUGGACGUCAUAAAUCCUUGGAGUUUGUGCUUUGUAAAAUUUCAUAAAAUAGUAAUUUAUUUGGUUAAUGGUAAAUUUCUUUUUUUUCAUGUUUAGUGAAAUAUCUAAGUUGAUAGUAACUUUCUCUACACUUUGUAAUGUUUUGAGACUUAGGGCGCGUUUGGCAAUGAUUCUGUUCCCGAUAGCUGAUUCUGACUAGAAAUGAUUAUUUUUUAUUCUGUUCCCAGGAACUGAUUCUGAGUAAAAAAGCGCAUUUGGUAACUGUUUAAAAUUUUUAAUUCUGGAAUAGAAUUGCGUUUGGUACCGUAUUAAUUGAUUCUAUUUCAAAUUAAUUUCUUUUGAUUUUUAAAUAAAUUUUAAAUAAUUUCUUUACUUUUUUCUUUUCUUUUUUCCUCUUUUUUCUUUUUUUUUUCUUUUUUUUCCCUUUUUUUUCUAUUCUUCUUCUUCUUCAUUUGGCCGGCGACGCUCACCGGAGCGUCGCCGACCCUCGGCGAGGUCGGCCUUCAUCGGCCGAGCCUCACCGGCAGCUGAGCGAGGCUCGCCCAGCCCCGCCGAGGCUGGGCCUCGCCAGAUCUGGCGAGGCCGAGCCUCGCCGGUGGCCAGGCUAGCCUCGCCCAACCUCGGCGAGGCCAGCUUGGCCACCGGCAGGGCUGGGCGAGCCUCGCCAGUGGCCAGGCGAGCCUCACCGGCAGCUGGGCGAGGCUCACCCAGCCAUUGGCGAGGCUCGCCCUGGCCUGAUGCGGGGAGGCCGGGACUCGCCUUGGUGUGGGCCAGGUUUGCCUGAGUCAUUAUGAGGACCAGCAAAUCAUAUCAGGCAAGAAGCAUCCUUGUCAUUGAGUGACAACAAGCGACUAAUGCCGUCACUUUCAUUUACUGUAUGAGCUUGUUACAUCUCACUUGGAAAUAUCGGAAAACANNNNNNNNNNNNNNNNNNNNNNNNNNNNNNNNNNNNNNNNNNNNNNNNNNNNNNNNNNNNNNNNNNNNNNNNNNNNNNNNNNNNNNNNNNNNNNNNNNNNNNNNNNNNNNNNNNNNNNNNNNNNNNNNNNNNNNNNNNNNNNNNNNNNNNNNNNNNNNNNNNNNNNNNNNNNNNNNNNNNNNNNNNNNNNNNNNNNNNNNNNNNNNNNNNNNNNNNNNNNNNNNNNNNNNNNNNNNNNNNNNNNNNNNNNNNNNNNNNNNNNNNNNNNNNNNNNNNNNNNNNNNNNNNNNNNNNNNNNNNNNNNNNNNNNNNNNNNNNNNNNNNNNNNNNNNNNNNNNNNNNNNNNNNNNNNNNNNNNNNNNNNNNNNNNNNNNNNNNNNNNNNNNNNNNNNNNNNNNNNNNNNNNNNNNNNNNNNNNNNNNNNNNNNNNNNNNNNNNNNNNNNNNNNNNNNNNNNNNNNNNNNNNNNNNNNNNNNNNNNNNNNNNNNNNNNNNNNNNNNNNNNNNNNNNNNNNNNNNNNNNNNNNNNNNNNNNNNNNNNNNNNNNNNNNNNNNNNNNNNNNNNNNNNNNNNNNNNNNNNNNNNNNNNNNNNNNNNNNNNNNNNNNNNNNNNNNNNNNNNNNNNNNNNNNNNNNNNNNNNNNNNNNNNNNNNNNNNNNNNNNNNNNNNNNNNNNNNNNNNNNNNNNNNNNNNNNNNNNNNNNNNNNNNNNNNNNNNNNNNNNNNNNNNNNNNNNNNNNNNNNNNNNNNNNNNNNNNNNNNNNNNNNNNNNNNNNNNNNNNNNNNNNNNNNNNNNNNNNNNNNNNNNNNNNNNNNNNNNNNNNNNNNNNNNNNNNNNNNNNNNNNNNNNNNNNNNNNNNNNNNNNNNNNNNNNNNNNNNNNNNNNNNNNNNNNNNNNNNNNNNNNNNNNNNNNNNNNNNNNNNNNNNNNNNNNNNNNNNNNNNNNNNNNNNNNNNNNNNNNNNNNNNNNNNNNNNNNNNNNNNNNNNNNNNNNNNNNNNNNNNNNNNNNNNNNNNNNNNNNNNNNNNNNNNNNNNNNNNNNNNNNNNNNNNNNNNNNNNNNNNNNNNNNNNNNNNNNNNNNNNNNNNNNNNNNNNNNNNNNNNNNNNNNNNNNNNNNNNNNNNNNNNNNNNNNNNNNNNNNNNNNNNNNNNNNNNNNNNNNNNNNNNNNNNNNNNNNNNNNNNNNNNNNNNNNNNNNNNNNNNNNNNNNNNNNNNNNNNNNNNNNNNNNNNNNNNNNNNNNNNNNNNNNNNNNNNNNNNNNNNNNNNNNNNNNNNNNNNNNNNNNNNNNNNNNNNNNNNNNNNNNNNNNNNNNNNNNNNNNNNNNNNNNNNNNNNNNNNNNNNNNNNNNNNNNNNNNNNNNNNNNNNNNNNNNNNNNNNNNNNNNNNNNNNNNNNNNNNNNNNNNNNNNNNNNNNNNNNNNNNNNNNNNNNNNNNNNNNNNNNNNNNNNNNNNNNNNNNNNNNNNNNNNNNNNNNNNNNNNNNNNNNNNNNNNNNNNNNNNNNNNNNNNNNNNNNNNNNNNNNNNNNNNNNNNNNNNNNNNNNNNNNNNNNNNNNNNNNNNNNNNNNNNNNNNNNNNNNNNNNNNNNNNNNNNNNNNNNNNNNNNNNNNNNNNNNNNNNNNNNNNNNNNNNNNNNNNNNNNNNNNNNNNNNNNNNNNNNNNNNNNNNNNNNNNNNNNNNNNNNNNNNNNNNNNNNNNNNNNNNNNNNNNNNNNNNNNNNNNNNNNNNNNNNNNNNNNNNNNNNNNNNNNNNNNNNNNNNNNNNNNNNNNNNNNNNNNNNNNNNNNNNNNNNNNNNNNNNNNNNNNNNNNNNNNNNNNNNNNNNNNNNNNNNNNNNNNNNNNNNNNNNNNNNNNNNNNNNNNNNNNNNNNNNNNNNNNNNNNNNNNNNNNNNNNNNNNNNNNNNNNNNNNNNNNNNNNNNNNNNNNNNNNNNNNNNNNNNNNNNNNNNNNNNNNNNNNNNNNNNNNNNNNNNNNNNNNNNNNNNNNNNNNNNNNNNNNNNNNNNNNNNNNNNNNNNNNNNNNNNNNNNNNNNNNNNNNNNNNNNNNNNNNNNNNNNNNNNNNNNNNNNNNNNNNNNNNNNNNNNNNNNNNNNNNNNNNNNNNNNNNNNNNNNNNNNNNNNNNNNNNNNNNNNNNNNNNNNNNNNNNNNNNNNNNNNNNNNNNNNNNNNNNNNNNNNNNNNNNNNNNNNNNNNNNNNNNNNNNNNNNNNNNNNNNNNNNNNNNNNNNNNNNNNNNNNNNNNNNNNNNNNNNNNNNNNNNNNNNNNNNNNNNNNNNNNNNNNNNNNNNNNNNNNNNNNNNNNNNNNNNNNNNNNNNNNNNNNNNNNNNNNNNNNNNNNNNNNNNNNNNNNNNNNNNNNNNNNNNNNNNNNNNNNNNNNNNNNNNNNNNNNNNNNNNNNNNNNNNNNNNNNNNNNNNNNNNNNNNNNNNNNNNNNNNNNNNNNNNNNNNNNNNNNNNNNNNNNNNNNNNNNNNNNNNNNNNNNNNNNNNNNNNNNNNNNNNNNNNNNNNNNNNNNNNNNNNNNNNNNNNNNNNNNNNNNNNNNNNNNNNNNNNNNNNNNNNNNNNNNNNNNNNNNNNNNNNNNNNNNNNNNNNNNNNNNNNNNNNNNNNNNNNNNNNNNNNNNNNNNNNNNNNNNNNNNNNNNNNNNNNNNNNNNNNNNNNNNNNNNNNNNNNNNNNNNNNNNNNNNNNNNNNNNNNNNNNNNNNNNNNNNNNNNNNNNNNNNNNNNNNNNNNNNNNNNNNNNNNNNNNNNNNNNNNNNNNNNNNNNNNNNNNNNNNNNNNNNNNNNNNNNNNNNNNNNNNNNNNNNNNNNNNNNNNNNNNNNNNNNNNNNNNNNNNNNNNNNNNNNNNNNNNNNNNNNNNNNNNNNNNNNNNNNNNNNNNNNNNNNNNNNNNNNNNNNCACGUUGAAUGUGGACCGGUCCCGUAAAGGGGGGCCUCCACUUAUGGAAUUUCCAUCGUGAUUAGGACGUUUGAGCACAACAAGAUAGUGUUUCUUUUCGCCAAACACUAAAAUAGCGUAGAAACCUAUUUUCCCAAAUUAUUGAAGUUCGUUCUACUAAAAUAUAUAUAGAGGUAAAAAGGUACAAAAUGUAAAUUAAGAUAAGUAUUACUUUAUUAAUUUUUCCUUUUGCUGAUACACAGCAACAGAUAAAAAGAAAAUAUGAGAUGACUUCUCAUGGUCUUAUGGAUGCAAAGAGGCCUUUCACCCACGUUACCUUCUACCGAAUUCAAGAAUGACUUAAGCCCAGGAAAGAGGCUCUUUUGGAGAGAAGGAGAAGGCACGGCGGCGGGGGCGAAGAUGGAUAUUCAACAAACUUUGGUCGCGAAAACGGAAUUGGCUCCAAUCUCUCCCAUUCGCCAGCAGUCCCGCCAUAGCUGGCAAGGUUUUUCGAACAAGAGCAACUCAGGGGCACGCACGCACUCUUGAGAAGGUUGAAAUUCCAUUCCUGACUCGUGCAUGAUCGAUCGCUUGAAUCACUCCGCAGGUGAGAUUCCAUGGAGGAUCGGGGCUUGGAGGAGGUGGAGAAACCUCGGUUGUGCUCUCGAGUUCGGCUUCGACGAGCAAUCCGCCAGCAAGUGCUUGGACCGUCUCCUUUCCCUCUAUGGUACCUCGAAUCGUCAUUACCUCGUCGCCCAUUUUUUAUGCUGAUUAGCGUUUGCAGAGGUUGCGUUGGUCCUUCUCGUAGUCUGCUUUAGGUUUGAAUAGAUCGAAGCUGGUUCAGCGAAGUAGUCUUGCUGACGAGCGAAACGUCUAGUGCUGUUCCAGCUUGAUGUGUUUAGGUUGCUUUGGAUGGUGGCUUUUCUUGGUUAUUAGCGGAAUUGCAUGGUAUCUGGUCAUUAGGGAAUGACGUAAUUGGUUGUGUUGCGGGGAUGAUUUGUGAAUUGAUCGAUUGUGCAUUCCUAAAUAAGGAGAUUUAUUGCAGUUACGUCGUCAUUUUGACGAUGGCCAUGCAAUAGUCUACCUUUUGGAUUUGAAUGGACUAGAGGAACUGGUUAAUCCCGUCCUUAGUUCUCUGUGGGUUUUGCAGAGUAGUCUUCUUGACUAGCGAAAUGUCUAAUUUGUUUCUGAACUAACCGCAAAUUACAUAUUGUGUAGAUUGUAUUUAUUCGAUCACUUUUUUUUUUAUCAUGGAACUUGCAAAAUCAUCUCUCUUUUUUUUUGGUUUUCUUAGGGUGACGAAGGUCGAGAGUUUAUCACUGUGGACCACUGUGGCAAUGAUUUUCUAGCAGAACUUGCUGAAACUAUGCGAGACAUUGAGGAUUGGAAUGAUUUGCAAGUUGCGGAAUCAGAAACUUGUGGAGUUUUGACUGAUAUGUUUGGCCAAGAUACCCCUAAUGACGGUGAAUGCAAUGUUGUGACAAUGUUAAUAUUAUAUAGGAUUCUCCACAACCUAAAAAAAAAAUCAAACAUUUCUUGAGGUGGAUUCCUCUGCUGAAAGUGAAGACGAAGAUGAUAUAUUAUAUUUGGCAGUACCCUGAGCAAUUCGUCCACUCAACUUCUGGCCAGACGAUCUCUAGAAUCCAUCGUAUGCUUCUGAAAACUGUGAAGUUGUCUCACUCCUUUCUGCCCCCAACAGUUUGAAGGGAUUAAGAAAAAGAAAGAAAAGCAUGGUGGCUUGGCAUGUUUUUUCCCAUGCUCAAAACUAAUUUGGUUGAUAGUUGUUAAGUUUGUGGCUUAAGUUUUUGAUUCAUGGACCUGGAUUUGAUUAGUCCUUCUCAGAGAACUCUUGGGAAACGCUUUCCACUCGUCUCAUUCGUUUUUGACUGACUCUUGCAAUUGGGAUUUUGGUUAGUGAGAAAUUGAUUUUUUUCUUAUUGUAAUUCUCUCUGGGUCACUGUUAAACUACUCCGGUUGAUGUAGAUGAAACUGCCCGUCCCCUUAAAUUAGUGUGUCACUGUUCUUUGCUCUUAAAAUUAUGUGUUUCCUUGAUCAUUUCCAGUUCGCUUGCAAUUCUGCUCAGCAAGAAACCUUACGCAGUGUACCUGUAUAAAAGCAUUUAGCAAAUUGCUUAUGAGGGCUCUCAUCCAAUCAAAUGCAUACUAGACACUCCUAACUUGCCAGUUACUUCCACAGUCUGUAAGAUCUAGAAUGACUUAUAUAAGUACAGUUUGGUCAGUAAAAAUGGUUCAUUCUUGUUUUGGAUAUAAAACAAUAGCUAUAUUUCUCAAAUAAUUUGAGAGUGUGGUACAUCAGUGUUGAACUUAGCAUCCAGCGUCUUUGAUAGGUGUGUUUUGCAAAAUGGAUGCUCGGGAUUUCUUGGUGCACAAUUUUCAUUUUCCAUCACCACAUGUCAAAACUAUUUAUGGUGCUGAAGAGGUUUAUUUGUGUUGAAGCACUGUAAGAGCACUGUCACUCGUGGUUUGAUAUCAUCAGUUUCAAAUAAACGACAUCGCUCUCGGAUUUCGACAUGCAAACGAGGAAGUCUGAGUUAUGAAGAAUUGCAACCCUUGGAUGACAUAGAAUUGGCAAAUUUUGUAAUAUUCGGAAACAAGGCAUUUCGACCAAUGUAGCAUCAGGCUUGCAAAGCUUCUGUAGCCAAGGAGGAUUGCUCCAUUCUCAUGCCCACUGGAGGUGGUAAAAUUUUAUGUUACCAGGUCAGCGAAAGUUAACAUUAUUUCAUUUGCAUAUUGAUUGAAUGUAGAAGUAUGCAUGGAGACAAUGUUUAGAGCACAAGCCCUGUGCACUUUGGUGAAUGGUUCCACCAAUUAUAUACUAGACGGGUAGACCUAUUUAUCGAAAUUUAAGCUAUAAAAUGAUCUUGCAAUCUGCUUUGUUAGAACUGUUGAGAAGUUUGUGCUGAAAUACAGGAUAUUCUUGUUCUGCCUUUGCCCAUCUCUGUCCAUUCCGUAAUUUCUAGAACUUGAGGUUUGUGCUAUGCUUCUAGGACCUUCUAAUUACUUACUGGAAAAUUUAUCUUGUUUUUGCAUGUAAGUGUUGUCAUCAGUCAUAUUUCAGGUCCAAUUCAAAAGGGUUAUUAAGUCAAAGAGGAAUAAGUAUUCAAAAUACUUGCACCAAAUACGGACCGUAUAUGUCUAUAAAUCCUAUGUAGGUAUGUGCUAUGUCAUCAUCUCAACUAAAGGUGAUCAUUUCCAUAAUUGGUUUGAAAUGGAUGUCCUUUCAUAUAAGAUGGAUCUUGGAAGCAUGCAAAAUAUCGGGUCCCCUGACACACAAAGGAAGAUAUUAACCUGAAUUUGUUAAGUUGAAUUAUCCUGAAAUGUUUUCUGUUCAGUCUUGAAUUAGUUCGUAUAUGUUUCUAGCUGAAGUAAUUAUAAGACAAAUAGUGAUGACUAGUGCUUUCUGAUCAGCUGAAGGUGAACAAAAGAGUUAUUCCCCCAUCCCUUCAUUUGCUCUUCUGGUGUUUUUACCCUUCAUUUCAGCUGUCAGCAACUCUUAAACCAGGUGUCACAGUUGUUAUAUCUCCCUUGCUAUCUCUCAUCCAGGAUCAAAUAAUUACCCGAACCCUCAAGUACAGAAUACCAUCAACUUUCUUGAACUCUCAGCAAACCACUGCCCAGGCAGCAGCUGUCCUCCAAGAACUAAGGCAAGGUUUAGCUCUCUCUCUCUCUCUCUCUCUCUCUCUCUCUCUCUGUGUGUUCCUACUGAAGUAUAUCCUACCAUACAAUCUUUAUCCCGCCAUAAAAUUUUUUGCUCCAUAUGUUGCAAAGGAUGUACAUUUUUAUGUAGUUAUUGAAAAGAUGCAUGCCUAAGAUGUUUCCCUUAAAAAAAAUGUAGCAUCUUGGCCUUCCGAGAGAAGUAUAUCAUACUAUCCAAUCUUUGUCCUGCCAUAAAAUGUUGGGCUAUGCUCCAUAUGUUGCAACGGGAUUUCCAUCGGACUUCUAAAACUUUUUUUUCUUUUUGGCUGAGUGUUGGGAUUGUCAAGUCAUUAAUCUUCACUGCUUUACCUGCCUUUUCAGGAAAGAUAAACCAUCGCGCAAGCUGUUGUAUGUGACUCCUGAAAUGAUUGUGGGAAACUCAUCAUUUCUCGAGAUAUUGAAAGGCUUGCAUAGAAAGGGACUAUUUCNNNNNNNNNNNNNNNNNNNNNNNNNNNNNNNNNNNNNNNNNNNNNNNNNNNNNNNNNNNNNNNNNNNNNNNNNNNNNNNNNNNNNNNNNNNNNNNNNNNNACAUUGUAACUUUUUCUGAAAGUUUCUUUUGGACUUUUUGAUAUGCGGCCAUCACGCAUUGCAGGCACAACUAAUUGGUUUUGUUGUUGAUGAGGCACAUGGUGUGACGUAUGCUCUUUGGCAUCCUUGUAUCUGAAGCAAAGAUCAUGCUAGAGUUACAUUAAAAGGAAUAAGUAUUUAUGAUGUUCGCACUGCAAAAGUACUGUCCUUGUUCGAGAUAGAGAAAAGCAAGUUAACUUUUAUAUAUGCUGACUCAAACUCUUUUUUUUGAACAUUUUUACUUCUGUGUUUCUGGCCUAAUUACAUUGUCAAUGUCACGCUGAACCUUCUUAAACCCCUAAAACCCAGACCUUCUGUGGAGUUCUAGUAUAACAGAAUGCAAUAUUGAAAUAACUUAUUAUGGAAAUGGUCUAGUUGCUACUUUUGUGAAAAAUCAGUGGCACAUCAUUUAUCAUAGUAAGCACAAUGCAGACAACUAAAUUUAGCUCCAUGGAAAUUACUUUCGGAAGUAAUUGAAAGUGUCCAUGUUUGGCACAAUAGUCAGGUCUUUUACGCUGGUUCUUGUCUCCCUACUUAUUCUUUUAACUUUUAUACCAUGUAUUAACAACUUGAGAUAUAAGGCAAAAGUUCACGCAUGUGAUCAUUGAUUGUGUUUCUUAUAAGGUCUUUAUUGGACUAGCUCUGCCAGUGCAAUUUUGUGAAAGGAACGUAUUGAUGUUUUGAGCUUUUCUCAAAUAUGUGAAUGCUUGUAAACGAGUAAAGUUUAUUGAUCAUUACUUUCUUGAUUGUCAUUAUUGCAGUCAAUGGGGACAUGAUUUUCGUCCAGAUUAUAGGGGACUAGGAUGUCUCAAGCAAAACUUUCCAUAAGUCCCAGUGAUUGCCUUAACUGCAACUGCCACUCAGCCAGUUCGUGAGAUACAAAACUUGCACAUUAUCCUCCAAAUAAUGUUGAAGAAAUCAUUUGGGUCUGAUUGAAAUGUACAUCCAUUGCAGGAUAUCCUAAAAGCUCUCAGGAUCCCCCAUGAUCUUGUUCUCUAGACAAGCUUUGACAGACCAAACCUAAAAUAUGAGGUGAUAUUUAAGACCAUGGAACCACUGAAGCAACUUGAAGAGCUGCUAAAGAAACAUUUUGCUAAUUUGUGUGGCAUAGUGGAUCGCCUCUCAAAGGGUGAAUGUGUUGAUAUUGCAAAAUACUUGAAUGAUAAGUGCGGUAUAAAGACGGUGUACCAUCAUGCUGGAUUAGCAGCCCAUCAAAGAGUAGCUGUUCGAAAGAAAUGGCAUACUGGAGAGGUCCUGGUUGUAUGUGCAACCAUUGCUUUUGGAAUGGGAAUAGACAAACCUGAUGUUGUAAGUUGAAAUGGACUCUAAGCCUUUGCCUAUUUUUAGUUUUAGAGUCAAGCUGACAUGCUGGCAAAUACUCAACUAAUUUACAUUUUUUUUUUUUUUAAGUUUUAGUUUCACUGAUUGGUUUAUUAGUGUGCUUGAAAGUAAACUUUGCUGGUUCCAUGGUCCAGUGGCCUGGUAAAUUGUCAUUCUUGGUUAUUGAUUGCAACUAGCGAAUUAUGUGUUUUUUAUCAAGUCAGAUUCUUUCUCCCGUGCAUGGCACUUCGUUGUGCUGAAAUUAAGUUAAACUAGGAUAAAGUUAUUUUCUUUACUGUAAAAGUGGCAAAUGAUUCUGAUCUAAUUUGUCCUCCUGAUAUAAUUUUUAUAUCAUAUUUCAACUUUGAUGGGUCAGUAAGUAUGUGUGUGUGUGUAUUAUUUUAUUUUUUUAUGGCAUGUGGUCAGCGUUUUGUCAUCCACAACGCAAUGUCCAAGUCAAUCGAAAGCUAUUACCAAGAAUCAGGGAGGGCAGCAAGAGAUAAUCUACCAGCAGUGUCCAUUGCUCUAUAUGCCAAAAAGGAUUUCAGCCAGGUUGUGUGCAUGUUAAGGUGUGGUCAAGGGUGUAAAACCGAAAUCUUUAAAAGUGCAAUGGCUCAAGCUAGGAAAAUGCAGCAAUAUUGUGAAUUCAAGGAAAUCCAAUUUGUGUUCUCAACUUCAAUCUGAUGAUCUCACCUAAGUGAUGCUUCUUUUAUGCGUUUACACUUUCCACUUUGUUCUAUUGAUUGCUGUUAGUGUUCGUCUGGCAUUACCCCGUCUGGAUGCUGGAUCAUUAGAUGGGUCUGUUGGCAACAUACUCACAUAAUAAUGGACCCUUUGGGCUAAACUCAUAUUCCGCACACCUAAAUGGAGCAAAGUCUAUUGAUAAAUGGGUGUUUCCUCUCUAAUUUGUGAAGUUUUAGGAUGAGUGUCAGAGGCAAACCUUAUUUGUGUGCUUGGCGAGUCUUUGAAUCAGAAAGACUGUAAAUAUGGUUCUAAUCCUUGUGACAAUUGUCUCAAAGCCUCUUCAUAAAGGUAAACCUUUUAGGUGUCAACUCUCUUGAGGGCGAAAGGAGGUACCAACAUGUGCAUGAUCUUGAGCUGCAUAGUUCUUCUGGUUCCAUCAUCCGCAAUUAUUGAAAGACCACAUGGUAUGGAGGGGCAAAGGUCCUUAACUAUGGACACGGAAUUCUUCAGUUGUGAUGAUCUUGUCAUCUCAUGUUUGUCUUUUCCUUUCAUCUGCUGACAUGUUCCUUGUCUAGAACUAAUUAUUUUCGUGAGGAGAACAAAAUGUGGGUCGACAUAUAAACCAGAGAGGCAUAUGGGAACACACCCUCCAGUCUUGACUGCAGAAGAAAAAGUUUCUUGUUUCAGUUCAACAAAAAUUAACAAUGAAAUAAAAUUAUACAAGCGCAUGUUGCAAUUCUUCUUUCCCGUUUUCAAUUAGUGAUGAAUGCAUAUCAUGACUGCAUCUAAAGUUAGUUUACUUGCAGAUUCAAUUUUUCAAGUAGUAUAUCUUAAGAUACAAUCGAUUGGAUGAAAACCUUUAUUAGGGUACGAUCAUCAGUUAAUCCAACUAUUGAACAUUGCCGGCUUUCUGGCCAGCAAGCAUUGCAUCGAUGGACUGGAUUAUUCAAGUCAUUAGUGGACUGGGAUCUUAGAUCCCCAUUAUGCAAUAGUUUUUGAGAGAGCACAUGGCAAUGCAUCUAUAAUUCGAUACCAAGAGAUUUAACAUGGUUUUAUUAUUCCUGGGUCAGGGACAGCGUUAGAUUCAUUUUGACUUGGACGUGUCAACUGCCCAAUAAUGUUCUCACAGGGCACUUAUCAGUUGUUUCUUUGUUGUAUUUGCUUAACAACUCACGGUGAUGAUUGCGUGUGUGUGUGUGUGUGUGAAUUGCAGCCAACUUUUUGCACUCAGAAGAGUAGUUGGAAUCCGCACGGUUUUGAUGACGACACAGCAUCGCACAAGGCGAGGGAAAUUGACAGUAUUGGCCCAGAAGAAGAUAAUUCAUUUAUUGCCUUCGGAAGUGAGGACAAAAUUGUUCCUCUGAAUGUUAGUGCGUUCAUGAGUCAUUUGAAAAGGAUUGUUUUGGAAAUAUAUUGGACUGGGGGGAUUCUCUUCGGCCUAGGAAAGGAAGAAGAAAAUUUGGGGUAUACCCAUGGUCCUCUGAAGACCACAGAGGAGAGCCCGUACCGUAGUAAAUCUCCAGGUAAGGGCAAAUAAAUUCUGGAAGCUUGUCAGAGGGUAGUAACUGCAGCUCAGAUUGCAUGGGAUUUUAAAGGAAGAACAGCUGUUACAUGGGUCGAAAUAGAUAAAUGAGAAAUAAACAAAUAAUCCUAUAGAUUCCAUAUAUCAAUCGGCAGAAAUCUCCUAUUUUAUAGAAGUGGCAGCUAGUUAAUUAUCGUCGAGCUUGGUUGGCUCUAUGAUAACAUAAGUAUCAAAAUUACAAGUUUGAGUUGUGUCAUAACCGAAAGCGAUUGAUUUGUGCCCUUCAGUCCAACUAAAUAAUGAAUUACCAACAUACUGUUUAGUUGCGGUGAUGGAUUUGCUAUCGUCGAAACUUACAUUAUAGGCAAUACUUGAUGAUGAUGACUUAAAUCAAACAUUCUGUAAUUAAUAGGAAAAUUGUAUGGUUACAAUCAGGGAUAAACGAUGCGAAUUGACUAUCUCUAUCCUUUAAUAUUUAUAAAAGGAUUGGAAGGUGAUUGUCCUUGUUGAGGAAUUUGAGAUGGUCCCCUUAUUGUUUUAAAGAUGACCCUAGUGGCUAUAACACCAGCUAGUUUUUUGGUUACGACUCUAAGCCGUGGACCAUGCCACAUCCUUCUAUGCGAUACAUGCGCAUGAUUGUACAUCAUAAGAGUGAUCGAAUUGGAUAAAGUGAUUUAAGUCCCCCAAAAGAAAGGAAAAAUGCAAGUUAAUGGUGACUUUGAUGCGAUGAGAAACACUAGUUCGAAUUAGACUGCCUGAUGUGGGGUAUUCCUCGUUUGUACAUUUUCCUUGGCUUACACCAUAUCUAUUUAAGUAUUCUUUAUCCCAAAUCUUACAAGGAUUGUACUCAAAUAGUCAUAUUGUUGACUAUAUAUCGUCAUUGCAUGUAUGGAAAUUUCAAAGAACCAUCAAAAUUGGAACCUCUAAAAGAUUUGAUUAUUGACUGUCGAGGAAGAUUUGUACGGUGACUCCAUUUCAAAAUUGGGACUGCAACAAAGUCAUUUGGAAUGUGCAUUCGAAUUUCAAAAAAAAGGGACAUGGUAUUAGCAGAUAACCUAAUGAUCUUAAGUCGAUUUCGAUUAAAUGCUGAGUAUCACGUUGUCUUGUUCUCACAUUUGACUACCAAGACCGAAAUUGGCUUUGUUUUUGGUCAACGGAGGGGGUCUACGUUUCAUGCAUGUUAUGACCACAAAAAAAAAAUGGCAGUAUUUGACCCUCAACCCAAGACUAUUCUGUAGCAUCGCGUAAGAGGUAAAAUAGGUAAAGAAAAUGAAAAAAAGGAAACACGUGAAUUAUGCUUGAUGUCUUUGAGUAUUGUAAUUCAUUUUUUUUGGAGACGCACACUAAAGCCAAACGAUUUGUCUUUUCCGUUUCUUUCCCCGCAAGAGAAAAUAUCGUUUAAGAGAAAUUGACGUUAAUAAUCAAUAAACUUUGAUUCGACAUGUGAUAAUAAUUUAUUCAAUGUAAUCCUUAAAUUAUUCUUUAAACUUGUCAUAGACUUAUUUCUUAAUUCAUAUUUGAUGUGAUGAGCUAUUAUAUAAAUUGGCUAUAUUCCAAAAAAUUGGUCAUACAUGGUUUUAGGGUGGUAAAAACUAAAAUAAUAUGUGUAAAUGGAUUCGCUCACCUCUAUGACUCUCUUUUUCAUCUCUCGCCCUCAUUCAAUCUUAUGCUCACUUUACGCUUUCAUCUCAGUUUUAGCAUGAAUUUUCCUAAAUUAGAUUAAAUAUGAAAGUGUUCUAGUCAUGUGGUUAGAUUUGGUAUUAAUUGGCUUGAUUACGAGUUACUAAAUUUGUAUUGCGUUGAAAUGUGUCAAAAUGAGUUGAACUAUUUUCAACUUAAUCCACUCAUUUGAUGAGUUUACUUUUUUUUAUUAAAUAAGGAAGAAAGUCAUCACAUUUCCCUAAUUUAUUGCCAAAUGUGCAAUCUAGUCACUUAAUUUAUUUUUGUCACUCUAUCAAAUCGAAAUGUAUCUUCUAGAAAAAAAAUUCACGACAAGAUAAAUAAGUUAUAUGACUCAAUUUUUUCUAAAGUCGAAAUACCAUUCUGUGUAACUUGUUCUAUAAAACAUUAUUAGUUACAACAUGAUAUGCCAACAAAUUUUUUAGCCCAAAAGAACAUACUCUCUCCUAAAUUGCAACCUACCAAGUAUGCAAAGUAAAAAUAAUAACCGAAAAAUUAAUCCCAUUAGAUUUGGGAAGCAGGAACCUUUCCCCUGACCCUUUCUGACAGGACAACAAAAAGACACCAACCAGCAAAAAGGAAAUAGCAACUUUUUCUCCAAUUUAAACUGGCUUAACUCACAAGACUGACACGUGGCGGUCGGACACGGCACCCUGACUCUCUGAAAAAAAACAAAUAGAGAGAAAUAAAAAAAUAAAAAUAAAAAUCCUUUUUUAAUAGCAAGAUCGCUGUCUCUUCCUCCUCAGAUUUUAAUGCUCAAAAACCAGUCAGUCUCUCUCUCUCUCUCUCUCUCUCUCUUCUUCCUUCUUCCUUUGGACACAAAUUCCAUUUUCAUUUUCAUUUUUUUCCACCAUUUUUAAACUCUCGAACUCCUCGCAUUCUCUCUCCUUUCCUCCUCUUCUUCCUCCUCCUCAUCUUCUUCGUCUCGCCAGAUCUCUCUCUGUAAUUGGGGUCAAGUCCGCCGGGCAAUCCCGGCGUUUGCCCGUUCGCCGGCCAUCUCGCCGGCAAUGCCGGCUCAGAUCUACUGUCGUUAGCUUGAUGCGCGACUCCGUGUGCUCUUUCUAAUCCUCACACCAACAUUCUGCGGACGGUAAGUGUGAAUCUUGGGUUCGCGCGAAAAAUUUGUGAUUUUGUUGGUGUGCGCUACUGUUCUGUUUAUGUGUGAAUCUCCACUUCAGUUUAGAGUCUGGACUUAGCAGGGCGAGGUAGUGAGGUCGUGUUCUACAAGCAAAGGGGGGGUUCAGGAGUUUGGGAAAUGCUGUGUAAAUGAAUCGUGUUUCAUUUGAGUUAUGUGGGAAUGCUUGGUGUUGGUUCGGAUAAUGCACCGAAAGUGGUUGUUGGGUCGAUUCUUGGCAAACGGGGAAUUAGAAUUACCCGAGUUGUGAGUCGUGAAAUGCUUGCGGAUAGGGAUGGAGGGUUAUUGAAAUUUGGAUAAUAUGAACUGGGUCUCCAUUUUUCAUGCGUUCUCGCGUAGUUUUGUCUGGGAAAUAGUUGAAUGCACCUGCCGAAGUUGCAAAUUUACUCUGGAUGUGGUUGUUCUGGGUCUUCCUAUCUGCUCUUUAUGUAUGUACUUUUGUUUCUGUUCUUUCUAGAUACCUGUAAUUGAGAGAUGGAGGUGGAGAAAAGACGGACAAAGGGAGGCUUCCGACAAUUUUUCGACUGGAAUGGCAAGUCCAGGAAGAAGCUGUUCUCAAACAGUCCUGAUAUACCUGGUGCUGGUACGGCCCACAUUAUCUUUUUAUCAAUUUUGUUAGUCACGGCCGCGCAUUGCUAGCAUAUGAAAGUUUUCUGGUGGAGAUGGCCAUAUAGUGCUAUUAACGUGCUUUGUUUCUUGUUAUAGAAGUAGUUAAGCAAGGAACAGAUGAUGCAGAGAUCUUGGCGAAGUCAAGAGCCUCGUUUAGAAGUCAAAGUCAAUGAUAUUCUCGUGCCAGGAAGUUUCACUGUUUCUCAUUUGAGUAAUCAAAUUCCCAACUAAGUAUAUUACCGGAAACCAGGGUUAAAUCAAGUAUAGCUAUUUCCCAUUUUAAACUAUAAUUGUCACUAAACCUUGAAAUGAUACAGCUUUUCUUUUCAAACUCGUAAAAGUGUUUUCAUAAGUGAAAACAAGAUAAAGAUAUGUGCAUUUUCACAUGGCGAUCAGAUAUCAAAGGGAAAUUAUGCAAGCAAAUUACUGGACCUUAAUCUUGAAGAAGUACAGGAUAUUUCUGCAAUUGAAUGAGUGCACUUCCUGGUCAAUUCUACAAAAUAUUUCUCACCAUUUUGUGUGAUAUGCUUCUGAAUCUCCUUCCAUUUAUCUAAGGAAGGACAAAAAAAUUGAAGAACUGGAGGAUAACCAGCAGCAGCAGCUAUAUCAAAUAAUCAGUACCUGCAGGAAUUCCCAUGACACACAAUAUCAAUCCAGUAAAUGGAAGAACUCAAUAAGACUCUUGAGGUACAACACGGUGCUCAGCUAUAUCAAAUAAUCAGUACCUGCAGGAAUUCCCAUGACAGACAAUGUCAAUCCAACAAAUGGAAGAACUCAGUAAGAUUCUUGAGGUACAACACAGUGCUCAGCUAUAUCAAAUAAUCAGUACCUGCAGGAAUUCCCAUGACACACAAUGUCAAUCCAGCAAAUGGAAGAACUCAGUAAGACUCCUGAGGUACAACACGGUGCUCAUUACGGCAUUGGUAAAACCAAUUAAUGGUGACAAGUUUCUUUAGAACAUUUAAAGCCCACUGCACGAGAACAACAAAUUAAUUGAUAAAUACAGUUUAUCUCUCGAGAUGGUAUUCAUAAAAGAAAUUGCACAGGGAACAUUCAAAAAAAUAUAGAGGAAACUCUUCCUCAGUUCAGCCAACUCAAUCAGAGUACUACUACCCACGAUGCUUUCCAUACUUAGUGAAAAAGCAUAAUGAAUCUCAUUUAAAGUGGUUACACCUCAACGAGAUACAACAAAUUCGCAACUCUUAAACUAAAUUCAAAGUAUUAACUCCAGGACUUAAACCUUGUAUUUUGCAGCCAAAAUAUUCUUCGCAAUUACAAAUCUAAAAUCUGCUUAAGUUUUGGUCUGUAGAACUCCCCCCAUUGAAGUUACCAAUUUCUCAAUCUCAGCCUGCAGAUUCCAGGAAAUGGUGAAACAUUUAAAAAAUCAAGGGGUCACAUAGAAGGAUACAUAGAUAAGGAUAAGUGACGCGCCACACUAAAUUGGAGAGACGAGUAACAACAAAGAUUACAAGCUAAAAAAUCAUUCAAGGCCUAACUUAUCUAGGAACAGGCAUAUCUUCUUAUCCAUCUCAAACCCACAUGUAAGGACUUCGACACGAUCCAUCGCAAGACAAACAAGUAUACCCUUUUUGAGGUAGAGGUCUCCGUUGUUCUUUCGCACACAAAACCACACACUGCGGACCUGCAAGUAACCGAAUUAUCCCCCAUAGAAUCGACAUUUUUUUCCCAGGCAGAAGAACUCCUCUCGACUUGCUUGACCAGCACGUUGACCCCAAUGCUUCCGCUUUCGUUUCUCAACUACAAGUCCUGGUUUAGCAUUUAGCAGCCUCGAGUAAAAAAACCAGAAGAUAAAACUAGGACGAGAACAAGAUCUUCACCGACUAGCUUCCACCCUUUCGCCUGAAGAUCCUCGAACUUCCCCUCCGAAACGACGAGCCCAUACCUCUCGAUACGUAAAAAACAACCUCAAACCCGUUUCUCAAAAAUGAACCCAAAAGCCGUAACGCCGCCCAAUCCCAACGUACUCACGUGAUCGGGGAGAAGAAACGGCGUGAAAAUCGCGGGGCCCACCCCUGGAAGCAACAGCUCCCUUCAGCUUGAGCGCGUCCAACGGCUCGGGAGGCACCAAGUUCCUCGGCAUCAGCACGUUCAUCAUUUCCUUUCUUCCUUCUUGGAAGAGGCUGAAGGAGGAGCGACUUGGGGAAAACUGACGGGAGUGAGCUUUUUCCGAAUUCUUCCCCAAAUUGGGAUUGAUUAGGGUAUGAGAAAGCGCGGGGAAGGGGUUUUUUCUUGGGUUCUUUUCGGAUUUUCCUUUUAAUUCCCCUUUUUUGCUCUUAAUUUUGCUCUUAAUUUUGUGGAUAAUUUCUCAAAAGCCCUCUAACUUUUGCACCGUUACAUGACUGCUCUCCAACUUUGAAAAAGUUUACAUGCCCUGCGUGGCCGCCGGCCUAGAAGGGCCACGAAAAGAAAAUAAAAGAAAAUAAUUCAAAAUGAUUCGGCCGAGAGAAGCGACGAGCAAUUGAAGCGAGCGUGACCAAGCCUUCUAGAAUAGGUGAGCUGUCGUGUGAGAGAGAGAGAGGCCUAACAGAAAAAGAUUCGGCUGAGAGGAGCGCGGCUGAUUUGGCAGAGAGAAGGGGGGAUGCUCGACGACGGGGACUGAUGAAAAAAAGGUAUCGUUCGGCCGUGGGGUACGGACAUCCGCGGUCAAACGCUUGUCUCUGGGAACUCCAUUGCUUGGCUUUAUUUAAAACGGAGCCGAAACGAUAGCAGGGUCUCGUUUCCCUGGUCCACGAUCACGCUCGUUUUGAAUUAGCUGUCCCUUUUGUUGUGUUUGAGCGUCACUUGCUAUUCUCUUUUGAGUCUGGACACGAGCUAGAGUUUAGUCCGUGCUCAUCACACGCUCGAUAUGAUGCCUUAGUGUUGUUCUAAAGAUGAGACCGGGGUUUUCUUUUCUUCUGUGAAAGCAUGUCGAGGAUCCAUUUAAAUAUUUUUUCAUCGAAUUGAAAUGUCUUUGAUUUGAUGUGGGAUGAAUGAGGCGCUAAUCGUUUCCUCGNNNNNNNNNNNNNNNNNNNNNNNNNNNNNNNNNNNNNNNNNNNNNNNNNNNNNNNNNNNNNNNNNNNNNNNNNNNNNNNNNNNNNNNNNNNNNNNNNNNNGUCGGAACUCCGACUACAAGCACUAUGACUGUAUUACUUUCAGUUAGACACCUGAAACUCAUUCUACGAAAUGUUCCAAGAAAUAUGUAAGAAAUAGCUGCUGUUUCUGUUCGAAUCUGAAGGUGCUGGUCAUUAACUUGAUUUCCAUGAAUAAUGAGAUCGCUAUGUUGUAUUUUGUUUGAUAUAUGUUGUGUCUCCUUCAUUGAAUGGGAUGAGUGGACGGUGUAGUGUGAUGGAAGAUGUUGGAAAGUGAGCUCGUUUUAUUUCGGUGGUGGUCCAUGCUGGUCGGAACGGAUGACCGGCGGGGUGCCGUCAUGUAAGCUCUGCCUGGGUGUAUGAGUUCGAAAAAAUGAGAGAGAAGAAGUUGCAUAGAAUGAAAGCUUCAGAGGAAGAAGAUGACCAUAAGAAAAGGAUGAAACAGGGGAAAAGACAAAAAGAGAAAAGAAAAAAUAAUAUUGGAAAUAUCUAAAAUUGGUUUCCUUUCGGACGCCGGUCGGAUCCAAGUUGUCGGAUUGGGUUAAUGGUCUGGAUUGGAUUACCGGCUCGUUUUCCAAAAUAUUAUAAUAUCAAAUAUUAAAAAAAAAUUAAAUUUUAAAUUAAAGAAAAAGAAUAUUAAUAAUGAUAUUAAAAAUUAUAAUAAUAUAAAAUGCUAAAAAUCGAAACCUAAUCAAGUAUUGUUUUCUGCACUUGAGCUUAGGCUCAAGUUGACUCAAUCCUCACAUAACUAGGAGUUAGCAGGCCUAGAAAUAAAACUUGGCAGCAAAAUUAUGUAAGCUGAUCAUCUAGUAGUUACUUCAUGCGAAGAAUAAAAAAUGCUAAGCAUACACCACGGCUAUACAAAGAUAAAAAGGCAAAGAAAGAAGCUAUGGCAUACCAUUUUGAGUAUAGCAAAUUCCUACAUAAUCUUCACAGCUCAAAGCCAAGAGUCAGGUAGAAUCGUAAGCAUAGAAUACGACUCUAAUCGAAAUGCAUCCAUUUGUCUCAUACACUAUGGGGAUGGUGAGAAGAGAUAUAUUUUACAUCCCAGAGGGGCUAUAAUUGGAGAUACCAUUGUUUCUGGUACAUAAGUUCCUAUAAAAAUGGGAAAUGCCCUACCUUUGAGUGCGGUUUGAACUAUUGAUUUACGUAAUUAGAAGUCACCAAUUAAGUUUACGACGAAACCUAGAAAUCGAUCACUGAUCCAAUUUGAGUACCUCUACAGGAUAGACCUCUACAUGACAACUAGAUGAGAAGGGAAAAUGGACCAGAUCUACAUGGCAAUAUGACUGCCAAACUAAUAAACACUAUAUUAAAAUGAGGCAUGUAAUUAUCAUCCCUUCCAAUCCCAUUCAACAAAAUAAGGAAUCUCUACAACACAAUUUAAGCACUAAAAAGGCUGAAAAAAAAAUUAUUGUUGGUCCAAGCCAAUAUUUUCACAGUUUUAUAAUAUGCAAGAAUAGUCCAAUUUCUCUAGGAAUAGGAAGCUGUGUAGAGAAGACCCCAGAAUCGGGCAAAAGGUAAUAGUGUGAUGUCAAUAAUCAAUCCAAUCAAUGCUUUUCCUUGUCACAUAAAUGUCCAGAGCGAGAUAUGCGUAUGAAUCAUGAAACUCUAUAACAAAGGGCCAGAUCACCGAAUUGUUCUUCCAACUAAACUAGUCCAACCAAUUUAUGGUGGCUUCCCUCCAAACUUUGGUAACCAAAGCAAGAAAACUAUGACUACCUAGACAGUCUAUAUAUUCAUUCGCAGUCAACCCAUUUCCGACUUCCUUCCAACAUCACCAACAAAUUCAAAAGACCAAGCAUUCGGUAAAUGACUUACAUAUUUGUCAGCACUUAUUAGCUGAAAAGGAAUGUCUUCAGGUACGGAUUGACAGUCUCAUAACGCAAUAGCUUAAUUUCUCGAGUGAAGUAAUUCCAUCAAAGCGAAAGAAGAUUAGAUACCGUUAUCAUUUCGAUCAAUCAAAACAUAUUUUCUCAACAAAAUCGAAUGAUUAUUCCUUAAAUUUGAGGAGGUUUCAGUGUUAUGUUAGGGAGGGAGGGAGAGAGAGAUGAACUAACCUUUGUUGUAGUAACUAGAAGAGAAGAGCGAAGUAGCGCGAGGAGAAGCUCUAAAUACAAGAAAUUGUGAAAAAAGUACUUUUUCUGCAACAUAAAUACAGUCUUAGUUAAUAGUAAAUUCCUUUUAUGUAUAUUUAGUAAAAUAUUAAAAUGAUCAUAACAUUCUUUAUAUUUUGUAAAGAUUUGCAGCCAAUGUGUCAAUAGUUUUCUUUACUUGUGAUGACUUUUCUCAAGCAAAACAAAUUUGACGAAUUAUGCUUUCGCCCUCUUUAUCCAGCUAUCCACAUUGAAUGUAAGACCGAUAUCAUAAAAGAGAGCUUUGACUUGUGAAGUUUCCAUGACAAUCAUAAUGUUUUGUGCACAAUAGAGUAAUAGUAAGGCAUUGUUGGAAACGCUAUUUUGCCAUUUUUUUUUUUAAAUCGUUCAAUUGAAAUAUGAAUAUUCAUAUAUAUAUAUAUAUGUAUAUAAAGGUAAAAUCGUAAAUUAAAGAAAAGGUAUUACUUUGCGGAUAAACAGCAACGGAAAAGAAAUUUGAGAUACGCACCGUAAAUCUAAAACUUUUAGUACGACAUGGAGGUCUCGUGUUUGCAAGGCGAGCCUUCGCACCGAACUUUUUUCUGGUGUCAAAUGAAACCAGAAAAAAGUCGUAGAGCGGGCCGAAAAUAGAACUUAAACAAACUUCAGGGGCGAAAACGGAAUUGUCAAAAAAAGAACUGAAAAAUAUGGCUCCAAAUCUCUCUCAUUCUCCGGCGUACAAAAUUGGAAAACGAAAAACAUCAAUCCCGCCAUCGCUGGGAAGGUUCUGGAACAAGAGCACUUUGAGCUCGCUUGAAUAUCCGAUUCGAGACUAGAGAUCGAUUUGAUUCUGACUCGGGCAUCAUCAAUCGAUCGAAUCGCUCGAAUAGGUUGAGAUUCCAUGGAGGGAGCGGGGCUCAGAAGUAGAGAAAGCUCGGCUGCUGAGCUCGGCUCUCGAGUUCGGAUUCGACGAGCAAUCCGCCAACAAGUGCUUGGACCAUCUCGUUUCGUGCUCUACAGUGACUCGAAUCGUUAUUUCGUCGCGCGUUCUUAUGCUAAUUAGCAUUUGCGGAGAUUACGGAGGUGGCUCUCGUCCCCACGAUGAUGAUGACGAUGGCUGUGGAAUCGUCUUGCUUUAGGUUUGAAUGCAUUGGAGCGGGUUUAGCGAAGUAGCAGUCCUACUGACGAGCGAAAUCUCCGGCACUGGUCCAGCUUGAUGUGCUUAGGUUACUUCGGAUGGACGGCGGUUUUUUCUUGAUUAUUGGCCCAAACUACGUGAUGUCUGGUCAUCAGGGAAUGAAUGACUUUAAUCGCUUGUGUUGCGGGGAUAGUUUGUGCAUUUGAUUGAACGUGCAUUCCUAGUUAAGGAGAUUCUUUGCGGUUAGUCUCGAUUCUGAUGAUGGCUAUGGAAUAACGGUCUACUUUGGAUUUGAAUGGGACCAGAGUUUAGGUCAUUGAGCGUUAGUCUCAUCCCCUGUUUCUUUGUGGGUUUGGCGGAGUAGUCCUAUUAACAAGUGAACUGUCUAGCUUAUAUCACUGCAAAUUACUUAUGGUAUCUUGCAGUAAUAGCAAUAUCGUGUCUCUUUGAACUAAGUGCAAAUUACAUAUUGGAAAUUGUAUAUAUUUGAUCUCUUGUUUGCCAUGGAUCUUGCAAAAUCAUCUCUUUCUUCUUUUGCUUUUCUCAAGGUGAUGAAGGUCGAGAGUUGAUCACCGUGGAGCACUGUGGCAAUGACACCCUAGCAGAACUUGUUGAAACCAUGCAAGAUUCUUAGGAUUGGGAUGAUUUGCAAGCUGUGGAAUCAGAAGCUCGUGGAGUUUCGACCAAUAUGUUUGGCCAAGAUAUUUGUAAUGAUGGUGAAUGCAAUGUUAUACACGAUGUCAAUAUUAUAGAAGAUUCUCCACAACGUGUGAAAAAUCAAACUUUCAUUGAGGUGAGGAUUCCUCUACUGACGGUGAAGACAAAGAUGAUGUAUUGGGCAGUAAAACGGGAAGGAAAUCCUCAUGUAUAUUCCUGGCCAAAGCAGUACUCUAAGCAAUACAUCCACUCAAAUUCUGGGUAGACAAUCUUUAGAAUCCAUGGUAUGCUUCUCCGUAUGCUUCUCCCAUGGACAUAGACAAUAUUGCCAAACCACUUAAAUCAGUGUGUGACUGUACUUUUCUCUUAUAAUUUAUUCUCUGCUUGAUCAUUUCCAAUUUGCUUGUGAUUCAGCACACAUCAAAGGACCUACACAAUGGUCAUGUCCAAAAGCAUUUGGUAAAUUGCUUAUGGAGUCUCUCAUCCAAUCAACUGUCCAAUAGACAGUCAUAACUUUUGCCACUCACUUCCACACUUUUCAAGAUCCUAAAUGACAUAUUAGAACUCUUUGGUUAAUAAAGAAGUUAAUUGCAGUUUUGGAUGAUGUACAAAUACAUAAAUUUCUCAAAUGCCAUGAGAGUACAGCAGAUCAUCAAAGUGUGGAACUUAGCAAUCCAGUGCCUUUGAUAGGAAUGUUUUGUGUAAAUGAAGGCUUGUAAUUUCUUUGAGCACAUUUUUCAUUUUCCAUGACAAUCCAUGUCAGAAACUAUUACGGUACGGAAGAGGCUUAUUUCUGUUGGACUAUAAGAGCACUGUCACUCAAGGCUCAAUAUCAUUAGUUUCAAAUAAAAUACAUUGCUCUCCAAUUUCGACAUCCAAACAAGGGACUUUGAGUUAUGCGGAAUUCCAAGCCUUGGAUGACUUAGAAUUGGCAAAUGUUGUCAUAUUCAAAAACAAGGCAUUUCGACCAAUGCAGCAUCAGGCUUAUAAAGCUUUUGUAGCCAAGCAAGUUUGCUUUAUUCUCAUGUCCACUGGAGGUGGUAAAAGUUUAUGUUACCAGGUUAGUGAAUGUUAACAUUGUCACAACUGGGUGAUGAUUGUAUGUAGAAGUGUGUGGACACAAUGUUAGAGCACAAGCCCUGUGCACUUUGCUCAGUGGUUCUACCAAUUAAAUGUUUAAGGGUAGACUUGUAUGUCAACAUUUAAGCUUUAACAUGAUCUUCUGAUCUACUUUGUUUAGCAUUUUUAAGAAGAUUGCGAACUUAAGGAAGGAAAUGUUUUUCAAAUGAAAAUUAAGCUAUAGGAAGUGAUUCAGGUACAUAAGCAUGGGUUCCAACGUAUGGCAUCGGACAAAAGUAGAAAAGAAGGAGAUACAGUACAAUCUCGUUCUGCCUUUGCACUUCUCUAUCUGGUCUGUAAUUUUUAGGAUUUGAAGUUUGUGCUACACUUCUAGGACCUUCUAAUCGCUUACAGGAAAAUUCAUCUUGUUUAUGUAUGUUAAGUGUUGCUGUCAGUCAUAAUUCAGGUCCAAUCAAAAGGGUUAUAAGUCAAAGAGAAUCNNNNNNNNNNNNNNNNNNNNNNNNNNNNNNNNNNNNNNNNNNNNNNNNNNNNNNNNNNNNNNNNNNNNNNNNNNNNNNNNNNNNNNNNNNNNNNNNNNNNGAUAACUGAAUUAAGGAGAAGAUAUAAUCUGGAUUUAUUUAGUUGAAUUCAUAGAAGUGUUUUCUGUUUAGUCUUGAAGUAGUUGAUAUAUGUACUGAAAGUAGUUAUAAAACAAGUAGUGACAACUAGUCCUUCCUGAUCAGCUGAAGGUGAAAGGAAUAAUAAUUCUGUUGUCCCUUCCUUUCUUCAUUUGCUCUUCUGAUGUUUUUACCCUUCGUUUCAGCUGCCAGGAACUCUAAAACCAAGUGUCACAGUUGUUAUAUCUCCCUUGCUAUCUCUCAUCUUGGAUCAAAUAGUUACUGUAACCCUCAAGUACGGCAUACAAUCUACUUUCUUGAACUCUCAACAGACUGCUGCCCAAUUGGCAGUUGUCCUCAGAGAACUAAGGCAAGGUUUAGCUCUAUUGGACUUCUAAAACUUUUAUGCUGAGUGUUGUGACUGUCGAAUUAUUAACCUCCACUUCUGCUUUGCCUGCCCUUUGAGAACAGAUAAACAUCGUGCAAGCUAUUGCAUGUGACUCCUGAACGGAUUGGGGGAAAAAUAUCAUUUCUCGAGAUAUUGAAAUGCUUGCACAGAAAGGUAUUGUUUUUGAUGCACUGUAACUUUUUUCCAAAAAGGUUCUUUAUAAUUUUUUAUAUUCGAUGAUAUUUUAUUGCAGGCACAACUAGCUGGUUUUGUUGUUGAUGAGGGACAUUGCAUGAGGUAUGCGUAAUCUUUGGCAUGCCUUGUACAUGAAGAAAAAUCAUGCUAGAGUUACUUCAAAAAGAAUAAUCAUUUGUGAUGUUGCCACUGCAAAACUAUUGUCCUUAUUCCAGAUAAAUAUAAGCAACUUUCCUUUUAUAUAAGCUAACUUAAACUCUUUUUCCAAACUUUUUUGCAUUUUCUGUGUUUCUAGCCUUAUAAAUUGUCAAUGUUGCCCUAGACCUUUUGAAGCCCCUGUGAAGUUCUAAUAUAACACAAUGGAAUGUUCCUUGUUUGAGCUUUGGAAAAGAUCUAGGUUCUGUCGUUUGGGAAAAUUUAGUGGCACAUCAUCAUUAUAUUGAGUAAGAGGACUCAACUUAAAUAAGCUGCAAUGGAAAUGACUUCCUAAAGUAAUUGGAAGUGGCAUAAGCUUGGACAAGGAUGCCAUCUACUGUCUAUGUUUGGCAUGAUACUCCAUCUCUUCAGCUGGUUCCUGUGUAUCUAUUUAUUCUACUAAUGGUUACACUCACGUGAUCAUUGAUUGUGUUCCUUACAAGGUAUUAACUGGAUUUGCUUGGCCAGUUUAAUCUCAUGAAAGGAAGAUGCCAUCUGCUAUCUAUGUUUGGCAUGAUACUCAGUCUUUUAAGCUCGUUCUUGUGUAUCUAUUUAUUCUAUUAAUGGUUAUACUAUAUACUGACAACGUGAGAAAGGCAAGGGUCCACCACAUGAUCAUUGAUUGUGUUUCUUAAAAGGUAUUCACUGGAUUUGCUCUGCCAAUUUAAUCUCAUGAAAGGAACGUGUUGCUAAUUUGAGCUUUUAUUGUACAUUUGCCUGAUUGACGACAAGAGCUCAUUAGUUGUCACUUUCGUGGUUGUCAUGAAAGGAACGUACUGCUGGUUUGAGCUUUUAUAUAUGCUAACUUAAGCUCUUUUUCCAAACUUCUCUGCAUUUUCUGUGUUUCUAGCCAAUUUAAUUGUCCAUGUUACUCUAGACCUUCUGAAGCCCAGAACCCUAUGAAGUUUCUAUAUAACAGAAUGCAGUGUUCCUUGUUCGAUGGAAAGAUUUAGGCUCCGUCGUUUGGGAACACUUAGUGGCACAUCUUUCAUUAUAUUGAGUAAAGAGUGCACAACUUAAAUAAGCUCCAGUGGAAAUUAUUUCCCAGAGUAAUUGGAAUCGGCAUAAGCUUGGAUAAGGAUCCAAUCUCCUAUCUAUGUUUGGCAUGAUACUCUUAAGCUGGUUCUUGUGUCCCCGUUUAUUCUAUUAAUGCUUAUACUUUAUGGUAACAACUUGAGAAAGGCAAAGGUUCAACCAUGUGAUCAUUGAUUGUGUUUCUUACAAGGUCUUAACUGGAUUUGCUCUGCCAGUUGAUCUCGUGAAAGGAACAUGCUGCUGGUUUGAGCUUCUCUUGUACAUUUGACUGAUUAACGAGUAAAACUCAAUGAUUGUCACUUUUGUGGUUGUCAUUAUUAGUCAAGGGGGACACGAUUUUCAUCUAGAUUAUAGGGUACUAGGAUGUCUCAAGCAGAACUUUCUGUAUGUCCCAGUGAUGGCCUUAACUGCAACCGCCACUCUGUCAGUUCAUGAGUACUAAACUCACAUAUUAACCUCCUGAUUAUGUUGAAAUAAUCUGUUAAUUCUGACUGAAUUAUACAUCCAUCGCAGGAUAUCCUAAAAGCUCUUGGGGUACCCCAUGUUCUGAUAUAUUAGAUCUAGUCUGUCAAAGCUUGGGGACCUAAGGUUUGACAGACUAGAUCUAAAAUACGAGGUCAUAGCUAAGACCUAGGAACCACUGAAGCAGCUUGGAGGGCUGCUAAAAAAUUGUUUUGCUAAUUUUUGUGGCAUAGUAUAUUACUUUUCGUUAAUGUCGCAAAAUACUUGAAUGAGAAGCGCCAUAUAAAAAUGGUGUACUAUCAUGCUGGAUUAGUAGCUCGUCACUGUUCAAAAGAAAUGGCAUACUAGAGAGGUCCAGAUUGUAUGUGCUACCAUUGCCUUUGGGAUGGGAAUAGACAAAUUGUAAUUCGAAACGGACUCUGGCCUUUGCCUAUUUCUUACGUUUUAGAAGUCAAUAAAUGUGGUAAAAAGACCCAGAGAAGCAGAGAAGAGGAGGGUGGCCAGAUACAAGCUUUAUUUGGUCGAGGGCAAGUUCAAGGCUUCUUUCAAACAAGGGUUCCGGUGGUUGAAGCGCAAAUUGCUCGAGCUUUAUGCGUCGAUUUUUAAUAUGUAGAAAUCACAGAAUAUCAUGCUGAUUGUCAUCAAGAGAGAAAAGGAUGAAAUUGGUCGGGAGGAAACAAAGAGGUUUGUUUUGUUUAUUGGCUAAUCAUCUUAAUAUGUAUCUAAUGGUAAUUAAGUAUUCGGAGGAGUGCCACAAUGUUUGAUCUUUCCAGUAUAAUGUUUGUUCAAAUCCUUGUUUCUUUCAUUGAUCUCUAGCAUUCGAAACAUAGGGAAAUGAGACGACUUGUAUGUGAUAUUCACAUAUAUUUAUAUUUAUCAAAAGUUAUUUUUCCCCGAAUUUCCUUACCUUCCAAUUUAUCUGCAACACGAUUCUGCAUGCAUGCAUGCUUUCUCGUGCGAAGUAAAAAUUGUCGGAUAUGCUAAUUUCUCUUCUCAGCGACACGAUGUUGAUUGCAAAAUAAGAUGACUGCUUUCAUUUGUAGGAUUUGACGUUUACACGAAAGUAGAUUUCGUUGUUAAGAACCUUUUUUUUUUUUUAUCAAAUGUUCUUUUAAGUCUCUGUUUUGGGGUUCAUUAACGCUGUAAUUCCUCAAUUUGUCUAUUUCGAUUCCUUUGCAUCAUAUGAUUUUAUCAUAUGGCAAACUACCAAAUCUAUACAUUCUAACAUGCAGCUAGCAGGUGUUAAGGCCUUCUAUACUUCCAUUCUGAUUCAAGGAUUCAUAUUUCAAGUACUGUCUUGUCGAGUUUGGAGUUACAAAUGUGAGGAAAUCAAAGAGCUCGAAGCGAACCUUCUCUUGUCCUUUGGGAACUUACGUAGUUAUUGUUUGAAUGGCUGUUAUUCAUAGGAUAUUGAUGUAAAAUGUGAUAAGAACUUUCAAAAACAAGCACGAAGCAAAUUGUUAGCAUGAAAUGAAAGUAGAAGAGAAAAAGGGGGGGAACCCAUGAACAAAACCACAUCAGCUCAAUCGGUUCAGAAUGUUCAUCCAAUUAUCCGGUCUAUUUACGCGUUCCAACUUCAAACCAAUUCGGCUGAUGGGGCUGUGAACGAUGUUCCAUAAGUAGUCAAACACAAAGCUAUUGCCCUUUGGAUUAAUUUGCCUAGACACUGAUUAAGCAGCUAAGUAAAUAAAGUGUAGAGCUGAUACAUUGACUUUACUCGCGACUUUUCUCGUGUAAUGUUCAACCAAUAUUCUGAAAUUAAAUUAUUUCAUAUUAAGGAUUUUUAACAAGUAUUUCAACACGACCCGCAUUGCAUAUGUGUUAAUACUUAUAGAUUCAAAUGCAGCUUAACAAGCUACUUGGCCUUGUCUUGAGCUCUGGAAAAAUUGGGUCAAAGUUCAAGGGGAUAACAAGCAAAUCAAACCAUGAAUACCUUGCAAGUAGCUUUCAACUACUAAAAUUCCACUACUGUAGAUCAAACCAUGUACAGGGUACAGGAAUAUCUAAGAGUGGCCUCCAAGAAAUUGCUUCGAUUGAAACUUGAAUGUGUGAACAGUGACUGCAAUUUGGUGGGGUGUCGUCUCAUUAUAAACCAAUUAGAUGACCCUUAGAAGUUUUUUGUUCAAAGACAAUGAGUAAAUUUUGGAAAGGGCUCUUUUCACCCUUGCAAAAAUUUUGUCCACGUUUUAUCAUUAGUCUUCAACUGCAGCCAAUGCAAAAGAAAAAUAGGUUUCAGGUGUGAAAAUAUAUACGGUUGGGUCUCUUCAGCUUUUAGAUUCAUGCUUAAAUAAAUCAAGUUUGAGAUUAUACAAUAAAAAAGUGAUUGCAAAAUGCGGACAUAUGAAUUUUCUGAUAUAACACCAGACCAGAGAGAUGAUUUUACACUACUGAACACCUUUCUUUUGUGUUCAAAAUUCAACCAAAUGAAAAACUACUGUCUUCUUGUAAACCUUUUCACUGAAACUCUUGGCUGCAAUUGACAGAUUUUUGCUGAUUCCAUGGCAUUCGAUUUUUCUAGUUGCAAAAUUGUAGCCUGAAGUGGACAUCUAACUGGUAAUCUCCUUGACAAAUCUCAUUUUAUGCUUAACUUGCACAAAUAAAAUCACCUGCAUGUGCAGUCUUCCUGCAAGCGAUAUGUGCUUGCAAAGGACAAAUAAUCGACAUGAGAAGAGGUUGCUUCAUAUCCAGAAUCCUUUGAAGAGUAUUGACAACAAGGAGCACAUGAUAAACGCCACUAGGUUUAGAUACAUUUUCAUAAUGACAUAGCUCAUUCCUGCCUACAUCUCCAUCGUGUAGUCUUUAGGGACUUUCCUCCAAGUUCCAUGAAACGCAACUUGAAUCUACAUGAUGAGCAUAGGACUGACUCAUUAUCAAUAAAUAAAGAAAUGCGAGAUUGAGCAUCACAAUUUACCCCAUGAAAGAUAAGGUACAAAUGCGAAAACACCAUUUACACCAAUCAUUGUUCAACCACAGUGAACAGAGACUUCAUCAGCUAGCAGAUGAAAAAGAAAAAAAAUAGGCUUAAAAGAAGUAAACAAUUAGCAACAACACUUUCCUCAUUUGUGUUCAGGAACAAAAUUGAUGUUAAUAAAAUUAUGCUGAAAAGGUGAAAUGCGUAAACUACAGAACAAAAAGACGUACUUGUUACUUGAUCAUUGGCAAUAUUGAAUCAACAAAAAUCAGUAAUUCGGGAUAGAUUGUGAGGAGGUCAGUUUCAACUUCACUAAUUCAAUACUGCAAACAUGAGAGCUGAGCUUAUCAAAUCAGAAACCUAUAUGACAACAUUCAAAGGAUAAACAGAUAGAAAUGGAGGAGCUUAGUGCAUACCUACCUCUGCAUAGCCUCAUAAGUUCAGGAGUGAUAUCCCUAGAAUGCAACCACACCAAACAACUCUGCAUCAGGAUAACAUACACAAAAAUCACCAGCUACUCGUUUGAUUAACAAAGAGAUAGAACCUAGCGAGCAUACAAACAACAGUUCAAUUUAAAAAACUACAUUUACUAUAUUUAGGUACAUGCUGUUGAGACCAGAUCAAGUGCUUUGGAUCUUCACAAGCAUCAAAACUUCCUCAGAACAUUCUACUUGGCCCAUGAGCCUCUUCAAGUUUGGCACCUCAGCUGUUGCUGAUGCUUUCUCUGCAAAAUUGGUCUUGGGUUUGGAAUUUGAAGUUCCUCAGCCGAGUGAGCCACACCUAAUUCAAUCAUGUGAUAAAAUAAUUCCAUGACAACAAUAUGAUCAAAUGGGAUGUAAACUAAUCAGCAAAUUCUUGAGCUCCUUGCCCCAGCUUGUUUCACAGCUGGGCAAAAAAUUGUCUAGUUAUGCGAAAGGUCAUCAAUACAACUGAUUGAAUUUAAGUCCCAAAGUAAGCCUUGAUCAUUACAUAGACCAACCAAACCUGUAAUAGAAGUAGCACUAGUUUACCUUGCUUGAUAAUAUUUCAAGACAACAUUUUGACUACUGGUAAUUUUAAGAAAGGCGUACAUUCAUAUAUGAUAGACUAGCCAAAACUACUUUAACAUUUCUUAAUCACCAACCAAAAAUACACCGAUUCUCGUUCAAGAAAAAGACCCUAUAUAAACUCCAUGCACACUAGAGACUUAGGCAAACCUUUGAUCGAGAAUUUGCAUAAAACAACUCAAUACUCCACUCCAGACCCCAGUACUUGAUCGAGAAUUUGCCAAGCGGUGCAAGCUCCAUGCGUCCACUUGAGAGAAUCUGGAAGGGGAAAAGUGAUGCUGCUCUUCAAGAACGAACUGGUCUCUCUACUUGGUUUAAGGUAUGAAAAUGUACAUGGCUAUGUCUCUUCUGCUUUUAGAUUCGUGCUUAAAUAAGUCAAGUUUGAGAUAAUACGACCAAAGCGAUUGCAAAAUGCCUACAUAUGAAUUUUCCGAUGUAACCAGCCUAGAAAGAUGAUUUUACACUAAUGAACGCCUGUAUUUUCUGCUCUAAGUUCUUCCAAACGAGAAACUACUGUCUUCUUGAAAGCCUUUUCAUUGAAACUCUUGGCUGCAAUUGAUGGAUUAUUUGCUGAUUCCACGGCAUUUGCUUUUCUCUCCCCCAGUCUCAAAACUGUAGCUUGAAGUGGACAUCUAAAUGGUAUUCUUGUUAACAAAUCUCAUUUUUUGCUUGACUUCACAUAUAGAACCACUUGCACAUGUGGUCUUCCUCCAAGCGAUUAGUGAUGGGGCCUUGGUUAAAGAAUAGCAAGAUUUCAAAGCUUGCAAAGGACUAAUACACCACAUGAGAAGAGGUCGCCUUUAUCAAGAAUCCUUCGAAGAGUAUUAAACAACAUGGAGCAAAUGAUAAACGCCAAUUGCAAAUAACUUUGGAAUGCCUUUCCAUACUGGCAUAGCUCAUUCUUGCCCAUAUCUCCAACCCGUGGUGUUUGGGGAGUUUCUUCGAGUUUCAUCAAAUGUAGCUUUAAUCUGCAUAAGGAAGAUAGCACUGACUAAUUAUAAUUAAAUGAAGAUAUCCAAGAUCAUAGCAUUAGAAUUUACCCCAUGACAGAUAAGGUAAAAAUGUGUAAACAUUGACACCAAUUGGAGUUGCACCACAAUGAACAGAGACUUCAUUAGCUGGCCAAUGACAAAGAAACCAACAGACUUAAAAGAAGUAAACAUUUAGCAACACUUUCCCUGUUUGUGCUUAGGAACAGAAUUGAAACUAAAAAAAUUACGCUGAAAAGGUGAAGUGCCUAAACUACAGAACAAAAAAAGAUGCAUUUGCUACUGGGUUAUUUUGCAAGUACCAAUUAGCAAAAUCAGCAAUGCGGGAUCGUUUGCGAGGAGGUCAAUUUCAACUUUACAUAUUGAAUGUUGCAUACAUCAGAACUGAGCUUAUCAAAUCAGAAACCUAUAUGACAACAUUCAAAGGAUAUCAUCACACGAAUAAACUAAUAGAGAGAGGAGCCUAGCAGUGCAUACCUCCCUCUGCAGAGCCUCAUCAAUUCCGAAGUGAUAUCAUUAGAAUGCAACCGCGUCGAACAACUGUGCAUCAGGGUAACAUACAAAAAAUCAGUAGCUUAGUAUUUGAUUAAAGGAGAGCUAGAACCUAAUGAGCAUACAUAAAACAUAUUUAAUUGAAAAAAAAAAUACAUUUACAAUCGUUUAGGGAUGUGAUGUUGAUAUCAGAUCAAGUAUUUGAAUAUUCAGAAGCAUCAAAACUUCAUUGGGACACUCCAGUCAGCCCCAGAGUGUCUUUAAGUUUGGCAUGCAAGAUGGUCCUCAGCUGUUGCAGAUGCUUCCUCUGCAAAAUCCCUCUUCUUUAUUUUGAUCGGUCUCAAGUAUGGAAUUUGAAGUUCCUCAGCCGACUUAGCCACGCCCAAAUCAAUCAUGUGAUAAAGCAAUUCCAUGACAACAAUAGGAUCAAAUGGGAUACAAACUAAUUAGCAAAUUCUCGAGCUCCUCAUCCUAGUUUGUUUCACAGACAGGCAAAAAAUUGUCCUUUAAUGCAAAAGGUCAUUGAUAGAGUUGAUUGAAUUGAAGUCCCAAAGCAAGCCUAGAUCGUCAUAUAGACCAACCAAACCUGUCAUAGAAGCGGCACCAAUUUACCUUGGUUAAUAAUCUUUCAAAUCAAUAGUUUGCCCGCUGGUAAUGUUAAGGUGGUCAACAUUCAUACAUGACAAACUAGCCAAAACUACUUUAACAUUUUUUGUCACCAACCAGAAACACUUGAACCUUGAAUUUUAUUUUAGCUCAGUUCACCAUAUAUACUGGGAAGUGAUGCUCUUCUUAGAGGGUUAGUGAGGGCCAUCAAGGGAACAAUAAGAAACUUGACAGGGUUUUCAUUCAUCAAAGAAAAUCAGAAGGUGUUCGUCCUAAACAGGACAUCUGCCAUUAGUCAAAUUUGACAUGCAAAAGAACGAAAGGGACUUAAAUUGGCCAAGGAUUUUGAAAAGAAAAUAUGAACUUUGGAUGCUCAAAAAUUCCGGGCAUAGUAUACAAUAAUACAAAAAUGAGUAGUAGAAGUUCAUUGGCCUCUAGAUGAAAAUUUCAAAUCCUGGGUUUGCCGAUAGAGGAACUGUAAAUCACUAGGUAAUUCUUGUUUGCCUUUCUUGGUAUUUUCAUUUUUUCCUGGCAAGUUGCUAUCUGUUUGCAGUCUACAUAAGCUGCCAAUGGAAGGAUACAUGAAAAACAUUGCUAUAACGUGAUCAACAACAAUUACACAAAGGCAAAUCCAGAGUUUGCAAAAUCAAUCAGAUAGAUAUCUAAUGUGAAGCAAAUCAUUCUAAAAAAAUAGAGCUUCGAGAAGAGUAUUACUCUAUUUGCUCACGCUGGCCGUUCAAGGAUGAAGAAUCUUACUAUGCCUUCUAUUGACAUUUGGGUCUACAUUUUGAUCUUGGCUGAACCAUCAUGUGAGCUUCUAUGACCAACUCCUCCACUCCUUCAAUAGUGCAAGACCAGCAAUUUAGGAAAGUACAGAAUCCUAUCAUGGAAAACCUUUUUGUCAAAAGAAGAUAGUGAUGAAAAGGAGGUCAUGAAUAUCAGAGGAAGAAUGAUUGUUCACUGCUCAUUUACCUCUGUUGAAGAAACAUGACUAAUCUCACUGUUGUAAUAUGGGUAUAAGAUUCCUCACAUCAUUAACACUGCAUGAUAAUAUUUCCAUAGAGAACUCAAAACAGUUCAUAAUUUCUAAUGAUGCGCGUUCGACAUAAUUUCGGUAUUGCUUCCAAUGAGUCACAACUAGAAAUAUCCAAGUAAAUUAAAUUCCACAUUUCAAGUCCUUGAAGCUGAGUAAGUUUCUUGCAGUCUCGAACUCUUAGAGAUUGUAAUUUCUCACAUCCUGUCAAAUUUGGCAAAGUCUCCAUUGAUUUGCAUCCCGUAAAAUCCAACUUUUCUAAGAACUUUGCACUGUCAAGACCUUCAAUUUUGACUAGAUUGCCGCUCCCAACAGCCUUUAAUUCCUUCAAACAAGGUAAUUCUAGACAGUGAAGCCUUUCAAUGGAAUUGCAGUCCUCUAAAGAUAUCAACUCCAAGGAACUGCACUUUUUUAUUGAAAGCUCUUCAAAGUGCACGAGUCCAUUGAGCGAAAGUGAUGUUAGCUUAUCCCACUCCUCAAAACAGAGUUUUAGUGGUAUUGAGGAAAGCUUGUGGAUGUCUUCAAGUAAAUGGCGUACCUCAAGAUGGAGUUUUUCUAGGUGGAUGAGGGCCUUGACCGCACAUAUUUUAAGCCCGCAGGAAGCUCUGGCAGCAACCGAAGCUCGUCACAGCCCGAUCGGUCAAGGAUUAGGAGAGACGAAGGAAGCUUUGGCAGCGAUCGGAGCUCCUUACAGUCCUCUAGAUCAAGGUUGUAGAGAGAAGAAGGAAGCUCUGGCAGCGACCGGAGCUCCUUACAGCCCUUUAGAAAAAGCUCUUCGAGAGAUGAAGGAAGCUCUGGCAGCGAUCGGAGCUCCUCACAGCCCCAUAGUUCAAGGCGUCGGAGAGAAGAAGGAAGCUCUGGCAGUGAUCGGAGCUCCUUACAGCCCCCUAGGUUAAGGAUUUGGAAAGACAAAGGAAGCUCUGGUAGCAACCGAAGCUCCCUACAACCCUUUAGGUCAAGGUAUUGGAGAGAAGAAGGAAGCUCUAGCAGCGACCGAAGCUCGCUACAGCUCAAUAGGUCAAGGUGCUGGAGAGAAGAAGGAAGCUCUGGUAGCGACUGGAGCUCCUUACAACUGCAUAGGUCAAGGCUUUGGAGAGAAUAAGGAAGCUCUGGUAGUGACCGGAGCUCUAUACAGCCCUCUAGGUCAAGGUGUUGGAGAGAAGAAGGAAGCUUUGGCAGUGACCGGGGCUUAUCACGGCUCCCUAGAUAAAGGUGUUGGAGAGAAACGCUUUCUGGUUGGUUAAAUAUCGAUGUUCCACUGAGAUUGAAAAUUUCCCCUUCCAGAUGACGGUAUCCAUUGAGAAAUUGAGCCCGCAGAUUUUUCAACCUUUCAAUAGCACCGGGAUGUUUUUUUAUCCCAGAAUAACGCAAGCUAAGAUGUUGCAAAUUAUGUAAAUCCCCAAUUGAGCUGGGGAUUUCUCUCAGUAAGUAACACCUUAAGGCGCUCAGUUUCUUCAGCUUCCUCAAAGAACAGCUUCCUCAAAGAACCAAUAGAGAUAGGAAUCUCUGUAAUACUAGAUUCAUCUAAAAAAAGUUCUUCUAAAUUUUUUAAUUCGCCCACCUCCUUUGGUAGUUCCUUGAGUCUUCUACAGUAAUACAAGUGCAAGGAAACAAGGCUCGUGAGUUUGCCAAUAGAAGGGUGGAGAUGCUCCAGUUUCCCACAUCUCCUCAAAUUGAGAAUCUUCAAAUGUGUGAAAGUUGAGAGAUCAGGAGUACGUCUUAAAUUAUGACAAUGUUCAAGCAUGAGAACUUUAAGCCGCUUUGACGCCUAAUAGAAAAGGAGAAUAAGCUGUCAAAGAAUGGGUCGAUCGACUAAACAAAAACAAAACCCUAAAUUCGUUCUUUUCUCAAUCUUACCAUGAAUGACCUCCAUCCUUGCCAAUGCUCUCGAAUCUCGCUCCAAUAUAAAUGCAGUAUUGAUAAAUUCGAUAGAUGCGUUGAAGGGGACAGGUUGCUUUGCACAACCCUCCACUUAAGCCAUCUCACUUUCUGUUCGUCGUCGGAGGUUCCGCUUGAAGCUGCCCGCAAAUUGUCACAGAAAUGGAAACGAGAGAGGGGUCUCCACCAAAUUUUGCGGAACCGGGAGGGGGACAUGGAGGGGAACCAGGCGGGGCGUCCCUGCGAGUUUUUUUUUAACUUUUUAGUUUUUUUUUCUUUUCUUAAAUCUUGGAUUUUGCACGAUCUAUAACCUUUCUCUCCUUCCAUGUACAAAUAUGGCUCAUAUUUUUUUUUUGACAACCUUUUCGAAAAUUAAACAAAUGAUGUGAAAAAUAAAGAAAAAAUGGUUAUUGCUCUUAAACAACUAAGAUAAAGGCAACUCAAUGUUUUAUCUUUUCCUUUUAUCUUUCAAAUUUUGUAGCGCAUGCACUUUGACUUUUAUUUAUUACGAAAUAUAUGAAACCAUUUUACAACAUACUAAUGUUUACUUGUAAAUUUUCAUGACUUUUGUAUAAUUUUUCAAAAGAGUUUGUUGAAGAGUGCCGGUGGGCCACCUGUAAGUAGCUAUGGAAACACCCGGUUUUCAUUUCAUUAUUUAAAUGUAAUAAUGCCGAAGAGAAAAAAUGGGAAAUUUUCAAUAUAUUUCCAUAUAUAGAAAAGAUUAUACGGAGAGCCUAUCUAUAAACUUUAUUACAAGAUUGUCUAAGAAAAAAAAAUCAAAUUAGAUAUGCAUAAUCAAAAUAAAUAUAGAAAAUUAGAAAAAUAUCAUAAAUAUCUCUAGAAGAUAUCCACAUAUCUUUAACAUCAUUUACUAUUGUUCUGAAGUGUUUAAUCAUUUCUUUGAAAACUUAUACAUUUUUUUUUUGUUAAGUAUGUUUAAAAAGUGACGUGGUGACAUUGGACAAUAGUGUAUUAAAUAUAUCAUGAGGCGGCCCAAAUGGAUAAUAUAUAAUAAUAAAAUGACACGAACAUUGAUAAUUUAACUAUUGCUCUGAUACCACAAAAAGGGGAUGUCACGCCCCGACCCUCAGGCACGCACACAUCCCUUACUUUUGGUCGAUUUAAAAAAAUGCGAUAUCCCAGGACUAUGUAUCGCCGACCCUUUCAUUUAUAUAUGCACAUGCGGAAGCAGUUAUAAUUCCCCAGACAAUAAAGCAAUGGGAUAGAAAAGCAGGCCAUACAUUUUUUCAUACUGAAAAUUCCCAACUACAACUUUUUUACAUGCAAACAAGGUCUGACAAGACAGGAUAGGAUUUCGGUCCUCAUCCGGGUCGUACUCGAGGUCCUCCUCCACGUACUCCUCUUCGGGUUCCUCAUCAAGGACCUCCUCAUCAGAUUCAUGCUCCUUAGGCUCCUCAUCCAGGUCCUGAAAUGGUUAUUCAAUAACCACUGAGACCACGUCUCAGCAAGUUCUACUCCCUAAGACCCGAUUAGUAAACUAAUA